rnacentral:lncRNA from 1 species
UACAAAGAAGUUCUAAAAGACUACAAGAAAGAGUUUCCACUAAAGAAAAACAAUGAAACCAUUUCUACUAAAGACAAACAAUGAAACCACAGAUGCUUUGUGAAAUAUGUACCCGCACAAUCCAACAAACUUUAGAAAUUCACAAACACUACCUAGAAUUUUUGCUGACCAGCAAAAAAUUUAUGCAAUUUAAUUCUUAUUGUUAUUAUUAUUUUCAAUGUGAACAAAUAUGAUUGAAUUAUGAAGUAUUUGGCCAGAAGAGGAUCUUGCCUAAUUAUAGUCAUUAAACAACCAUUUAUACCAUAGCCUCUAGACUUUAAAAAGUUUAUAAAACUCAAGGGCUUCCACCCAAUUUCUAGAUAUCUCCAUAACAUUCUUCUGACUAUUAGAAAGCAAUUACCACUUUAAUUUUUCAUUUCAUGAGUGUUCAAUUCAGAAAAAGACCAGGAUCGAACUUGCGAUCAUGCAGUCGAAAAUCCACCUGUGCAUGAAACUAUUGCCUCACGAUUGCAAACUCAAGUUGGAGUCCAGUAACAACUCUAGGUUUGCUGAUGUGCUCCAUUUGAAAUAAAGGAACUAAAGAAUACUUUAUAAAGAUUAAUUACCUUCAUAUUUUAGGUUGGGGUUAAGGCAAAAUGUGAUAGAUUGAGAGGAAGAAAAUAUAUCUUGUUCAGGAAGCCAAUAUUUUGGAGUUCACCUUUCCAUUCGAGUCCACUCUGCUAUAGCAAAAUCAGAGUCACAACUAUGCCUCUUUAAGCUAUCCUUUAAUUGGAUGAAUUGCAGAUUUGGUUGCUGAGAAAGUGGAUAAGAAAGAAAAAUGCAUACUGUAGCUUGAGAUUAAGAGUUUGUUUUCUAAAAUGAGAGAAAGGGAAAGAGAAAAAAUGCAUAUUGUAGCUUGAGAUUAAGGGUUUGUUUUCUAAAAUGAGAGAAAGGGGAAGAGAAAUGUUCGACAACUUUGAGAUGACAAAUUUUUAGAUUUGGAAAAUUUGAGAUGAGUCUCAGGUUUUUUUUUUUUUUUUUUUGUCUUUGUCUUUGUUUUUUUUUUUUUUUUUUGUUUUUUUCCCAAAAACAACCUGUUAAUGUGGUUGUUGACAUAGAAGUGGGUGAGGGCAAAAUGGGCAUAGAAAAAAGAGUCAACACAAAGUGCACAAAACCCAUAUUAUUUUCCACAUUAAUGACUGAUUCUCAUAUUUCUUGUUCUUGGGAUUUGAAAACCAUAUUAUUUGCAAAUGGACCUCCCAAAGCACAGGUUUCCCUUAGUUUUAUGUCUCCAUCUACAUUUUACAUAUAAAUAGAUUAUUUUAUAAAAUUUGUUUUGUAGAUAUAUUAGUUAAUAAUUAUAUAAUUAAUGAUAUAGAAAACAUAUAAAAAUCAUAUUUAAAAAAGAUAAUUACAUAUUCCUCAACAAUCCAUCCCAAGAAUUCGAGGUUGAGUUGAAAACAUGUAGAGUCUUUGAUGUUAUUAUAAUCAUAUCCAACACAUAUGAUUAUUGUUUAUGAGAUAUUAUUAGAAAGUUUGUCUUAAAAUAAUUGAUUUAUUACCCACCUUUAGCAAAUGCCCAUUUUUGCGUCUUUCAAAAUUUUCAUUUUUUUUUUGUUUAAAAGAAGUAUUGUAAAGAAUGAUGAAAUAAGAAAUUUGUUGAGAAAGUGUGAGUAAAUAAUUUUACAUAAAAAGAGAUUUAAUACUUGAUAAAUAAAAUAAUAAAAUCAUGAUUUCUAGUUGUAUAGGGCCGGGUGGAUGGAGUGGCUAAGAUGUAAUUCUUGAAAUAGAGGAGACAACAUCAAUGUAUAAAAGUUUAACAGAGAAGGAAAGUGUGUUUGAAUGACUUUAUUUUCUUCAUUUAAAGUUUUGACGAUGAGUGUUUAUACAAGAUAAAUUUUCAAAUGAUAGGACUCCUAUUUACAUGGAGUUUGUGAUAUACUAUGAUUAUACAAAUUUAAAAUUCAAACAGAUUCAUGAGUUGAUAGGAGUCUGCUCAAUACGCCCCUUCAAAAUGGUGGGAGAUAGCACACCAAUCUUGACUCGAAGGGCCUAAACUCGUGCAGAAGAUGAGGGCUUUGUUAGAGCAUCGACAAGUUGAUCCGUGGUUGACAUAUGGGACACCUUGAGCUCACCUGAUUAAACCUUGUUUCAAACAAAAUGAAAAUCAAUCGCCGAUGUGUUUCAUGGAGAGUGAAACAUGGGAUUUGCACAAAGAUAUGUUGCACCCACGUUAUCACAAGAGAUAGGAGGUGGUGAUAAAUUUGAAACACUAAGUUUUGAGAGAAGAGAAUUAACCCAAAGAACCUUUGAGGCUGUAGAGGCCACGACGUGAUAUUUCGCUUCAGUGGAAGAGCGUGCUAUGAACUUUUGUUUCCUCGAUGACCAAUACACAAGAUUGUGACCAAGAAAAACAAUGGGAGCAUUGGUGGAGGAUCUGACAUAAGGAUUCCUUGCCCAUUCAACAUUCGAAUAUGCAUGUAGAUUGAUGGGCGAUUUCUUAUGCAAGAACAGACCAUGCACCAUUGUGCCGACUAAGUAUCUAAGCAAUCUUUUAACACAAGACCAAUGUGUUGAUGUUGGAUGGUGCAUAAAUUGAGAUAAUUUAUUCAUCAAGAAGGUGAUGUCAGGGCUAGUAAGAGAGAAGUAUUGAAGGCUUCCAACAAUUGACAUAUAUUUAGUGGGACCAGGAAAAGAGGUGUCAUCACACAGAUUUGGAACAUUGUUGAGGAACAUCAAUGAUUGAACUGGUUUGGUAGCCACCAUUUGUGUUUUCUUAAGAAGCUCUCGAAUGUACUUGAGAUAAAAAUAAUCCUUUGGAAGUAUGUAUCAUUUCAACACCAAGAAUAAAAGAUGAAGUCCUGAGAUCCUUAAUGGAGAAUUUGACUGCUAAUUGAGAGAUCACGCGAGCACGAAAAACAUUAUUGUUACUUGUUAAAAUAAGAUCAUCAAUAUAAAUAAGUAGGUAAACAAUGAGACCACUCUUUUUAAAAAUGAAGAGGGAUGUCUCGGUUUAGGAGUUGACGAAGGCUAUUGAGAGGAGAAAUUGGCAAAGUUCAUGAUACCAUGAUCGUGGAGCUUGUUUAAAGCCAUAAAAAGCCUUACAAAGUUGGCAAAUGUGAUGAUGUGUGUAUUCGUGAACCCAGGAGGUUGAAUCAUGUAAACAUCUUCAUGAAGUGUCCUAUGCUAGAAUGCAUUAUUAAUGUCCAAUUCAUGAGUUGAUAGGAGUCUGCUCAAUACAAUGUGGGAGUGUGAUUUCAAAAUUAGGGUAAUUUCGAAAUGGAUUUUGUAUUCACAAGUUGAAUUUCAAAAUUAUUUUGAAAUGGUCUUUUAACUUUAAGCAGUUGUGUUCAAAAGGUCAUAACUUCUUCGUUUCAAUUUUGAUUUACACAUUGUUUAAAACAUUGGACUCUUUACUUCCCGAGCUUCAAAACGAUAUAUAGUAUGCUCAAAAAUGACAUCAGGAUUGGUUCAAAUUUCAUCUUGAUAUUAGAGUACAUGUUGUGAUUAGAUUUUGAGUUCCAAAUUUCCAUGUAAACUUGAUUGCAUUUGCUUCAAACCUCCUUCAUUAUGGUUGCUUGCCCUCUAUCUCACUUUGCAACAUUUGUUACUAGUAUUUUAUGUCCAUGACUUACUCAUUUCAACCUUUCUUGGAUUCUUCAUGGUUCACAAAUUAUGGAUUCUUCAUGGUUCACAAAUUGAGUCUUUCAAUUAUGCAUGUUUAACUCCUAUUUCCUUGGUUGAUAAUGACUUUUACACUUAUCAUUUUCUUUUAUUCUUUAAACCUGAAUUUAGACUUACAAAAAAAAGUUAGAUCCAUAACUAGGGUCUUAGCAUCAAUUUGAGUUAAGUUGGAUGAUUUGAAAAUUUUAUAUUACAUAAAUCAUAUCAUACAUGUGCCAUUGGAGUGCACAUUUUGGCUCUAAUCAUGUUCCAACCCAUUGUUUUACUCUUGCAUGAAGUAUGUGGCCAUUGAUUUUAAUUUUAUUUGCGAUUAGGUUCAAAAUGGUGCUUUUGUGUUGCUCAUGUGUCAUCAGAAGAUCAACUAAUGGAUUCUCUAACAAAACUACUACAUCAUAGUCAUUUUUUUUUUUCUUAAGACCAAGAUUGAGAUCUCCAAUCGGAGCCAACUCCAUCUUGGGGGCAUGUUAGUGAAAGAUAAAAUUUAUCUUUAAUUUAAAUAUUAAUAUUUAUCAGUUAUUAGUUUUAAUUAGAGUAAAAGAUAGAGUUUAAAUUGGAGUAGGAGAUAAACUUGUGUUUGAACUAGAAUAGAAGAUAAAGUAUAAAGAUUUAUGUUUGAAUUAGAAUAAAAUAUAAAGUUUGAAUUAGAGUAGAAGAUAAACUUGUUCUUUAUUUGUAUAUAAAUAUUCAUCAAUUCUUGAGAAGAAGAUUAUUUCAUAGUUUUUCUAUCUUCUUUUUUCUUCAUACAUAUCUGCAAGAAAUUGAAGAUUUCAAGUAAAAUAUUUUCUGUUUUAAAUAGUGAAAAAAGCUAGAAAUUCACUUUGUUAUCUCUUGGGGUAAAUUGACAAGGUUUAACGUUAAGAAGGUGAAUUAUUUUUUCAGAAAAACUGAAGUAGCUAGGAUAUCUGGCCAGUUGUGAUCGAUAAAAAAGUUGUAAAAUCUCUCAUAUACUAAACAGGUUUUGGAUGUUGGUAUGGUAAAUCCAUCUGCAGUCAUUCGUCAUCUCAUCUAGUGAGAUGUUUGGGAGGUGGUGACCGCCGGAUUGGGUUUCAUUUGGUUAAAUCUGUCAGUGGGUUGGCUACUACCCGAGCCUCUUGCUUUGGGGGAGGUGGGUUCUAGAUAUAAUGUUCAAACCAUUUUAGUUAUCAUAUGCAUGACAUGUAAGCAUAAUCUCUUUAUCACUUCUUCAAUGGGAGUUCAUGGUUAGGAAUUGACUUCUUUUCUUCUGGGAUGCUUGGCAUGUAAUGGACAAAGUUACUUUUAUAUCGAUCGAAUUUCUAGUAUUAUAGUGAAGACUUACCCUUUUGACAUUUUAUAUCGAAUUAUAGAAGAUGAAAGGGACAUACAUGCAAUCGACUGACGCUUUAGUGAAUAUGCUGAAAAUAUGCUGAUGCUGUGGAGAUCGUAUGAGGACAGAGGAAAAAGAUAGAAAUGGAUAUAUAAUUAGACCUAGGUUUUUAUUAAAUGAGAUGGGGAACAUAGAGUGAGGGAAAAUCAAAAUUUUUGGCUGCAGUUCACAUUGGUGAUAUUUUGGAUUGACAAAGACUAACGACUUUUCUAUUUUUCUUUUCGGCCUGACUGGAUAGUUGGACAUGGACAAUACAGAAUCCACAGAAGGAUUGUUGGGACCGCUGAAAAUUAGCUAGAAGAAGCUGAGGAAGUAGUCUACGUAGUCAAAUACCAAACACAAAGAAAGAAAGAAAUGGAUAUCAUGGAUGCCUAGAGUUAUACUCCUAAUACCGUCACAGGUAUUUUUCUUUCCUCCUUUUUUUUUCUACGAUAAUUAGAGCAUUUCUCCUCCUCCUCCUCCUCCUCCCCCCACCCCACCACCAAAAAAUAAAAAAAUAAAUUAUUGCAAGUAACACUUCAAAUAUUAAUUUAUACAUUCUAAAGUAUAUAUUCAUGAAAUAACUUGAGUAUCAUACAUUAGUUCUCAAAAAAAAAAAAAAAAAAAAAAAAAAAUUACUGGAAGAGAAAAGUUUAAGAAAACAUAAAAAUAUUCAACUACUAUUUUAAAGAGAAAAUUUAAUUUUUACACUAUAAAUUUGAAGAGAACUUUUACAUGCAUCUUAUAUAAACUACCAUUUUUUGCUAAAAGGCUUAAAUUUGUCAAAAAUACCCCUUAGGUGCUUAACGUUCUGGUCAUAAUAUAAUUGGCAUCUUUUCUCAAACAUAAGGCCUGUGUGUGGGAACAAGAUUUAAUGUUAAUGAGCUUCGCCACCGACAUUUAGUUCCAGAAAUCAUUAUUUUAAUAGAGUGGGCUCAAUUUACAACUUUAAUUAAACUCUAACCAACUGCAUUGUGAAAUGAAUAUGUUUCUUUCGUGGUGAAUCCAAUGAGUUGGGAGUCAAACUUUGCUUCAUUGUGUAUAGAUGAAAUGUUAAGACUCCAUGUAACCUCAAACAUUUCCGCAAUNNNNNNNNNNNNNNNNNNNNNNNNNNNNNNNNNNNNNNNNNNNNNNNNNNNNNNNNNNNNNNNNNNNNNNNNNNNNNNNNNNNNNNNNNNNNNNNNNNNNUUCUUUCGUGGUGAAUCCAAUGAGUUGGAGUCAAACUUGCUUCAUUGUGUAUAGAUGAAAUGUUAAGACUCCAUGUAACUCAAACAUUUCCGCAAUGAGCGGGAGUUCUAAAUUUAAUAAUUGAAAUUGUCAGUGGAACCAGUGGACAAGAGUUGGUUUGUGGUUGACAAACUUAUCCGUUUGAUCUUUACUUGAACAGUUCCAGUGUGUGGAUGGGUACUGAUGAAGUGUGCGCAUUUAUUUUGAGAAGCCUGCUUGUUCGCAUAGAUUUUAACGACAUGAACAUUGUGGUAAGGUUAGAGAGUAAUGCGAAUGUAGGAGCUUAUAUUAGAAAUGACACAAACACGUAAAUAGAAGUAAUCUAUAUAUGAUAUUACUCAUGGACUACAAGCAAAGAAGUACAAUACAUGGAGUAAGUGAUGAAAUGAGCAUUCCUCACUACUACUGCUUGACUGAUGGAACAUGAUGCACGAGAUAGCAUAAGUAGUAGUAGGAAGCAGCUCUUAUUUGUGGCGUCGGUAUACAUCAUACUAGGUAGAUGGUUCAAUUGGCAUGGAUGGGUGGUGGAGCCUUGAAGUGCUUGUGAUGGGGAGCCCACGGCUUCUUCUCAGGAGUUGGUGGCUUCUUGUAUGGAGUUGAUGGAGGUGUUUCUACUGGAGGGUGGCCAGGGUAGUGACCCUGGGGUGGUGAAGGUUCUUUUGUCGGUGGUGGCCUCACUAUUAUUGGCGGUAGAGUUGGUGGCUUGGGCGUUGGCGGUGGUCUCACUACUCUUGGGGGUAGAGUUGGUGUCUUGUGUUUUGGUGGUGGAGGUGGCUUAACAGGAGUUGGUGGCUUGUAUUCUGGGGGUGGUUUCUCCACCGGAGGUGGCUUAUAAACUGGAGUUGGUGGCUUGUAUUCUGGGGGUGGCUUCUCCACUGGUGGUGGCCUGUAAACAGGGGUUGGUGGCUUAUAUUCUGGGGGAGGCUUCUCCACUGGAGGCGACUUAUAAACAGGGGUUGGUGGCUUGUAUUCCGGGGGUGGCUUCUCUACGGGAGGUGGCCUGUAAACAGGGGUUGGUGGCUUCUCCACCGGAGGUGGCUUAUAAACGGGGGUUGGUGGCUUGUAUUCUGGGGGUGGUUUCCCCAGUGGUGGAGACUUGUAAACAGGAAGAGGUGGUUUGUGCUCAUAUGGGGGUGGCUUGUGGUCAUUAGCAAGUGAGGGAGUGGUGAGGACCACCAAUCCAAGGAACAACACGAGUGAGCAAGCAGAAGACAUGUUUGGGCUCUGGUGAUGCACAAGUAGAAGAAAUGGGAACCAUUUAUAAUGCUUCGAGACCUUGGUUAGCACCAAAAUAUGUCAAAAUCUUGAUUACUUCAUUUCAUACAUAGAUUUAAAAUUAUUUCAAUCAACCAUGAUCCUUAAUUUUCUGGGUGGUCCAUAAAUGUAAUGGGGUCAAUUUGGGACCUAACAAGCUGAGAAGUUUGACAAUGCUGCAAGGCUUCAUCCGAAAGUCCGGGGAAGAAUAUUAGGAGUUACACUCCGUUUCCUUUUUUGGGUGCAUUUUUCUCCUUUAACAUUCUAUUCCCUUUUACAUUAGCAUUUGAUCUUAGCUCAUUUCAAGUACAAGUUUCUUGAACCCUAUACCAUUGUCAAAGUUGAGUAACCAUCUCUACUUUGCUCAAGAAACAUAAAAGACAAUGACAAUAAAGAAAAAGGAGAGAGACCAUACGUGACUUGGUUUAUAGGUGGCUUUGUGUUGACAUUUGAGUAUGGAAGCCGACAUGCAUCUUAGCUUCGAUUUUAAUUAAAUUUGUACAUUAGUGUCUGUGUCAUUCAUUUUGGUAUAAAAGGUCUCUUGAUUUCGUAAGUUUGGUAAGAACCGUUGAAAAUAGCAGUAGCAGCACAUGGUCCACUUUCUUUCACAAAAUAAUUUUAAAAGUUUAGAAGCAUAGGAGGUAACAUUAGUGGCCUUGUGGCUCAGCCACGAGUACUAUGUGGUGCUCGAGAAAUUGAGUUUAAUUUCCUUCCGAUAGUUCAUGAUAAGGUCCGUCACUGUCCUGAGACAGAUUGCGUUUUUUCUUUUUUCCUUUUUUAGUGUUUUAUUGACUAGCUAGGUGUGACUUUUCCUACUUUAAGGCACGAGGCAGAAAAGAAACUGGGAUUUAGUGCUUAAGAAGGCAAAUUUAAUUCGAUUUGGAUCUAAAAUUUGCCAGCAACAUGAGAUUUUCCAGCCUAUCGUUGCUCCACAUAUAGACAAGGCACUUGUAGAAGUGGCUUGUUUGUAGCCAUUCCCGAUAUUUGGACUCACUUGAUUCACCGGACACUUUGAUAAAAUUUAAUAUUUAUUAUUUAAUAAUUUAAAUUGAUUUAAAAUUAAAUUAUACCGAAGUUGUGAUUUAAAAAUUAUUAUUUAAUUCUUACUUUUAAAUAUGAAGAUUAUUUGAUAAAAAUAAUUUAAAAUUUAUUAUAAAUUAUCAAAUUAACAUAUUUAUCCUUAUAAAUUAUAAUUAAAACAGAAAAGGUCAAAUGAUUUGAGUAUCCAUAGAUGUGGUAAAAUAAUAAAAAAGAUUAUAAAAACAAUUAUGAUAAAUAAAGAUAAAAAGUAAAAUGAAUAUGUGAAUUUAAAGAAUAAAUUAAUUAUUUUUAUUUAUUACUUAAAAUUAUUUUUGACUUUAAAUUAUAUUAUUAAAUUAUUUUACCAAACAUACUUAAUUUAGUUAAUAAUUUAAAUUUAAUUUAAGUUAUUAAAUUGAUUCACCAAAUACCCACUUAAUCAAAGACUGAAGUAUACAUUAUUUGGCCAAAUGCAGCUAUUGAAAUUUAACUUUUUCCAAACUUAUUCAUUUUGUGGAAAUAUUUUUAGAAAUGAUUUUAAAAAUGCACUAUUCUGUGUGUUGAUUUUAUAUUUUGGCAUUAAUCCAACAUAGAAAACGGUUCUUAUUUUCGCUGUUAAAUAGGUACCAGAUCCUUAAUUAGUGCCGUGAAUCCGGCAGCUUCCAAUGAGUAAUUUGGACUUGGGUAUUGACAAUGUGUGGCCAUGCUUCUACUAUUUUAUUAUUCUUGAAACAUAUAUGAUAUAUUGGACUUUAUACAGGGAAAAAAAAAAAAAAAAGUCUUCACCAAAAAUGAUUCCUCCUAAAAAAUAGACUCCACAAACUAGGUUUAACAGGAAAAUGAUUCUAAUCUAGUAGUUUCCAGCCACAUGAGCAUUUACGUAACAAUAGUAUAGUUGAUAACGACUUUUAUUUUAUUUAUUUUUAAAUAGUUAAAGGGAUAAUUUUUGAGCUUAAAUUUUAUUUUUUUAUUUAGAAACAUUUUACUUUAUUUUUUAAUCAUAAUUCUAUUAUAUUAAUGUUUUAUUUUCUAUUUUUUAAUAUAUAAGGAGAUACUAAAUUUAUGUGAUUAUUUUUUAAAAAUUUAGUAUAUGAAAUUAAAUAAUUGGAUAUAUAUACAUAUAUCAUAUAAUGUUUUUUAAGUGUGAUUUUUGAACUUUUUAGUCAUUUUAUAAGUUUAAGCUUUUGAUUUUUUUUUUUAAACUUUGGUAUUUUUUAUUUUAUAUAAAACUAUUUUGAUUUAAUUUUAUUAAAAAAUAUUGGUAUUAUAAAUUAUUGUAUUAAUUAUUUUUUUAUAUUAUAAUGUAACUGGUAUAUACUAAAAAAUGUAUGCAAGUUCAAUUUAAGUUUCAAAUUAAAAAAUUUCAUUUAAAUAUUUAAUAACUUGUUCAUAAUAAAAAAUUAAACAACAUAAUACAAAUGAAAAGAAACAUAAAAGAAAAAGGAAAAAAUGGUCCUCUCUGUGUGUCACAUUACUAGGUCAUCCUCUUUUUCUAUGACCCUUACAAUAGAAUGGCAUAUUUGUCAAAUCUACUUAUGAAAGUUGGAAUGUUUCUACAUGUGUAGGGUCCAUUGGAACUAAUGGAGGAAAGGCUUAACGUCUAUGUAAAUCACAACGUUGCCUAGGUGGGCAUAGAUCUAGUUGUGUAACAUGAGAUGGUGUGAGAGUACAAUAUAUGCAUUGUAGUCUCUAUGGGAAGAGAGAUAGGUAAUGGUAGGGUGGUAGACGGUAGGGUGAUCUCUAAUAUAAUGACAUUUGAUGUGGUGGCUUCUAAGAGAGGAGAUAUAAGAGAUGGUAGAAUGACAUUUGGUGUAAUGGUCUCUAGUGCAAUGACAUGUGAUAUGGUGACCUAUAAAGAAGAGAUAUAGGUGAUGGUGAAGUGGUAUGUGGUGUAGUGACCUUUGAGAUAGAAAAUAGAGGUAAUGGUAGGUUGGCAGGUGGAGUGGUCUUUGGUGUAGUGACAUCAAUUAUAAAUGUCUCCAAGGGAGGAAAUAAAGGUGAUGGUAGGUAGUAAAUGUUGAGGUGGUCUUUGAUAUGUUAUGCUCUAAGAGAGAAGGUAUAGGUAAUGAUAAUAGGGAAUUUGACAUAGUGGUGUUGGAAAUAAAAAGUGAAAGUGACCGUAGAGGUGAAAGGGCAAGUGUAAAAGCCUCAAGUACGAAUGGAGUAAUUAAUGUGGAUGGUGCUAACAUAGUCUUAGGUGGAUACACAAAUAGUCAUAGUCAUCAACUAGCUUGCCCACCAUCUGUCUUUCUGCUAGUGAUAGGUUACAUCUUAAUAGUAAUGGCCAACAUAAGUGGUGUGGAUCCGAUUUUUUUACGUGUGUCCCCACUCAAUCGACAAGACUUAUUUUUUAUUAGUGAAAAAUUAAUUUUGGAAAAGUUGGAGUCACCACUUAUUUUAUUUUAUUUUAAAAAGGAAAGUAAAACAAGAAAGAGAACUCUAAAGAAGUGACUUCAUAGUUUUGGAAAAGUUAGUCUUAAAAAAUCCAAGUCUUGGUCCGGAGAUCAGGUUACUUAUUGGGAAGAUACCUCUAAGAGGUAAUACCCCUCUAAACCCUAAAGAAGUCUCUAAUGACUAAGUUGAGGAGAAUGUGGUAAUUAAUUAAUUGAUUGAGGGUACCUAGGUAGACUAAGGUGAUUUCAGAAUUAACAUACCAAGCUAGAAAGUCCAAUCAUGAUCAUAAAAGAGAGUCAAAGUAUGUACCUGAACUGCUUCUCAAACGCUAUCAUAAAACAUCAAAGUUAGUAUAGAAAUAUAACACAUAAUAUUUGUUUUAUCCAAGCAAAUAAAGCAUACAUCUAAGCACCCAAGAAUCACAUCAAGUAUGGAUAUAGUCAUCAAUAGCAUACGUGUCCAUAGAACUAUCGAAAGUAAAUGUGGAGGAGCGUAUCUGGACAACAUAGAUAACUUAUAAUGUGCUUCCACAAGACAUGGGGGUUAGAUAAAAGUUAUAAUAAUAAUUAGUAAAUGAAAGAAUUCUAGCAUGUUUGGUAUCUAAAUAACAUAGCAAAAAUGAACAAGAGUACACGAAAACAUCAAUUAUCACACGAGUCAUAUUGGCUAGUAUUUAAUCAAUAAACCAACAAUAAAUGACUAUAAACAUAUAAAAUGACAUAUUCAAAGAGACCCAAACAUAAAGAGCCUAGAACACAAGCUUACACUAAAUUUAGAAAACUAAAACAUGGAAUUUUAAAAGCAUAAAUUAGCAAACAAAUUGAUGGAAACUAAAUUUAGAUAACUUAAGAAUAUUUUUCUUAUCCUUCAAUUUAAAUCAGUAAGCCAACAAUAAAAAAUUAUAGAAACAUGGAAUAUCAAGAUCAAUGGGAUACCUAAACUAUAAUUUUUAAAAGAAAAUAAACUAAGCAUAAUAUCUACAAAGCAACUAAACUAACAUUUUUUUAAAAAUAAAUUAAACAUGACAUUAAUGGAGUAACCAAACUAAAUUAAAGUAAACUAAAAACAUUUAUGAAUUUUCAAACAUGGAAUCAGCUUUCUUAGUAAAUUAAAAUUAUUAAAAUAAAAUCUAAGCUUAAAAAUGAAUUAAAUACUAACUAAAGCAAAUCUAAAACCAAAUAUUUAACACAUAGGAUCAAUUAUAUUAACAAACUAAAAUUUUAUAAGAACACUUAAACCUAAAGUUGAAUUAAAAACUAACCAAUUUUUAAAACUAGAUCUUUAACCCAUAGGAUCAAUUAUAUUAACAAAUAAAUAAUAAAUAAUAAAUAAAUAAAACUCAAACCUAAAGAUGAACUAGAAAUGUACCAAAGUAAAUUCAAAACAAGAUCUUUAACACAUUAGAUCAAUUAUAUUGACUAACUAAAAAAAAAAAAAAAAAACACUCAAACCUGAAACGAUGUAUUAGAAACUAACCAAAGCAAAUUUAAAAUAGAGUCUUUAACACAUAGGAUCAAUUAUAAUCACUAACUUAAAUUACAAUUUUUGAAACAUGAACUAAUUAGUGUUGGAUUAAUUAAACUAAUUAACUAAAAAAAACUAUAAACUAGAAUACGGUGAAUCAAGAAUUCAAAUCAACAAACAUAAAAUAUGGGUACAAUGAAAUGAAAAUCUAUUAAACUAAUAAGACGGAAAUAUGACAAACUCAUGAACCCACAUUUUGAUCAACUAGGAAAUAGAAAUUAAUAGACCUGUAGCAUGGAUACAAUGAAAUGAGAUCAGUUAAAUUUAUUUGCCGAAAUUCUAAAAAACACAUACACUCAAAUAAGAUCUAAAUCUAAGACCAAGCAAAACUCAAACUUUCUCAAUCUAAUGCAAUGAAUCAAAACUAAAAUUAAAUAGAAAUCAAACCAUUUUUUUUUUAUCUAAUAUAAUAAAUCAAAGCUAAAACUAAACAAAAUCGAAUUUUCUUAAUUUAAUAUGAUGAGUCAAAGCUAAAAUUGAACAAAGUUCAAACCUUUAUAUAAUGGAUCAAAGUUAAAUCUAAAUGAAAUCCAUACUUCCACAAUUUGAUAUAACAAAUCAAAAAUAAAACUAGAUAAAAAAAAAGUCAAAGCCUUUCAACUUGACAUAGUGAAUCCAAACUGAAACGAAACAAAAUUUUAACUUUUCCAAUGAAACCCAAUAUAGAAAAAAUUAGCUUACCUUCUUUAGAAUAUAUGUAUGGGCCAUAAAGAAGUCACCUUGGUGCAUGUGUUCCUCACUUUGACGCCAAUGGACGACUUUCUAUGGUAGCAAAUGGAGAUCCUUUUUGGUGGUAACUUGCGUGUGGAAACCUAUGGUACAACCAAUGUCAUCUUUUAUUGUGCGUGUGGACCAAUUUCUUCUCGAGAACUCAUGUGUGUUGUGCUCAAAAUAUGUUGCCUGUGAGAAUCUAUUGGUAUACCCCACAUAUGGUUUCCUUGAGAGAAUCUGUGGUUGUGUGUGGGCGUUUUCUUCAUGACAGCAUGUGGAUGUUCCCAUCUAUGGUAGAUUGGUUGUGAUGCUUUAGUGCAUGGUCUCCAUAGGAAUAGUGUGUUAUGGAAAUUUGGUUUUUUUAUUGGUGCAUGUUGUCUAGACUUUCCCAUAUGCGUGGACUGUGUGUUCAUGCUUUUCUUUUCGGAUGGUCGCCUGUGUUAAUGUGUGGCGGUGUCUACAAUGAAAGAUACAACCCUUUCUCUCCUUCUGCGUGAUAGAAAAGUCAAUCCCCCAUGGUGCGACUAUGUUCCCUCGUCCUUUUUGAAAAAUUUUGGUGUUUUCCCCCCAAAAAAUCCCCUCCAAAAAUCUAAUUAUAAAUGUCUGCUUUGGCCUAAUGUGUGUGCUACUUUUUUUUUCCUUCUUUUUAUGGUUGUGCGUGCUUUUCUUGAUACGUGGCUUAUUUCUUAAGGAUAUGAUUCGCUCCCAAUUGGUGUCUCAGCUGAUUCAUGUCCUUUCAAUGGUCCCUGACAGUGGUGCCAUUUGAUUCGUGUCCAGCUGGUGUCCCUUGAUUGUGGUCCUCAGAAGGGAGUAAUCAAUAAAAUUUAUAACCUAUUACACCAUGUAUUAGGAUAGCCUUAGCUAGCAUAGCAUAGUGGCUCUAGGGUCGUUUAUUGGGAUGAGUUUUCACUUCACAAUUGAUAUUAAUUCAAGAGCUGAAUUGGUGCCUUUUCAUUUCAAGGUUAGCUUUAAAAGAAAACAUAAUCUUUGGUGGAAAAAGGUUUGGUUUUAAACUAACCAAAAAUAGUAACUGAUUUUACUUACAAAGAAAAGUGUUCUUUGGAGUUUAGAUCACUAGGCUCAGGUUCCUCAUACAAAAAGGAGAGUUCCGAUCAUUUGUUUCUUUUCCUCGCAUUAGAGAAUUAACAUAUAGUUAAUUCUCUAACCGGUGCGGUACAUAUGCUUCCCAUUAAUGGGUUCAAACACUAAAUACCUCUCACUGAUGCACCUUGCAAUGGCUCGUGCCUCUCACCUAGCAUUUAUCAUUCAAGGUGAUCUUUAACCUUGGAUUACCCAUCAAAAGCUCGCAAGAGAUAACUAAAGGAUGUCUCCUUAGAGUCCAAAAGCUUACCAAGUGUUGGUUAUUCUAGAAAAUCCUACCUUCAAACCACCUCCCAAAGGCUCGCAAGAGAUAAACAAGUGCAUCUCAAUGGAUGAAGAUCACUUGCCUUACCAAGUUUUGGCCCAGAUGAUUUAAUGACAUUUUAAGUUAACUAAAAAGAUAAAAACCAUUAACGGGUCACACUUUCUCUUCAUUAAAAACUAAAACAACAAAACUUCCAAUUUAUGCAUGAGGAAACUUACCUGGCUUUCUUCACUUCAAGAGAUGAAGAGCCUAGCCACUCAUCAUUUGAGGAAAAAUCCUCAGAGUUUGAUUUGCUAGAAAUAAAAAUAAUGAGAAAACAAAAAUAUAUAUAUGAAAAACAGAGCAAGUUCUCUGUAAUAUAUUUUUCUUCCUUAUACAAAAGGUUGUCUCUAAGAACAAGUUCCCGAGAUCUAUCUGAUUGUAAAUAAAAUUACAACUAUAUAUAAGAGGUUAUUCACCCCUUUGUUCUUUCUUAAAGACUAAGGAAUCCUAUGAUAGGUGGGUUACAAGGAGAGUUUGGGGAUUUAGACAUCAAAUAUCUAAAGCAAAAUAUCUCAAGAUGUUAGUCGGAAAUAUCAGGAAGCUUCAGGAGAACACCGCGACACUGUAUACUGAGAGAAAAACUCUCCGGGUAAGCUCUAUCAAAGGAUCCAGACAUGUCUGACUGGGAAAGUUGAAACGUCCUUCUCUCCCAUCCGGAUGUGAGAUAUCCGGAGAAAGUGAAAUGUCGGUCGGACAGAAUUCUUUCCCCGGGUGGAAUGAGUUGUGUUGCGCGUCGCAAGGGGGACCGUCUGCGUGUACAAGUUGUAGGGACCCCUCUCCCGGAUGACACCGAGCGCGUAAGGCUAUCCGGAUCAACUCCAUUCGGAUUCCCCAAGAGGACAUGUGGCGUGCUCCCCUAUCAGGACUCCCUUAGGGAGAAGCACACGACACUCGUGAACAUCAUACCCGGACGAUAGCAUGUCCUAUCCGGAUGUGUUGUCCGGAUCAUUGACUAAAGUGAGCAAGCCUUGCUACGUCAUUCGGACAGCUUGCCACAUACCAUGUUCCGUCGCCAUCUGAUGGUGUGUCCGAACGCCUUGUCCGGACAUCUUUUGCUCCUUGCAUUCCGGAUUUGCUUAUGACAAAGGACUUCAAAGCUUCGGUUCUUCAUGUUUCUGAGCUUUCCAUUGCUUUGCCAUGGAUUCCAAAGAACUCUCCUUAAUCACGGAUUGCUUUGGUGAUCAAAAAGUUAUCAAAACACAAAAACUUAACAUAGUUUGAUUAGAAUUGAUUGCAAGGGUUCUUAAUAUGUUAAUUGGGUUAAAAGGUGAUAACUACUACUCAAAAGUGUUUAUAAGAAUUAAUUACAAGCUAUGAAAUAACACUUUUUGAGUAGUAAUCAGGAUACAUCCUAGUUUUUCAUGGAAUUGAUAGUGGGUUGUUGUGCAUGAAUGCCACCAUUUCAACUAUGCUGUUGUUAUUUUUAAAAAAAAUAUGGAUUAUGCGCGAGUGGCAAUUCUCCACUAUGGAAAGUGGAUUGCUCCUUCAACCCAUGCAUGGCUACGUAUUCCUAUGUCUUUCUACUUGUGUUUGAUCCUCCAAAAAAAAUUUCGGUUUAGUGCUAGUAGAUUUUAAGUGGUGGAUCCCCAUUUUUUGAAAAUGAAGUGGCAGCCUCCCAUUUCAAGACAAAAUGGUAGCCUGCCUUUAAUCUUUGGAGAAAAAUCUGUGCAUGACCUUUUUUUUUCCCAAAAAAUCCGUGCAUGGUGUCCUUUAAUAUUUGGAGAAAAAUCUAUGUUGGAUCUUUUCUUUUCUAGAAACAUUUGUGUGGUCUUUUUUGUUAGCCCAAGGGUUCUUCUAAUCAAGUUUUGAUGAUAACAAACCAUGGUUAAGUGACUAAUUGGUUUAAUGAUUAAGAAUCUCAAACAUAAAAUCGAAAAUUCAUCAAAGGACCAAAUGGAUACAAGAUCGAGACGCUUGGAAGACUUGUAAUCAUAGGAAACUAAUGUAAGAUGAAUGCAUGAGUGCACUUAGGAUUUUCACACGUUUCAUGCAACUUAGAAAACCCAGUUUAUUCUUUAAAACUUCAUCCCAGUUUAUUCUUUUUAUGGUUGUGUGUGCUUUCCUUGAUACGUGGCUUAUUUAUUAAGGAUACAUCCCAGUUUUUCAUGGAAUUGACAGUGGGUUGUUGUGUGUGAAUGCCACCAUUUCAACUGUGCUGUUGUUAUUUAAAAAAAAAAAAAAUGGAUUGUGCGCGAGUGGCAAUUCUCCACUAUGGAAAGUGGAUUGCUCCUUCAACCCAUGCAUGGCUACGUAUUCCUAUGUCUUUCUGCUUGUGUGUGAUCCUCCAAAAAAAAUUUUGGUUUAGUGCUAGUAGAUUUUAAGUGGUGGAUCCCCUUUUUUUGAAAACUAAGUGGCAGCCUCCCAUUUCAAAACGAAGUGGUAGCCUGCCUUUAGUCUUUGGAGAAAAAUCUGUGCAUGACUUUUUUUUUCCCAAAAAAUCCAUGCAUGGUGUCCUUUAAUAUUUGGAGAAAAAUCUAUGUGGGAUCUUUUAUUUUCUAGAAAAAUUUGUGUGGUCUUUUUUGUUAGCCCAAGGGUUCUCCUAAUCAGGUUUUGAUGAUAACAAAUCAUGGUUAAGUGACUAAUUGGUUUAAUGAUUAAGAAUCUCAAACAUAAACUCGAAAAUUCAUCAAAUGACCAAAUGGAUACAAGAUCGAGACGCUUGGAAGACUUGUGAUCAUAGGAAACUAAUGUAAGAUGAAUGCAUGAGUGCACUUAGGAUUUUCACACGUUUCAUGCAAUUUAGAAAACCCAGUUUAUUCUUUAAAACUUCAAUUUCAUUAAAACCCGAGUUUUUAACUAAUGUACCUUAGGCAAAAUGUUUUAUAAUUGGCUUAAUAAUUCACCUAAAUACAUUUUCUAAGUGUUAGAAAAGAAAGGAAUUAAAAAAAGGUUUUCGGGGCAAAAAAGGCUCAACCGGUCGAGGCUAUGGUCAACCGGCUCAACCGGUUGAGGAACCAAUCGAUCGGUUGUGCUUGUCCGAUCGAAGACCAAUCGAGGGAUGCCAAAAAAUUUCUCUCUCUCCUAGUGGCCUUCUCUUCCCGGUCGAGGUUCGGUCUAGGCAACGGUAACAUGUCAAGCAUUAAAUGCUCCGACGACUAGUGAAUCGGUCGACCCCUAGCCCGAUCGGACGAGGUUGCCUUUUGCUGUUUUUGACUCCCGAGCUUAGAAACCUAUAAAUUGAGAGCUCCACUUCAUUUAUUGAUAAAAGAGAACACUUGCAUUCAAUAGUCUACCUACCUUUUCUUGAUCAAAAAGCUCUCAUUUCCUUCAUAGUGCAUUAAAUCAUCACUUGCAUAUCCUUUAGUGCACUAUUGUGUGUCAUCCUAGCUUUGUUUUGUAUUUGAGCUAUCCUUAAGCUAGGUUGAGGGAUUAUUUCUUAUAAAAAUCUGAGUGUUAAAGCCUUCAAGAGAUUUGAAUCUUGAAGAGAUUGUGUAAGAGCCCAUUGGAGCCGGAGUCCAAGUGUAAGAAGAUUGGAAGCUUGGUUGAAGCUUCAAGUUAGUGGAACCCUCACUCGGUUAGGAGGUUGAGGAGAGUGGACGUAGGUAAGGAAGUGUCGAACCAUUAUAAACCCGAGUUUGAAUUCUCUAACUCUAUCUCUUUAUUUUGCUUAUAUUGUGUUUGAAUUUGUUGUGAUUGAAAAGAUUUUAAAAACCUAAUUCACCCUCCCCCCUUUUGGGUUUUUUUUUCUUAAUUAAGCAUAACCUUUGUUUUCUAAUUUUCUUUUUAGGAAAAUCCAUGCGUGGUAUGUCCAAACUCUCCAAGUGGCAGUCUGCCUUCUUCUAAAAAAUUUGUUUCUAUUUCUUUAUUCGACUACCUUCCAUGUCUUCCUAAUGAGUGCUUGUGCUCAAUGGUCAAUCCCUGGUGGUUGCCUCCUUUUCCCAUAUAUACGUGUUGCAAAAUCAACAUCCCACUAUAUGUGGGUUGCCUCUAUGGCAAGUUCACAUUUCCCACAUGAAACCUAUGAGUUUCCACCAAAAAUUGCCAUGAAAAAGUCUUUAUAUGCAUCUCAUGCAAUAAAAAGUCAAGCCAAUACUCAUCUUAUCUCGAAAAAUAAGUAACCAAAAUCAAGAUCAUGCCUAAGUGAACUAUGCCAAAAGAAGUGUCCAAGUGACCUAUUAUGAAAAAAGUGCCUAAGUGACCUAAGGUGAAUGUGUGUAAGCUGGAAGGUGUCUAGGAUGUUUAGGACAAUGCCUAAGCCUAAAAUAGGGUUGCCAAGGGUCACAAUGGGGUUAGAUAAAUCUCUCAAUCAGAGUCUCCAAGGUGGCUCAUAAAAGAUAAGCUACACGAGUAAUGAUGGGCCACCAGGGAAUUAUUGUAAAGCACCAAACGAACACAUAAUAGGACAUGUGUUAGAAUGAAAAAAUGGAGGGUUUACAAGUGGUCUCAUGGAUGAGCUUGAUAAUUUAAAUGACUCACAUAAUGAACGUAUGUGAUGUUUCUCUCCAAUAACAAGCAAAACAUCACUAGCAAUAUGAUGAAUGUCUCCUAAAUCACUUGAAGUAGUCCUAGCAAAUCAAUUAGAAAAAUCACACAUAUUGCUCUAAUGUAAUAUUAUAUACAUCUGUCAAUGAAUGGGAGAACUAAUGACACAACCAUCAUGUUGAUAUCUCGAACCCUCUAAUCUCAUAUGUAGGUGGGAUCACACUUAGAAACUCAUAACACAGUAAUGACCAAUCUAAGUCAAAAUGUGUUGGUGAUCGGAGGCCCAUGAAUAUGAAGUUCUAGGAUGAUAAUGACAUCUUAUAAAGUAAUGAUCAUCUCCUUAAUAGAUAGGUGAAAUGUGUGUGUCUUAGGACACCAUCUCUCAACAAGACUUGUGAUCAAUCCCCAGUCUAGUGUAACAUGCCUAUUAUGACAUCCAUCGUAAAAUCUAGACUAGAUAAUAUAAGGACAAAUGUGAGGGUUCAUCUCCCUUUCCCACAUAAAUUUAAAAAAUUAUUAUUGACAAGUUAAGACCAAACUAAGUUGCAAAAUAUAAAUAAGUCCAUUAGAUAACAAAUUUAUGUUUUCUCAUUUUCUCAUUUUUAAAGAGAUAUUAUGUGCUUCCAUGUACAUACAUGCUAAAGUCAAUUAUACGAGACUUAUAUCCAUCUUGUAGAACCAAAUCGAACCUAUCUAAUAGAUCCAGAUUAGAAGUAUGUCCUCUAUACUCCAUAUUUAUAACACAUUUAUAAAGAUAAAUGCUAAAAAAAUGUUAAAGAUAUAAAUUUAAUGAACCAUACUUUAUGAUUUUAAUUCUCAAUUAUUGUUCAUAUUUAUAAGAGAAAAGUUAAAAAAAUUGAUAGAGUUUUCCCUCUAUCAUGGACAUUAUCCCAAAUAAAAAUAAAUUGAUUAUGCAAAUUACAUUAAUAUUUGUAACCAAAUGAUCAAUAACUAUCUUGUAUCAAUUUAGUAAAUAAAUUUAAGUAUAUCUUUUCAUUUAUGACUAACAAAUAACUCAUACUUGUCCAAUAAAAGCCACACCUAAUUUCUAAAAUUUUGUCUUCACCUCAAGUGAGUGUUACAUUGAGAAAGAAAAAAUAUGAAAGAAAAAAUGAACACCUUUUUCUUUUAAUAAAAAAAGGCCAUAACGAAACAUUAAAUCUCACUGUUACACCUAUCUUCAAUGGAAACAUGAGGAUGUGAAUGGUGGCGGUGAUAUUCUUUGCUUGAAGCUCAUAAACAAAUAUUCCUUACUAAGCCUAUGCCAUUUAGUAUUUCAAUAGUGGACCCCCCCCCCCCCCCCCCCCCCCUCCUUGCAUUUCAGAUUUAGCAAACUUAGAACCAAAUAACAAAGUGCAUUUGAACCCAUAAAGAAGUAAUGAGACUCUCCUAUAUUGGCAAUAGAAGAAAUUUUUGGAGGUAUAGGAGAUUCACGGAUGAAGAAGUUGGGCCCCAAUUGAGAUAAGACCCAAGAAAAGAUGGGGUAGAGAGGGAUGGUUGGAAAUUGUAAAGUAAGAUUUUCAAAAUGUAGUUGAUGACUAAGAUUUUGACAAUUUAAAAAAGGUUUAAAAAUGUAGUUAGCAAUCGGGGUUUUGUAACAUUUAAAAAAUAAAAUAAAAUCUCAGGCCACAUGGUAGCCCAUGUGAUUCAGAAGCUUGAGAAUUAUUUUAUAAGAAGACUUAAUUUGUGAUUUUUUUAUAACUAUAUUAUUUUUUUUCUUAACACACGAAAAAAAUUAUGAAAUAAGACAAUUUUCCUAAGAAAGCAUGUAAGUGACUCUUGGUUAUUUUAUUUAACUUCUUCUAGUUUGGAGAGGAUUAAUACCUUUGCUUUUACUCACUUGCUUGGAUAUGUACACGUUGUUCAUGUCACUUUUCAUUUAAUUUUCUGAUUAAGGGAAUUGGAACCGUACGUAACUGUCUUUAUUCCCUCUGAAACUUGGACUUGGAGUUGGACUUUCAAUCUCAUCAGUCGUGUUUCCAUAAAAAAGAAGAUGGAUUAACCAAUUUUCCUAUGCCUACUAAUCAUACACAAAACUCCACUUCCAAAUAAAAAGGAAUGGGAUAUCACUUGUUAAUAGUGGCUAAAGACUAUUAAUAACCAUGCAAAGAAAUGUCACAUUUUUUGUUCUACGCAAAUUUUAUUCAUCAACUACUAGAACCAUUUCAUACAAUAGUAGCUUUUCGAUCCUUUGAUAAAUGGACACUUGAUGUGAUAACACCAACUACACCUAUAUAUUCAAGCAAUCAUGCGUAUAUAAUAGUGGAUAUGGAUUACUUCUCUAAAUGGGCAAAAGUUUUGUCAUUCAAGGAAAGUGAACGAGGAAACACAAGUUUACUUUCAUCGGAACUAAUAUUAUAUAUUGAUAUGACUUCCCAUUAUUACUUACGAUGGAAUAUGCUUCCAUAAAAUGGCCUAGAUGAACAAACUAUCCAAGAAGUUUGGGAUCAAAUAAUAUAUAUAUAGUUCAUGUGUGAUUCUUUGGUUGACAACCUUGUUAAGGGGUGAGUGAAGCACUUUGGGCAUACCACAUACUACAUGCUAGACUUCCACCCAAGCUACCCUAUAUUCCUUAUGAACAAAGUAGAAGUUGUCAUCUCUCUUGAAUACCAAAUCCUUUCACCUAAUAAUGCUAUCUAAAAAGGUCUUAAAAAGGAUAAAAAUGCGCAUAUUUGAAUUUUUGAAUUAGGAGUGCUACUUAAAAAGAAGCUAGAUAUACAAUAAUAGAAUGUUAUCAAGCAUAUCUCUUCAAAGUUUUUGACCAAAAAAUAUAUGAUUUCUCAUUUUAGGUAGGAGACUUAGUACUCACUAUUCAAAAACCAAUUAUCAUUACUCAUAAAAACUAAUAGAAAGUUUGGGCCAAAGUAGGAUGGACCUUAUAUUAUGCAACAAUUAUGCCUAUAAAAUUGUUGCAAAAGAGGUUUUAGAAUCAAAUCAAUGAAUGAAAAAUUAUUAAAGCAUUACUAUGCUUGAAGGCUAGUCAUUUUCCCUUAAAGUGCAAUAUUAAGUUGCAUAGUACUAUGUGGAUCCGCAUUUUUCACAUGCGUUCCCACUCAUUGUCGAGACUCACUUUUUAGAAGUGAAAAAUUAGUUUUAUUAAAGUCGAAGUUGCCACUGGGGAUUUGAACCCUAACAAAAGGUUCAAUUUAAGGAUAAAAAUAUCGAUAAUCACAUAUAUAUAUAUUGGUACUUUGAUUUUAUGAAUAUAUUGAAGAAAUAUGGACAAAUAUUUUGACACAAAAUAUGUACAAAAUAAAAAUUAUAUAAAAAGUAAAAAUAAAUAUUUUAAAAUUAUUUUUUUAAAUAUAUAUAUAUAUAAUUUGACAUAUUUGAUAAUAAUAUAUAAGGGUCUCCAAAAAGCCCGUGGCCCGCUUUAGGCCCGGUCCGACCCGACAGGCUAAAGCCCGGCCCAAGCCCGCCGGGCCCAAGCUCGGCCCGAGCCCGUUUAUGGGUGGGCCGGGCCGCGAGCCCGUAGGCCUGCUCCUUUAAAAAAAAACUACAAAAAUAAAAAGUAUUAAAAAAAAUAUUCAUUUCAAAAUUUUAUUCAUUGAAUGUAUAAUUACAUUUGAAAAUGUGGGAAAAGUUUACAUCACUACAAAAUAAAUACAUCCCAACUAGGUUGGCACCUAUUUAUUUGUCAAUCAUCUGUAUUUUUCAACCACAAAAAAUAAAAAUAAAAAUAUAAUAUACAUUUAGUCAUUAUUUUCUGGCGGUGAUGGCGAACUAUCAUGCAUCCAUGAAGAUCUUGAUAAUUUUAAAGAUUCCAUAUCGGUAAGCAUCUUUGUUUCUCGAAUGGAAUCAUACAUCCUUUUAUCUGCUAUUUCCCAAUCUUUCACACAUAUCCCUGCUUUAAUAACAUCUGACGCUAAGUUGCAUCGUUUUUUACUAACUACUCUUCCACCUGCACUAAAAGCAGCUUCUGAUGCAACUGUACUCACAGGAACUGUUAGUACAUCACGAGCAAUUAUAGAAAGCACAGGAUAUUUGUGUUGAUGUGAUUUCCACCAUAUUAAAAUAUUAAAAUCUUCUUGAUCUUCAAAUGAAAUUAUAUCAGUAUUAAGAUAUUUAUCUAAAUCAGAUGUAUUAUUUGGAGAAUUAUUUGUUGUCUUUUUUCGACUUUUCAACAUUUCUAGAGCUCCUUUAUAAAAAGAUGAGGAGUUUGUAGAUGUAGGUGGUAAUUUAAUAGUAUUAAUAUCAUUACCAUAUUUUUCUUUAUAAUAGUUAUAUAAAUUAUAUAAUAAUGAAUUUAUUUCAUUUUUAAUUUCUUCAAUUUUUAUUUGGUCAUUAAAAUAAAUAAUUGUUAACCAUUCAUCCAAAGCUUCAAAUUUCAAUCUAGGGUCCACAAUUAAAGCAAUAUAAAAAAUUAAAGGUAUUUCUCCCCAAUAUUUUCUAAAUUUUUAUAUCAUUACAAAUAUUGUAUCAUUAAAUAUUUCAAAACUUAAAUAUUUUUGAAGUACAAUAAAAAUAUUAGUUAUUUGCGUAAUAACUCGAUUUGAAGUUGGAUAAUAUACACCACAAAAAAUGUUUGUUGAAGUAUCAAAAAUUUCAAAAAGAUCUCUUAAAACAUCCGCAAUAUGCCAAUCAUAAUCAUUUAAUGCAUAAAUAUCUGCUUCAUAAUCAUUGUUAAUUAAUUGUAUUUCAUAUAAUUCGACUACUUUUCUAUAUUUUGUAAUAUUUUCUAAAAGUUUAUAUGUGGAAUUCCAUCUAAUAGCCAUAUCCAAAUUUAUAUUUUUUCUUUUCAUAUUUAACAUUUUGCAACAAUCAAAAAAUAAUUCAUGUUUUGCUUGAAAACUAUUAAUACUAUAUGCAAUGCCUCUAAUUUUUUUCCAAUGUACUAUCAACAUUUUUUAAUCCAUCCUUUACAAUUAAAUUUAAAAUAUGUGCACAACAACGCACAUGAAAUAUUUUAGCAUGAUCUUCUUUUACUUGCCAAUAUCGUUUUAGUCUAUGUAUUGCUGCAUCAUUAUUAGCAGCAUUAUCUAAUGUUAUUGUCAAUAUUUUAUCACGAAUGCCUAAAUCUAUAAUUUCAUCAUUUAUUAAAGAUGCUAUAUUUUUACCACUAUGUGGAGUAUUUAUUAAUUUAAAUAAAAUUAUUCUUUUAUUUAAUUUCCAUUCAUUAUCAAUGUAGUGAACAAUUAUAUAUAAAAAACCAGUAUGAGUUAAAGAUGUCCAAAUGUCAGAUGUUAAACGAAUAUUUCCUUCAAAAUUUGCAAAAUUUUUUUUUAAAAUUUCUUUUUGUGUAUAAAUUUUUUUCAUAAUAUCUCUUUUAACUGUAUUUCCAGAUCAACCUUUAAAUUGAGGAUUAAUACCUCGUUGAAUUGUUCUUGCAAAAUCAUGAGUUUCCAUCAUGUUGAAAGGUUGUUCUGCUCUUAUUAUAUAAUCAAUCAUUUCUUCACAACAGUUAGAUUCAUCAUAAGAAAAUGUUUUUAAAUUUCCACUUUCAUUUUUACUUAAUUGCAUAUAAUUUCUAAUAUCUACAUUAUUUUUAGUUUUACAAUUUUCAUGAUGUCUUUUUAAAUGACUUGUAUCUGCAUUUGAGCCACCAGUAAGAAAUUUAUUACAAAUUUUACAUUUUGCUUUUAUUUUUUUUUUAUUAUUUUCUAAAAUUAUUUCUAUUCUAUCAAAAAAAUUCCAUAUAUUUAAAGUAAAUUUUUUGUUUGAUGAUAUUUCAUCACAUGGACUAGACGAAGAAGCACUUGUCAUAUUAUAAUUAUUGAUAAAAUAUUAUGCCAAAAAUAAUAAAGUAAUAAAUAUAAAAAAAAAUGUAACAAAAAAAAUAAAGUAGUAGGGGUGAAGUAUGUUACUCAAUUAGAGAACCUAUGCAGAAAUUCCUAGCAAAUUUGAACUCUUGGAGCCACCAAUGCUUGUUUUGCACCAUCAACAAUAUUGUAUAAUUUGAGGGAAAAAUAAAAGAAUUUAAAAUAUUGUAGAAUGUGAGAGAAAUAGAGAGAAUUUGAUGAAAAAAUGAAAAGGAAGAAAAUGUAUUUAUAGGAAGGUUAAAAAUAAUAAUAAUAAUAAUAAUAAUAAUAAUAAUAAUAAUAAUAAUAAUAAUAAUAAUAAUAAUUGGCCAUGUGACCGUUGGAGGCUUAGCUCCAACGGUCACAUGGGCUGGAGCUAGGCUCCAACAGUCACAUGACCGUUGGAGCCUUUAAUUUUUUUUUUUAAAAUAAUAUACUUUAUUUUUAUAUAUAUAUAACUAACUCAAUUAAUAAACAUAAAAAGAAUAUAGUUCAGUUGGUUAGAACCUUGAAGUUUAAACAUGAGGGGAGGGGUUUGAAUCCCUCCCUCUCCCUUAGGGGCUUUUUUAAAAGCCAUUUUGGCUUAUUUCAAAAAGCCUGUCGGCCCGACCCGCCCUGCAGCCCGCGGGCCUAGCAUUUUAGCAUGGCCUGGUCUGUUGACUAGUCAAAUGGCUCAUAGGCUCGGCCCGAACUGGGCCGCGGGCCUCUUAUUUACGGACCGGCCCGACCCGGCCCGCCCGUUGGAGACCCUUGAUAAUAUCUUCUAUAUUAAGUUACAUUAUAGUUUAUUUUACAAUAUUAUUAUGAUAAUAUGUCUAAUUUUAAAAUAUAUUUAAUAUUAAAAUUAUGAUCUAUUUUAAUUUAAAUGUAUUCAAUGAUAUCAAAUAAAUAAUAAUAUAUGUAUAAUUCUUUUAUUAUUUAUAUUUAUUAUUUUUAAUAAAUAUAUAGAUUAUAUAAAAAAGACCGGAUAUAUCUUUUCAAAUUUUGUAUCGCUCUCCAAGGAUAUUAGAUGUAUGGGAAUUUGUAUUGCUAUCUACGGAUACGUUGAUAUAUGGGUGAUUUAUCAGGAUAAUUAGAAAUUCUAAUUAUGUAAGCAGGUACGGAGUUCUGUGUCGGUGCGAUCUUGUCGACAACAGCUCCAAAUUGUGCAUCUUGCUCAUAGAGAGUAGCGGAAUGCACCAAUCGUAGGCUCAGAGUACCACUGAGUCGUCUGGCAGAGACCCAACUGAAGGUGCCUGUGUUGUUCCUGAUCUGAUCAGGCUUCAAACUACAAGGUGGAAUACUGGUUCCCCUAUAUCAGAAGCUGGAGAUACCCACCCCAUAUGCUCGUCUGGAUGUGCUCCUACCCUUUGAAGCCUUCUUCCGAGUCAAGUCCGAAUUGAUAAGGCUAGUGAGUUCCCAACCAACUGUACUCAGCAUGCUGCCAGGUGGAGACCCUCCAUAUUUGAUGGCUUCCUAAUAUUAAAAUGCUGACCACUGGUCUUCAUGUUCCACAGGCUUAAUUGUGUCCUUUGCUGAAAGAAUGGAUAGUGAUCCAUUUUAACACAUGAUUCACGCCGUCUUUGCCAUUCUUCAUGGUCUAGCCCUUUUAUAUAUAUGCUUCCUGAACUGUUGCUAUUAAUAAAAUGUGGUAUCUAUCCCGUACACCUUCCUGAUGGCCAGCGAAUGCAGAAGCUACAGAAACGGUUCCAUCUUUUGCUUCCGCCACUUUGGCAUCCUCCAUGAUGAGAUCGAAGGUGAAUAAUCAUAUUCUGGGGAUUUAUGUCCUGGAUAUUCUCAGUAAUGCCCAAUUUCCUGGUGCCGGCCUCAUUUCCAUGGGAACUGAUGGAUAACUUAAGGCUUCUACCAUCUGCGUGGUUCGCUUCUAACACAGGAAACUUCACGGCUAAAAGCAAGAUACCAAGAACAUCAAGGCUGUGACAAAAAUUAGUAUUUUUAACUUGUAGGAAUUUGAAAGGCAACCAACCAUCUAGCUCUGUUCUUAAAGCUCCCAUAGGAGGAUCAGAGGCUGGAUUGCUCAAGAUGAACUCAUCCAUUGUUGCACUUAAAAAGAAUUGGCAUGAAUUGUGGCCGCUCUAAUAGGUUCCCUAAACCAUCAUCCAAGUGGGCUUGCGGAAGGUAGCGAGUUUAAAACACCUAGGGCGAUGAACAGUGGACUGUGAUGCUCACAAAAGAGAAAAGGAAGAAUUCAAUAAUUCCUAAGAAUCCAUUUGCCUGUCAUCCAAAUUUUUAUAUUCUCUUCAGUCUGACGCGUUAUGCCAUAUAUUAAAAAUAGCGGCUUCUUCCAAGCCGAGACAGACUGUGCAAAGUUCGCAAGGCCAAUCAUCACCAUAAUCUGAAGUUGGCCUCCUCAAUCGCAGCUUGUAUCCGAAUGCUCACUUCACGGGAUGGAUUGUAAUGAAAACUAAUCUCAGUCCCAGCUAUGGCAGCAUCCUCACUUGACAGCAUUUUCUGCAUAUUCUAGAACAAAGCAAUAAACCCUCAAAGGCUCCUUCGGAUCAGAGUUAGAAGACUGUCCCUCAGGAACGUGAACACUAUGGUGGUUCUGAUAAGCAGUGAUAUUGCAUUAGAGCCUUUUGGAACAAGAGGAUCUUUUCAGGUGGAAACUGUAAACUGCUUCAUGUUGGGCUGCAACCUUUUCUUCAAGCAAUACUUUCUUUCUGUAUCACGACUUAUGUUGCUUCCGGAGCCAUCCCGUGUGGACUGCCCUUCAGUGAAAGAAUAUGUGUGUUGACAUGUUGGAUUGUAAUCUUUGUUCCACUCUAAUGGCUUUUGGUCCUCCUCUUUCUCUUUAUGACAGAGAACCAUUUAGUGAUCCAUCUCUAUAUUGUAGCAUUGCUGGUGCUUUGCAAUACUACACUCUCACCAAGCAUAACAUCUAUUUUUCCGUGACCAAAGUAUGUCGGUUUAUGCAUGCGCAAACUCUUAUUCAUUGGCAAGUUGUCAAGCGUAUCUCAUGAUUUCCCAAAGCCACAAGUUCUUAUGGUCUUUCUGUUCAAGCUUACAAUGAUCUAUCUUUUCUUGGUUAUACUGAUGUCGAUUGGGCUAGUUGCCCUGAUAACAAGCACAAUACUAGUGGGUACAACACUUUUCCUGGUCCUAAUCUCAUUUCAUGGGCAUUUUCAAAGCAGAAGGUUGUGUCUCACUCCAAUAACGAAUCUGAAUAUAGGGGACUCACUAAUUAAUGUUGUUGCCAAGGUCACUUGGAUUGAAUCUGUCUUACGUGAGUUGCGUGUUUCUCUACCCCAACCACCAAUUUUGUUGUGUGACAACAUUAGUGCUACACACUUGGACAAACCAUGUUGAAAUACACUAUCAUUUUAUCCAUGAAAGGCUUAUGCAUCACACACUCAAAAUUCAAUACACCUCUUCUAUAGACCAACUAGUCAAUGCUAUGACCAAAGCUCUUCCUUCAUCUCACUUGUACAAUCUUCAGUGCAAGCUGAUUGUUCUUCCCAAACCACUCAACUUGAGGGGAGAUGUUAAGCCAAUUUAAUAAAUUGAUUUCUUUUGGUUAAUUUGUUAGAAUCAUUUUUAUUAGAGGUUUGUUUGUACAAUUACAUCCAUUUAUCAGGAGAGUACACGUGUACAACUCCUCUUUUAAUCUCACCAUUGUAUAUAUAUGAUACACGACCUUACUCAGAAUUGCAUAACAUUUCCUCUGCUCAUUCCUUUUCUUCUUUGAAUUUUCCCUUACCUCACUGAUUUUGAUUUAUACCUGGUGUUUUCACCUUUGGUCUCUACCUUUCUAGCCAGUUUUCUAAUUAAUCCGUAUAUGGUAUACCUGUCAACUAAUGAGGAGAAAGAGAAAAGGGGAUUGCUGUUCCACCAGCUACAUAUAAUAAUUAAUUACAAUCAUGGUAAUGGAUCCUGAAAUCCAUCCUUUGUGGAUUUUGUACGGAAUAUUGUUGUUAUGUAUGUGGGCUCACUUAGAUGUAUAUUGCUAGCCUGUCUGGGAAAUGUGAUUGCAGGUCCAGAUUAUGAUGUUGAUAUUAGUGGGAUAAGCAAGAGAUGCAGUUAACACGUAUGUGAUGGACUUGAGUAACUUUUCCAUUUCAGUCCAUUUUUUAAGAUUAUGCUUAGUCUUAUUACAAGGAAAGACCAUAAGAAUCAUGAGUCAUUGGCAAGGUAAUAUCAUUCCCUCUUUACAGGCUUCUUCACCUUUUGGUUUUUUUAAUAUCCAUCAAGAUCUUUUAAUUGGAGGACAAUUACAAGUAUAUAUAUAUGUAUUAAAAGGGGAAAAUAUUAAAACAGGAAAUUUUAGGGAAAAUAUAAUAAUUAUUUCUUCCUUCUUUCCCAUAUAGAACUACACAAAAUAAAACUUUAAUAAUUUUUUCUUAUCUUUUUUAUUAUUAUUUUUUCUUAGAAACAUCCGUGGUCUCACAAGCUUGUAAUCCUAGAUUGUUAGGCUCCUUUAACAGUGCCCCAACAUCGUGGUCCAAUGACAAGCUUCCACGCCUUAAAAUCAGAAAAUGCCAUUAAACUUUAUCAGACAUUACAGUUCAAGACAAAGCUUUCAUUUGCUUAAUGUGAUAAUGAAAUUGUUAAUUUCAUUUCGUGGGCAUCUAAAUUUGGACGAGCAAGACCUCUGAAUUCCCUGUUUUUAUCACCAGCAGAGGAGAUAAAAUCUUAAUGGUGAGAAUCUCCACGUGAAAUUUAUGUGUACUGUCAACAUAUUUUUGUUUAUAUAGUCCAGUAGCUGCAGGAAGUCUAGAUUAUAUAGGUAGCAGUAGCACUAUUUAUAGCACUCGAUAUUCGCUGUAUGAAUACAUUAAACCUUGUUUUCAAUACGCAUCACAAGCAAGUACUAGAUACUACAAGGAGUGACAGUCGCAUCAACAUUUCUUGAUAAUAGCAGUGACUGAUUUAUACACAGAACAGUACUGUACACGUACCAGUCACCAGAGAUAGGAUCUUAUUCCUACAUACGACUCUUAUUGAUCGAAGUCACUCAGUUGGGGUAGCCUGGAGUUGGAGGUUUGUGUGGUGGCUUCUUCUUUGGAGGAGGCUUUAUCUUUGGAGGCAUCAUCUUUGGAGGCAUCUUGUGUGAGUCUUCUUCAGCAUUCUCUACAGGAGGAUGGCCAGGCUUAUGACCCUUAGGUGGUUUGCCAACUGGGAUUGGUGGCUUGUGUCCUGAGAGUGGCUCCUCUUCUUCGGGAGGUUUGCCAACUGACGUUGGUGGCCCGUGUCCUGGGGGUGGCUUGUGUUUUGGGGGUGGUUUCACUCCACCGGGAGGUUUACCAAUUGGUGUUGGUGGUUUGUGCUCAAUCGGUGGCCUCUCAACUGGGGGGCGCUUGGGGUAAUCAGCGAGUGAAGAAGUGGUGAGAACCACCACUCCAAGCAACAACACUAGCAAGUAUGUGGAAGACAUCUUUGAGUUUGGCUCAGAUGGUGUAGAACUAGAAUCCUGGGUGGCCUUUUAUAUUAGUUGGGCCCUAUGCCCGAACGACAAGUGUCAUGGUGACACAUAAAGUGAUGGGGUCGAUUUGGGCCUACCGGAUUUGAAAACUUGGACAAUUCGAGAAGCGUCUCCUGACUCCGGGUUGUAAAGUGAAAGAUUAGGUAUCGACCAUUGAAGUAUGAUCACAACUUUUGGCCUUUGGCUCUCUCUACUGCCGUAUAGCUUUUUUCCUUUGGAUAUUUUUCUUAGCUAGACACAAUUAUUGAGCAGUCUAAUCUCGAAAUGGGAUUAGUAUAGCUUUAAGCAAAUUUAUUAUAGUUAGUGGAGGACUUUUAAGAGUGCAGACGACAUUUAACACAUGCAUGCAGUAGUAUAGGGGACAUAACACUAUUCUUUUUCCAAAGAUUCACAUGAUUUUUAUAUUAUAGUAUUGGCACAUUGUAUGUAGCUGGUUUUGUGGUUAAAAUUCCAUAUGUAGACACUGGCGUUUCUCCAUUUCUCACAAUUGAUGUUUACCUCCACGAUUACUAGAUUAGAUAUACCAAACAAUAACACAUUGUAUAAUCUAUCCGCCCUUCAAAAUCUACUGUAUGAUGAAAUGUUUCAUGUGUGUGUGAAGUGUUAGAAAUGCACUAUAGGCAACAUCAUCUUCUUUUGUCUAGGCUUGGGCCUCAAAUUAUACUCCCAUGCCAUGAUAAAUUUUCAUGUGCAUUCUCUAAAGAAGAGUGUCUUGAAUGUGCCAAAUCAUUUUGAUUGAUUUUAUGAUGUUAAUUGCUCCGCAUAUGGAUGGGUAUGUGCUUUAUUUGCUUAUUCAAUCCACAAUUACCUUGAACUGAAGUCCUAUUGGAGCUCUAUUAUUUUAGCAACGUCCUGUCAAAUAGGCUGCUAACUUGGGGUGGUAUGGACCCAAUGAUCCAUCUUAAUCUUGGGUUGAUUUUGUCUGACUCUAUCUAUCUCAGAGAGAACCAGGAUCACCAGUGCUGGUCUGCUUAAAGAAGACUCAGUACUGGAUUAAUAUUGGUUUGGGUCAAUAGCUUAUAAUGCAUUGAAUGCAGAAUAAACAAGAUCAAUGAAACCCAAAACACACUGCCCACACAACUUCACUCUGGUGUCUGUUAUUCAUCAAUUCUAUUCCCACAUGAACUGGUUCAAGUUUAAGAAAAUGACAACGGAUCCACUGUAUUAACUUGGUUUUGCUUGGUUUUGAGCUAGUUGCCAAACCAGCCAUGAGUUUUACCUCUAAUGUCAAUGAACAAACCCCAAAUGAACAACUGCAACAGCUUAAAGAGAAGGAAUGGAGAUGAAAAUCCCUGUUUCUUCUCAUUCUGGGGACAAAUUAGAACAUAACUACAAAGGUUCUAUUAAUUGACUUACUCUACCAUGAAUUAUGGUUCUUUGGUUUUCCAAAUUUAAAUUGUACAUGAGAUUAUUUUUUUCCUUUAUAUAUAAACAUAUUAAGGUUUUCUUAUUUCGUGGGCAAAUGCGCUAAGGAUGAAAGUCAUUUCAUUUGGCUGCAACAGCAUCUUAUAAUCAACAUGCAUAAGCAGCAGUUUUAAUUGAUCGAUUGAACACCGACUCACAAGAAUAGAUAGAAUGGUACAAGACAGCUCUUAUUAAUUUAUACUCGUUACUCAUUUUAUGUAGCCCCAUUAAGAUGGCUGGCUGGACCACCGAGGUCUGGGGGUGGUGUUGCUUGUGUGAUGCAGCGGGCCGGGCAGACACUUCUCUAGUUGCUUCUAUUUGGAGUUAGAGGAUCAGUCUCUGCCAACCUUGAGGACUCUCUACCUCAGAGGGUCCAGGUGGUGGACUCUGGUGUCGGUAGCUUUGAACUCUCAGUAGACUAGUGUGUCUUAAUCAGUCACUGCCAGAGGCUGGCGUAGGCAGUGACGAUAAGGUGAGACAAAUUACCGAAUAGUCAAUAUCGACUGCACUUGACCAUUAUAGAUUUGUUCUGACAAAAGUGAGAAAAGGGAGAAAAUCGGAUGUUGACCUUUAUAGAAAAAGAUAAGAUUUACUGCAACACAGAGCACUGAUUUGUUACUUGGAAACCAAGUUAUGCUAUUAGCUAGCCUCCAUUAGCAGCAGGGUACCUUGCUGCCUGAUCCUAAUCUGAGUUCCCAAGGUUUCAAUCUUCGUUUGUUAACGCUUCAGGAUUUGGAUAUUUCAGCUUCGUUUCUCCAUUUAGCCAACGCUGCCUGGUUUGGAUUUCAAUCCUCAUCUGGAACAUUCUUUUUUCGGUCUGAUUCAGGAAGUGUUUGGUGAUAGUUGAUUAAAAUUAAACAGUACUAUCAUACAAAUAAAGCUGAUCUAAUUUUGGUGGGCAAUAUACCAACUCAUUUAUUCUUGAAAACACCAUGGGGAAUUGGAGGUCCAUCCGAAGUACUAUUUGAUGGGACUCACAAAAAGAACAGGUGCACAUUUAUGAGAUCCGUGGAAGAGAUAACUAUGACAGCUAUGCAUGUACAACAGAUUUAUGUCGAGUUCACCUCGUAGAUAUUUUGUUUUCAGUGUCGGUGGACCCCAAAAUGGAAAUCGGAAAUUAAGGUUAUAUUUAUUUUUUUAUUUAAUUUUAAAUAGAAUUUUAAUUUUUAAUAAUAUUAAGUAUUAAAUUAUUUUUUUAAGGGUAUUUUAUUUUUAUUAAGUAUUAAAAAGUAAAAAAAAUUAAUAUGUUGCUUUUUUAUUUUAAAAAAAUUAUAUAUUUUAAUUUUUUCUAUUUACUAAAAAGUUUAUAAUAAAUUAUAAAAAAAUAAAAAAAUAAAAAACUUAAAUUCUGAAAAUAAAUUAUUUUUAAUAAAAAAAUCCAAAAAAGCAAACACCACCUAAAUUUGAGAUGACUCAAAAUUUUAUAUUUUUUUUCACCUAAAUUAUAUUCAUAAAUUUAAAAUUAAAAAAUUAGGAAGUUGAAUUUUAUUUUGGAUAAUUGGAAACUACAAGAAAUCAAUAAAAAUAUUUGGAAAAAAAAGAAAAAGAAAAACUAUCUAUAUAUUCACCCCCUUCUAAGAAACAUAACUUUAGUUUUUAACUAUUUUUUAAAAUAAUUUUUGAAAAAUGUUAUAUAAUAUUUUAUAAAACAAAAAAUCUGUUUGACAAUUUGAUAUGUCUUUAACUUAUUUUUAAUAUUUAUAUAUAUAUAUUUUAAAAAUAAUUUUAUAUUUAGAACUUUAUCUUUAAUUAUUAUAUAUAUUUAUAUAAUUAUUUUUUUUAAAACAACUCUUAAAAAAUAAGUGAAAGUAAUUGAAAACAACUCAAAGAUAUUUGAUGAAAACACUCUAAUUUGUAUUUUUGAGAAUAAAAAAAUAAAUAAAUAAAUUUCUAGUUAUCAAAUGUAUUUUUUAAUUCUUUUAUUCUAAAAAAUAGAAAAUCGUUUUUGAAAAUAAUUAUUAAACAACAUUCUUAAAAAUUCACUCGUUACAAUCUAGAUUUAAUGCAAGAAUGAUUGAAGGAGUCCUCCAAUAGAACCCAAAGUUAUAAACAUGAACAAGAAGCCCUAGAAACACCAAAGAUCUCAUAUGGUAUAUAUAUGAGCUUGAUUGAGAACUGUUUUAAAUUCAGUUUUUUUUUUUUUUUUUUUUUUUUGUUUUCAAAGUCAAAACAAGUUUACUUUUAAUUUUUACUUCUUUUUUUUAAUUUUAUAAAUAACAGUUUUUUAAUAAUUUAUUUUGAAAACAUGAUUAUUUUUAAAACUUAUAAUGAAAAUAGGAAUUUUUUUUUUAAUAUCAUGGUUAUUUUCCCUUCUUUUAAGGAGGGCUAUUUUAAAAAUAAAUUUACAAAUAUGAAAAAUGAUUCAAACUAAAGCAGUACAAAUAAAAAACAUUUUUAAGAAAUAUUUAAAAAUAGAGAAAAUUAUUUGAGAACAUUUGAAGUCCUUAAAUAGACUUUUGUUUUAGAAAAGGCAAGAUAAUUAUUUUUGAAAAUUGUUUUCAUAAUGAUAUGCAAAAACCUACGUAAAAACCAUAAUUAUAAUCGGCCACAUAUCAAAUCUACUAAAUAUGAAAAGUAAGUACAUAAUUAUAUUUGACUUAGAUGCAAGGAGGAAAAUGUCGCGAUAUUAUCGCCGAAAUAUCGUGUGUCGAAGGGUAUCGACACGAUUUUUCUUGCAGAAAUAUCGGCCAGUCGAUUUUUCGGGAUAAAUCUCGAGAAAUCGGCAAUUUAUCGCGAUAUAUCGGCGAUUUUUCCUCGAUAUAUCUUCUGGUCAACGCGGGUCAACGGAGUCAACACGCUACAGUGAAAGUCAAAUGUGCUACAAUGUCCCCGCUACAAUCACCUCCCCAAACAAAUUGCCAAAUUGCUUCCGAGGGGAUUUGAACCAGCCUUCUUGCCAUUUGGGCUAACUCGCCCUUAUGAUAUAUAUUGCAUUAAACAUAUAUAUACUUAAAGUCCUUAUAUAAAGAAAAUGUUAAAAAAAUAUUUUAAAGAGCAAAUUAAUUAUAAUUAUUUUAUAAUUAAAAGCAAAAUUUUCUUUUAAUUAAUUACCAAAAAUAUAAAAAUUAUAUAAUUUUCUUCAUAAUGUUUUUAAUAUCAUUAAUAAUUAAUUAAAUAUUAAAAAAUUAUAUAUAUAUAUAUAUAUAUAUAUAUAUAUAUUAUAAUUUAUUUUAUAUUGUUUAAUACAAUUGAAUUAAAUGGAUCAUAUUUUAAUAUUAAUAUAUAUUUUAAAAUUAGACAUAUUGUAAUCAAAUAUCAUAAUAUUAUAUGUAAUUUAAUAAUAAAUGUACACUUAUAAAAUUCAUAUUUUUAUCGAUGCAUACAAUAUUAUUAUCAAAUAUGAUAAAUCAUGUUAUACAUAUAUCAAAAUUUUCAAUAAAAUAACUUUAAAAUGUCUAUUAUACUUCUAAUUAUAUUAUUAUGAGGUUUUCUUUACAUUUUCAUGAGUUUUAAACAAUUUUAAGCACCAAUAUUUUUUUCCAAAAUAUCCACCGAUAUAUCUCCGAUAUAUCCAAUAUAUCUCCGAUAUCUCCGAUAUAUCCGUAAAAUCGAAGUACCGAUAUAUCCGUGAUUACCGAUAUUUUCAUCAUUGCUUAGAUGCAACCUUCUUCCAAAUGACAUACUUUAGUCAAUACUUAUAUUUUUUCGUUUCACUUCUUUGAUACAACACCUCAUGGAUUUAUUGUUUAAUUUAUUUGUAAUUAUAAAACUAUUUUUCAUUUUUAAUAAGACUUGAAUUAAUUUAAUAAAUAUUAUAUAAUUUGAAUUUAUAAUUCUUUUUAUAAAAUCAAAGUAUAUUAAAAAAAAAACAAUUUAUCCGAAGAAAGUUUUUUAUUUUUUAUUUUUUAAAACCGAUUUUAAAAAUAACUAGCUAGACACCCUUAUUUUGAUAAAAUACGAAAUAAAAGUGUAAAAACAACAUGGCCAAAUAGGGGCUUAAAUUUUAUUUUUAAAACAUUUUUUUACACUAAAGUGCAUUUUAAAAACACCAUCAAAACCAACUACAAGUUAUGCUUCUUCCCGUAAUAGAAAUAUUUUAGGCCAAAAUAGAACCUCCCCAAAUAAAGACCCUAUACUAAACUCCUUUUCAUUUUAUUAAUACAAAAGUGGGGAAAAAAGGUCUAUGCUCACCUAAAAAACAUGAAUAUUGUGAAUUCACCAUUUCUAUAAGGAAGUUGAAAACUUCAAAAUUUUAUCAACAAAUUCUCUAAAAUCCUCAAAAUAUAUAGGGCCUGUUUCACAAAGUUUUUUAAAAUUUGUUUUUAUAAAUUGCUUUUAAAAUAUAGAAUAAAUAACAGUUUUUUAGAUUUUUUGAAAAAUAAGAGUGUUUGGUAAGAUGUUUUUUUUUUUUUUUUUUUUUUUAAGAAUUAAAUAAAAAAUAAAAAAAUUGUUUAGAUAAAAGAAUUUGUAUUGUUUUUAAAAACAAUGUCUUACUUUUAUGUUAUAAAAAUUUUAUUAAUUUAAUUUAUAAUAAUAUGAAAUGAAAUUCAAGUUAAGUCUUAUUAAAAAAUACAAAUUAAAUCUAUAAUUAUGCAUGAGUUAAAGAUAAAUAUAUAUUUUUUAAAACUAUAAAAUAAAUUUUCUAUUAUAGUGAAACAAAAAUUACUAUAAAAUAAAAAUAAUUUUAAUAUUCAUUUUUAAUACAAGUCAAAUAAGUACUUUAAUUAAUUUUUUUUAUCAUGAUUUCUUAUGUUUUUUUUUUUUUCUAGAAAUUAUUUUAAGUAAUAUAACUAAUUUUUUUUUUAAUGUUUUAUAAAAAUAAGGAUAUUUGGCAAGUUGUUUUUAUAAAAGGAUUUUAAAAAUAAAUGGAUUUUUUUUUUUUUUAAAAAAAGAACAAAAUGAUUUGUUUGAAUAAAUUGUUUUGAUUUUGUAAAAACAUUUUAAAUUCAAUUUAUAUAAUAUUAAUUAAUUAAAUUAAAUUGAAGUUUUAUUGAAAAUAAAAAUAAUUUUGUAAUUAAAAUUAGAUUAAAAAAUAUAUAGGUUUUAAUAAAUCGUAAAUAGUAAUAUUAUAAUAAAAUUAUAAAUUAUAUUUUUAACAUAAAAUAUACUAUUUAUUACAUAUUAAAAAAAAUAUUUUAUUAUAUUAAUAAUUUUAUGGUAUUAAUGAGUUUAUUAUUUAAGUUUUAAAUUAUUUUUAAAAAUUAAUAAAUUUGUUAACAAAUGCAAUGUACUAAAUGUGGUUUAAUUUGGAGUUAAUUUGUUUAGGGAAAAAAAUAAAAAAUAAAAAUCUUAUGUAAAAGAGAAAUAAUAGAGUGUGUGUGUUUUUUUUUAUUAUUUUUAAAAAUCAGUAAAAAGAACUUUUACUUAUUGCCUAAAAAUUAUUCUCUAUUUUAUUUUAUUUUUUAAAUCUAGAAAUAGAUAACAAUAAUAAAAAAAAUUAAAAAAGAAAAAUGUUUUUUAAAACUCAGACUUAUAAUUGCUUUUGUUUCUCAUUCGCACCCCUGGAUUCCUGGAUUCUAAACACAAAAUUAAGUUGAAUCGUCCAUCUAUCUUGUAAGCCAAGAAUUCACAUAGAAGAAAUAAUCGGAAUUUGAUUUGAUAUCAGAUUUAGAGUGGCUCACUACUCAUGCAUUGUCCCACAAUAGUAAUGCUUUGGGCCGAGAUAAACCCAUUUGUGGGCCCAAAUAAAACCCCUGGUUUGAAAACAUCGAUUUUACAGUGGCCCAAAAGAUUAUCUAUGAGGGGAAGAUAACUUGGAAGUCAAGCAAACACAUUUAUCGCUAACUUUUCUCUAAUUAUAAAAUUAUAACUUGGUCUUCUACACGUCUCACUUAAGAGGCGGAGCCACUUGGCACUACCUUUCCAUAUUGUAAAAGGAGAAGAAGCAGAAGGAGAAGAUUCUUAUGCCAUUCCACACACCAUGGCUAGUACUGCUAUGCUGCUUGGCCCGCCGGCUCUCCGCCAUCCUAAUUCUCCCGCCGGCACUGUCUUUGAAGAUGGGGUCAUUCUAACGGAUUCCCUGAUCGUCCGCACCAGUAAUCUGGAGCUUUCUGAAAAACCGCCACUGGAAUCCCUGGCGUAGUGCUCUGUCAGUGGGGAUAUUGCUAUGGAUUGUUUGGAUUCCCAAGCCCACAAUCUUCAUCUUCCCGGGAAACCGCCGAUGGGCUUAACGGAAAACAAGUCUCCGACCUUUUUGUCUUCCGGGAACCCGUGCUUGGACUUCUUCUUCCAUGUGGUUCCCGAUACGUCGUCUGAUGAUCUGAUCCGACGGUUUGAGUUGGCUUGGGAAUUCAAUCCGCUGACGACGUUAAAACUGAUAUGCAACUUGAGAGAGGUGAGAGGCACCGGAAAAUCUGACAAAGAGGGUUUCUACACGGCGGUUCUCUGGCUCCACGACCACCAUCCCAAAACCCUAGCCUGCAAUGCUAGGGUGUUGGCCAGCUUCGGUUAUUUCAAGGAUUUUCUCGAGAUUCUCUACCGGCUUCUGGAGGGCCCUAAAAUUCGAAGAAUCGAAAAGAAAGACUGGCUGGAUCGAAAAGGAAGGAAGAAAAAUUCCCGGAAAAGGAACUCAAUAUUCAAGCGAGAAAAUAGGCCUGGAGUUGAAUUUCCUGUAGAAGAGAAGGAUGUGGAGUAUAUGGUGGAAGAAUUUGUGGAUAAAGAAAAGGCUAGGGUACUGAGAAAGGAGAGAGAACUUGCUCUUGCCAAAAGAGCCCUGCACAAGUAUUCUACUGAUUCUAAUUAUCAGUUCUUACAUGAUCAGAUUUCAGAUUUAUUUGCUGAACUUCUGAAAUCUGAUAUUCAGUAUUUAAACUCCGGUGAGCUUUACAAGAUUAGUCUCGCAUCCAAAUGGUGUCCCACAAUUGAUUCUUCUUAUGAUAAAUCCACCUUGAUAUGUGAAAAUAUUGCUCGAAAGGUUUAUUCUCGCGAGGAAUAUAUAUCCAGAAUACCAAGGAAUUGAGGAGGCUCACUAUGUUAAUAGAGUCAGGGAUAGGUUGAGAAAACAAGUACUUGUUCCAUUACGUAAGGCCCUGGAGUUGCCAGAGGUUUUCAUGUGUUCGAACCAGUGGGGAUCACUUCCCUACAACCGUGUGGCUUCAGUGGCCAUGAAAUCAUACAAGAGCCUCUUCUCAAAACAUGAUACAGAGCGGUUUGGUGUGUAUCUUGAGAAAGUGCAAACUGGGAAGGCUAAGAUUGCAGCUGGUGCAUUACUUCCCCAUGAGAUUAUAGCUUCAUUGAAUGAGGAGGAUGGCGAGAAAGUUGCAGAGCUUCAGUGGGCGAGAAUGGUGGAAGAUUUAUCAAAGAAUGGGAGGCUCACAAAUUGCAGUGCGGUAUGUGACGUAUCAGGAAGUAUGAGUGGAACUCCAAUGAAGGUGUGUGUGGCUCUGGGGCUGUUAGUUUCAGAGCUCAGUGAAGAUCCAUGGAAAGGUAAUGUAAUUACUUUCAGUGCAAGUCCUGAGCUUCACAAGAUCCAAGGAGACAGCCUUGUAUCCAAGACUGAAUUUGUGAGGAUGAUGGAAUGGGGUGCGAACACUGAUUUUCAGAAAGUUUUUGACAGAAUCUUACAAGUAGCAGUGGAGGGAAAUCUGAGUGAAGAUCAAAUGAUAAAGAGGGUUUUCGUUUUCACUGAUAUGGAGUUUGAUGAAGCUUGUGGGAGGUAUAACUAUUGUGAAUAUGACUAUGAUAUGGAGGAAAUUGAUGAGAGUCAGAAGGCAUCUCAGAAGUGGGAGACAGAUUAUGAAGUGAUACAGCGGAAAUUCCAGGACAAAGGAUAUGGAAAAGUUCCGGAGAUAGUGUUUUGGAACCUUAGAAACUCAUCAGAGACUCCAGUGAUGGCCACAGAGAACGGGGUGGCCUUAGUAAGCGGGUUUUCGAAGAAUCUGUUAGACCUUGUUUUUGGAAGGAGGUGGAAUUCUGACCCCUCAGGAUGUGAUGGAAUUAGCCAUCUCUGGUGAAGAUUACAAGAAACUUGUUCUAUUUGAUUAAGAUAUCAAGAGAUUUAUCAAUAAUAAUAUGUUUUUUUUUUUCUAUGUGAAAUACAUGUAAUAUUAACUAUGGAGUUAUCAAAGUUCUGGAAAUUUAAUUAUUUCUUCUUUUCAAGUUUUGUUUGUCUUUGUUAGGAAUUCCCCUUGGGCGGACCCAGCUGGGGACUUGGAUUGAGGAAGUAAGGAGGCGAAAUUGUGUUCUUCUAUGGACAGAGAAAAAAGAUAAAAAUAAAAAAUAAAAAAGGAGGUUAUUUGCAUUUGGAUGUCAUGUGGUUUCAGGGUACAACUACAAGUUCGAAAUUGUACAUAAUGUGAAAAUUCCUGUGUGGAGAACAGCAUAAAUAUGUAUCUCAGUGUGUUUUGUUUGAGCUAAUUGGCAAAUUCGCUUUAAACAUGGUCACAUGGAUGCAUAUUUAUUUGUGAAAUGAUAGUAGUCGAUUACUUGGUCAGUAAGGUUUGUAUCUCUAACUCCAACAUCUUAUUGUAGUCUUUUAAAAUGUCAAAAGUUUAAUGCUAGCUUGAGAAAUUUUGGAAUGGAGACAUUCUAAACAAAGUUAAUAAUCCAUGAGACUUGGUAAAACCGAUCAGAUGAUGCUUACGUACAUGAAUGCCUUCUUUAAGCCGUAUCCUAUUUUCAUUGAAUGAGACGUGCCAUCUAGUUUUGUUCUUGUCUUGAUUGGAUCAUGAUCCCGGGAAUUGAUUACUGUUCUGAAUUUGCGAAUGUUCAAGGUAUUAGAGAAAGUUAAUAUUAUCGUUAAUUUACAUAUUAGUAUUUAUCUAGUUAUUAUAUAUUAGUUUGAAUUAUAAUAUAAUAUAGAAUUUGAAUCAAGUUUACUAUUAGUUUGAAUUACAAUAGGAAAUAAAGUUUGAAUUAUAGUAUAACUCAAAUAUAUUUGUAUAUAAAUAUCCAUCUUUAUCAAUGAGAAUAGUAAACCAUAUUUUUCUCUAUCUUCUUCUUUCUCUAUAUAUAUGGUAUCAAAGCCUCCAAAUCCUAAACCUAGUCUCAACUUAGAGCAAAUUUAGGGUGCAGGGUUUAGGCCCCGCCUCCCCCAACCCUUACCACAAAUGGUAGUGACCUUGUUAUGCCUAUGUAUUGUCAAUGCCUCAUUUUCUAUGGUCUUCAAUACAAUAUCUAGUUUCAAUGUCUCUUUCCUUACUAUCUCCAAUGCAAUAUAUUGAUUUCAAUAUCUCUUUACAACCAAGAGCUCCAAAUUUUCCUGGUUCAAAUCUACCAUAAUUUUUAUUCUCCUUUGCUUUUUACCAAUAUUAGUUCCCCUAAUUUAAUAUAUAUCUCUUUAUUACCUUCAACUCUACCUCUCUCUUUCUUUAAAAGCUUCCUCAAAGAUUUGAUUGCUUUCUUGCAUGUUUUGGGAAAACAAACAUGCUCAUAUUCUAUUACCUCUACUUGAGAUCUGCCUUAUACUCUACCUUCUUCUUUACCUCCUAUAUCAUCUACUACAUUAGCUUCAAAAACAUUAUUUAGUUUGAUGCUAAAUAAGGCUCCUAAUCCUACCCUUCCUUCAACUAACUUUCUUUUACAAGUCCCUCAAAGUUUUUUUUUUUUUUUUUUUGGAAAUUUGGCUUAGAAAGAUUUCAUUACUCUUACCUAAUCUUUCAACCAUCAAGUCGAAUCCACUUAUCUCUUGAAUCCAAGGAGACUACCCUCCACAAAAACAAGGAGAUUGACCCCCACAAUAACAAAGAGAUUGUCCUCCAUAGAAACAAAGAGAGCUUCCUUCAUGGAAGCCGAAUACAUCGCAAUCUAUUUUCUUUCUCUCAAGAUCAAAUCUCCAAUCGGAGCUCCAUCUUGUGGGGAUAUAUUAGAAAAAGUUAAUAUUAUCCUUAAUUUACAUAUUAGUAUUUAUCUAUAUUAUAUAUUGAAUUAGAAUAGAAUAUAGAAUUUGAAUUAAGUUUACUAUUAGUUUAAAUUACAAUAGGAAAUAGAGUUUGAAUUAUAGUAGAACUCAAAUAUAUUUAUAUAUAAAUAUCCAUCAUUAUCAAUGAGAAUAGUAUUCCAUAUUUUUCUCUUUCCCUGAGGCUUCAGAAUGUGAUCUUGAACAUUUGAUCUUUUGGAUUCUUCUUGUUUCGGUGGUUUAAUAUAAUGGAAUGUUUAAUUAUAGCCUACUUUAUCACCAUGGAUGUGCUCCUGCAGAUUUCUUGAGGGUGAUGGUUAUUUUGUCAUGUUUCUUGAAUGGUUUGCAUCAGCUGCCUGAGCUGUUGUUGCUGGUCACUUUUGCAACCAGGGAAAGAAUCAUGGCUUUGGAGAAGCCAGCUUCUGUUUUUGUUGCCCAGCUGUUAGUUCACUAAGAUUGGGGGUCCUAACAUGUAUGUAUAAUCAUAAGCAAGGAAAUUUUAUGUCUUACGCUAGAUAGGUACCAUGAUAUGAUGUUUGAUUGAUUUAUUAACUCUACCUGUUUCAAAAGGCAUCAACAUUAAUUUUACCCUUUUAACACAUUGGAUUGUUUGACCUUACGAGAUUUUCUAUUUCUGUACUAUUUGAACUGCAAUCGUUAUGGUCCUUAGGUCUCUAAACCUUCGUUUAAAAUAAAAGUAAGGAGCACACAUAGUAAAAGUUAAUUUUGGGUAACUUUUAAAACAAAGAGAAAAGUAAAAGUUGUUUUUGAGAAAAACAUAUAGAAAUUGAAAGAUUUUUUAUUUUGAGAAAAAAAAGUCAUAGAAAAGAAAUAAUAUCCCCAUAUAAGUAGAUAUGAUCUAUCCGAAGUGUAGCUACUCUCCUGGAUUUAUUCUAACAUUUUAAAAUUUUUCUCAAUGGGCAAAGGAAUAUCAAAUCAAGCUUGAGUAGGAUUAAUUUCUUAAUUUUUAAAAUAACUUAUAAUUAAAAUUUUUUGGUGUUUUCUUUUUUGGACAAUUUUUUAUGAAGACUCUGAAUCAUGCAAGAGAUAUGGUUAUUUUAAAAAAAAAAAUAAUUUAAAACUCAAAUACAUAAUCAAUGUCACAAAUUUAUAAACAAAAGGUUUUUAAAAAAUACUAUUAUUUCCCCUCUACACAUAAUUUUACUUUUCCGAUUUAUUUAUUUUUGUUGGAAAACAGUCUUCAAAUCAAGUAAAAUUAAUAUGUUAAAUUUGUUAAACAAAUAAAUUUUAAAAUACAAUUUGGAACUCAAAAAUCAAUUCAAGUAAUGCUAAAAUUCAAAAAAUCAAAUUUGGAAUAAAAUGACUUUGUAAAUUUUUUUACUAAACAAAUGAAUUUUAAAUCAAGUGAGAUUUAAUACAUUGGAUUUUUAUGAGAAUAGUAAUUUUAAAAAUUAAUUUGGAACUCAAAAAUAGACACAAUAAAUACCAAAAAUCAAUGAACCAAAAUUGGUUUGGAAUAACUCCAUAAUUUUUUAUUUAUUUAUAUAUUUAUUUUUUUGUGCACACGAAUUUCUUACUAAGCAUAUUGCUUCCAAAUUGAGAAAAAUUUACUAUUUAGAUUUUUUUAAUGAGUUUAAUGGUAUUUAAAAAUAAUUCAAAAAUUCGAAAAUUGACUAAUUUAAUAUUAUAAAUUCAUAAACCAAGACUAAUUCAAAAUGCAUUGGGGGCUAAGGGGGUUGAAAUUAAUGCUCCAUUUGGUUGUGGCCACCAAUUGGCAAUGGCCACCAAUCAACCAAUCAAGGUGGCUAAGGGGGUUGAAAAUAGGGACAAUGGGGUGGGUUUGGGACAGGACACUCAUAUCCCAUUCCCAUCCCAAUUACACAGUUAUUUCCCAUCCUUAUUCCAAACUUGUGUUGGGGCAAGUUGAUUUGUUCCCAUCUUUGUUAACGAAAUGACUAAUAACCUCAUCCUCUCCUUGUCUUAGAUGUACAUUUUCUCAAAUUUGGUCAGGUAUGAUUGAUUCAAGCCCUAACCUUAAUUGGUAAUGAGUGGAUACCACACCUAAUUGCAUUCUUCUUUCGUUGCAAAAUAAUGAGAUUAUAAUAAUCUAGCAAAUAAGAAAAAAUAGUAUGGAAGUUCAAAUUAACACCAUAACUAUCAAUAAUUUUAAGCUUAUAGAUGACUUAAAUGAUUGAAAACUAAUGCAAAAUACUAAAAAAAAAAAAAAUCAUCUAAAGAAUUCACAAGAGAAUAGAACGAACAAAACCAAAUAGGAACAUGGGUCAACAUUAGUUACAGAUUUUGAUCCCUUUCAAGGCCAAUCUUUGAACCAAGACUUCAUCAAAUCUACUACUUCAAAGGCUUUUGUGUUCUUCUUGAGUUGUACUCUGGAACAAAGACUUCGAGGUGAUGCUUUAGAUGAUUGCAUUACACAUAUUUAGGGUAGGGAGAUUGGAGAAGCUUGAAGAUGCCAACGAUGGGUACAAUUGAGUGGUCAAUAAGAACAAUGUGGCCUAUGACUAGUUUGAUGUCAUGGUAUAGGAGUUUUGGGCAUUGAGGUGAAAGCAAGAGCAACAUGGAAUUGAUUUCAAAGUCUUUCAAUUAGUGUAAAGGAGGAAGAAGAAGUGGUAUUGAUCCUAGAAAUAGUGUUUUAGGUGUUGCAUUAGAGGAAAAGAAAAAGAAAAAGAAGGAACCAUUGGAAUUAGUACGAGUGUGAAGAGAGAAGUGUAUACAUAAGGGGAAGUAAAAGCAAAGUUCUAAAAAUUUAUUUUUUUAUUGGUGGUGUAUGGUUGCAUGAUUAUCCCUAUAAAUAAUAGGAGUUUUUUGGUGUUCUACUAGUAGUUGAAGGAUAAUUUCAUAAGAUAAUAUUUAGAGCGGGGUGGGGUGAGUUGUGACAAAAUCCAUACCCGUCCCAAACAUUGGUUCAGGUUUUUAAAAUAUUUUCAAACUUAUCAUAUACCCAAUUUUAUAUUUCAUACUUGUCCUAAUAGAGACAGGUUAGUCAGGGUUACUUGAGUAGCCUACAAAACUAUCAUCCCUAGUUGAAAUGCUCUUUUUGGCAGUGGCAGCUAGAAGCUCGAUCGAUUGACCUACAAGACUAGUUGUCAUCAUUUUAAAAAGAGUUUUGGCUUUGGUUGUGAGUGCAAUUGAAUCUAAACUAACAUUUCCUUAAUGCAUCUACUUCAAUCCUAAACUUCUUACUUAAGCCUCAAUUGUUGUUAAGAUUUUGGAAAACCCAUUUCCUUAAAUUGUAAAUUUAAGAAAAAAAAAAUUAAAAGUGAGACAUUUCUUGAUUGAAUGUUGUUAAAGGUCCCUUGGAAUUAAGACUUGGUUGAAGCCUUGGAAGAUUAGCAGAACUCUCAACUUAUGUUUGAACCUUGAGGAGAGUGGACGUAGGCCAAAAUUUUGUCAAACCAUUAUACAAAUUGAGUUUGAAUUCUCAUUUCUUGAUUUCUUAUUUAUUUGCUUUUUCUUAUUAUUACUUGAAUUGUCAUUUGCAUUCAUUAAUGUUAAAAUUGGUUAUAAUUAGCCAACACUAAUUCUCUUUCCCCUUCCCUUAAUUUCUUGGGUGUAAACCUAGGUUGGAUUAACUAGAUUUUAUCAAAUCUAUUAAGAUGGUAAAAGAAUAAUUAUUCUUAACAUACAUAAGAUCAUCUUCAAUCAAAUGACUCAUUGGCUGAUAUGUUGAAUUUGCUUAUUACUUGCAACUCAAAAUUGUGUUCUAGUUGAUAUGUCAAGUCCUGAGUGUAUGGACAUUAAAUUUGUAGUACGUGAUGAGUAUUUAGAUGGUCCAAUUCCAAGAAAGUGAUUGAAAACUAGUUCAAGAAAGGUGCAAAAGGGAAUUGUUUUGGUAUUUUCGUUUUUAUUCUUGAAGGUGGCAGAGCUAAAAUUUGAGAAAUCAAGCAAAACAUACUGAAAUUACAUUGAAAGAAAGAAAAUGGGAGUUAAUGUCUUGCAGUACAUGAUAAGGACUUCAUGCAUGUAGUGUGACCCAUGUCUUGGACUGAUGCCACACUCACGGUUACACUUAUACCCUUAGUUCUCUCUUUACUACCUUAGCUAACCUAGAUCAGGUUAUGAGAUAGGCACCUCACCACACCAUUACUUGCCCAUUAAUUAGUGACAUUUUCAAGCAAUGAGGUAACAUGGUGACACCAAGAGGGUAUAUUCCUCACCCCCAACAAGCCUAGACCUGGUCUAAAAAAAAUGGAGAAAAAUGACGUGUUGUUAUGCAGAAAUAUAGCAACCAUGCCUUCCUCAUUACUUAGAUUCAGAAUGUGAAGGUGAAAUUGAGAAACAGAAACUCUUGAAACCAAAAUGAAAAUUGAUACUUUUACGAAGAAUUACAACAACAUUAGAGGAAGACUACAUUCUUCCUCUUUAUUCCUACAUUUCUACACUACUUCUACUCCACUCCAUAUUUCUACAUACAUCUUUAAUCAGUCUUCCCUCCUUUAUAUAGAGCCAUCUUCACACAAAUUCCGCAAGGUAGAAAAGAGGAAUGAAACUUGGAGCAAGGUUCGACUACUGGCUGUAGCUUGUCAAGGCUGAAAGUGAACUUUUUUUCUUGGCUUUUCUGGGCAUAGGUAGUAACUUGUAGGUUCCUUUUUGGAAUGAAAAUGGUACGGCUAGAACAUGUGGCACUCUCUUGUUGGAUGAUGUGUCAAGCAUGUGGCAGCCAUCUAGUGGAGAUUAUGUCAAUUUUGGGAUGGAGAGUUGGCAUCCAAUUGCAAAGAAAUAUGACAUCUACCAACAUGCAAUGUCAACCUAUGUAGAUCAUAUGAAGAUAGAGAGGAAAAAUAUAGAAAUGGAUAUAUAACUAGAACUAGCUUUUUAUUAAAUGAGACGGAGAGCCAACAAUGAAGGAAAAUCAAAAUUUUUGGCUCAUAUCAAAGAAUUCACAUUGUGUUACCCUAGGUUUUCUUAAAACUUACUUUUAUGAUAAUAAAAAAUCAUUAUUGUUUAAUCCUUUGUUUUAAACGCAUGUUUAGCAGGUUGUAAAAUGUAAAUAUCUUUCGAAAUUCAAAUAUGAAGAUAUGACAUCAUUUCAAGCAAUAUAGUCUCUAGGAAUUAAUGUAAAGCUAAAUUAAGGUGCAAUUAAGUUAGUUCAAUGCAUUAUUUUAAGAAACUUGACCUAUCAAAACCUUGUCUUACUUCAAAGCCUCUUUUUCUUUUCUUCCAACUAACAUUUUAAUAAGUGAUCGCAAAAGUACAAAAUUAGAUGAAAUCCAUUUCAAUGGUUAAAAUGAUCAAAUUCAAACUUUUUCUAAGUAUCUUUUAAAAGCAUCAAUAUUGAAAGACAAUUUUAUAUUUAGUCAAAGCUUGGACAGAGCCAAAAAGCACACAAAAAUUUAUAUUUUCUAGCUCUCUACCUUGGAUGGUCUCUUGAUCCUACUUGGAGAUGUGCAUAAAUAAAAGGAUUUGAAAAUGACAAUUGACUAAGUAUGUAGUCAAUCAAUUACUCAUUGAUUGACUAGUUGAUCAAUUAACUUUGCAACAUCAUAUGCAAUCCUAAUAGCUAGUCAUCUAAUCAACUAGGUAGUAAAUCAAUAGGCCAAAAAUAUGUUUAUAAUGACUAUUUUGUACAAAAACCACUUAUAUAGUUAAAUAUAAUGCAUUUCAUUUAUAAAUCUUCUAAUUCUUGAAUAACAAUCCUAUCAUCCUUUGAAAGUUUUUAUUACACCUUUUCUACAUUUGUUCUAAAACUUAUACAUCACCCUUAAUUGUACCAUGAGAACCUAGCAUUUUUUUUUUUUUUUUUGUAUUUCAUCAAAGUUAGCUCUUGUACUCAUUGUUGUAUUAUUUUUAUUGUAACUUAGAGAGCGAGUGUUUUCAAGUGAGUGAAAUUGACUUGUAAAUAUUGUAAAGAUUCAUUGAUAUGUAUCUCAAACUAGGUGUACAAGUUGAAACAUUUGCUAGUAGAUUUUCUCAAGAUUUAGAAUGAGCUUAAGGCUAUCGAAUUAGGUGGGGUUGCGCCAAACCAUAUCACAUCGUUGUUUGCACCUUUUUUUUCACUCUCUUUUACUUAGUUGCUCUAUAUAUAUUGUCUAGCAAUAUCCUAAAGGCUUGAUGGGCUAGGGAGCAUCCCUCUGAAUGAAAAAUUUUCAUUCAAUUCUUAGUUGUAUUACGCAUAUAUAAAAUGCCUCAUUGUUUUAAUGGUAUUCAGUCGUGGCACCACAGAUAUGGACAUCUAAAUUUUAAAAGUUUGAAACUUUUAGCUAAAGAAAAUAUGGUGCUUUGCCUUUUUGGAAAGCAUGUUGAUGAAAUCCAUGAGAAUUGUAUACUUGGAGAGCAACAUCGAGAUAACUUUUUUUUUUUCUUUUUUUAUAAUGCAUUGUUUGUCCAAAUUCCGUACAAAUUAGGCCACCACAUGUUCAUAAUUCUCCCUUCUUGAAUUUGAAAACUCGGACAAUUUGACAAUGCGACACCUAAGUCCGGUUUUUAAAUGCUAAAGUGAAAGGGCAGGUAUGGACCAUUGAAAUGUGAUAACAACUUUUGGCCUUUUCCUUUUCUCUGUAGCCAUGUUGUCUCUUUUUAAUUUCUUUUGCAUGAUUUUCUUACCUAAACAGAAUCAUAGACUUGUUUAAUCUCUAAGUGGGAUUUCAUCCACCUUAAGCUACUGUAUUAUAUCUCGGUGGAGGACAACCGACAUAGAGCACAUGCAAGUGGGUAUAUGGGACAUGAAAUAUCUUCUUAUAAAGCUUGUUUUGCAGUUAAAUUAAUUGGAUAAGUAGACACUGGCGUUUCUAAAUUUCCCACCUAAGAUAAUGACCUUAUCCUUGACUGCUAGAUACACAAACAAUUAUACCUUCAAAAUCUACUGUGAAGUGCUUCAUGUAUGUGUGAAGUAUUAGAAAUUUCUUUCUUGGCAACUUGUUUUUUUCUUUGCGGUCUACUGAUAGGUUUGACUAAAAUUAUAUUCCCUGUCCUGCUAAUUAAUUUUCACGUGCAUGCUCAAAAGAAGAGUAUGACCUUAGUGCACCAAAAUCACUUUCAAUAAUUUGUGAUAAGUUUUUUUGCAUGACAUUAACCUUAUUCAUUUAGAUAAUGUUUAGUUCUCAUAAAUAUUAAGAAAAUGAAAAUAAAUAUUAAGAAAAAUAUUCUUAUAUUUGAUUGUAUUAUGAAAAAUAUCAUAAAAAAUCAAAUAUAAUUAAAAUUAAUUAAUAAUUUAUAUAUUUUAAAAUUAUUUAAUUUUUAUAUUAAAGAUAUAAUAUAAAUGAAAUGAGUUUUAAGUAUUAUAUAAAAAUGAUUUAUUUAUUUAUUUAUAUAUAUAUAUAUAUAUAUAUUUAGUUUUUCUCUUUAUUUUAUUUUCCUUAUGUUUUCCUCACAUUUUCCGGAAUCAAAGAUAGGGAAAUCCACAAUUACCUUCAACUGAGUAGAUUCUAUUGUUUUAGCAAUGUUAGGCUGCUAACUUGUGGUGGUACGAACCAAAUGAUCCAUGUUAAUCUUGGCUUGAUUUAAUUUGGCUCUAUCUCAGAGAACUCAAGGAUCACGUCAACUCUGGUUUCUACUAUUCAGGUCCAUUCCCAGAUGAACUGGUUCAAAUUUGAGAAAAUGGUAACAGACCUUUAGUGAUAUUGGUUUGGAGCCAGUUGCCAAACCUGCCCUGAGCUUUACCACUAAUGUCAAGGGACAAAGCCAUUUGAACAAAAACAAUAGCUUCAAGAGACUGAAUCGUGGAUGAAAUCUGAUCCACAUUUCUUCUCAUUUUGGGAAAAAAUGAGGACUUAACCACAAAGAUUCUACUGCCUCAUAGUGCUUUUCCUGAUCUAAGGUUGGCUCGUUUCCCAAAUUGUGAGGUGCACGUGCCACUCUCACGCUCAGGAGUGUAUCCACGUGGUGGACAUAAGAUGGUGGCUUAAUAUCUGGUGUCGGUGGCUUUACUUUACUAGGAGAGUAGUGUGUCUUCAUCUCAUUCACUGCCAGAGGGUGGCGUAAGCAGUGACGCUAAGGUGGGGCACAGUCAAUAUCAUUUGCAUUUGACCAUUAUAAUUUUCUCCCGGCUUUAAAGUAACCUUAUCGUGAUAAUGGAUUACUAGCACUAGUUCAGAUGACAGUCAUGUUAAAUUCGGACCAUGUUUGUGUCACAUUAUCAGCAACCAUGUGCUUGUGGUUCAUGCUAUCUGCAACUAAACUUGAUAUAUAACCAGGUGAACUUCAAUCUAAAUUCUGGAAGUACUCAUGUGAUAGAUGGUGCCUGUCUGCAGUGAGUGUAUCUAUAAGAGGGAAGGCUUGGCAAAUGUUCAGUUUUCUGGGAAUUCAACAGGGAUCUAAAAUAGAUUGUUUUCUUUGCUGAUUUCAAUGGUUGAAAUUUGAGAAGAUUGUGUCCACAUAACACAACUAUUACUGGUCCUUCUGUUGCAAUUUAUCCUCUAAGGCUCUAACAUGUCUUCCAAUUCCCACUUCCCACUUCCCUGUUACUCCAGGAAAGCUGUUUCUGUCAUUGUGAAGAAGAAAAGAGACUGUACAUAUCGAUGCUUUUAAGUGGACUGGAGAAUUCAUAUCAGGUGGUCUGCAGCCAUACAUGCCACUUUGUGAAGGUUGGAACAGUCAAUCACUAGGCUAUAUUAGUGGGGCCCAGCCACUUCAAUCAAGGACAAGUCUUCAUACUUAAAGUCAAAUUCUGCCUUUAGUCUCAUUAUAAAUUGCUGUUUAAAUAUCAAGCAAACAUUUGUUUAAUGCGAUUAAGACAGCACUAACUCAAUACUUGUUCUAUUUUUGGAUGCAAAUGCUUGAUAGUUUCAUCAUUGGAGGGGAUAAAGGUGCAUUCAUGAUUAUGAAUACUUGUAGUUAUAUUUUCAUUCUCUUUUUUCUCAAUGGGACUUGUUGGCACAAUUUUGCUGUUCAGAAACCUACCUCUCCAUGGAAAAUCAGUUGUGAUUGAUAUUACUGGAUAUAUUCAAGAAAGCUAAAUGUAGAUAGCACAAAAUAUUAUCGACAUAAAUAGCAUUAACAGCGUACGUAUGUCUCAAUGCUCAUCAGCUAUAAGCAAGGGGCAAACACUUACUAUGAGCAACUUACGUCAAAAUUCCGGAAUAGGACAUAGAAGUGACAGGUCAGUAAAUAUAGAACACUGCAUAUGAGUCACAAGAAAGGAAAUUACGGGUACAUAGCAGCUCUUAUUUUACAUCCUACUCAUACUGAUCAAAGUCACUCAGUUGGGAUGGGUGGGAGUGGGAGGUUUGUGGGGUGGCUUGUGCGGAGGAGUUGGCAGCUUCUUUCCAGGACCUGGUUGCUUCUCUGCUGGAGUUGAAGGAGGCUUAAUCUUCCGAGGUGGCUUGUAUGAGUCUUCAGCAUUCUCAGCAGGAGGGUGACCAGGGUUGUGACCACAAUGUGGUGGCUUCUCUCCCUUAGGUGGUUUGCCAACUGGGGUUGGUGGCUUGUGUUCCGGAAGUGGCUUCUCUUUGUGUUCAGGAGGUGGCUUCUCCACUGGAGGCUUGUGUUCAGGAGGUGGCUUCUCCACCGGAGGCUUGUGUUCAGGAGGUGGCUUCUCCACCGGAGGCUUGUGUUCAGGAGGUGGCUUCUCCACCGGAGGCUUAUGCUCUGGUGGUGGCUUCUCCACCGGAGGCUUAUGCUCUGGUGGUGGCUUCUCCACCGGAGGCUUAUGCAAUGGUGGUGGCUUCUCCACCGGAGGCUUGUGUUCAGGAGGUGGCUUCUCUACCGGAGGCUUAUGCUCUGGUGGUGGCUUCUCCACCGGAGGCUUAUGCUCUGGUGGUGGCUUCUCCACCGGAGGCUUGUGUUCAGGAGGUGGCUUCUCCACCGGAGGCUUGUGUUCAGGAGGUGGCUUCUCCACCGGAGGCUUGUGCUCUGGUGGUGGCUUCUCCACCGGAGGCUUAUGCUCUGGUGGUGGCUUCUCCACCGGAGGCUUGUGUUCAGGAGGUGGCUUCUCCACCGGAGGCUUAUGCUCUGGUGGUGGCUUCUCCACCGGAGGCUUGUGUUCAGGAGGUGGCUUCUCCACCGGAGGCUUAUGCUCUGGUGGUGGCUUCUCCACAGGAGGCUUGUGUUCAGGAGGUGGCUUCUCCACCGGAGGCUUAUGCUCUGGUGGUGGCUUCUCGAAUGGGGGAUGCGUAGGGUAAUCAGCUAGUGAGGGGGCGGUGAGAACCACCAGGCCAAGCAACACUACUAGCAAGUAUGUAGGAGACAUCUUUGGGUUUGGGCUCAGAUGGUGCAAAACUAGGAGAAUUGGCUAGCCUUUUAUAGCGGAUCGUACCCAAUAAUGAAAUGACACGUGUCAUUAUGACCCAUGUGUCAUGUGGUCGAUUUGGGUCCUACAGUGUUGAAAACUUCGACAUCCACUUUUUUGGCCUUUUGCUUUCUCUACAGUCGCCUUGCUUUUUCCCUCUUUUCUUUUGUUUUCCUCCUGCCCCAUUCUAUCAACUAAUCACAAUUAUGUAGUUGUUUAAUUCUUAAAUGAGAUAUUAUCCGUCAAUCAUAUUAUCUUUUAUCAAGAGAGAACGGAGUGAAAAGUGGCAAUCCAAAGAAAGAAGAUCCAUAAUGCAGCUGUAAUUUUAUCGUUUACUUUUAUCUCUAGGACCACUGCAUUUUUGUUGAGAGGUGCAAUAAUACACGUCUUUAUCUGCCAUUCAAUGUUUACAGUAAAGAGAGGGCACAAAACUCUUCACUGCUCUGCAUGUGCCCCAAAAAUGCAAUUGGACAAAUUAUGAUUUGCAUGCUAAAAAGAGGCAAAUGAGGUUAAUUAGCACCAAAAUUAUUUUGUUUUCUGGACACCCCGGGGCCCUUUGGUUGGUUUGGGGGUCAGAAAAUGAACAUCAUAGGGGGUUUUUCCCUAAUGUGCAUUUGCAUUUGUAUCUGAUGGCUUUAACUCGCCUUGUUACUACAAAGAAAUUGUCACAGAUAGGAACUUAUUCCAGGCUGAGUAUCUCCGCAUGGACCCUAUAAAAGAAGACAAGUCAUAAUGAACAUCUAACCUUUGUUCAAUUUGAUUCAAUGCCCCUAUUGUGUCCAUCUCACAAAUCUGAAUUAUUAUAUCCAUUGAAUACAUAAAUUAAUGAAGAAAAUAUGAAACCCAAGAUACAUCUCUGCACAACCUCAACCCUGGUUGCUAUGUUUCACUUCUAUUCACAUGAGGAUAUUGAUUACGGAAUAAGGAAACCUAGCAAGGGUUUACUCGGCUCUGGUUUGAUGCUAAUUGCCAAACUUGCAACAAGCCCUGAGUUUGACACCUAAUCGAUGGGCGAAUUAAAAGUCUCCUCCAAACAUAUAUUCCACAGCUUGAAGCUCACAGAAGAUGCUAUACAGGCAGGGAAAAACCUUCAGAGUUAGCUACCAAAGAUAAUUAUCAAGGAGAUAUCACCAAGAGAAUUCCAUGGAGUCUGAAUCAAAGACAAAUUGCUCGCUCGUGGGGGUUCUUACUUAAUUUCUUUUGGGUAUAACUCACUGAGGGCACUGGCUUUGUUAUUUGCAUUUCGCAUUUAGAGUUCUGUUCUGGAAGGUUUGUUCUGGAAACAUAUAAAAGGAGCAUCAUUUUGUUCUAGGGUAACCCAUAGUUGUGAGUGGGUCCAUUUGCAUGCUACUUAGUUGAAAAGUUGGACAAUUUGCUCCGACGCCUACCUCCUGGAUUCCAUGCUCGGAUAAAGCAAGAAUAAUAAAAUAUUUAUAAUUUACAAAUGGGGGAAAGAAAAAAAUGUCAACAACAAACUAGGAAAAAAGAGUAGUAAAAUUUAUGCCACAUGCUAUUGAUAGAAGGGGCAUGUAUUAGAUCCAUCACCAUUUGGUAAGAUUUUAGUAUUAUAUUUUUCAAGGUUCAUUAUUUGAGGGUGUGUUCUUCAUCUCUGUUGCAUUGCUUCUUACUAGGCCCACUGAGGUGGGUUCUUCACCUUUUGUAUAUUCUCUGCACUAGAUCAAUGAGAAAGGGGGAAUUUUGGUGAAUUUGCAGCCGUUGGAUGAUUGAUUCUAGGCUCAGUCCACCAAUGAUGCUCUCUUCACUCUUUCUCAUCUAGUGUCAUUCACAACUAUGUUUUGAUUCAUAUUUGUACUAUCAAAGAUAUCUCAUUAUUCUAGCUCAUUAGGUAGAGUUCCUAAUCUUCCUCCUUUUUGGUCUAUGGACAGUAUUGGCUUCAUAUUAAGAUCAUGUUUCAAUAAUUGCACAUUAAUGAAUGGAUCAUGACCCACAUAAACAGAGUCAGGGUUGAGUCAGUGAACCCUAAAAUUUCACAAUUCUAAAUUUGGGUUCUUUAACAAUGCAGGGUCAAGGACGCGUGGUGAUGAAGGAAAGCUGGUAAGCUCAGUGUUACUUCAAUUCCUGCCAUGUAGGAUGGUGAGGAGAUAUUCACUAUGCAAUUAAUAAUAGACAAUAUUCACUAUGCAAUAAUAAAGCAUAAAUUAAGUUGAAUGAAAAGCAUUUUCUUUGCAAGGAGUUGAUUUUGGUUUCAUAGUUUGUUCAACUGCUAUUUUGGAUAGGAAAGUGUGAGGAGAAGAAAAUAAAAAAUAAAAAUAAAACAAAAAAUAAAAAAUAGAUUUUAUAAAUUCAUUUAAUUUAUUUUUUUUUUAUAAAAAUUAACUAAUUUAAAAUAUAUGUAAAUUUCUAAUUAAUUUAAUUACAUUUUUUUUUUCAGUUUUUCAUAAUAAACCAAAUAUUAGAAAAUUAUUUUUAUUAAGACACCCAAGAUGAGGUAAUAUGCAAUGAAAACAUGAAUUAUAUUAAAAUUCAAAACAAAUUAAGAGAAAUCGGAAAAUAUACAUAGAUAUCUAAACAAAGAAAUUUAAAGAGAAGGAACCACAAACUUUAUUUACAUAAUUUGAAAAUAAAAAACAUAAAACAUACUUAUAGUAAGGAGAAAUUGAAUAUCUUACAAUGGAAGAAGGGAGAAAAGCUUUGAAGAAAGCUUUUGCUUGGAAGCUUACAUGGUGAGAGGUAGAGAAAGGAGAGAGAGAGAAGAAAAUGAAAAAUGAGAAGUGGAGAAAAUUGGAAGUUUUGUGUGCUUACAACUGAGGAUAGAGCCUCCUUAAAUAGCAAAAAAUGGAAUAUUAAAUAGUACCAAUCAGGAGACAAAAUAUUGUUUGCUUUUGAAACCCGUGCAUGAAUAGUAAUCCCGUGAGUGAAUAGUGAAUAAUAAAAGUGAAUAGUAAAAGUCACUUUCUACUAUAGCACUUUAGACUUUUUCAUCGAGAAUCUUACUUUCGGCUGAGUGAUGAUAGCUGAUAGGUUGCUUUGGAUUGUGGAGUCAUAUGUUUGAUGUUUUCGGUGCUGAAACCGCUUAGUUGGAGAAUAAUCUCGUCAGUAGAGCAUCAUGAGAAGCUUGAAUGGAGAGAGCUUAAUGAUGCCAUAUGAUUGGAAGGAAUCCUAUUUUAAUUUCCUUAUUGGAGGGAGAAUACCCUCACAAUCAUCUUCAUUAUCUUGAAGGUAGUUUGAUAUAGAGUCAUCUGACUCAGCAUAAGAGUCCUCUUGGGAGAAGCUUGAACUGCUUUUGUCAAGGAUUUUCUGAAAUUCUUGAGGGGUUUUUGCUAUUGCUAACAUGGUUUGGAGUUGCUGUUUCUUAAGAAGAAACUGUGCAAUAUCAUAAGAUGAUGAAGCUUGUGUAGGAUGCUUUAGGAAAUAUUGCUUUAUUGCUUGUAGUGAGGUAUCAUUUUUCAAGGCAUCCCACCACUUAGACUUGAAAGUCCUUCCAAGGGUUGGAAAGGCUGCUGAUUCAUCUGCUAUAAUGAUAUAAUCCCACUGGACUAUCCAGGCAAGGCCAAAUUCACUAAAAAAGAAUAAUAAUUGGGGAAAACUGAAAGUUCUCUAGGGAUAACAAAAGAACUUUGGAAUAGCUCAAAGCCAUCCAAAAUGGGUUUUGGGAGAAUUUUAAUAGUUGGACCAAAAUAUGUCCACCAAUUGUGGAACCAAAAUGGAAAAGAGGGGAGUUGAUGCUUAGAUGGGAAAUAGAACAUCCCUGAAUGAUGGAAGUCCUUGUUCUGGAUCAGAAAAGCAUUGAACCAUACUCUUUGGUAGUCUCAAUAAUUGAAAAUUUUAGGUUUUGAAGGCUUAGAAAAUUCUCUUGAAAAAUUAGGAUUCCCACCCCACUGCUUAACUGUAAGGAUUUUAUAAAUAUGGUAAGUGGAGAAUGCCAAAUCCAAAUUGCUGAAUUUAUCAGCAUUGUGCUUGAUUUUAACAGAGCCGGUUUCCAUAAGGAUUGCUUCAUAAAAUUCUCUUGUUUUUAAAAGAUCACCAAAGGGAUAAUGAAAAUUUUCAUGAAAAGCUUUUGCUGCAAUAUCUCUAGGGUUUUUAGAGAAAAACUCUUUUUCAAUAACCAAAAGAGGUUGAUUUAAAUCUUUUUGCCAAUAUCUUGCUUUUGCUGAAAGAGGUGUGGGGUUGGCUACCACCACAAUUUGCUUAUUUGAAAAAGAAGAGCUUGAUGCUAAUUCAUUUUGAGAGGGAUUAGCUUUAGUAACCUGCUUAAAGGUCUGAGACACAGUAAUAGUUGGAUACUGAGUAGCCUUGACUGGUUUAGAAGGAUUCGAAGGAUCAUAGUACAAGGACAAAAUCUUAUUAGGCAUAUGGUCAGAAGAAUGAAGCCUUGCUUCUUCUUCUAGCUCAACUUGUUGGCUCCAAAGUAUUUUAUGGGGAGAAGGUUCUUUGCUGGUUUUAGAAGACUAGGAUUCUGGAAGUUUAGGAGCUUGGGUAUUCUUUUUAGGGGCCAUGGUUUCGUGAAUCCUGUAAAAUUCACAAGUUAAGAAAUCAGGGCUCGAAGAAUGUUCUCCUUUAAUAUACUCAAUUUGUAAAUUAAAAUUGCUUAAAAUAGCUUGAUAUAUAGCAAAAAUAUGCUUAGAAGUUAUAUUCUUAACAUCCUUUUGUAAAACUAAUUUUGCAAAUUUACAAUCAACUCUUAAUAAAAACUUUUGAUUCAAAAGAUCAUCUUGAAAUUUUGAAAUGCAUAAAACAACGCUUAAAGUCUCUUUUUUAAUGAUGUUAUGAAUGAGUUGGGUAGUAUUCCAGGUUCUUGAAGUAUACCUAACUAACAUCUCAAGGUUACCAACACUUUGCUUAAGAAUCCCACCAUAACCUAUGUCUGAGGUAUCGAUCCCAACAAACUCAAAGGUUUCUGGAUUGAUAGAGCCUAAACAUGGUAGGGUCUUGACUUUGGACUUAACAUCAAUAAUGAAAACAAUGGUGAAAACAGAAAACUGGUUAAAGUUUUCAUCCAUUAUAUUCUGGAAUUCUGAGGUGCAUUCUUAAGAUCAAAGGGCAUUAUGAACCAUUCAUAAUGUCCAAGAGAUACCACAAAGGUGGUCUUAUUUGGAAUAGGACACCUAAUCCAACUUAAUGUAUCAUUAAGAGGCAUGUAGUUGACGACUAGUCUAGGUGUUCCUUUUUCUGAUUCAACUUGUUCCUGAACAUAGAAGGUUGAACAACUCCAAAGGGACUUAGACUUCCUUAUCAACUUUUUAUCAAGAAGAUCCCAAAUCUCCUUAUCACAAUAGCUUAACAAACCCUUGUUCAUCUGGAUAGGUCUUGAUUUAGUGGGAAUAUUCUUGUCACUAAAGUCUAGUUCAUAAGGUAAUUCUACCUCAUGUUGUUUCCUAUGCCAAAAUGCAUUAGGAAUGUUAGAGCAAACUUCUUCAACAAUCAGAUUAAUUUCUUGCUCAUGACUUUCCUUAGCUUGAAUCACCUGAUCCCUUAAGGUGUUUAUAUUUUUCUUAUUAGGUGGUUGGCAAAUUCAAAAAUAAUUUCCUUAUCUAAGAGCUUUGUUCUUAUACUUUGGUCAUCUACCCACAUGGGAUAGAUGGAGCUUAAAAAGGGGAUUCCAAGGAGAGCUUUCUCCUUAAGAUCCUUAACUAGAAUGAAGGUUUGCUUGAUGCAAAUGCCUUGGUUAUUUAUGUGAGCAUCUGACAGCUUAUACUCAAUGUCAAGCCUUUUACCAUUAGCUCCAAAGAGAGAUUCUUUGGUUUUCUUACAAAACUUAAUAGGACCUAGACCUUCUUGUAGGCAAUUCAAAGCUGUUCCUGAAUCAAUCAAAGCAACAAUAUCAAUGACAAAUUUACUCUUAAUUACUAUAGUAAGGGAGACUUUCCACCUCUGGAAAAUAACCCUACUAACAGUAUUUAAGUAUCCAUCCGUCUUUUCAUCAUUAGCAUGUGAAGAUUCUAGAACCUCUUCAAGGUUUUCCUAGUUAUCAACAAGAUUUUCUAUAACAAUCCUAUUUAUUUGUUCUUGGAGAUCUGAAAAACCUAAGCUUGUGUAUUGUCUUAAAUCUUUAAUUUCCUUCUUAUACUGUCUUACUUCUUCUUGAAGAUCCUUAAUGGUUACGUCUUUGGUAGACUACUGGUUAAAUCUUCCUAAGAUUUCAUUUAAGUUAUAAGAAUUUACUGUCUUCUUAAUCUCUUGCUUAUCGACAAAUUUCUUAAAAACUUCAUAAAGAUCUUGUUUAGUUUUUUCAUCUUCAACUUUCCUUAAAACAUCUAGGACAAGUUCUUGAUCUUGGCUUAUGACAUUUAUAGUCUUAGGUUGGCAAUCACAAUUAUCCUUAAUGUAUUCUUCUUGGUCACUAGAAGUUUGGCUUGAGAUUUCCUCACCACUACUAUCUAGUUGGUUAAUACCAUUUUCAUUAUCUGAAUCAAUCCUUGAUUCAGACUCUGUGGAAUUUAACAUUACUUUACAAAGCAUAUCUUUUAAGUCUUCUGUGACAUUUAAGUUAUUAAUUUUCUGCUUAACCCUACAAUCUUUCUUAUAGUGGCCUAUCUUACCACACUUAAAACAAACUGGCUUAGAUUGUGAAGGAGCUUCUAGCUUUUUAUGGGCUUCUUUGUUCAUCAUUCUUUGGAUGUGCCUUUGUUUCUUAGUUUCAUUCAUCCUAUAGUUGCCAUGAGUUCCUCUCUUGUUGUGAUAGGACUUUUCCUUACUAGGCUUUGUACUUACUUGUUUCUUACGUUGCUUAGAGGGGGGCUUAGUUUCUUUUUGGUUGAAUCCAAACUAGCUACAAAAUGAACCAAACUCAUUCUUGUAGAUCCUUUGUUCAUUUUUCAUCUGUUGCUUAAGCUUAAAGUCAUUGCACAGUUUAAUUGCUUCUGAUGUGACAAUGCUUAUAAUUUCUCCAUAAGAAAGCUUAUCAUAAGGGAUUUGUCCAUUAAACUGUUCCCUUAUCUUAAUCCUAAUCCUCUCAGAGAAAAGUCUAGGUAGUCCUAAGAUGAAUUUUUCUUUCCAAAAAGACUGGUUAUAGUUUGAUCUUAGUAUGACUUUGGUUAGGAAAACUUCUCUAUACCAUCUAAAGUCAUGAAGCUUGGGACACUUAAGGUUGGUUAAGAGAUCUACAAUCUUAUCCUUAAUCUUUGCAGGAUCUCCAAUGAAGUGCUUUGAAAUUGAAUAGAUUAGAGUAGCCACUACAUCCUCUAUAUCUUGUCCAUCUUCAUCCUUAACCACUUCAUUUUCCUCAUUAAUCCUAUAGGCUUUUAGGAUACCAUUUCUAUCCUCAAAGGUGAGAUAAUUAUCCCACCAACCCUAAAGUUGACCUGUAAACCCAACAACAAUUGUUUGAGCUACAGCAUGGCCUGACAAUCUAUUGUUUAACUUAUAGGUUGUACUAACCAUGGUCAUUUCUUGAAGCUUAGUGAGUAUGUUGUACUCAAUCAUACCAUCUAUGUUCCAUUCAUAGAUAGUGUCACUAGUGUAGGAAGCUUGAGUAUGCUGGUUUCUUUCCUCAUACUACAUAUCAGGAAAAGUUGGUCUAGGGUAGUAAUUCCUAGUUCUUGGUUGUUGAUAAUCCUCAUAACUGUUUGGUUAGGAGGUUCCUUAAAAAUCUUAAUUAGUUCAUCAGCCUCUGCUUCAGAACUAAUUUCUCCUUUAACCAUAUUGAUUCUCUUGUGAGAUGGUUGAGGUGUCUCAGAGACAACAAGGCUAUCCUUAACCUUUUGGCUUAUCCUAUCAAUGAGGGCUUGAUCAAUAUGGAGAUUCUCUAGGAAUUUCUUAGAGAAUUCAAAAGGCUUAAAUAAAGACUUAUUAUCUUUCUUAACAAACGUAGUCUUAAUGUAGUCUUGUGUUUCAAUGAUAUCCUCAAACUUGUUGAGUUGAUCGCCUGUAGUCUUAAGAAACAUGUUAGUGUAGUUGUUUUGUUCCAUGAUUCUUCUAACGUCAACAACACUAUCAAUUCCUUUAUUCUUUGGCCUAGUCUUAAAAGGUGAAGCUUUGACUAUGGUUCAAUUAAUGUUCUUUUAUAUCUUAGCUUCUAGAGGGUGGAUGGAUUCUAUGAUAGUAUCGUCACUAGUUUUCCAUAUCUUAGUUUUUUUGGAUGUGUCAUUGACACGCUUACUAGGGUAAUCUAGAUAUUCCUCUUGUUUGAAGAGUUCAAACCAGAUCCAAUACUUAAUGUUCUUCUUUUCUUGUCUUAAGUAUGUGUAGAAUUCUUCUUGGUAGAGGGUUCUAAUGUCUUUAAGGACCUUGCUAAAGAACCAAACUCUCCUUUUCUUAUUGACUUCAGAAUAGAAGUCUUUCCUUAAGAGGUCCUUGUUGAUUCAAAGUCUUCGUUAAUUAGGCUUACAGUGUUAAUCAACUGAGAAUAAGUAGGAGACAUAUCAGGAGAUUCGUCCUGAUGUGAUUCUUGAGUAAACUCAUUUUCCUCCAUGUAAAAGGGUUUGGCCACGUUGGUGUGACUUCUAACACCUGUUAGCUUAAUAUUCUUAGGAUUUGCUGAACUAGAUCCUUCCUCUAUCCUAGUGGUUCUUAUUGGGAUAGAUGAACUUGAAGCUCUAGAGGGCUCAUAAUAUGAAAUUCUAAGGCUGCUAGAAUGAUGAAAAGAGUUGGAGAAAAUUAGAUCUCGUUCUCCAUCAGGAUAUUGAACAAUCUGUUCAAUUCUUUCAGAUCUUUGCUCUAUGGCUGGGACAACAUUAGCAAAAUGCCAAUUUUCUGGAAACUCAACCUCAUUCCACUUGAUUUUCAUGGGGACUAUGAAAUUAGACUUGUUUAUCAUAUCUAAGUGGAAGAUAGUGGUUUCACCCUUGGGACUGGUGCACAAUGCUCCAAAUCCAACGCUUAUGGUCAUGCUCUUAUAGGCAAAUCUGGUGAUGAUGGAAACAUGAUUGUUUCCUUGCUUGAACUUAAAGUCAUGGGUCUUAACAUGAAGGACAACUGAAUCUAAGAUGUUGACAUCUCUUAGUCUAACUGUGAAGUUAGGGAAACACUGGAAAUAAACAGGACCAUCAUUUAAUCCUGCUUGGGUAGCUCCAAUAAUAGAAUCUCGGUAAUCAAGAUGUCUAUUAUCUCUUAAACACAUGACAAUAAAGGUGUUUAGACCUAGUCUUGUCAAGGGCUUAGCUGCAACUUGAAUCAUGCCAAAGUGUAUGAAGUUGUAGUCUCGCUUAUGCUUAUCAAUGGACUUACUAUCCAAGAGUCUUAUGACUUGAUCGUCGUGUUCUAAACUUACUGACAUUUCAGGGGUUUUAAUGGUGUAAUCUGUAAAGAACUUAAAGGUUCCUUUCUUAUAAAUUUCUUGAUUAGGUACCUUGGGUAACUUCCAAUCAUCUAAAUCAUCUUGGAUCUUAGGAUAAUUGAUCUCUUCAUUGUUUACUCUUGAGAAUUUGUGGAUUUCCUAGACAUGGUUCUGAAAAUCAAACUCAUUUUAAGGUUUUAAUCUAGAGCCUAAUAGCAGAUUAACAGACCUAGUGAGUAAUCACCCCAACCCUUUUCCAACCUUAACAAACGCCUAUCUCCAGCUAACAAUGGGCUCAACUCGGCAAGGAUCGCACUCAGGCACACUACUAUCUUUCCUAGGAUAGAUCAAAACACCCAAAACAAACCCGACUUCCUUUUCCUAGGAUAUAUAUAGUAUUUUGGGUUUGAGUAGGAGUUCAUGUUUUGUAUGUAAUUGUAGUCUACGUUGGACUAGGUUGUUUGCUCCUAAUUGAAAUAGGAAUGGUUGGUGUCACAUCUCAUUCAUUUUCUCAUCUAUUUCCAUGUUUAGAUAACUCAAGUAAUCAUAGGAAUGAAAUUAAGAAUGAUUUGAGGGAAAUGAAAUCUCACUUGUAAGUGGGAUCUCAAUUCAUCAUUAAUAGAAGGUAUUUUGAUUACAUAGUGCAAGUUAUUUUUAAAAACACUUUUCAAAAAUUGAAAAACCAAAAACUCUCUUGGAUAAGUUGUUUUUAAAAAGAAUUUUUGUAUUUUUAUUUUGUAAAAAAAAAAAAUAGUAAUUCAAUUUAUAUAAUAUAAAUAGACUUUAAUUUUAUUAAAAAUAAAAAUAAUUUUUUAAUUACAAAUAAAUUAAAAAAUAAAUAUUUGUAAUAAAAUAUGAAUAGUAAUAUUAUAAUAAAAUCAUAAAUAAAUUAAAAAUAUUUUUAAAAACAAAUAAGUUUAAUUUUUUUGAGGUACAAAUGAGCCAAAUUUUUCAUUAGGUACACAACCAACAAUUUUUAUUGGAAACAUUCCUCAAAAAAGAAUUCGUUUCCCAUAUAGCAAAGAUAUUUAUUAUUUAGUAUCUAACCAUCCGUAGUAAUCAUAUCAAUUCUACUAAGUUAUUUAAUAAUUCAUUUAUAUAUAGUACUCAAUUAUGAAUUUUUUUAUUUGAUGUAUAAUUAAUUAAUCAAUGUUUUGAAUUUUGAAUUAUUCUUAAAAUUUAAAACAUUAAUUAUGUCUAUUACUUUUUAUAGUCAUUAUAUAUAUAUAUAUAUAUAUAUAUAGAGAGAGAGAGAGAGAGAGAGAGAGAGAGCUUAAAUUUAUCUUUAAAAAUUAUUAAAUUUAUUAAUAAAUUCAAUACAAAGACUCAUUUGAUUUGAAAUUCAUUUCUUUAGUGAAAAUUUUGAAACUAAAUAGUACUUUGUUUUACUUUGUUUUUAAAUCAUACUCACAAAUAAGUUUUUAUCAUUUAGCCAAAAAAUCUCAAAGAUGUUUCUAAUUUUAUUUAUUUAUUUAUUUGUAAAUGAAAAUAAAAAAUUAGUUUAAACUAAAUAUGCGGAUAUUAUUGUUAAUUUAUUUCAUUUUUUAUUUCCAUUGUUAUUUAACAUUGAAACGGAAACAAAUAAUCAUUCCAAUCUUACAUUCUUAUAUGCAUCUAAACACAAGAAUUGAAAUCACCAAAUUCAUAUUCAAGGCAAAAUAGAAAUGGAAAAAAAAUAUUCAUUUUCAUUCCUCAUUCUCAUGUGCUAAACAUGACAUUAGUUCUACUACCUAUUUCACCAUUCUUCUUGAUAAAUUUGGUAUAUGCAAUAUUGAUCUAAGUGUGAGGUGAAUAAGAAUGAUGAUGGGAUGGGCUUGGAAAUAAGGGCAAAGUUUCUAGGUGCUAUCUAGAGGGGCAACGCGACUUUUUCAAAUUUCGAAUAUUUGUUCUCAACAUAAAGCAAAACUUUACUCACACAAUAGAUAAGACUCUGUUUGUUUUCUUCAUCCACGACUAUAUAAUGUAUAGCUCUUACUCAAGGGAUGAGCUACUUACUAUUAAGGAUUGGGUAAGAUAUUGCCUAAUGGCCAAGAAGGCAUGUCAAAAAAUAAAUCUAAUCACCAUAAAAAAUAAUAGGGGAAAAUUAAUAUAUUAUGAAUGAUGACUUUACUAUUUCUCUAUAUACAUAAUUAUAUAUUUUGAAUUUUCUCACUAGGUAAUGAGAUUCUAAAUCAACUGAAACAUAAUUAAUAAUUUAUAUUUUUAAUGAAUCUUUUAAUUUUUAAAAAUAAUUUAAAAUUUUAAAAAACAAUUCAAUUAAUUACAUAUUAAAUCAAAACAUUUCAAAAUAUUGUGUUUGUAGAUGAGUACUAAAUGCUUGCAUAUAAUAAUAAUAAUAAAAAAAUUGACUCAUUUAGAUGUUAAAAAAGUUAAAUGUUUUUCAUUAUUCAUUUUAAGUAAAAUAUUAUUGACAUUAUUAUUAUAAAAUUAUUAUUAUUCAUUUUUAACAAAAAACAAAAUAAGUUAUUCUUUUACCAAGAUGUCAAUAUCUAUAUUUUUCUAACAUAUAUUAAAAUAGUAUACUUUUCUUUUAUUAAAAAUAAUAAUUAUUAUUAUAUUAUUAUUCAAGUUUUAUUAAAAAAAUUUAUCUUUUAAUUCAUUUGUAAUUACAAAAUAAUUUUAUUUUAUUAAGAAUUUAAUUUAAUUACGCUUUUUUUUUUUAUAAAAAAAACAGUUAUGCUUUUACCAAGAUGUUAAUAUUCAUAUUUUUCUAGCUAACAUAAAUAGAAUAGUACACUUUUUCAUAUAAAAAAAUAAUUUAUGAUUUUAUUAUAAUGUUACUAUUCACAUUUUACUAAAAAUAUUUAUUUAUUUUAUUUAUUUUUAAUUAUAAAAUAAUUUUAUUUUCAAGAAUUUAAUUUUAAAAAAAUAGAAAUCAUUUAUUCUUUUACCAAGAUGUUAAUAAACAUAUUUUUCUAACAUAUACUAAAAUAAAAAAGUUUACUUGUUCAUUAAAAAAUAUAAUUUAUGUUUUUAUUAUAAUACUACUAUCUAUGUUCUACUAAAAAUAUUUAUUUAUAAUUAAAAAAUAAUUUCAUUUUUAAUAAGACUUGAACUAAAUUAAAUUUAUAAUUUUUUUUUAAAAUAAAAUAGAAAAUUAUUUUUUAAAAACAACUUAUUGAAAGAAAUUUUUUAUUCUUUACUUUUAAGAACUGUUUUUAAAAGCAACCUAUAAACCCCUUUGGGUCUGUUUGGCUAUGUUUCAUGCAACUUGUUUUUAAAAAUUGUUUUUUAUUCUUUAAUUUAAUUUUUUUUAAGUUAAAGAAUAAAAAACAACUUUCUAGUGUUUUAUAAAAAUGAGAGCUUUUGACAAGUUGUUUUUAAAAACCAUUUUUAAAAAUAAAAAAUAAAAAACUUAUUUAGAUAAAUUGUUAUAUAUAUAUAUAUAUAUAUAUUUGUAAAAACAUUUUAAAUUCAAUUUAUAUAAUAUAAAUUUAAUUUAAUUUAAGUCUUAUUAAAAAAAAAUUGUUUGGAUAAGUUUUUUUUUUUAAAUAGUUUAUUAUUUUUGUUUUGUAAAAACAUUGCAAAUUCAAUUUAUAUAAUAUAAAUUAAUUUAAUUCAAGUCUUAUUAAAACCAAAAUAAUUUUAUAAUUACAAAUAAAUUUAAAAAUAAUUUUUUUAGUAAAACAUGAAUAAUAAAAUUAUAAAUUAUAUUAUUGUGGACCCUGCAUUUAUGCUCAUGCGCUUCCACUUGUUGGCGAACUCAUUUUUUAUUUGAAAAUGAUUUAUUUUUUUAGAAAAUGACUUAGAGUCGCCACUUAUUUUUGUUUUAUUUUUAAAGGGCAAGCAAAAUAAGAAAGAAAACCCUAAGUGUGACUCCUUAUUCGAAAAAGGUAGUCUGUGUAAAACCGGAUCAGGGUUCAGGGAUCAGGUUACUUAUUGGGAAGGUAUGACAAUGACCGUAGCACUCCUCUAAGUCCUUAAAAACGGGCCUCUACUAAAAAAAAUAAAGUAAUCAUGGCAAUCAGUAAGGAAAUCACUGGAUACCCAGAACAAUUAUGCACAUGUGAGAAUUAAAACAUGCAUAAGAAUGGACAAAGUGAGAGUGGGUGCGUACCUUGACAACGAACCACAAUGCGUUAUCAAGAAAUGGGGUUAGUGCACGAUCAAUGAACAUAAAACACGUCACACAUGUCACUAAGCAGAGUGAGAAAUCAUCAGAUAUUACAAUUCAAUCAAAUUUAUUUUUAGAAGAAACAUCUGUUGAUGUAGAGCCCCUACCAAAGCCUAAUUUAUUUUUGCAUGAAUCAAUUUCAUAAAUUCAAUCGCUUGGAAUUACAGAAUUAAAUUCAUGCUUAUUUUAAAACAUCUUUUUAAAAUCAUGGAAGAUGUGAAAAUGGUUUUCCAAAGAGAAAAUGACAACUGAUUUUAUUGAAAAUGGGAUUUUGGGGACCUAAACGUUAAAGAGGGAUUAGGAAUUGAAAAUUAAAUCAUUUGAAAAUUGAAUUUUUCAAAAAUCAGUUUUGAAAGCAUGCAUGCAAGUAUGGACUGUGAAAGUGGGCCUAGGGAGGGUGGCCAUGCAAAAUGAGGUCAUACACGUGGGCCUUGGGUACAAUUGGGACUACUUUGCUGGUGCCAGUGGUGCUUGCAGCUGUCAUCCAUGAUUUCUUCAUUGGGAUCAAUUUCCAUUCUUACUGCCAAACAUUCCAUAACAAUUGACCAAACUAGUAACCCUGACCUUGCAUGAAAAUGAACGUUACCUAGAAACUCACUGCCAGUGAGAUUCAUUGCUCUUUCAAAAGGUCUCAUUUUCUUUCUCAUCCAAUUGCUUUAAGGAGCAUUCUAGCGUCACGAUUGGUGACUGCGCAUCAUCUAGAGCCUUCUUUCUUCUCAGAAUCAGGUUUGCGUGCAGAGGCCUGUGCUUGUUCAAGGUUGACCUAAAUUCAUCUAGGUUUAGAACCGACCAGUUGAGCUUGGGGAGCAACGACAAGAAUAUCAGUCACUUGCGAAGAGAAAACUCGAGAUCUUUCAAGUAAUGCCUGACAUAGAUUCCUCCAACCUGUGGCCAAUAUCUCAUUCCUUGUUGGCCAGACGCCUAUUAGGGCGUAUCUCAAUCAAUAAUAUGAUUUUUCGUUUGUUCACAAUAAAGACCGGAAGCCAUGGUUGUGAUUUAUGCAGUACAGAAGAAGUUGCCAUGGCUGGUAUCCUUACAAAUUCUGGUGUUUCUGCUAUCUGUUCAAGUGCAAAACACAACAGCUUUAUCAAGUUUGUCCCUAACAACUGAUAUUGAGCCCUCUGGAGGAAACCUUGAUAAAUUCAUAAUCACUUUUGACUCAUGCAUGGGCUGCCCAUCAAAUUUUCCUAGCAACGAGACGACUGCUGUCAUCUACUGCAAAGAGAAUUUCUUCUCGCAAAGACAAGAGGAGUUUAAGAAUACACACUAUUCUGCCAUUUCAUUUCCUCUUUCUCCACAACCAACAUAAACCAUAGUGUCUACAUUAGAGUACUUAGAAAGAGCUUAACUGAUGACCGUUUUUCCACAACCAAAUGCCCCAGGUAUGGCACAAAUUUCACCGAAAACAGAAGGGAAAAGGGCAUCAAGAACACGCUGUCCUGUAAGUAGUGGGGUAUCAGGACUACUCUAGGGAAGUUAUUUCUGUCAUUUUGAAAAAGAAAAAUUAAAGAAUGUACACAUGCUUUCAAGUGGACUGGAGCAUUCUACAUAUCAGGUGGUCUGUAGCCACAUGUGCCACUUUGUGGAAGUUGGAACAGUCGAUCACUAGGCUAUUUAGUGUGGCCAAGCCACGUUAAUCAAGGACAAGUCUUCAUACUUAAAAGUCAAAUGGUGCCUUUAGUCUCAUUACACAUGGCUAUUUAAAGAUGAACUAAUCUUUAGUGUAAUGUGAUUAAGACAGUACUAACUGAUCAAUAUUUUUUCUAAUUUUGGAUGCAAAUGCUUGCUGGCUUCAUCAUUGGAUGGGAUAAAGGUGCAUUCAUGACUCUGAAUACUUGCAGUAAUACUUGCAGUAAUACUUCAUUCUCUUUUUUCUCGAUGAGACUUCUUGGCACAAUUUUGCUUCUCAGCAACCUACCUCUCCAUGGAAAAUGAGUUGCGAUUGAUGGUACUGGAUAUUUUCUAGGAAGCUAAAUAUAGAUAUAUAGCACUCAAUGUCAACGAUAUAUAUAGCAUUAACAGUAUAUGUCUCAAUGCUCAUCAGCUACAAGCAAGGGACAAACACUUACAAUGAAUAACUCACGUCAACAUUCCUAAACAGGACAUAGAAGUGACAGAUCUAUAUAUAGAACACUGCAUAUGAGUCACAAGAAAAGAUAAUACGGGUGCAUAGCAGCUCUUAUAUUACAUAUUACUCAUACCGUUCAAAUUCACUCAGUUGGGAUGGGUGGGAGAAGGAGGCCUCUGGGGUGGCUUGUGCGUGUGAGAAGUGGAAGAAAGUUGAAUGGAAUGAAACUGAAAAACAGGGUAGAAUAGAGGUUUCUUGAAUCUUCUGAAAUCUUUAUUUUUCUGAGAUUUAUUCUCUGUUUUUGUGAGUCGUGACUCUACAUAUAUACAUGUAUUUAAAGUUAGUUAUGCCUUAUAACUAAUUAUCUAACAGUACCAAAACUAAUCAUCUAGUUGCAUGUUUCUAAUUAAUGCUAUUUAGUUACAACUAUAUAUGGCUUAACAUCCUCUCUCAAACUCAAAAGUCUAGCUAGAACAGUGAGUUUGCUUCAUAGAUUGAGAAAUUGUUGAAUAGGUAAGGCUUUGGUAAGAGCAUUAGCAAUCUGGUCAUAAGAAGGAAUGUGUUGAACCACCAAAGUCUUAUUGAGCACCUUUUCCUGAACAAAAUGGCAAUCUAGUUCCACAUGCUUAACUCGAGAAUGAAAAUAGGAUUGGCAGCAAGAAAGGUGGCUGAAAGAUUGUCAUAGAACAAAACAAAAUAGGAGAAUAAGAAGAUGAGAUAGAAAACUCCUGAAGAAGAUGUUGAAUCCAUUGAAGUUCAAAAGCAACAUUUGCUAAGGCCCUAUACUCAGCUUCAUUGCUGGAACGAGACACAACUUUCUGCUUACUGGAGUUCCAGGAGACUAGAUUAGAGCUAAAAAAGAUGCAAUGACCACUUGUACUUCGACGAUCAUCAGGGCAACCAACCCAAUCAACAUCAGCAUAAGCAGUAAGUUGAAAAUCAGGAGAAGAAUAAAAGGAAAGACCAAAGGAAGUAGUGCCCUUAAGAUAAUGCAACAAUCGUUUAACAACUUGCCAAUGAAGAUCAGUUGGUUAUUGCAUGAAUUGGCAAAGUUUAUUGAUAGAGAAAGAGAUGUCAGGCCUUGUAAUGGUACAAUAUUGCAGGGCUUCAACAAUGUUGCGAUAUUGAGAAGGGUCAGCCAAGAGGGAACCUUUAGAGGCAGAUAAAGUGUGAGAGGUAGUCAUUGGUGUAUCAAUAGGUUUAAAAUAUGGAAGACCAGCACGAGUUAACAAGUCCUGAAUAUAUUUGGUUUGGGAAAGAUGAAGAGAAGAUCCUUGCCAACAUACUUCUACACCCAAGAAGUAAUUCAGAAUACCAAGGUCCUUGAGAGCAAACUGAAAGUGUAAAGACGAAACCAUUUGGUGGACUAGCACGGUAUUAAGACCACUAACAAUAAUGUCAUCAACAUAGAUGAGAAUAAUGAUCAUGUCAGUCCCUUUCCGAAGAGGAGCUUGCUUCAGACCCUACAAGGCUUUGCGAAGUUUACAGAAAAAACCGGGUUUAGAAUGAUCAACAAAGCCUGGAGGUUGAACCAUGUAAACCUCUUCUUCUAACUCACCAUUGAGAAAGGCAUUAUUAACAUCUAAUUGUUCCACUAACCAACCAUGAGAAAUAGCAAGAGAAAGAACAAUUCAUAUAGUAGUUGGUUUAACAACAAGGCAAAAGGUUUCAAAAUAAUCAAUACCAUAUGUUUGAUUAAAACCCUUUGCAACUAAGUAGGCUUUAAAACGAUCAAUUGAGCCAUUAGCUUUGAGUUUCAGCUUGUAUAUCCAUUUACAACUAAUAAUGCGUGUAUUAACAGGUUUAGGAACCAAUGUCCAUGUGGAAUUGGUGAGAAGAGCAUCAUACUCAGUCUUCAUAGCAGCUUGCCAAUUAGGAUGCAAUAUUGCUUCUUUGAAAGAGGAGGGUUCGACAACAGUAGUUUGGAUAGCAAGGCUAAAUAUUUUUUUGGGUUUAAAAAUACCAUUUUGGCUACGAGUAACAAUAGUUCGGUUUGGAAGUGAAAGAGGAUCAGUGGAGGAGGCUGGAACAAGGGAUUGUGGUAAAGUAGGAAAGGAAGGUGGAUGAGAUGGAACAAAAUCAGUAGGGACAAUAAUGGGAGAAGAAAAAUUAGGUGGAGAAUGAUGAGGAUUCCUUGAAGAUGGUGUAGGAAUAGAGAGAAUACCAGAAUCAAGAAGUGUUAAAGAAGAGUUGGAUGAUGAUACUGGUUGACAGGAUAAAGACUUUGUUAAAAAUGGAAAUCGAGUUUCAUCAAAUACAACAUGACGAGAAGCAUAUAUCCGAGAGGAAGCCAUAUCCAAACAGAGGAAUCCCUUGUGUUUAGCACUAUAACCCAAAAAACAGCAAACAACAAAUAUAUUUGCUAGCUUGUGAGAAGCAUAAGGGCGAAGAUAAGGAAAACACAAGCAUCCAAAACUUCAAAGAGAUGUAUAAUAAGGUAAACGAUUAUAAAGAACUCCAUAAGGAGAAUUUUGUGAAAGAACAGCAGAGGGAAGGCAAUUUAUGAGAAAAAUGGCAGUUUGAAAUGCAAAUGACCAAUAUUUGAGAGGGUAUACCAGCUUGUAUUAACAAAGAAAGACCAACUUCCACAACAUGACGAUUCUUUCUUUCAACUCUUCAAUUUUGCUAAGGAGUAUAAUGACAAGAGACUUGAUGAAGAAGACCAUUUGUAGCCAAAUAAUUCUGAAAAGCUGAAACUGAAACUCAUCAAAUUGAUUUUUAGUAUCAAAUUUUCUUCAGACUGAACACAUUGAUUUUUAGUAUCAAAUUUUCUUUCAACCAUGGCUUGAAAAUGUUGGAACAUAAGUAAAGCUUCAUCUUUAGUUUCCAAAAGGUACAACCAUGAGAAUAUGCUAAAAUCAUCAAUUAGCAAGAGGAAAUAUUGAGCAUUACCAUUGACAGAAACUAUAGGAGUUGCACCCCAAAGAUCAACAUGGAUGAGACCGAAUGGUUUUAUUGCUCUAGAAGUGGAUAUUUCAAAUGGAAAACGAUGGCUUUUAGCCAACUGACAAGACUCACAUACAGAGUUAUUAUUGUCAUGUUUCAAAGGUAUUUUAUAAAGAGAUAAGAUUUUGGAAACUACAUUAAUAGAGGGAUGACCAAGUCUAUUAUGCCAAAGCCUCAAAGAACCAACGGCUAAAGUACUACUAGUAGAGUAAAAUACUAGUGGAUGACCAACAACUCUUGGUGUAGCAAGAAGUUUAUAGAGACCCUUCUCAAUUUUUCCUUGAAGAAGAGCAAGUCUCGUUUCCUGAUCCUUUACCACAAAAUGAGAAGAACGAAAUUCAAUAAAGGUGCCAUUGUUUGAGUAAAAUCGUUGCACGCUAACUAAGUUGGUGGUAAUAGAAGGAACAUGUAAGACAUCAUUGAAAAACAAAGAACCACUUGAAGAGGCAAGAGAAAAUUUACCAAUAUUUGCAAUGGAUAAACCCUUACCAUCUCCAACAAUUACUUUGUCACCACUGGUAAAUGGAUUAUGGAUUGUUAAAUUGUUAAGAUCAGAUGUGAGAUGAUGGGUAGCCUUUGUAUCAAGAAACCAAUAAGUGUCUCCCAUUGUUGCAGAAGUUGUAGUCAUAGCCUCAGGAUUGUUAGAGGUGGAAUGUUUAGAAUCUUUUGGCUGAUAAUCAGAGUUAAACCGAUACCAGCAUUGUAAAGCGGUGUGUCCGAACUUACAACCGAGAGAAAUAAUCUUUACUUAUUCUCUAAAAACUGUUCUUUAUUCCACACAUUAUUUCUAAAAACUGUUUCUAGAUAACAAUGACAAAAUAGUAUUAGGAAUUUUUAAAAAUAAAAAUUGUUUUUAAAUUACAUGAUCUAUAUCAUUCACAUUUGACCAUUAUAGCUUUGUUCAGGAAAACACUUGAAAGUAACCUUAUCGUGAUAAGAGAUAUAAGUUGGCUGUAGUUUCAAACUGAAAACAGAGGAUGGCAAUAGAAAGCAAAGCAUUAGUUAUCUGCAAUCAGUGGUGAUCAUGCCCCAUGUCAAUUUCGGACCCAUAUCUUAAAACCGUAUAAUUUGCAUUUCAACAUUUCUGAUUUCUCAGAUGUUUCAUACUCCACAGAAGAACAUUGUUUGUGAAAGCAUGCAUUUAUGCUGGAUUUUGGAUGAUGUGGGAACUGGGGCAAGGAUCAUAUGGAAGAGUGGUCGAUUUUUUCUGUACUUUAACAUUUGAAAUAGGAGCAGCACGGGCAUUUGUGGGGCUUAAUUGAUUUUGAAGCCUGAAAUUGCGUUUCUGUCAUUUUGUAAAAAAUAUGGCAGAUUCCAUGCUCUCAUAUGUUUGGUCUGUGGCCAUGUAUAGAUGCCACUUAGUGACCAGUUUGUAACUGUCAAUCAUAGUGUUUUGACUCUGGCUCAACAACAUCAGCCAUUGACGGAUUUUCAUACAUGCAAAUCAAAUAGUCUUCUUCCUCCCUUAGGAAUUUCGGUUUAAAUGUUAUUAAGCAUACAUUUGGCUGACAAUUAUUAACCACUUCAUGAUAUGGUUUCUUACCCUUAAUCAAUGGUUUCUAAGUGAAUAUAUGCAGAAGGAAAUCUGAACUGUAGACAGCAGUAUUGAUAAUUAUCAAUAUUCUUUAUAUAAGAGAAUAAACAACGUCAUAGUGAUCGUCGCCUACAAGAAAGGUACAUUUCCCAACAAGAUGUAGUUGUGACUGGUACAUGGACGUAAUUAACUCGUAGAAAAGGAUAAGACCAGUGCACGGCAGCUCUUAUUUUACAUGCUAAUUAUGCUAACCAAAGUCACUCAGUUGGGAUGGGAGGGAGAUGGAGGUUUGUGCGGUGGCUUGUGGGGCGGAGUUGGUGGCUUCUUUUCAGGAGCUUGUGGCUUUUUCGGAGCUGAAGGAGGCUCAAUCUUAUGAGGCGGCUUGUACGAGUCUUCUUUACUCUCGACAGGAGGGUGGCCAGGGUUGUGACCAUAAUGUGGUGGCUUCUCUCCCUUAGGUGGCUUGCCAACUGGGGUUGGUGGCUUGUGUUCAGGAAGUGGUUUCUCUCCCUUGGGAGGUUUACCAAUUGGGGUUGGUGGCUUGUGUUCUGGGAGUGGUUUCUCUCCCUUGGGAGGUUUAGUGGGUGACUUGUGUUCUGGAGGUGGCUUCUCCACCGGAGGCUUGUGCUCCGGUGGUGGCUUCUUGGUUGGAGGGGGCUUGGGGUAAUCAGCAAGAGAUGGGGGGGUGAGAACCACCACUCCAAGGAACAACACUAGCAAGUAUGUGGGAGACAUUUCUGAGUUUGAGCUGAUCAGAUGAUGCAAAACUAGAAGAAUUACGUGACCUUUUAUAGCAAGUAGCUCCCAAUACCCACAUGACACGUGUUACUGUGACCAUAAAUAUUAUAGGGUCCAUUUGUGCCCUACCGGGUUGAAAACUUGGACGCUUGGCCGAGGACACACCGAACUAUGGAGGACUAUUGACGUGUGAUCACAGCUUUUGGAUUUUUCUUCCUGUGCAGCUGUCUAGCGGUUGGCAUUAUUUUUUUAAUCUUAAAUAAAGGCAUAGUUAUAGAGUACAUUUAUAUAUCUUCAGAUAGCCAUUAAUAUAUUUGAUGAAGAAAGACAAGUGCAUACAACAUGUAUACGGCUUGCUUCAAUCGAGUACAUUUAUGAUCAGUUUUCCAGUGCAAGUAAACCAGUUUUUUGUUCCACAACUAUUUUGGAAUCUUGUUUAUCAGUUUCUAUCAUUAUAAUGUCACAUAGGCUGCAAACUUGGGCACCCAAAGAUCUAGUUGGGCAAAUUUGUUUCAGAAUUUCAAUGGUGGAUUCAGUAAUUGUUAAAAGGUGUUUCUUCAUUAAGGAAAGAGUCCUGUAAAAAUAUUGUUAAAAGGUGUCAUAGAAACUAUAAUAAUUAAAUAACUUCUUUUCCCCGUGGGUGGUGUUUCUUCUGGGGAUACCCAAAAUGAGUUCAGAUUAAAAUUGGUUCGAGUCAAAGCUGUCUCUUUUGUCCAGAAAUCAACUAUUUUGCGCAUUGCAUGAAUCGAUAAAGAAAAAAUGAAAGCCAAAUCACACCUCCCCUGCAAAACCUAAACCCCGGUUGCUAACUUUCUAUGUUUCAGUCCUAUUCAUACAGGAAUAUUGGUUCAAGUUUGAGAAAAAUGGCAACUUACCUAGGGAUUACUUGGUUGUGGUUUGCGACGACUAUUUACGCAACCAACCAUGAGUUUGACUUUAACGUCAUGGGUUGAAGCCUCCUACAAUCGUGUAUGAUAGUUCAAAGCUCGUAGUAGAAAUUAUACAGGAAGGAAGAAACCUCCAAAGCUAGCUCCAAAAGAGAAUUAUCACAUCGAUAGCUCCAGAGAUUCCCAAGGGGACUGAAUCAAAGACAAGUUCCUCACUUUUUCUUCUUUUGAGGCCAAAUAUGAACCAAGGAUCACACGACCUCAUUCAACUUCAUAAGUUUGAUUUCAUGCAGUUGAACACUGGGUGAAGGCCAUGACAAGAAUUGAUUAAAAAAUUCUACCACUGUUUUAAGUAAUGGAAGAUUAUUAUCUCUGAUUGGCACCACAACAGCACAUGCUGCUAGAUCUUUCUAGACACUCCAUGCAAUGAAAGUACAAUGGAUCUUGUAACGAUAGAAACUAAGCCAUGCUACAGUACUAGAUGACGAGGUAAAACUAUUAGACAUGGGUGGCAGCCUAUAUGGGAGGGACACAAGUCUAAUUGAUUUGCAUUUCAGCGUUCUAGAUGGGUAUGUUUUGGAAGAUUUGUUCUGGAAAUACCGCACCAAGUAGGAUUCUUUUUUCUCUUGAGUGGGUCCACUUGCAUGCCAAUUAUCGAGUUGAAAAGUAGAGCACCUACCUCGUGCUCGUGGAACCGAAGGUCAGUGAAGUGGGGCUCCUUUUGGCCUCUUGUGUUUCUGUUCCAACCAAGGCGGCGGAGGGAAAAACAGCAAUAUGUCUCCGCUAAAUAUCAACGCAUGAUAGCGAAUGAGGGAGAAAAAAAGUAAUUGGCAUCUCAAUCUCACAAACUUGGUACAGUAGUGACAUUAAUAGUCUUCCACAUGGUUUUUAUUUUAUUUUAUUUUAUAUUUUAUAUUUUCCAUUUUUUUAUUUUUUUGUAUGUCAAGGCUAAUGAAUAAAAUGCGUUAGCUUGUUUUGUGAUUGGAACUGCAAAUGUCCAAAUUGGAGUUUCUCCAUUUCUCAGUUCGGAUGGUUAACUUUAUAAACAAGAUAUAGGAAACAUGUGAACGUCUUGAGGAACAAUUCGAAUUAUUGAUUAGAACUCCUAGGUUGAGUUCCAAGAUUUAAAUCAGACCCCUCUAGCAGCUUCAGGGGUACCUAGCAAUUAGAACAUAUUAAUGAAGAUUUAGGAUUUAGACUCCGGAAUACAAAUUAAUAUGUAUCUUAUGCUCUGACUAGCUUCCCUGCAUAUGCACAAAAUGGAGAUGACCCAAAAAAUAGCAGAAUCGCCUUAGUUUAUGUGGUUAAGGUGAUUCUCCGGUUAAUAUCCACAUUGGCUCAUUAUGCAAAUCAACUGAGCUAUUUUUUUUUUAAUGUCAAAUAGGAACUCCUAAUUAACCUAACCAUUGGCCUGUGUAAAUUGAUUUCACAUGCACAAUGUUGUAGUAGAAGUCCACAUUUUGAAUUUUAUUUUUGGAAAGGUAAGGAAAAUGAAGCAUUGUGUAAUUAUAAAAAUAACUUCAUUGGAAUUCACAAGGUUCACCCAAAAUGGAGCUACAUCCGUAUUCUAUCUUACAGUAGACUAUAUAGAUUGUACAAUAGUAAAUUGCAAAUACAAUUAAUAAGUCUUGUGUUUCCUUACUAAUAAUCCUUUGACAUAAACAUUGCAGCACUAAGGUCCUCUUGGGCAGACACCUUGCACCCAUGAGAGCACUAAGAGGAAGCAAGGCGGAGUCAUGGGUGCAAUGUCAUGACUUGUUGCACUAAGAGAGGCUUGGUGAUGGCAUAGUGCUGCAGUAGCAAGAAUGUUGCCUUGGCAGGGACACGAUCUAGGGACAGAUGCCAAGAAAGGCUUAGCACUCACAUGAGUUGCACAAAGAUGAAUGAAAUAGAACAUCAAAGAGACAUCUUGGCAAGCUCAAGAAAGACAUGUGGGUUGGUAAAUGAAUGGAUGCAAGAGGCAACAACAUGAGGAGUUUCAAAUGGAUAGGGAAUGAGUCAAAGACAUUUGAAAGCUACAAGUUGGAUUCUAAUUACGAUUGCAAUUUGAGUUUGAGUAGGAGUUUAUAUUAUGAUUGUAAUUGUAGUAUGAGUUGGACUAGGAUUGCUUAUCCCUAGUCAAAAUAGGAGUUGUUCAUGCCACACCCUAUGAAAAGAGUUUGAGUAGGGACUAGGAUUGCUUGCUCCUAGUCAAAUAUGGAGUAGGUGGUGCCACACCUAUAAAAAAAAAAGGGACAACAUGAGAGAGAGAGAGAAUGAAUUCACCAAAGAUAUUGUGGGAGUUUUGCUUUGUUACAUCUUGUAUUAUUAUUUAGAAUAGUAAUAAAAUACAAGUUGGGGCUAGAGCCCCAUAAUCUCGUGUGCCUUUGUGGGUUAUUCUUUAUUUGCCAUCUCGUGUGGAUUGGAUUAGAUUGAUGAGGCGAAAUAUUAUGUGGGAAAUUUAUGUUGGGACACUUACCAUAACCAGGUAAAAUCUACCAAGUCUUUUGUAAUAUCUUCUACAAAUAUUUUAGACCAGUUCUUCACAAAACAUCAUAAUAUGUUUUGUGUUUCUCUUGGAUUUUGAGUUGAAUUGUCUUAGAUCAAUUGAAUGCAUCUCAAUAUUAUUAUCUUGUUUGAAGGCUUGAUGAUUUUCCAUUUAACUUUACUUUCUUUAGGUUAUGCUUGAUUCCUUAAAAGUACUAAGGAAAACAAAAAAUAAAAAAAAAUAAAAAAUGCAGAGGGUUAGGACAUGUGUUAUCUAAUUGUCCUAUCCAAAGAUAUUAAGAAAGUCAUGUAGGAAAGUAAUUGAAAACUAGGUCAAGAAAGGAGCAAAAGGGAAUUGUUUUGGUAUUUUCUUUUUUAUUCUUGAAGGUGGCAGAGCUAAAAUUUGAGAAAUCAAGCAAAACAUACUGAAAUUACAUUGAAAGAAAGAAAAUGGUAGUUAAUGUCUUGCAGUACAUGAUAAGGACUUCAUGCAUGUAGUGUGACGACCCAUGUCUUGGACUGAUGCCACACUCACGGUUACACUUAUACCCUUGGUUCUCUCUUUACUACCUUGGCUAACCUAGAUCAGGCUAUGAGAUAGGCUCCUCACCACACCAUCACUUGCCCAGUAAUUAGUGACAUUUUCAAGCAAUGAGGUAACAUGGUGACACCAAGAGGGUUUAUCCCUCGCCCCAACAAGUCUAGACUCGGUCUCAAAAAAAUGGAGAAAAAUGAGGUGUCGUUAUGCAGAAAUACAACAACCAUGCCUUCCUUAUUACUUAGAUUCAGAAUGUGAAGGUGAAAUUGAGAAACAGAAACUCUUGAAACCAGAAUGAAAAUUGAUACUUUUACGAAGAAUUACAACAUUAGAGGAAGACUACAUUCUUCCUCUAUAUUCCUACGUUUCUACACUACUUCUACUCCACUCCAUAUUUCUACAUACAUCUUUAAUCAGUUUUCCCUCCUUUAUAUAGAGCCAUCUUCACACAAAUUCCGCAAGGUAGAAAAGAGGAAUGAAACUUGGAGCAAGGUUCGACUACUGGUUGUCGCUUGUCAAGGCUGGAAUUGAACUUUUUUUCUUGGCUUUUCUGGGCAUAGGUAGUAACUUGUGGUUCCUUUUUGGAAUGAAAAUGGUACAGCUAGAACAUGUGGCACUCUCUUGUUGGAUUAUGUGUCAAACAUGUGGCAGCCAUCUAGUGGAGAUUAUUUCAAUUUUGGGAUGGAGAGUUGGCAUCCAAUUGCAAAGAAAUAUGACAUCUACCAACAUGCAAUGUAAACCUAUAUAGAUCAUAUGGAGAUAGAGAGGAAACAUAUAGAAAUGGAUAUAUACCUAGAACUAGCUUUUUAUUAAAUGAGACGGAGAGCCAACAAUGAAGGAAAAUCAAAAUUUUUGGCUCAUAUCAAAGAAUUCACAUUGUGUUACCCUAGGUUUUCUUAAAGCUUGCACAAAGCCAAAAAGCACACAAAAAAUUAUAUUUUCUAGCUCUCUACCUUGGAUGGUCUCUUGAUCCUACUUGGAGAUGUGCAUAAAUAAAAGGAUUUGAAAAUGACAAUUGACUAAGUAUGUAGUCAAUCAAUUACUCAUUAAUUGACUAGUUGAUCAAUUAACUUUGCAACAUCAUAUGCAAUCCUAAUAGCUAGUCAUCUAAUCAACUAGGUAGUAAAUCAAUAGGCCAAAAAUAUGUUUAUAAUGACUAUUUUGUACAAAAACCACCUAUAUGGUUAAAUAUAAUGCAUUUCAUUUAUAAAUCUUCUAAUUCUUGAAUAACGAUCCUAUCAUCCUUUGAAAGUUUUUAUUACACCUUUUAUACUUUUGUUCUAAAACUUACACAUGUACAUCACCCUUAAUUGUACCAUGAGAACCUAGCUUUUUUUUUUUUUUUUUUUGUAAUUCAUCAAAGUUAGCUUUUGUAUUCAUUACUGUACUAUUUUUAUUGUAACUUAGAAAGCGAGUGUUUUCAAGUGAGUGAAAUUGACUUAUAAAUAUUGUAAAGAUUCAUUGAUGUGUAUCUUAAACUAAGUGUACAAGUUGAAACAUUUGCUAGUAGAUUUUCUCAAGAUUUAGAAUAGAGCUUGAGGCUAUUGAAAUAGGUGGGGUUGCACCAAACCACAUCACAUUGUUGUUUGCACCUUUUUUUCACUCUCUUUUACUUAGUUGCUCUAUAUUUGUUGUCUAGUAAUAUCCUAUAGGCUUGAUGGGUUAGGGAGCAUCCCUUUGUGAAAAAUUUUCAUUCAAUCCUUAGUUGUAUCACGCAUAUAUAAAAUGCCUCAUUGUUUUAAUGGUAUUCAGUCGUGGCAUCACAGAUAUGGGCAUCUAAAUUUUAAAAGUUUGAAACUUUUAUCUAAAGAAAAUAUGGUGCUUUGCCUUUUUGUAAAGCAUGUUGAUGAAAUCCAUGAGAAUUGUGUACUUGGGAAGCAACAUCGAGAUGACUUUUUUUUUUUUCAUUUUUUAUAAUGCGACACCUAAGUCCGGUUUCUAAAUGCUGAAGUGAAAGGGUAGGUAUGGACCAUUGAAAUCUGAUCACAACUUUUGGCCUUUUCCUUUCUCUGCAGCCAUGUUGUCUCUUUUUUCUUUUGCAUGAUUUUCUUACCUAAACAGAAUCAUAGACUUGUUUAAUCUCUAAAUGGUAUUUCAUCCAGCUUUAAGCUACUGUAUUAUAUCUUGGUGGAGGACUUUUAAGAGUGAAACCGACAUAGAGCACAUGCAAGUGGGUAUAUGGGACAUGAAAUUUCUUCUUAUAAAGACUGCAUGGUUUUUAUAUUAGAGUUGUUGAGGCGCAAUGUAUUUAGCUUGUUUUGCAGUUAAAUUAAUUGGAUAAGUAGACAUUGUCGUUUCUAAAUUUCCCACCUAAGAUAGUGACCUUAUCCUUGACUGCUUGAUGAGAUACACAAACAAUUAUACCUUCAAAAUCUACUGUGAAGUGCUUCAUGUAUGUGUGAAGUAUUAGAAAUUUCUUUCUUGGCAACUUGUUUUUUCUUUGCCCUCUACUGAUAGGUUUGACUCAAAUUAAAUUCCCUGUCAUGCUAAUUAAUUUUCACGUGCAUGCUCAAAAGGAUCACGUCAACUCUGGUUUCUACUAUUCAGGUCCAUUCCCAGAUAAACUGGUUCAAAUUUGAGAAAAUGGCAACAGCCCUUUAGUGAUGUUGGUUUGGAGCCAGUAGCCAAACCCGCCCUGAGCUUUACCACUAAUGUCAAGGGACAAAGCCAUUUGAACAAAAACAAUAGCUUCAAGAGACUGAAUCGUGGAUGAAAUCUGAUCCACAUUUCUUCUCAUUUUGGGAACAAAUGAGAACUUAACUACAAAGAUUCUACUGCCUCAUAGUGCUUUUCCUGAUCUAAGGUUGGUUCGUUUCCCAAAUUGUGAGGUACGUGCCAUUCUCACGCUCAGGAGUGUAUCCACGUGGUGGACAUAAGAUGGUGGCUUAAUAUCUGGUGUCGGUGGCUUUACUUUACUAGGAGAGUAGUGUGUCUUCAUCUCAUUCACUGCCGGAGGGUGGCGUAAGCAGUGACGCUAAGGUGGGGCACAGUCAAUAUCAUUUGCAUUUGACCAUUAUAGUUUUCUCCCGGCUUGAAAGUAACCUUAUCGUGAUAAAGGAUUACUAGCACUAGUUCAGAUGACAGUCAUGUUAAAUUCGGACCAUGUUUGUGUCACAUUAUCAGCAACCAUGUGUUUAUGGUUCAUGCUAUCUGCAACUAAACUUGAUAUAUAACCACGUGAACUUCAAUCUAAAUUCUGGAAGUACUCUUGUGAUAGAUGGUGCCUGUCUGCAGAGUCCAUCAAUUGAAAAAUGGAGUGAGUGUAUCUAUAAGAGGGAAGGCUUGGCAAAUGUUCAGUUUUCUGGGAACUCAACAAGGAUCUAAAAUAGAUUGUUUUCUUUGCUGAUUUCAAUGGUUGAAAUUUGAGAAGAUUGUGUCCACAUAACACAACUAUUACUGGUCCUUCUGUUGCAAUUUAUCCUCUAAGGCUCUAACAUGUCUUCCAAUUCCCACUUCCCUGUUACUCCAGGAAAGCUAUUUCUGUCAUUGUGAAGAAGAAAAGAGAAUGUACAUAUCGAUGGUUUUAAGUGACUGGGGCAUUCAUAUCAGGUGGUCUGCAGCCAUAUAUGCCACUUUGUGAAGGUUGGAACAGUCAAUCACCAGGCUAUAUUAGUGUGGCCCAGCCACUUCAAUCAAGGACAAGUCUUCAUACUUAAAGUCAAAUUCUGCCUUUAGUCUCAUUAUAAAUUGCUGUUUAAAUAUUAAGCAAACAUUUGUUUAAUGCGAUUAAGACAGUACUAACUCAAUACUUGUUCUAUUUUUGGAUGCAAAUGCUUGAUGGUUUCAUCAUUGGAUGGGAUAAAGGUGCAUUCAUGAUUAUGAAUACUUGUAGUUAUAUUUUCAUUCUCUUUUUUCUCAAUGAGACUUGUUGGCACAAUUUUGCUGUUCAGAAACCUACCUCUCCAUCGAAAAUCAGUUGUGAUUGAUAGUACUGGAUAUAUUCAAGAAAGCUAAAUAUAGAUAGCACCAAAUAUUAUCGAUAUAAAUAGCAUUAACAGCGUACGUAUGUCUCAAUGCUCAUCAGCUAUAAGCAACGGGCAAACACUUACUAUGAGCAACUUGCGUCAAAAUUCCAGAAUAGGACAUAGAAGUGACAGAUCUAUAUAUAUAUAGAACACUGCAUAUGAGUCACAAGAAAGGAAAUUACGGGUGCAUAGCAGCUCUUAUUUUACAUCCUACUCAUACUGAUCAAAGUCACUCAGUUGGGAUGGGUGGGAGUAGGAGGUUUGUGGGGUGGCUUGUGCGGAGGAGUUGGCAGCUUCUUUCCAGGACCUGGUUGCUUCUCUGCUGGAGUUGAAGGAGGCUUAAUCUUCCGAGGUGGCUUGUAUGAGUCUUCAGCAUUCUCAGCAGGAGGGUGACCAGGGUUGUGACCAUAAUGUGGUGGCUUCUCUCCCUUAGGUGGUUUGCCAACUGGGGUUGGUGGCUUGUAUGAGUCUUCAGCAUUCUCAGCAGGAGGGUGACCAGGGUUGCGACCAUAAUGUGGUGGCUUCUCUCCCUUAGGUGGUUUGCCAACUGGGGUUGGUGGCUUGUGUUCUGGGAGUGGCUUCUCCCCCUUGGGAGGUUUUUCCAAUGGGGUUGGUUUGUGUUCAGGAGGUGGCUUCUCCACUGGAGGCUUGUGUUCAGGAGGUGGCUUCUCCACCGGAGGCUUGUGUUCAGGAGGUGGCUUCUCCACCGGAGGCUUGUGUUCAGGAGGUGGCUUCUCGAAUGGGGGAUGCUCAGGGUAAUCAGCAAGUGAGGGGUUGGUGAGAACCACCAUGCCAAGCAACAGGACUAGCAAGUAUGUAGGAGACAUCUUUGGGUUUGGACUUAAGACAGUGGAAAACUGCGAGAAUUCUCUAGCCUUUUAUAGCGGGUCGACCCAGUACUCACAUGACACGUGUCAUUAUGACACAUGUGCCAUGGGGUCGAUUUGGGUCCUACAGUGUUGAAAAGUUGGGCAUUUGAGGUGUGAGCACAACUUUUGGCCUUUGCUUUCUCUACAGCCGCCAUGCUUUUCCCUUUUUUCCUUUUCCUUUUGUUUUCCUCCUGCCUCGUGUUCUCAACUAAACACAAUUAGGUUGUUUAAUUGUUAAAUGAGAUUUUUGUCUGUCAAUCAUAUUAUAUCCUAUCAAGAGAGAACAGAGUGUAAUGUAGUACACAUAACACGAGGCAGUAGUAAUUUUAUCAUUUAUUUUUAUAGCUUGGACCACCGCAUUUUUUCUUCUAAAAUAUUCUGUCUUGUUAAGAGACGCAAUAAUACACAAUUUUAUCUGCCAUUCAACAUUUACUGUAAAGUUCUUUUAUCUCUUUGUAGUUCUAGAAAAGUACAAAAUGGAACAUCAUGUAUAUGGUGCCUUCUGUCCUAAAAAAGAAACUGGACAAAUUAUGAACUGCAUGCUAAAAAGAGGCAAAGGAGCUUAAUUCGCAGCAUAAUUAUUUUGGUUUCUAGAGAGCCCGGGGCCUUUUGGUUGGUUUGGGGUCAGAAAAUGAACAUCAUAGGGAUUGUGCCCUUAACUGGCCUUGUUACUACAAAGAAAUUGCCAUAGAAAUUUAUUCCAGGCUGAGUAUCUCCGGAUAGACCCCAGAAAAGAAGAGUCAUAAUGAGAAUCAACCUUUGUUGAGUUUGAUUCCAUGCCUCCAUUGUGUUCAUUUCAUGAAUCUGAUUUGCAUUUAACAUUACAGUUUUGUUCUGGAAACAAUCAAAGGAGCAUCGUUUGCUUCUUGGGUGACCCAUAGUGGUGGGUGGGUCGAUUUGCUUAGUUGAAAAUUGGACAAUUGGCUCCAUCGCCUACCUCUUGGAUUCCAUGCUCGGAUAAAACGACAACAAAUAAAUAUUUAUAACUUACAACUGGGGAAAGGAAAAAAUAGUACUAAAUUCAUGGUACAUGAUAGUGAGAGAAGGGGGUGUUACACUCAGCUAAAGUUCUUUUCUAAAUAUUGCAUGGUGUUUAAUUUUAUGUGUCGGCGCGCGUGUGAAUGGAACCUGCAAAAGUCCAAAUUGGCGUUUCUCCAUUUUCCACAUAGGAUGGUGACGUUAAUAGACAAAGAUACAAUAUCUGUAGACAUUGCUUAAAAAUCGAUGUGAAGUAUUAGAAAUUACAGGCCACUGUACUGGGGGAGCGGCUGCCCCGCCAAAGGAAGAAUGUAGCAAUUUCUUCUGUUAGCCAGGCCUUAGGAUUUAUGCAUGGGAUGCCUAAUAACAAACAGAGAAAAUAUGCUUUUGGGGAAGGUAUCCAACAACAGACACCAUCAUUCAGAUGGUGGGAAGGUAUCCAACAGAUGCCAUCAUUCAGAUGGUAACAUAUAUAUACAUUUAUUAGUGAGUUUUUUUAAUACCUAUAAAAAAAAUAUACACUUUGAUAUUGUGGCUGAAUCCAUUACAUACUCAACUAACCUUGCUCAUUAGGGAUUUGACGUAACAAGGGCAACGUUGCAGUAAAAGCUCGAAACUUUAUGCAGGUGACAUUACAUUUGGUAAAGAAGAGGAAAAUAAGGAAAGCCAUCCAUAAAAGCAAAAUUCCUCAUGGGAUGAAAUUCACAAACUUCAUUUACGUUAGAGUCGCAUCCAGGCAAUUAAUUCCACAUUAGACCGCCUUUUGACAUGUGUACGGAUCUUUUUUCAAAAAUUAUUUAUAAAUAAUUGAUACUUACAAAAAUAAUUUAAGAUUUAUAAAGGAUAAAAAAAUAUUUUCAAAUCUAUGACAAUUUAUAAAAUAUUAAUAAAAAAUUAUCUCUUAAACUUAGUAUAGUUUUAUCGUAUUAAACUUUUAUUUUGAACAAAUAAUUUUAAUCUAAGUUUUAAAUUCUAAAAUUAUUUCCUUAAAAUAAAAUUUUAAAAUUCAACACUUCAAUUGAAAUUGUCUUUUAAAAAAAAUAUCUUCUUAUUUUAAUCCUUAUAAACUAUAGUUGAUUGAAAAUACUAUUGAAGUUCUCUCUUCAAAAAAAGUCUUAUUUUAAUCUUCAUAAAUUGCCCUUGAUUUGAAAAUAAACUUUGGGUUAUCAUAUUUUAAAUAAUAUAUAUAUAUAUAUAUAUAUAUAUAUAUAUAUAUAACAAAUACUCUAUUUUUUUUUUAAAUGAACUAAUUUUAAUUAUAUUUUAUUUUAUUUUUUUAUAUAUUUUUAAUGAUAAACCAAACAUAGAAAAUCAUUUUUCUAAAUAUUUUAAAAUUUCUAAGCAACCAAACAUAAUCUUCAAAAUAAAAGGAGAAUAAGGAGGGACAAGUGAGAAAUGGCGAUUAAAAAAAAGUGUACAAAAGCUCAAUUAAUUUUCUUCUAGUCUUUUAUAUAAAAAAGUAUUGGUAUGUAAAUUAAUAUUUGGAUUUUAAUAGUAUUUUAUUUGUCUUUCUCUAUCUCAUGUAAAAGAGAAUUUAAGAUAUUUCCUAAAGCAAAGCAUUAGUUAUCUGCAAUCAGUGGUGAUCAUGGUCCAUGUCAAUUUCGGACCCAUAUCUUAAAACCGUAUAAUUUGCGUUUCAACAUUACUGAUUUCUCAGAUGUUUCAUACUCCACAGAAGAGUAUUGUUAGUGAAAGCAUUUUGUAACUGUUACUCAUAGUGUUUUGACUCUGGCUCAACAACAUCAGCCAUUGACGGAUUUUCAUACAUGCAAAUCAAAUAGUCUUCUUCCUCCCUUAGGAAUUUCGGUUUAAAUGUUAUUAAGCAUACAUUUGGCUGACAAUUAUUAACCACUUCAUGAUAUGGUUUCUUACCCUUAAUCAAUGGUUUCUAAGUGAAUAUAUGCAGAAGGAAAUCUGAACUGUAGACAGCAGUAUUGAUAACUCUCAAUAUUCUUUAUAUAAGAGAAUAAACAACGUCAUAGUGAUCGUCGCCUACAAGAAAGGUACAUUUCCCAACAAGAUGUAGUGGUGACUGCUACAUGGACGCAAUUAACUCGUAGAAAAGGAUAAGACCAGUGCACGGCAGCUCUUAUUUUACAUGCUAAUUAUGCUAACCAAAGUCACUCAGUUGGGAUGGGAGGGAGAUGGAGGUUUGUGCGGUGGCUUGUGGGGCGGAGUUGGUGGCUUCUUUUCAGGAGCUUGUGGCUUUUUCGGAGCUGAAGGAGGCUCAAUCUUAUGAGGCGGCUUGUACGAGUCUUCUUUACUCUCGACAGGAGGGUGACCAGGGUUGUGACCAUAAUGUGGUGGCUUCUCUCCCUUAGGUGGCUUGCCAACUGGGGUUGGUGGCUUGUGUUCAGGAAGUUGUUUCUCUCCCUUGGGAGGUUUACCAAUUGGGGUUGGUGGCUUGUGUUCUAGGAGUGGUUUCUCUCCCUUGGGAGGUUUAGUGGGUGACUUGUGUUCUGGAGGUGGCUUCUCCACCGGAGACUUGUGUUCUGGAAUUGAUUAAAAAAAUUCUACCACUCUUUUAAGUAAUGGAAGAUUAUUAUCUCUGAUUGGCACCACAACAGCACAUGCUGCUAGAUCUUUCUAGACACUCCAUGCAAUGAAAGCACAAUGGAUCUUGUAACGAUAGAAACUAAGCCAUGCUACAGUACUAGAUGACGAGGUAAAACUAGUAGACAUGGGUGGUAGUUGAUUACUACUCAAAAAGUACUCUUUUAUAGUUUGAAACUAACUGUUUUAAACACUUUUGAGUAGUAGUUAAUAAAUUUUAACUCAAUUGGCACAUUAAGGAACCUAGCAAGGGUUACUAAUAAACUUUUGGCAAGUUUUGGUGUUUUUGGUAGUUAUUCGAUCAUUGAAACAAGCCAAGAAUGAGGGAGAAUUUUGUGAAGUCCAUGGCAAUGCAAGUUAAAGCUCAAAUACACGAAGAAUCCAAGCUUUGGAGCACUACAUAGCCCUUUGCCAAGCCAAUUAGAGAUGCAAGGAACAAAACCAAAGGAAGAAAUCCAACAACCAACAUUUUCGCAUGGUUGUGUGAAAUUUCGCACACCAUGCGAAACCACAAGAGGUAGCCAAAGAAUUUCACAUGGUAUGCGAAAUCUUCUCAUGCACCGACUCCGUUAGAUUUUUAUCUUCAGAUAUUUUGUGUAAUUUCCUAGUUUCUCCUUGUAACCAACCUAGAUAUUUUCUUUUAUAUCUUUUUUUAUAUUUUUUAGGUAACAUCAUAUAUAAGGGGAGAGACAUAAGGAGGAUAUGGAUGUUUUUCAUAGAACACUUGUAAAUUUUCAGUAGUAAGAAAUAUACAAAGCUUUUUGCUAUGCCUUACCUUCUCAUUUUGUUUUCACCUGUCUUUCUAGCCAAACAACCUCUAAGGAUGAUUUCUCAGGGGAUGAGUGGCUAGGUUUUACGUUUCUUGGAGUGAGGGAAGCUAGGUGAAGGACCUGAAUGCAAAGAUGAGAGUUUUCCUUGCUUUAAAUGAAAGUAGUUGUUAAACAUUAAUGGUUUUUAUUUUAAGGUUUAGCUUUAAAUCCCUUAAAAACACCUUGAAUGACCAAUACUUGGUAAGCUUUUCGGAUUCUAUGGAUGCUUAUUGCUAGAUCCAUGGAUGUCUAUUAGUUAUCAUUUACGAGCCUUUGGAAGGUGAUUCAAGGUGAGGGUCUUUAGUGUUUGAAGCCAUUAAUGGGAAGCAAUUACCAUUUUUUCAUGAAUCCUUUGGAUCAAAUCUUAAUUGCUAAAUAUAAAACCGAUUUGGGAAAUAACCAUCCUUUAUGUUAUUAUCCCCAACGCAAGGAGAAGAUCCGGAAUCUUCCCUUUUGUCUAAGGAACCCGAUCCUAGUGACCUAAAGCUCCAAGAGACCUUUUCUUUGUAGUUAACUUCAUUUAUUGUUUUUGCUUAACUUAAAAUCAAUCUUUGCAACCACAAUUCCAUUUUCUUUAAAAGCUAAUUUUUAUAAGGAAAAACACCAUUUUAUUUCCUUCACUAAGUCAACUGUACGAUGAAAACCCAUCCCUGUGGACGAUCCUAGAGCCAUUAUACUAUGUUAGCUAUGCUACCCUAGUGUGAGGUGAUUUAGGUUUUAUAAAUUUUGUUGAUAACACCCAUCUGAGCCAGAAUCAAAUGGCACAACUGAACCAGGGACGAAUCAAAUGGCGCCGCUAUCGAGGAUGGUGCCAAAGUACAUUGACAUGACUUUUGGUGAACACUUGUGAUCUUCAUCACAAGUUUGGUGAUUUUUCUAUUACUAAUUUUUUUCUUUGUUUUUAUUUUAGCUUAUCUUUUAUUUAGUUUUUAGCUAACCUUAACUUUUUCUUAGAAUUGUAUUUCUUCUAUUUUCUUUGUUUUUGUUUCAGUGAUCUUUAGUUGUGCAUGCCCUAUUGGAUAAGAAAUAUUGAGGGAAUACUUGUGAAGAUUGAAAAUCCUCGAGAAACUGAGUUGGAAGUGUGAUUGAACAUCAUGGAUGUUCCACCUGAAGACCAGAAUAGCCAACAUGGUUAAGAGGAUAAUUUCAAAGCAUACCGAUCCAUGAGGGACUGCAUGCAUCCACCUCGUAUGAGUGCACCGUCAUGCAUAGUGCCUCCCACUGAGCAACUAGUAAUCUGACCUCACAUUGUGCCACUCCUACCUACUUUCCAUGGGAUGGAGAGUGAGAAUCUCUACUCGCAUAUUAAGAAAUUCGAGGAGGUUUGUAAUACAUUCCAAGAAGGAGGAGCUUCAAUUGACUUGAUGAGGCUCAAGCUAUUUCCUUUCACUUUGAAGGAUAAGGCUAAGAUUUGGCUUAAUUCUUUAAGGCCAAGGAGUAUCCGAACUUGGACUAAUUUGCAAGCCGAUUUUCUUAAGAAGUUCUUCCUUACCCAUAGGACCAAUGGUUUGAAAAGGCAAAUUUCGAACUUCUCAGCUAAAGAGAAUGAGAAAUUCUAUGAGUGAUGGGAGAGGUACAUGGAAGCUAUUAAUGCUUGUCCUCACCAUGGCUUUGACACAUGGCUCUUAGUGAGUUAUUUUUACGAUGGUAUGUCUUCUUCAAUGAAGCAACUCCUAGAAACUAUGUGUGGAGGAUACUUCAUGAGUAAGAAUCCGAAGGAAGCCAUGGACUUUUUGAGUUAUGUGGCUGAAGUUUUAAGAGGAUGGGAUGAACCAAAUGCUAGAGAGGUGGAAAGAAUGAAGUCUCAACCUAAUGCUAAGGGUGGGAUGUAUGUUUUGAAUGAAGACAUUGACAUGAAAGCAAAGGUUGUAGCUAUGGCAAGGAGAUUGGAAGAGCUAGAAAUGAAGAAGGCACAAAAAGUGGAAGCCAUUUCUGAGACAUCAGUGCAAGCUAUGCCUUGUUCCAUUUGUCAACCUAAUGCUAAGGGUGGGAUGUAUGUUUUGAAUGAAGACAUUGACAUGAAAGCAAAGGUUGUAGCUAUGGCAAGGAGAUUGGAAGAGCUAGAAAUGAAGAAGGCACAAAAAGUGGAAGCCAUUUCUGAGACAUCAGUGCAAGCUAUGCCUUGUUCCAUUUGUCAAUCUUAUGAGUACCUAGUGGAGGAGUGUCCUACAAUUCCAGUAGUGAGAGAGAUGUCUGGUGAUCAAGCAAAUGUUAUUGAUCAAUUCAAGCCUAAUAAAAAUGCUUCAUAUGGCAACACCUACAAUUCAAAUUGGAUGAACCAUCCAAAUUUCUCUUGGAAACCAAAGCUACCUCAAUACACACAACCUGCUCAAGCACCUUAGCAAUCCUCGAAUCUUGAACAAGCUAUUGUGAACCUUAGUAAGGUUGUGGGAGAUUAAAAGUCCAUCAAUGCUCAACUGAAUCAGAGAAUUGACAGUGUAGAGAGUACAUUGAACAAAAGGAUGGAUGAGAUGCAAAAUGAUCUGUCUCAAAAGAUAGACAAUGUCCAAUAUGCAAUCUCAAGGCUUACCAACCUCAACACAGUGCAAGAGAAAGGAAAGUUUAUUUCUCAACCUCAUCAAAAUCCCAAGGGUAUCCAUGAAGUGGAGGCUCAAGAGAGAGAAUCUUCAAAGGUGAGGGAAGUCAAAGCAGUUAUCACCUUGAGGAGUGGUAAAGAGGUUGAUCAACCCACAUCCAAGCCAAAGCAUAAUGAAGAGAGUUUUGUAGAAAAAGAAAAGAGAGGAAAAUAAAGGAAAGAGAAUAGAGAAAAGUACAAAGAAAGAUGACCAUGAGUCUAGUGUGGAUGAAGAGCCCAAGAGGAUAGUGAUCAAGGAAAAUAUGAUGAAGAAACACAUGCCUCCACCUUUCCCCUAAGCUUUGCAUGACAAAAAAGGAACCAAUAAUACAUCGGAAAUUUUUGAAGUAUUGAGGCAAGUGAAGGUCAAUAUCCCUUUGCUAGAGAUGAUCAAACAAGUGCCGACAUAUGCAAAAUUCUUGAAGGACUUGUGCACUGUAAAGAGAGGGUUGAAUGUGAACAAGAAAGCUUUCUUGACCGAGCAAGUGAGUUCCAUCAUACAGUGCAAGUCUCCAGUGAAGUACAAAUAUCCGGGCUACCCUACCAUCUCAGUGAGUAUUGGAGGUACUUGUGUGGAAAAAGCUUUGUUGGACUUGGGAGCAAGUGUGAAUUUGCUACCCUACUCUGUCUAUAAGUAGUUGGGACUUGGAGAGUUGAAGUCAACAUCCAUCACCCUAUCUCUGGCAGAUAGAUCAGUGAAGAUUCCAAGAGAGAUGAUAGAAGAUGUCUUGGUUCAAGUUGACAAAUUCUACUAUCCAGUGGAUUUUGUUGUUCUUGAUACGGAUCCGAUUGUCAAAGGAACUAAUUAUGUUCCUAUCAUACGAAGACCCUUCCUAGCUACAUCAAAUGCAAUCAUCAAUUGUAGGAAUGGAGUCAUGAAACUCACGUUUGUCAACAUGACAUUAGAGCUCAACAUCUUCCAUUUGUACAAGAAGCAUAUCCAUUCAGAAGAAAAAGAAGGUCUAGAGGAAGUGUGCAUGAUUGACACUUUAGUGGAGGAGCAUUGUGAUCGACAAUGCAAGAAGAUUUAGUUGAGAGUUUUGGGGAUCUUGAUGAAGGGUUACUUGAACCCUCAGAUUUGCUUGCUACCCUACUCCAUUGGAGGAAGAGAGAAGAAAUUCUACCCUUAUUCAAUGAGGAGGAGACACAAAGAGCUGCUAAAGAUAAGCCCCCAAAGCUUAUUCUUAAGCCACUACCCACAGAGUUGAAGUAUGCAUACUUGGAAGAAGACAAGAAGUGCACUGUUGUUAUAUCUUUAGCUCUUACCAUUCAUCAGGAGGAUUGUCUACUUGAAGUCCUUAGAAGAAGUAAGAAGGUAAUAGGGUGGCAAAUUUCUGAUUUGAAAGGGAUCAGCCCUUUUGUCUGCACCCAUCAUAUUUACAUGGAGGAUGAAGCUAAGCCAAUUCAUCAACCUCAGAGAAGGUUGAACCCUCACAUGCAAGAAGUGGUGAGAGUUGAAGUUCUUAAGCUACUUUAGGCUGGUAUUAUUUACCCCAUAUCAGAUAGCCCAUGGGUGAGUCCUACUCAAGUUGUGCCAAAGAAGUCGGGGAUCACGGUGGUGCAAAAUGAUAAGGGAAAAGAUGUCUCUACAUGUCUCACUAUAGGUUGGAGGGUGCGUAUCAAUUACAGGAGGUUGAAUGUAGUGACAAGGAAUGACCAUUUCUCGUUGCCCUUUAUUGAUCAAGUGCUUGAGAGGGUCUCUGGGCAUCCUUUUUAUUGUUUCUUGGAUGGCUACUCGAGGUAAUUUAAGAUAGAAAUUGAUGUUGAAGACCAGGAGAAGACCAUUUUCACAUGCCCAUUUAGAACCUAUGCAUAUAGGAGAAUGUCUUUCGGCUUAUGCAAUGCACCCACAACUUUCCAAAGAUGCAUGUUAAGCAUUUUCAAUGAUAUGGUGGAGCAUAUUAUGGAAGUCUUUAUGGAUGAUAUCACCAUAUAUGGAAGUGCAUUUGAUGAAUGCUUGGUCAACUUAGAAGUUGUUCUGAACCGAUGCAUUGAGAAAGACUUAGUGCUUAAUUGGGAGAAGUGCCAUUUCAUGGUACACCAAGGGAUUGUCCUUGGGCACAUCAUCUCCAAGCAAAGCAUUGAAGUUGACAAAGCAAAGGUUGAACUCAUUGUUAAGUUGCCAUUCCCAACAAAUGUCAAAGGAGUAAGGCAAUUCCUUGGCCAUGCCGGGUUCUAUAGGAGGUUUAUCAAGGAUUUCUCUAAGCUUGCAAGGCCUCUUUGUGAAAUAUUGGUGAAGGAUGUUAAAUUCAUAUGGGAUGAUAGAUGCCAAAGGAGUUUUGAAGAAUUGAAGCUAUUUUUGACAACCUCACCAAUAGUGAGGGCUCCCAACUAGCAACUGCCCUUUGAGGUAAAGUGUGAUGUCAAUGACUUUGCUAUAGGAGCUGUUCUUGGGCAAAGAGAAGAUGGAAAACCUUAUGUGAUCUACUAUGCGAGCAAGACAUUGAAUGAGGUGCAAAGAAACUACAUAACCACCGAGAAAGAAUUGUUAGCUGUAGUUUUUGCCUUGGAUAAGUUUCGUGCUUACUUGGUGGGAUCCUUCAUCGUGGUUUUUAUUGAUCACUUUGCUUUGAAGUAUCUAUUGACUAAGCAAGAUGCUAAAGCAAAACUGAUUAGAUGGAUUUUCUUGCUUCAAGAGUUCAAUCUCCAGAUCAAAGACAAGAAAAAAAUGGAGAAUGUGGUAGUAGACCACAUUUCAAGGCUAGCUAUCGCACAUAAUUCCCAUGCUUUGCCCAUUAAUGACGAUUUUCUAGAGGGGUCUCUCAUGUUGGUGGAAGUUGUCCCUUGGUACGCUCACAUUGCUAACUACCUGGUCACAAGAGAAGUUCCAAGUGAGUGGAAAGCACAAGAUAAGAAGCACUUCUUUGCAAAAAUUCAUGCCUACUAUUGGGAAAAGCCAUUUCUAUUCAAGUAUUGUGCGGAUCAGAUAAUAAGGAAGUGAGUUCCUGAAGAAGAGCAACAGGGGAUCCUCAGUCAUUGCCAUAAAAAUGCAUGUGGAUGCCACUUUGCUUAUCAGAAGACAACCAUGAGGGUGCUGCAAUCGGGUUUCUGUUGGCCAUCACUUUUCAAAGAUGCCCACACCAUGUGCAAGAGUUGUGAUCGAUGCCAGAGGCUUGGGAAGUUAUCAUGUAGGAACAUGAUGCCUUUGAACCCCAUUUUAAUAGUUGAUCUUUUUUAUGUUUGGGGCAUUGACUUCAUGGGACUUUUCCCUAUAUCUUUUGGCUACUCUUACAUCUUGGUGGGAAUAGAUUAUGUUUCUAAGUGGGUUGAGGCAGUCCCAUGCAAACACAAUGACCAUAGAGUGGUUCUCAAGUUUCUUAAGGAGAACAUCUUCUCAAGAUUUGGGGUGCCCAAAGCCAUAAUUAGUGAUGGGGGUACUCAUUUUUGCAACAAGCCUUUUGAAACUCUCCUAGCCAAGUAUGGGGUGAAGCAUAAGGUAGCUACACCUUACCACCCUCAAACUAAUGGGCAAGUUGAGUUAGCAAACAAGGAGAUUAAAAACAUAUUGAUGAAGGUGGUGAACACAAACAGAAAAGAUUGGUCAGUCAAGCUCUUCGAUUCACUAUGGUCAUGUAGAACAGCUUACAAGACCAUUAUCGGGAUGUCUCUUUAUCACCUAGUCUAUGGAAAAAAUGCCAUCUCCUUGUGAAAUUGGAAUACAAAGCUUGGUGGUCAAUCAAGAAGCUCAACAUGGAUUUGAGCAGAGCUGGGUUGAAGAGGUUCUUAGACCACAAUGAGAUGGAGGAAUUGAGAAAUGAUGCCUACAUCAAUUCAAAAAUUGUAAAAGAAAAAUUGAAGAGGUGGCAUGAUCAGUUGAUUUCCCGCAAGAAUUUUCAAAAUGGAUAAAGAGUCUUGCUCUAUGACUCUAAACUCCACAUCUUUCCGAGCAAGCUGAAAUCAAGGUGGAUAGGUCCUUUUACCAUUCACCAAGUGCAUUCAAAUAGAGUAGUGGAACUACUCAACUCCAACAACAUCGGGAGCUUCAAAGUGAAUGACCAUUGUCUCAAGCCCUUUGUAGAGUCUUUUUUCUCGCGACAAGGAGGAAUUCAUCCUCCUUGAUCCACAUCAAGCUUGACAAGACCAGUUUUUUUUUAUGGACUUAGUCUUUCUAAAGACUAUCGAGUCCAUAACUUUUUAUUUUAUUUUUUAUUUGAGAGUUUUUCGGUAUUAUUACUUGUUUUGUUUUUUAUUUUUCGUUUUACUUUUAUUUGGUUUGAUUUAACUUAGAUUUUUUAUGAUCAAUUGCAGGGGGGAUUUCAAAUAGAGGAAAAACCAAGAUAAUUCGCACACCCUGCGAAAAUUUCGCAAGGCAUGCGAAAUUUAUGGCUCAUUUCGCAUGGGAUGCGAAAUUUCGCACACCCUACGAACCAAUUUCGCACACUUUGUGAAAAUAAACCAACCCUACGAAAUCAUUUCAAAUACUCUACGAAAUUUUCGCAGAGCAUGUAAAAAAUUUCGCAGACCAAACACCAUUUCGCAUACUAUGCGAAAAUGUAAGGGGUCUACAAAACCAUUUCGCACCUCCAAAGCCAUUUCGCACAUUGUGCAAAAAUGAAAAGUCGCCCUAUCAUCCAUUUUUAAACCCCUUGAGCCCUGAAAUCCCCAUUUCGCAAGCACCCCUGUCCUUGCGAAUCCCUCAUUUUCCUCUGCCACCUUGCGACCUUGUCCCUCUCCAUUUGAUAUCGUGCCCUGCGCACAUCUCAUUUCAAAGACUCGCACUCUGCGCCCUCUCAAAGCACGAACCCAAGGCUCACAUUCCAUUUCCGACAUGGCACAGACCCGAGGAGCCCUUCCCGCCCCUUCAUCGAGACGCACACCAAGGUAGAGAGCCUCUUUUGCUCAGAUGCCAAGUGAUUCUCCAUUUCAGGCCACGGAGGCCCUGCGGAUUCCACAUUCCAAGGGUAGAACAGCCACUGGUCCUUCCUCUUCUAUUCCUCAGCGUAGAUAUGAGACGAGGAGACCACCUACUACACAAAGGGCGACUACUUCGCGCCAUGAGAAUUCGGUACGACACCCUCCUGCCAAGAGGGCCAGGACUUCAGGCCCAGGCGAGUCAUCCAAAGCUUCACAGCCUGAGCCUCCUGCAGAUUCCGAGGUUCCUACUGACAUAUCAUCGGAGUCUAUUAUCAAACGCCCGAUGCUCACAGCACCGCCCAUUGAGGGCAACUCUGAUUGUAGAGCGAGACCUUUCCACUUGGAGCUAUAUUUUAAUUAAGAGGCCAUGCCACAGCAGCCUGAGCUCCAAGACUCUUAUGGCUUACUACAGAGGUACCAUCUUGAGGACCUUAUGACUCCUCGUGAGUUCUUUUAUCCCAGAGUAGCACUAGACUUUUACCAGUCCAUGACUACUCGUGGCGUCCCGAGUCCUACCGCGAUGCACUUCACCAUUAAUGGACGUCAUGGUAUCCUCGAGGCCAGACAUAUUGGAGAGGCUCUACAGAUUCCUUUCGAGCUAGAGGACCCAUCUGUUUUCUGCCAAUGGUCCCCAAUAUCUCAGAGGGACAUGGUCCAUAUUUUAUCCAGGGGGACAUCUACAUAUUCGAUCCUUCUACGGAAGGAGCUUCGACCUGGGAUACUCCUCGUAGAUGUGGUGCUACUUUCCAACCUCUUUCCCUUUUAGCAUUCGAUACAUAGGCGAGGAGCUAUUUUGGACGCUUUAUUCUGUAUAUCAGAGGGCUUCUACUUUGGCCCGCACCACUUGAUCAUGGUUUCCCUCAUCCAUUUUGAGGAGAAGGUCCAUAGAAAGAAGCUUCAGAGGGCGAACACCAUUCCAUUACUAUUCCCGAGGUUGCUCUACUAGAUCUUGGAGUACAUGGGCUUUCCUACUGAGCCUCGGCUUGUGUGCCGCCGCCUUUGUCAAGAGCGAUCCACUCUCGACAAAUGGAAUCAGUUGGCGGGCUAUUCUACACCUCCAGGAGCCCCUCCCAUGGUAGCACCUCUAGUGUCCCCACAGGCAGAGUAGGGCAAGCUCCCGGUAGAGACUGCACCCCUAGUGCCCACACCUGAGGCUACUUCUGCUGUUCCGCCUACGACUCCUACUGUUCCACCAGUUGGUCCUUUUACAUCUGAGUCUUCCAUCAACAUCUCGACUUCGGAGUUUCGCGCCCUUGUGCAUACCUUUCAGACACUCACCACCACACAUACUGCUCUCUUCUAGAAAAUGGCUGAGAUGCGUGCCCAUCAGGACCAGCAGACUACUAUACUCCGCCAAAUUCAACAGCACCUGGGACUUCUGCCUCUGCCUCAGCUUGACCUUCCCACAUCAUCAGAGCCUCUAGCUCCAGUUGAGGAUACUAUUCCACCUGAGGACACUACCACAGUAGAGGUUCAGAUUCCACCACCUCAGGAGGCCACCACAGCUACAUUAGAGGAUGCAUCAUCUCCACCUGAGGCUCCCACUACUUGAUCAUAGGACAUCUCUUUAUCUUAUUGUAUUUACAUAUUAUAUUACUGGAGAUUUGUCUUUGUUUUGAUACUUUAUAUUCUGGCAUUGAAUGUAUUGCCUAAUGAUAUCUCAAUUGUACUUUCUCAUAUUAAUAUAUAGACAUCAAUUUUUUUUAGUAUACUUAGGAUUUUUCUAUUUACUCUACUCAUUACUCUUUUGUUUUUUUUUUUUUACUCAUGUGGUUUCUCCUAUACGACUCAGACUCCAUUUCACUCAGGAGGUACCACUUCUUCCCUUUAUUUUCAAUUGCUCUUGAAACAUUGAGGGCAAUGUUGAUCUUGGUUGGAGGGAGAGUUGAGGAAGGAAGUGAUUACUACUCAAAAAGUGCUAUUUCAUAGCUUGUAAUUAACUCUUUUAAAACACUUUUGAGUAGUAGUUAUCACCUUUUAACCCAAUUAACAUAUUAAGGACCCUUGCAAUCAAUUCUAAUCAAAUUGUGUUAAGUUUUGGUAUUUUGAUAGCUUUUUUAUCACCAAAGCAAUCCGAGAUUGAGGAUAUUUAUUUGGAAUCCAUGGCAAAAGAUGUUUGGACAGGACGUCCGGACACACCAUCGGAGGGCGGCGGAACGUGGGCUGUGGCAGGCUGUCGGAAUGACGUAGCAAGGCUUGUGCACUUUAGCCAAUGAUCGGGAUAACAUAUCCGAAAUUCUGCUCCGCCGACAUUCCACCCGGAUGUCUCACAUCCGGAAUUCUGCUCCGCCGACAUUACACCCAGAUGUCUCACAUCCAAAAUUCUUCUCCGUCGACAUUCCAUCCGAAUAUUUCACAUCCGACGCUUGACGCCGGAUGGGAGAGGAGGGCGUUUCAACUUCCCCGGUCAGACAUAUCCGAAUCCUUUGAUAACGCUUACCCGGAGAGUUUCGCAGCCAUUUUGCACAGUGCCGCGGUGUUCUCUUGAAGCUUCCCGAUAUGUGCGACCGACAUUUUGAGAUAUUUUGCUUUAGAUAUUUGAUGUCUAAAUCCCCAAACUCUCCUUGUAACCCACCAAUUAUAGGAUUCCUUAGUUAUUAAGUUUGGAAAAAUGGUGAAUAACCCCUUAUAUAUAGUUUGCAAUUUUCAUAAAAAAGAUAUGUAGAAUCUCGGGAGCUUGUUCCCAGAGAGACGCAUCCUUUGUACAGUUUUGGAAGGAAGUAAAAUACAGAGCACUUGCUCUGCUUUUCAUAUAUAUUUUUGUUUUCUCGUUCUUUUUAUUUCUAGCCAAUCAAAGUCUGAGGAUUUUUCCUCAGAGGAUGAGAGGCUAGGCUCUUCGUCUCUUGGAGUGAAGAAAACUAGGUAAGUUUCCACAUGCAUAAAUUGAAAGUUUUGUUGUUUUAGUUUUUAAUGAAGAGAAAGUGUGACCCGUUAAUGGUUUUUAUCUUUUUAGUUAACUUAAAACGCCUUUAAAUCACCCGGGCCAACACUUGAUAAGGCAAGUGGUCUCCAUCCAUUGAGAUGCACUAGUUUAUCUCUUGCGAGCCUUUGGGAGGUGGUUUGAAGGUAGGAUUUUCUAGAAUAACCAACACUUGAUAAGCUUUUGGACUCUAAGGAGACAUCCAUUAGUUAUCUCUUGCGAGCUUUUGACGGGUAAUCCAAGGUUAAAGAUCACCUUGAAUGGCAAGUACUAGGUGAGAGGUAUGAGCCAUUGCAAGAUGCAUUAGUGAGAGGGAUUUAGUGUUUGAACCCAUUAAAGGGAAGCAUCUGUACCACACCGGUUCGGGAAAUAACUAUAUGUUAAAUCCCCAAUGAGAGGAAAAGAAACAAGUGACCGGAACUCCCUUUUUGUAUAAGGAACCUGAGCCUAGUGAUCUAAACUCCAAGAAACACUUUUCUUUGUAAGUAAAAUCAGUUACUAUUUUUGGUUAGUUUAAAACCAAACCUUUUUCAUUCAAACAUCUUUAUGUUUUCUUUUAAAGCUAACCUUGAAAUGAAAAGGCACCAAUUCAUAUUUGAAUUAAUAUCAAUUGUGAAGUGAAAACCCAUCCCAGUGAACGAUCCUAGAGCCACUAUGCUAUAGUAGCUUUGUCUUUGCUACCCUAGUUCAUGGUUUAAUAGGUUAUAAAUUUUGUUGAUUACUCCCACAAUCAAAGGAGCACCAGUUGGACAUGAAUCAACUGAGACACUAAUUGGGCACAAAUCAGGAAGUUUUGUUAAUAAUGCUAGGUUAAUUUGUUAAUUUAGUUACUUUCUGCUUAAUUUUAAAAGUUUUCACUUUACUUUCCAUAGUUAUUAAGGAAAAAUUCUCAAAAUGAAAUGGGAGAAAUUGAAUUCUUACAUUUUUACUUGAAUUUUAGAAUUUGUAUUAUGCUUAUUGAAGCUGAUGAAUUAUUGAAACUCCUAUUGAAUUCAACCUUAUUUCUUCCACUUUAAUCUUACCACACACGGUGCACAUUAGGUUCCGAUUAUAAGAGGUGCGUUCUUAGCCUAUUGGAGGUUGGUCAAUUUGUUAAAGUUUGAGAAAGAUCUAGGUUAGGGGAGAGAGAAUAGUCUGACAUACUAUAAUCGAAAACUAAUAAACUUAACACUUAGAUCUUUGUGGAAGAGUAAGGAUUGGACCUUUGGGAGUGGAAAUUCGUUUGAUGCUUAAAUUUGCAUAAUGCUUACACUUUAUAAAUUGUGAUUAGGCAAGAGAUUUGAUGACUCUUGUUCAAGGUUGGGUUUUGCCUCUUUGAUGUUCCAUGAGAGAGUAUAAUCCUCAUCAUGCCACUUGAAAUUUUUUUUGGAGUGAUUAACAUGAUUUUGUAAAUUACUUUACUGUCUAUUUUUUUUUUAUCUCUCCUUCAUUGCUAAUGGACUAGCAAUAUGUCAGUUGAGGGGAGUGAUUACUACUCAAAAAGUACUCUUUUAUAGCUUGAAACUAACUGUUUUGAACACUUUUGAGUAGUAGUUAAUACCUUUUAACUCAAUUGGCACAUUAAAGAACCUAGCAAGGGUUACUAAUUAGUUUUUGGCAAGUUUUGGUGUUUUUGGUAGCUAUUUGAUCAUUGAAACAAGCCAAGAAUGAGGGAGAAUUUUGUGAAGUCCAUGGCAAUGCAAGUUAAAGCUCAAAUACAUGAAGAAUCCAAGCUUUGGAGCACUUCAUAGCCCUUUCCAAAGCCAAUCAGAGAUGCAAGGAAGAAAACCAGAGGAAGAAAUCCAACAAUUAGCAUUUUCGCAUGGCUGUGCGAAAUUUCGCACACCAUGCGAAACCACAAGAGGCAGCCAAAGAAUUUUGCACACUAUGCGAAAUUUCGCAUGGUAUGCAAAAUCUUCUUGUGCACCAACUCCGUUAUAUUUUUAUCUCAAAUAUUUUGUGUAAUUUCCUAGUUUCUCCUUGUAACCAACCUAGAUAUUUUCUUUUAUAUAUUUUUUAGGUAACAUCAUCUAUAGGGGGAGAGACAUAAGGAGGAUAUGGAUGUUUUUCAUAGAACACUUGUAAAUUUCCGGUAGUAAGAAAUAUACAGAGCUUUUUGCUCUACCUUACCUUCUCAUUUUGUUUUCACUUGUCUUUCUAGCCAAACAACCUCUGAGGAUGAUUUCUUAGGGAAUGAGUGGCUAGGUUUUACGUUUCUUGGAGUGAGGGAAGCUAGGUGAAAGACCCGAAUGCUAAGGUGGGAGUUGUCCUUGCUUUAAAUGAAAGUAGUUGUUAAACAUUAAUGGUUUUUAUUUUAAGGUUUAGCUUUAAAUCCCUUAAAAACAUCUUGAAUGGUCAAUACUUGGUAGGCUUUUUGGAUUCUAUGGAUGCUUAUUGCUAGAUCCCUGGAUGUCUAUUAGUUAUCAUUUAUGAGCCAUUGGAAGGUGGUUCAAGAUGAGGGUCUUUAAUGUUUGAAGCCAUUAAUAGGAAACAAUUACCAUUCUUUCAUGAAUCCUUUGGAUCAAAUCUUAAUUGCUAAAUAUAAAACUAGUUCGGGAGAUAACCAUCCUUUAUGUUAUUAUGCCCAACGCGAGGAGAAGAUUCGGAAUCUUCCCCUUUGUCUAAGGAACCCGAUCCUAGUGACCUAAAGCUCUAAGAGACCUUUUCUUUAUAGUUAACUUCACUUAUUGUUUUUUCUUAACUUAAAAUCAAUCUUUGCAACCACAAUUCCAUUUUCUUUGAAAGCUAAUUUUCAUAAGGAAAAUCACCAUUUUAUUUUCUUCCCUAAGUCAACUGUACGAUGAAAACCCAUUCCCAUGGACGAUCCUAGAGCCACUAUACUAUGUUAGCUAUGCUACCCUAAUGUGAGGUGAUUUAGGUUUUAUAAAUUUUGUUGAUAACACCUGUUUGAGCCAGAAUCAAAUGGCGCAACUGAACCAGGGACGAAUCAACAACUUAUAUGGGAGGGACACAAGUUUAAUUGAUUUGCAUUUCAACGUUAUAUAUAGGUAUGUUUUGGAAGAUUUGUUCUGGAAAUACUGCACCAAGUACGAUUCUUUUUGUCUUGAGUGGGUCUACUUGCAUGCCAAUUAACGAGUGGAAAAGUAGGAGCACCUACCUCAUGCUCGCGGAACCGAAGGUCAGUGAAGUGGGGCUCCUUUUGGCCUCUUGUGUUUCUAUUCCAACCAAGGCGGCGUAAGGAAAAACAACAAUAUGUUUGUGCUAAAUAUCAACGCAUGAUAGAUGUUUUUGUUUUUUGGUAUGUCAAGGCUAAUGAAUGAAAUGCUUUAGCUUGUUUUGUGACUGGAACUGCAAAUGUCCAAAUUGGAGUAUCUCCAUUUCUCACUUCGGAUGGUUAACUUAUAAACAAGAUAUAGGAAACAUGUGAACAUCUUGAGGAACAAUUUGAAUUAUUCAUUAGAAGUCCUGGGUUGAGUUCCAAGAUUUAAAUUAGACCCCUCUAGCAGCUUCAGGGGUACCUAGCAACCUAUAGCAUAUUAAUGAAGAUUUAGGAUUUAGACUCUAGAAUACAAAUUAAUAUGUAUCUCAUGCUUUGACUAGCUUCCCUACAUAUGCACAAAAUGGAGAUGACCUAAAAAAAUAGCAGAAUCUAGCUUCCCUACAUAUGCACAAAAUGGAGAUGACCCAAAAAAUAGCAGAAUUUCCUUAGUUUCUGUGGUUAAGGUGAUUCUCCGCUUAAUAUCACAUUGACUCAUUAUGCAAAAUCAACUGAGCUAAUUUUGUUUAUUUAUUUAAUGUCAAAUAGGAACUCCUAAUUAACCUAACCCUUGGCCUGUGUAAAUUGAUUUCACAUGCCCAAUGUUGAAGUAGAAGUCCAUAUUUUGAAUUUUAUUUUUGUAAAGGUAAGGAAAAUGAAGCAUUGUGUAAUUAUAAAAAUAACUUCAUUGGAAUUCACAAGGUUCACCCAAAAUGGAGCUACAUCCGUAUUCUAUCCUGCAGUAGACUAUAUAGAUUGUACAAUAGUAAAUUGCAAAUACAAUUAAUAAGUCUUGUGCUUCCUUACUAAUAAUCCUUUGACAUGAACAUUGCAGCACUAAGGUCCUCUUGGGAAGACACCUUGCACCCAUGAGAGCACGAAGAGGAAGCAAGGCAGAGUCAUGGGUGCAAUGUCAUGACUUGUUGUUGCACCAAGAGAGGCUUGGUGAUGGCAUGGUGUUGCAGUAGCAAGAAUGUUGCCUUGGUAGGGACAUAAUCUAGGGAUAGAUGCCAAGAAAGGCUUAGCACUCACAUGAGUUGCACAAAGAUGAAUGUAAUAGAGCAUCAGAGAGACGUCUUGGCAAGUAAAUGAAUGGAUCCAAGAGGCAACAACAUGAGGAGUUUCAAAUGGAUAAGGAAUGAGUCAAAGACAUUUGAAAGCUACAAGUUGGAUUCUAAUUACGAUUGCAAUUUGAGUUUGAGUAGGAGUUUAGAUUCUGAUUGUAAUUGUAGUAUGAGUUGGACUAGGAUUGCUUAUCCCUAGUCAAAAUAGGAGUGGUUCGUGUCACACCCUAUGAAAAGAGUUUGAGUAGGGACUAGGAUUGCUUACUCCUAGUCAAAUAUGGAGUAGGUGGUGCCACACCUAUAAAAAAAAAGGGACAACAUGAGAGAGAGAGAGAGAGAGAGAGAGAGAGAGAGAGAGAGAGAGAGAGAGAGAAAGAGAUAAUGAAUUCACUAAAGAUAUUGUGGGAGUUUUUCUUUGUUACGUCUUGUAUUAUUACUUAGAAUAGGAAUAAAAUACAAGUUUGGGCUAGAGCCCCAUAAUUAAUCUCGUGUGCCUUUGUGGUUAUUCUUUAUUUGUCAUCUCGUGUGGAUUGGAUUACAUUGACUUAGAGGGCUUCUAAGCACCACCUUUGUGGGUUAUUAUUUAUUUUCCAUUUCUUGUGGAUUAGAUUAGGUUGACUUUGAGGGCUUUUAAGCACCACCUUUGUGGGUUAUUCUUUAUUUUCCAUAUCGUGGGGAUUGGAUUAGGUUGACGAUGAGAAAAAUUAUGUGGGAAAUUUGUGUUGGGACACUUAUCAUAACCAGGUAAAAUCUGCCAAGUCCUUUGUAAUAUCUUCAACAAAUAUUUCAGACUAGUUCUUCACCAUAAACAUCAUAUUGUGUUUUGUUUUUCUCCUGGAUUCUGAGUUGAAUUGUUUCAAGUCAAUUGAAUGCAUCUGAAUAUUAUUAGCUUGUUUGAAGGCCUGGUGAUUUUCCAUUUAACUUUACUUUCUUUAGGUUAUGCUCACUAUAAGAAAAAUGAGAAAUAAUGACGCUUUUUACGCGUUAAGAAAGGCAACAGAUGAUGCUUCUCUAAAGCGUCCUCUUCGGCUCUGUCAUUAUAUGUGUUAGCCAAUAAUGACGCUUCUAGGAAGUGCCAUCUUUGAAUAAUGUUAAUAACGACACUCGUAAAAAGUGUCAUCUUUAAACAUAUUCUGGUCAAAUAAUUUUUACAAAAUUAGUAAUCUUCAAGCCGUUUCUGAAUCAUAUCUGAGCCUAUUUCUGGGGACCAGAAAACCAUCUUUUUUCCAUUCGCCUGAGAGGUCUGAUUAGCAUUUCUGGAAUCAAUCUCUAAACCCAAGCUUCCCUCAUCUACCCAUUUAACCCUCAUGCCCUCCUGUUUGAACAACUUUCCCACUAUAUACACAAAUUUUUUACCUUCUGUUGUUGGUAUUCGACCUCUUCCCAUUCCCAGCACAGAAUCCACCAUUAGUGCCACUUUGUGAAUAAAAUCAUCGAACCAGAUCUUUCGGGCGGAAGAUGAGCUCCAGAGAAAUAAAAUUUUUGGGGUCUUCCCAGCAUGAAAGUCAUAGGUAGCAUUAAUGACAUCAAGAAAUGGGGCACUGUUGAGAAAAAACAUGUUCCCAUCAACCACCCAAGAAUUGUACCAGACUCCAAACACUUCUGGAUUACAUAUGCCUUUACUAAGAUAUAUUUCUUGAUCUCCAUAUCAGAAUCUUGGAGACUCUUCAUUUUAUGAGCUCUGACACUACUGUGAAAUUGGUCCACAUCAAUCACAGGAUGACCCCUUCUAGCAAGAUCAAGCAGGAAGUCUGAAUUCGGGCCCAUAAAAAUGUAGUUCUGAAUAUUGAAACUCUCAAAGUGGCACAACAAAUUCCUUAUGACUCUUUCAGAUGCUCCAAACAGGCUCACAAGUAUAAUGGUAUCCUGUUUUUGCACAGAGUAAAGAAAAUAUCCGAGUUCUUCAAAACUCCUUACAACUAUUCCAGGAUGUACUUCUUUGAAACAGAAAUCGUACCACUUUAGCUUAGUCAGAGGUUGAAUCUAAAAUAACAAAACCCAAACUGAAAUCAAAAUCGAAAUCAACCCUAAUAGAUUUCAGAAACAACAAAUUAAAAGAGUAAAGCACAAAAGGGGGAAAACACAUAUGAAGCAAUCUCCAUACAAGCCCUAACCUUAGAUAAACCCAAAAAAAAAAAUCAAAGCAGAGAGUUACCAUAGAGCAUCUCUGUUUCAAGCUUAGAAAAUGUUUAAUGCCAUUGAUAACUAGUUGGCUAGUGGUGGACUUCAAGCUUCUCUAUUUCGGUGUUAGUAGCUCUCAAUGGCUAUGGUGAGAACAAAGAAAUGAGAGGCUUAGGGUUUGGGAUGUGAGGUUAUUGAUGAUGAUGAGGAUAAAGUUAUGGGCUCUUGGAGGGGUUAGGGAAAUUGAAGAUGGCUGAGAGUAAAGGCUAGGGUUUUUGAGAUAGUUAAUAGCUUUUUAGGGUGUGACUGUCCAUAGAUAGAAGAUAAAUGAGGGUGUGAGAAUUUAUAGAUCUCUAGGUGAUAUGGCGGGUGUGAGAAUGAAAUUUUAGAGGGAAUUGUGUGUUUGGUAGAAAUUUCACACAUGCAUAUAUAAUGUUUCAGAACAUGGCACUUUAAAAAUACGACAAGGAAGAAAUUAUUUAUUGACGCUUAAAUAAAGCGCCAAGGUCUCCAACAUUUUUGCAAUCAAUGACGUUUGUAAAAGGUGCCAUUGAAUAGGAGUGCCAUUGCUUUCCCACAAAGCAUCAUUGUUAAUCAAGCCUUUAAAAAACGCCAAGAUAUGUUGCCACUUAGGUUAAAUAUUGACGCUUUUAAAAAACGCCAAGGAAAAAAACGUCAUUAUUCAUGUUUUUUGUAGUAGUGGCUUGAUUCCUAAAAAGUAAAGGAAAGCAAAAAGUAAAAAAAUAAAAAUGUGGAGAGUUAGGACAUGCGUUAUCUAAUUGUCCUAGUCCCAAAUAUAUUAAGAAAGUCAUGUAGGUUACUUGGAGUAACGAGUCAAGUAAAGCAAGCCUUCUAGUGUUUAAGACAUUAGAUAUUACCGAACUGAUUAUGUCAUUAAUGUAUUGCAUUUGUUGUUUCUAAUAUAUAGAAGAAGAUGAAAUUAUUGGAAUAAGUGGGAAAUAGGAAUAAAUCCAAGGUACCAAAAAGUCACUUUAUCUUAGAUGUUGUUGGAAACAUAAGUGAUUUCACAAUAACGACUAUGAGACAAUCAAGGAUUAAUAAGAUAGACUUUAUAUGAUAUACCUCCCAAUUAGAGCCUAAAAAUAUGGAUGAAGCACUUAGAGAUGAAUCUUCAAUUUUUGUACUAUAGGAAGAAUUAAAUCAAUUUGUUAGCUAUUCUUUGGAUAUUUGAUUCAUCACAAGCUACAAAUCACUUUUGAUGACCAAACACGAAACUAAGAGGAUUGGGCCCAAUUCGAUGCCUAUCAACAAUGAUUUGUAUUCCACCUCAUUAAUUAUUCAAAGUUGGGAAGCUAGGUCUAACCACUUUCUCUACCUGUUCACCCUUAGAGGAGCAGAAGAAAAUUCUAACUUUGGUGCCUAAUGCCUUUGACAAUCUUUCGACAAAGAGAGUUCACUAAUUACUUUGAUUAUUUCUCUGUUGGUCACUGGGGGACAAGACUUUUGUAAUGAAGUCAACUAGAACUUGCCCUUUGAGGGCCAUUCAUGGACGAUAUUACACCAUGAAUUCCCUUAGGUCAUGUUUGGUAUGUGAGAAUGAGGAGUGGAAUGGACAUCUUAUUCAUUUUUUCAUCUAUUCAAAUGUUGGGAUAACUCAAGUGACCAUGAGAAUGAAAUCAAGAAUGAUUCAAGGGAAAUGAAAUCUUACUUAUAAGUGUGAUUUCAAUUAAUCUCUAAUAGAAAUUAUUUUGAAUCAAUAGUGCAAGUUAUUUUUAAAAACAUUUUUCCAAAAUUAAAAAAAUCAAUUUUUUUUUUUUCGAUAAGUUGUUUUUAAAAGGAUUUUUUUUAUUUUGUAAAAAGAAAAUUGUAAUUCAAUUUAUAUAAUAUAAACUAAAUUUUAUUUUAUUCAAAAAGAAAUAAUUUUUUAAUUAUAAAUAAAUUAAAAAUAAAUACUUUUAAUAAAAUAUAAAUAGUAUUAUUAUAAUAAAAUCAUAAAUAAAUUUAAUUUUUUUUAUAAAUAUUAUAAAAAUAUGGAUAUUAACAUUGGAUAAUUGAUUUAUUUUGUUAAAAUAAAAAAUAAUAAUUUUUAAUAUUAUUUUAUGUUAAAUGAAUUUUAAAAUAAAGAAAGUUUAAUUAUUUUAAGGUAUAGAAGAGCCAAAUUUUGCAUUACAUACAUAACAAACAAUAUUUAUUAGAAACAUUUCUCAAGGAGAAUCUUAUUCCAUCUCACAAAGAUACUCGUUUAUUCGAUGUUUGACCAUCCGUAACAAUCAUGUCAAUUCUACUGAUUUAAUAAUUCCUUUACAUUUAUUACUCACUUAUGAACAUGGUAUUGUGAUUUAUUUAUUUAUUUGAUGUAUAAUUAAUUAAUCAAUUUUUUAAAUUUCAAAUUAUUUUUAAAAACUAUUCAUUAAGGAAUUUAAAGCAUUAAUUAUGUCUAUUAUUUUUUAUAGUCAUUAUAUAUAUAUUGAGUUUUAAUUUAUUUUUAAAAAUUAUUAAACUUAUUAAUAAAUUCAAUAUAAAGUCUCGUUUCAUUUGAAAUUCAUUUCUUUAGUGAAAAUUUUGAAAAAAAAAUUGUUAUUUAUUUUACUUUGUUUUAAAAAAAUUGUUUCUAGAGAACAAUAAUCAAAUAAUGGUAUGAAUUUUUAAAAACAAUUUUGUUUUUAAAUCAUAUGCCCAAAUAAUUUUUUUUUAUUUAGCAAAAAACUUUGUUGUAGUAUGUGGCUCAUAUUGAGGGAAAGACAUAUAUGGAGAAAAAUGUGCAAAUGUUGGAGUGGAGCGGAGUGGAAUGACGACAUUUGUCAUUCAAACUUGUAUUUUUAUUGUUAAGGGUGACCGAUAGGUUGGUACGGUUUAGGGGUAUUUUUGGAAUUUCAUUACCUGAGGGUUAGUAUAAAUACCAUUUUAUGUAACCCUAAUUUUACAUAUAAUGUAAGUUUUCUUCCUUGUUCUUGUGGACAUAGGCAAUCCGUCGAACCACGUUAAAUCUGUGUGUUUUUUUUUCUUUUUUCUUUUUCUCUAAUUUCUUCACCAGGAAUCGUUACACUAAGAUCAACAAACUCUCAAAGAUGAUUUUUAAAAUGAAAAAAAUAAUGUAUAGUGUGAGAAUUUUUUAUUUUUUAUUUUUUUAAAAUGAAAAUAAAAAAUUGCUUUAAGGUAAAAGUGUGGAUAUUAUUGUUAAUUUAUUUCAUUUUUCAUUUUCAUUUCCAUUGUUACCUACAAUUGAAAUGGAAACAACUAAUCAUUACAACCUUACAUUCUUAUAUGCAUCCAAAUACAAAAAUUGAAAUCACCAAAUUCAUAUUCAAGGCAAAAUAGGAAUGAAAACAAAUAUUCAUUCUCAUUCUUUAUUCCCACGUGUCAAACAUGACCUCAAAGUUAUAAACAUGAACAAGAAGUCCUUGAAACACCAAUGAUCUCUUCUGGUAUAUAUAUGAGCUUGAUUGACAACUGUUUUAAAUACAGUUUUUUUUUUUUUUGUUUUCAAAAUCAAAACAAAUUUAUUUUUAUUUUUUAUAAAUAGUAGUUUUUUAAUAUUUUUUUUAAACCUUAUUAUGAAAAUAGGAUGUUUUCUAAUAUCAUAUUUUAAUUAUUUUCAAUUAUUUUCCCUUCUUUUAAGGAGGGCUAUUUUAAAAAUAUGAAAAAUGAUACAAAAUAAAGCAUUACAAAUAAAAAUCAUUUUUAAGAAAUAUAUGAAAAUAAUUUGAGAACAUUUGAAGUUCCUUAAUUAAACUUUUGUUCUAGAAAAUGCAAGAAAACUGUUUUUGAAAAUUGUUUUCAUAAUGAUAUGCAUUGAUCGUUUAAAAUUUAAUUACAUGAUAAAAAGACCUAUGUAAAAACCAGAGUUAUAUAAUCAGUCAUAGAUCAAAUCUACUAAAUAUGAAAAGUAAGUACAUAGUUGUAUAUGACUUAGAUGGAGCCUUCUCCGAAUGACAUUCUUUAGUCGGUACUCAUAUUUUUUUGUUUCGUGUCUUCAACAUAACACCUCAUGAUCCUUAAUAAAUCACCUGAAAACUAUAUUAGCACCUUAUUGUUUAAUAUUUCUCUAAAUUUUUUUAUUAAGCAAAUAAAUUCCAAAUUUAAAAUGACAAAUAAAAUUUAUUAAUUUUUAAAAAUAAUUUAAAACUCAAAAACCAAUUUAAUUGAUAUUAAAAGUCAUGAAACUUAAUAAUAUUAGAAAGUCAUGUAUCCAAAUUUAUUUUAAAUGACUUGUUUAAUUUCUUGUUUAUAUAUAUUAUAUUUUUAUAAUUUUUUUUACUAUACAAAUAAAUUUUAAAUUAAACAAAACUUAAUGCGUUGAAUUCAUUAACGAGUCUAAUAAUUUUUAAAAGUUACUUAAAAUUUAAAUACUAAAUCAAUUAGUACCACAAAUUCAUGGAAAAAAAUUGAUUUAUUACUACUAUAUUGUUUCUCUAUUGCAUAGAACCAUUAUUUUUCAAUUUUUUCAUUUGGCAAAUGAACAUCAAAUUAAACAAGACUAAGUGUAUUAAAUUCAUUAAUGGGUCUAGUAAUUUUUUAAAAUAAUUUAAAAUUCAAAUAUUGAUACUCCAAAUUAAACAAGACUUAGGUGGUGUUUGUUUUUUGGUUGAAUAGAAAAAGGUAAAAUAUUUGACUUUUUCUAUUUAGUUAAAAGUAACUUGUUGACAUCGUCCAAUAUAAUUAAAGUAAACCUAUUGAGGGCAAGUUCACUUUAAUUAUGUUGGACGAUGUCAACAGGUUACUUUUAACUCAAUAGAAAAAAUCAAAUAUUUUGACUUUUUUUUUAACUCAAAUAAUAAAUCCAUUAAUACAAAAAAAUUAUGGAUAAUUUGAAACUUUCUUUCUUUUUUUUUUUUUUUUUGCUACACAUAGCUAUAUUUUUAUAAAUUUUAUCAUUAGAGAAAUGGAUUUCAAAUCAAGUGAAACUUUGUAUUGAAUUAAUGGAUUUAACAUUUUUUAAAAAUAAUUUGGAACUAAAAAAAAAAGAUUUAAUUACUAAGAAAAUCAUAGAUCAAAACUAAUAUAUUCUGAUCCAUGAUUUUAUUAUUUUUCCUAUACAUACAAUUAUAUUUUUAUAAUUUUCUCACUAGGUAAAGAUAUUAUAAAUUAAGUGACACAUAAUUAAUAAUUUAAAUUUUUGAAUGAAUCUUUUAAUUUUAGGAAUAAUUUGAAAUUUAAAAAGUUGAUCCAAUUAAUUGUAAAUUAACUUAAAAUAUUAUAAAAUAUUAUGUUCAUAAUUAAGUACUAAAUGUAUAUAUGUAAUGAAAACUUAACUAGUUACAUGUUACAAAAGCCAAAAUUUAUUCAUUCUUUAUUUUAAAUAAAAUAUUAUUAAUAAUUAUUUUUUUUAAAAUAAUAUUUAGUAAUUAUUGUUUUUAAAUUAUUAUUAUUAAUUUUUAAUAAAAAAAUUGCAAAGUUAUUAAUAUCAUUAUAUUUCUAACAUAAAUUUAAAUAGUAUAUUUUUUAAUAUAUAUAUAUAUAUAUAUAUAUAUAUAUAUAUAUAUAUAUAUAUAUAUAUAUAAUUUAUGAUUUCAUUAUAAUAUUUUUAUUCAUGAUUGACGAAAAAUUAUUUAUUGUUUAAUUUAUUUGAAUUGCAAAACUAUUUUUCAAAAUUCAAGCGAGAAAAUAGGCCUGGAUUUGAAUUUCCUGUAGAAGAGAAGGAUGUGGAGAAUAUGUUGGGAGUAUUUGUGGAUAAAGAAAAGGCCAGGGUACUGAGAAAGGAGAGAGAACUUGCUCUUGCCAAAAGAGCCCUGCACAGGUAUUCUACUGAUUCUAAUUAUCGGUUCUUACAUGAUCAGAUUUCAGAUUUAUUUGCUGAGCUUCUGAAAUCUGAUACAGUAUUUAAACUCCGGUGAGCUUUACAAGAUUAGUCUCGCAUCCAAUUCCAAAUGGUGUCCCACAAUUGAUUCUUCUUAUGAUAAAUCCACCUUGAUAUGUGAAAAUAUUGCUCGAAAGGUUUAUCCUCGCGAGGAAUAUCCAGAAUACUAAGGAAUUGAGGAGGCUCACUAUGUUUAUAGAGUCAGGGAUAGGUUGAGAAAACAAGUAGUUGUUCCAUUACAUAAGGCCCUGGAGUUGCCAGAGGUUUUCAUGUGUUCGAACAAGUGGGGAUCACUUCCCUACAACCCUGUGGCUUCAGUGGCCAUGAAAUCAUACAAGAGCCUCUUCUCAAACCAUGAUACAGAGCGGUUUGGUGAGUAUCUUGAGAAAGUGCAAACUGGGAAGGCUAAGAUUGCAGCUGGUGCAUUACUUCCCCAUGAGAUUAUAGCUUCAUUGAAUGAGGAGGAUGCCGAGAGAGUUGCCGAGCUUCAGUGGGCAAGAAUGCUGGAAGAUUGAUCAAAGAAAGGGAGGCUCACAAAUUGCAUUGCAGUAUGUGACGUAUCAGGAAGUAUGAGUGGAACUCCAAUUGAGGUGUGUGUGGCUCUGGGGCAGUUAGUUUCAGAGCUCAGUGAAGAUCCAUGGAAAUUAAGGUAAUGUAAUUACUUUCAGUGCAAAUCCUGAGCUUCACAAGAUCCAAGGAGACAGCCUUGUAUCCAAGACUGAAUUUGUGAGGAUGAUGGAAUGGGGUGCCAACACUGACUUUCAGAAAGUUUUGACAGAAUCUUACAAGUAGCAGUGGAGGGAAAUAUGAGUGAAGAUCAAAUGAUAAAGAGGGUUUUCGUUUUCAGUGAUAUGGAGUUCGAUGAAGCUUGUGGGAGGUAUAACUAUUGUGACUAUGACUAUGAUAUGGAGGAAAUUGACGAGAGUCAGAAGGCAUCUCAGAAGUGGGAGACAGAUUAUGAAGUGAUACAGAGGAAAUUCCAGGAGAAAGGAUACAGAAAAGUUCCAGAGAUAGUGUUUUGGAACCUUAGAAACUCAUCAGCGACUCCAGUGACGGCCACAGAGAACGGGGUGGCCUUAGUAAGCGGGUUUUCAAAGAAUCUGUUGACCUUGUUUUUGGAAGGAGGUGGAAUUCUGAUCCCUCAGGAUGUGAUGGAAUUCGCCAUCUCUGAUGAAGAUUACAAGAAACUUGUUCUAUUUGAUUAAGAUAUCAAGAGAUUUAUCAAUAAUAAUAUAUUUUUUUUCUAUGUGAAAUACAUAUAAUAUUAACUGUGGAGUUAUCAAAGUUCUGGAGGUUUAAUUAUUUCUUCUUUUCAAGUUUUGUUUAUUUAAGGUUUUCUUUGUCUUUGUUAGGAAUUCCCCUUGGGUGGACCCAGCUGGGGAGUUGGAUUGAGGAAGUAAGCAGGCGAACUUGUGUUCUUCUAUGGACAGAGAAAAAAAAUAAAAUAAAAAAAUAAAAAAGGAGGUUAUUUGCAUUUGGAUGUCGUGGUUUGAGGGUACAACUACAAGCUCGAAAUUGUACAUAAUGUGAAAACUCCUGUGUCCAUUGCUGAGAACAGCAUAAAUGAUGGUGAUUUUCAAGUUGUGCCUGGUAUUCUACAGGAUGAAACAAGAAAGGAUCCAGGUGGUAUAUUGAACAAUAUCCCAAUCAUGUUGGUGGCAUCUUUAUUUAGUUAAUGGUAUUCAUUUGGUGGAAGCUGGUUGUUUAUGAUGUUUUUAAUUUUUUUUAACAUGAAGUUCGAUCAAAUACGUAUCUUAGUAUGUUUUGUUUGAGCUAAUUGGCAAAUGCGCUUUAAACAUGGUCACAUGGAUGCAGUUUUAUUUGUGAAAUGAUAAUAGUCGAUUACUUGGUCAGUAAGGUUUAUAUCUCUAACUUCAACAUCUUAUUGUAGUCUUUUAAAAUGUCAAAAGUUUAAUGCUUGAGAAAUUUUGGAAUGGAGACAUUCUAAACAAAGUUAAUAAUCCACAAGACUUGGUAAAACCGAUCAGAUGAUGCUUACGUACAUCAAUGCCUUCUUUAAGCCAUAUCCUAUUUUCAUUGAACGGGAUGUGCCAUCUAGUUUGGUUCUUUAAGCCUCCAAAUCCUAAACCUAGUCUCAAUUUAGAGCAAAUUUAGGGUGCAGGGCCUGCAUGCCUCCCCCUCCCCCUUCCACAAAUAGUAGUGACCUUGCUAUGCCUAUGCAUUGUCAAUGCCUCAUUUUCUAUGGUCUCCAAUGUAAUAUCUUAGUUUCAAUGUCUCUUUCCUUACUAUCUCCAAUGCAAUAGAUUGAUUUCAAUACCUCUUUACAACUAAGACCUCCAAAUUUUCUUGGUUCAAACCUACCAGAAUUUUUCUUCUCCUUUGCUUUCUAUCAAUAUUAGUUCCCCUAAUUUAAUAUAUACUUCUUUAUUACCUUCAACUCUACCUCUCUUUCUUUCUCUAAAAGCUUCCUCAAAGAUUUAAUUGCUUUCUUGCAUGUUUUAAGAAAACAAACAUGCUCAUAUUACAUUACCUCUACUUGAGAUCUACCUUAUACUCUACCUUCUUUCUUUACCUCCUAUAUCAUCUACUACAUUAGCUUCAAAAAUAUUAUUUAGUUUGAUACUAAAUAAGGCUCCUAAUCCUACUCUUCCUUCAACAAACUUUCUUUUUACAAGUUCCUUAAACUUUAUUUUUUAUUUUUUAUUUUUUGGAAAUUCGGGUUAGAAAGAUUCCAUUACUCUUACCUAAUAUUUCAACCAUCAAGUUGAAUCCACUUAUUGCCUAAAUCCAAGGAGUCUGCCCUCCACAAAAACAAGGAAAUUGAUCCCACAAUAACAAGGAGAUUGCCUUCCACAGAAACAAAGAGAUCUCCCUUCACAGAAGCCGAAUACAUUGCAAUCUAUUUUCUUUCUUGUAAGAUCAAAUCUUCAAUCGAGCUCCAUCUUAUGGGGGCAUAUUAGAGAAAUUUAAUAUUAUCCUUAAUUUACAUAUUAAUAUUUAUCUAUUUAUUAUAUAUUGAAUUAAAAUAGAAUAUAGAAUUUGAAUCAUAGUAGAAGUUUACUAUAAGAUUGAAUUACAAUAGUUAAUAGAGUUUAAAUUAUAAUAACUCAAAUACAUUUAUAUAUAUUUGACCUUACGAGAUUUUCUAUUUAUGUAUUUGAACUACAAUCCUUAUGAUCCUUAGGUCUCUAUACCUUCGUGAUGGGCUCCUUGACAUUUCAUAGGUUGUGCUACACAUGCAUUUGAAAUUUAGAGUGCAUUUGACAGUGAUUCUGGGAAGUGUUUUUGGCAUUUCUAACACUUAAAAUUUUUUAUUUUUCAAGUAUUAGAAAUGCUACAAACACUUUUGAAAAUUACUGUCAAACACACUCUUAGGAGCGCAUAUAGUAGAAAACUAGAAAUUGUGGUUUUUUUAGGAUUUACUGUAAUGUCAUUAGGAGGGUAGUAAGUUGAAACUGAGUAUGAAUAAAUAUUUCUUUCUUUGGGAUGUUCUUCUGGUAGGUGCUGAUGAAACUGUUCUUUUUACUGCCAAUGUCACAUAUCAGCCAGAAAUUGAAAAUUUCAGUCAAGGUGUCCUCGGUUUUAGUGGUGAGGAAAGCUAGAAAUUUUAAGGUGAAGUUCUGUUAAAAACCUUAAGUAGCUGGGAUAUCAGGCCUGUUUUGCUUGAAAAAAAAAGUUGCAAGAUAACUCAUAUGCCAAACAGGUUCUGAUAUUGUGAAUCUAUCGGCAGACAUCAGUAAUCUCAUCUUCUGAGAUGGAUGUUGGGGGUGCAUGUGGUGGUGGAGGGGCAAGGUUUCAUUUGGUUUAUUUUGUUGAUGGAUAUUGUCUAGCCCCCUGCGCCAAGUUUGAGGGGUGGUGGGUUGUGAUGGCCCUACAAUUACUAUUAAUUUCUUCCUCUUUUACCGAUUAAAGUGUCCGAACAGUCGAAGUUACCCUUAUGCAUGUCAACUUGAUCACUUACCUCUUCAAUGGAGUUUAUGCUGGUUCAUUUAGGAACUGAUUUUUAUUGUUAUGCAUUCUAUGCUGAUGUUUAGGCCUCUCCAUCAUCACUAUAUACAAAAAUUCUAGGUUGAUACUAUAGGUUGAGAUUUAUUUUUUAAAUAAAAAAUAAUAAAAAUAAAAAUUAUGGUGAUGUUUAGUUGUUUUAUGGAAAAUUUUAACAAGUUAUUUUUGGGCAAGUUUUCAAACAAAAAGAAAAGUAAAAGUUGUUUUGACAAAAACAUAUAGAAAAAAAAAAUCAUAGAAAAGAAAUAAUUUCCCCAUAUUCUAACUUUUUUUAAUUUUUCUCAAUGGGCAAAGGAAUAUCAAAUCAAGUUUGAGUAGGAUUUCUUAAUUUUUAAAAUAACUUACAAUUAAAAAAUUUUGGUGUUUUCAUUUUUGGACAAUUUUUUAUUAAGCAAAUGGACUCUGAGUCAUGCAAGAGAUAUGGUUGAUUAAUGGGUCAAACAAUUUUUUUAAAAUAAUUUAAAACUCAAAUACAUAAUCAAUGUCACAAAAUUUAUAAACAAAAAUAGGUUUAGAGAAGAUCUACACAUAAUUUUACUUUUCUAAUUUUAUUUUAUUUUAUUUUUUUGUUGGAAAAUAGUCUUCAAAUCAUGUAAGAUUUAAUAGGUUAAAUUUGUUAACAAUAAAUUUUAAAUUAUAAAAUAUAAUCUGGAACUUAAAAAUCAAUUCAAGUAAUGCUAAAAAAAAUCAAAUUUGGUAUAGAAUGACUACGUAAAAUUUUUUACAAAACAAAUGAAUUUUAAAUCAAGUGAGAUUUAAUGCAUUAGAUUUUUAUCAAAUAUAGUAAUUUUAAAAUUUAAUUUGGAACUCAACAAUAGACACAAUAAAUACCAAAAAAUAAUGAACCAAAAUUGGUUUGGAAUAACUCCACAACCUCUUUUUUUUUUUUUUGGUGCACACGAAUUUUCUUACUAGGUAUAUUGCUUUCAAAUUGAGAAAGAUUUACUAUUUAGAUUUUUUUUUUUAAUGAGUUUAAUGGUAUUUUAAAAUAAUUCAAAAUUUCAAAAAUUGACUAAUUACUAUUAUAAAUUCAUAAACCAAGACUAAUUCAAAAUGCAUUGGGGGCUAAGGGGGUUGAAAAUAGGGACAAUGGGAUGGGUUUGGGACAUGACACUCAUAUCUCAUUUCCAUUCCAAUUACAUAGUUAUCUCCCAUCCUUAUCCCAAACUUGUGUUGGAGCAAGUUGAUUUGUUCCCAUCUUUGUUGAUGAAAUGACUAAUAACCUCAUCCCCUCCUUAUCUUAGAUGUACAUUUUGUCAAAUUUGAUCAGGUAUGAUUGAUCCAAGCCCUAACCCUAAUUGGUAAUGACUGGAUACUACACCUAAUUGCAUUCUUCUUUCGUCGCAAAAUAAUGAGAUUAUAAUAAUCUAGCAAAUAAGAAAAAAUAGUAUGGAAGUUCAAUUUAACACCAUAACUAUCAAUAAUUUUAAGCUUAUAGAUGACUUAAAUGAUUAAAAACUAAUGCAAAAUACCAAAAAAAAAAGUUCAUAUAAAGAAUUCACAAGAGAACAAAAUGAACAAAAACCAAAUAUGAACAUGGGUCAACAUUAGUUAUGGAUUUGGAUUCCUUUCAAGGCCAAUCUUUGAACCAAGACUUCAUCAAAUCUACUACUUCAAAGGCUUUUGUGUUCUUCUUGGGUUGUGCUCUCAAACAAAGACUUCAAGGUGAUGCUCUAGAUGAUUGCAUUACACAUAUUUAGGGUGGAGAGAUUGGAGAAGCUUGAAGAUGCCAACGAUGGGUACAAUUGAGUGGUCAAUAAGAACAAUGUAGCCUAUGACUAGUUUGAUGUCGUGGUACAAGAGUUUUAGGCAUUGAGGUUAAAGCAAGAGCAACAUGGAAUUGAUUUUGGAGUCUUUCAAUUAGUGUAAAGGAGGAAGAAGUGGUAUUGAUUCUAGAAAUAGGGUUUUAGGUGGUGCGUUAGAGGAUGAAGAAGAAGAAAAAGAAGGAUCUGUUGGAAUUAGUGUGAGUGUGAAGAGAGAAGUAUAUAAAUAAGGGGAAGUAAAAGCAAAGUUCUAAAAGCUAUAUUUUUUUUUAUUGUUGGUGUAUGGUUGCAUGAUUAUCCCUAUAAAUAAUAGGAGUUUUUUUGGUAUUCUACUAGUAGUUGAAGGAUAAUUUCAUAAAUUUAUAUUUAGAGUGGGGUGGGGUGAGUUGUGACAAAAUUCAUACCCGUCCUAAACCUUGGUUCAGAUUUUUAAAAUAUCCUCAAACUUAUCAUAUACCCAACUUUUAUAUUUCAUACUUGUCUUGAUAGAGGCAGGUUAGGCCGGGUUACUUGAGUAACCUACAUAAUUGUCAUCCCUAGUUGAAAUACACUUUUUUGGCAGUGGCCACCAACUGAGCUAGAAGCUUGAUCGAUUGACCUACAAGAUUAGUUCUCAUCAUUUUAAAAAAAGUUUUGGCCUUGGUUGUGAGUGCAAUUGAAUCUAAACUGGCAUUUCCUUAAUGCAUCUACUUCAAUCCUAAAUUUCUUACUUCCUAAGCCUCAAUUGUUGUUAGGAUUUUGGAAAGCCCAUUUCCUUAAAUUGUAAAUUUAAGAAAAAAUAAAAUAAAAGUGAGACAUUUCUUGAUUGAAUAUUGUUAAAGGUCCCUUGGCAUUAAGACUUGGUUGAAGCCUUGGAAGAUUAGUGGAACUCUCAACUUGUGUUUGAAUCUUGAGGAGAGUGGACGUAAGCCAAAAUUUUGUCAAACCAUUAAACAAAUUGAGUUUGAAUCCUCAUUUCUUGAUUUCUUAUUUAUUUGCUUUUUCUUAUUAUUACUUGAAUUGUCAUUUGCAUUCAUUAAUGUUAAAAUUGGUUAUAAUUAACCAACACUAAUUCUCUUUCCCCUUCCCUUUCUUGGGUGUAAACCUAGGUUGGAUUAACUAGAUUAAUUUAUAAAAUCUAUUAAGAUGGUAAAAGAAUAAUUAUUCUUAACACACAUAAGAUCAUCUUCAAUCAAAUGACUCAUUGGCUAAUAUGUUGAAUUUGCUUAUUACUUGCAACUCAAAAUUGUGUUCUAGUUGAUAUGUCAAGUCCCCAGUGUAUGGACAUUAAAUUUGUAGUACGUGAUGGUAAUUAGAUGGUCCAACUCCAAGAAAGUGAUUGAAAACUAGUUCAAGAAAGGUGCAAAAGGGAAUUGUUUUGGUAUUUUCGUUUUUAUUCUUGAAGGUGGCAGAGCUAAAAUUUGUGAAAUCAAGCAAAACAUACUGAAAUUACAUUGAAAGAAAGAAAAUGGGAGUUAAUGUCUUGCAGUAGAUGAUAAGGACUUCAUGCAUGUAGUAUGACCCAUGUCUUGGACUGAUGCCAACUCACGGUUACACUUAUACCCUUGGUUCUCUCUUUACUACCUUGGCUAACCUAGAUCAGGCUAUGAGAUAGGCUCCUCACCACACCAUUACUUGCCCAUUAAUUAGAGACAUUUUCAAGCACUGAGGUAACAUGGUGACACCAAGAGGGUUUAUUCCUCGCCCUCCUCGCCCUCAACAAGUCUAGACUUGGUCUCAAAAAAAUGGAGAAAAAUGAGGUGUCGUUAUGUAGAAAUACAACAACCAUGCCUUCCUCAUUACUUUGAUUCAGAAUGUGAAGGUGAAAUUGAGAAACAGAAACUCUUGAAACCAAAAUGAAAAUUGAUACUUUUACGAAGAAUUACAACAACAUUGGAGGAAGACUACAUUCUUCCUCUUUAUUCCUACAUUUCUACACUACUUCUACUCCACUCCAUAUUUCUACAUACAUCUUUAAUCAGUCUUCCCUCCUUUAUAUAGAGCCAUCUUCACACAAAUUCCGCAAGGUAGAAAAGAGGAAUGAAACUUGGAGCAAGGUUCGACUACUGGCUGUAGCUUGUCAAGGCUGGAAGUGAACCUUUUUUCUUGGCUUUUCUGGGCAUGGGUAGUAACUUGUGGGUUCCUUUUUGGGAUACAAAUGGCUAGAACAUGUGGCACUAUCUUGUUGGAUGAUGUGUCAAGCAUGUGGCAGCCAUCUAGUGGCGAUUAUGUCAAUUUUGGGAUGGAGAGUUGGCAUCCAAUUGCAAAGAAAUAUGACGUCUACCAACAGGCAAUGUAAACCUAUGUAGAUCAUAUGAAGAUAGAGAGGAAAAAUAUAGAAAUGGAUAUAUACCUAGAACUAGCUUUUUAUUAAAUGAAACGGAGAGCCAACAAUGAAGGAAAAUAAAUUUUUUUGGCUUAUAUCAAAGAGUUCACAUUGUGCUACCCUAGGUUUUCUUAAAACUUACUUUUAUGAUAACAAAAAAAAAAAAAAACAUUAUUGUUUAAUCCUUUGUUUUAAACGCAUGUUUAGCAAGUUAUAAAAUGUAAAAAUCUUUCUAAGUUCAAAUAUGAAGAUAUGACAUCAUUUCAAGCAAGAUAGUCUCUAGGAAUUAAUGUAAAGCUAAAUUAAGGUGAAAUUAAAUUAGUUCAAUGCAUUAAUUUAAGAAACUUGACCUAUCAAAAGUACAAAAUUAGAUGAAAUCCAUUUCAAUGGUUAAAAUGAUCAAAAUCAAACUUUUUCUAAGUAUUUUUUAAAAGUAUCAAUAUUGAAAGACAAUUUUAUAUUUAGUCAGAGUUUGGACAAAACCAAAAAGCACACAAAAUCCAAGCGACCAUCUCUAGCUUGGAUGGUCGCUUGAUCUCUAGCUUGUGUACUUGGAAAGCAACAUCGAGAUGAUAUAUAUAUAUAUAUAUAUUUUAUAUAAUAUUGUUUGUCCAAAUUCCCUAAAAAUUAGGCCACCACAUGUUCAUAAUUCUCCCUUCUUGAAUUUGAAAACUCGGACAAUUGGACAAUGCGACACCUAAGUCCGGUUUCUAAAUGCUAAAGUGAAAGGGUAGGUAUGGACCAUUGAAAUGUGAUCACAACUUUUCUCUGUAGCCAUGUUGUCUCUUUUUUCUUUUGCAUGAUUUUCUCACCUUAACAGAAUCAUAGACUUGUUUAAUCUCUAAAUGGGAUUAAUUUCAUCCAGCUUUAAGCUACUAUAUUAUAUCUAGGUGGAGGACUUUUAAGAGUGCAACCGACAUAGAGCACAUGCAAGUGGGUAUAUGGGACAUGAAAUUUCUUCUUAUAAAGAUUGCAUGAUUUUUAUAUUAGAGUUGUUGGGGCGCAAUGUAUGUAGCUUGUUUUGCAGUUAAAUUAAUUGGAUAAGUAGACAUUGGCGUUUCUAAAUCUACUGUGAAGUGCUUCAUGUACGUGUGAAGUAUUAGAAAUUUCUUUCUUGGCAACUUGUUUUUUCUUUGCGGUCUACUGAUAGGUUUGACUAAAAUUAUAUUCCCUGUCAUGCUAAUUAAUUUUCACGUGCAUGCUCAAAAGAAGAGUAUGACCUUAGUGCACCAAAAUCACUUUGAUUAAUUUGUGAUAGGUUUUUGUGCAUCAUGACAUUAGCCUUAUUCAUUUAGAUAAUGUUUAGUUUUUAGAAAGUAUUAAGAAAAGGAAAAUAAAUAUUAAGAAAAAUAUUCUUAUAUUUGAUUGUAUUAUGAAAAAUGUCAUAAAAAAAUCAAAUAUAAUUUAAAUUAAUUAAUAAUUUAUACAUUUUCAAAUUAUUUAAUCUUUAUAUUGAAGAUAUAAUAUAAAUGAAAUGAGUUUUAAGUAUUAUAUAAAAGUGAUUUAUUGAUCUUGCAUAUAUGUAUUUCUUUUUUUUUUCUUCUAUUUUUUUUCUUUAUUUUAUUUUCCUUAUGUUUUCCUCAACAUUUUCCGGAACCAAACAUAGCCUUAGGAAAUCCACAAUUACCUUCAACUGAGUAUAUUCGGUUGUUUUAGCAAUGUUAGGCUGCUAACUUGUGUUGGUACGAACCUGUUAAGCCUAAAGAUGUAAUUAGUUAGGAUAUUCUUUUCCCUCUAGUCUUGUAGCUCCACGUGUAUAGUUGGUUAGGACCUCAUUGUAUAUAAUGCCUGCCCUGUUAUUGUUGAAGACAACAGAGAUAAAUAAUAUUAACAUUUUUCCUCUCAUCUCUCUUUGUUUCCCUCUGUUUUCAUCUCCUCUCUCAUCUUGGUAUCAGAGCCUCCAUGGAUUCUUUCAAAGAAACCUCCGAAUCACCUUCUGCUAGCAUUGUUAAUGUGCAAAACCCAUUAUCUCAGUCAAACAACCUUCCUUCACCAGCAGCCACACCCUCUUUUUCUUUCUUGUCUAUGAAUCAACCUCUCACAGUGAAGCUGGAUAAUGGAAACUACCUCAUCUGGAAGAAUUAGCUUCUGAAUGUCAUCAUUGCGAACAGACUCGAUGAUUUCAUUUAUGGAACUCGACCCUGCCCUCCUUGAUUUCUCAAUCUGCAACAACAAACCCUCACUCCAGAGUACUCGGUCUAGCAGAGAUACAAUCGACUUCUAAUGAGUUGGCUGUACGCAUCCUUGUCCGAAGAUAUAAUGACUCAGAUUGUUGGGUAUUCAACAACUGUGGAGAUUUGGAACGUCCUUAAUCAGAUUUACUCUGCCUCUUCAAUGGCGUGGGUUACCGAGCUUCACACCAAGCUUCAAACGCUCAAGAAAGAUGGACUCUCAGUUGGUGAAUAUAUUCAAAGGCUCAAAUCCAUUUGCAAUAGUCUUGCAGCAAUAGGAGAACUAGUUUCUGAGAAAGACCAGCUUAUCUAUUUGUUCAAUGGAUUAUAUUGUGAGUAUAAUUCUUUUGUUACCUCCAUUCAAAAUCGAUCUGACCAACCAACUAUUGAGCAAAUCCAUAGCCUAUUGCUUAGCUAUGACUUUCGGCUUGAACAACAAAACUCUGUUUCUCUCCAUUAUGCCCAAGUCCGUAUGGCUCAUCUGAACAAGAAACCUUAUAAAUCAACUCCUCAACCUACAUUCAAUCAUAUUCACAUUCAACCUAGAUACUCUUCUCCACCUUUUAAGCCAACCACUAGUCAAUAUCAACCCAGGAUUUUGGGCAAACCACAACCACAACCAUGACAGCCUCAACCUCAAUGGAAACCACAUUUUUCAAUCCAGAAUCAAAAGCCUCAGUGCCAAAUUUGUGGUAAAUUUGGACACACUGCUCUUAUUUGCUUCCAUUGCACAAAUUUGAACUAUUCACCCCAACCUUCUCCUAAAUCUUUCAAUACUGUUCUCACCACAAAUUCCCAGCUCCCUAAUCCUCCAAAAUUUUCUUACCCUACAAUGGCUCAUCCUGCUGCUACGCAUAACACGAUUCCUGAUACAAAUUGGUACAUGGACUCAGGUGCUACACAUCACUUUACUCCGGACAUCAACAUGCUUGACACUGUGACACCAUUUAGUGGUUUAGAACAGGUGACAGUUGGGAAUGGUAAGCAACUCUGUAUCUCACAUCUUGGUACUGCAAAACUACCAUCCUCGUAUUCUCCUCUUGUUCUACAUCAGGUAUAUCACACUCCAAAAAUUUCAAAUAAUCUUAUUAGUGUUAGAAAAUUGUGUUCUGAUAAUAAAGUUUUUGUUGAAUUUUAUGCCACUCAUUUUCUUAUCAAAGAUCAAGUUUCGAAGAGAGUUCUCUUUCAAGGUCAACUUGAUAAUGGCUUAUACAAAGUUCAGUCGUCAUGCUCUCCUUCUACUAUUUCCUUUCAUCCUCAAGUUUUCAUAGCCAACAUCAAGGAUCAAAAUUUGUGGCACAAGAGACUAGGCCACCCAGCUUUAUCUGUUAUUAAUCAAAUCUUGGAUUCUUGUAACAUUGCUCGAACACAGAAAAUUGGUUUUAAUUUUUGUAGUUCUUGUCAAUUAGCAAAAAGCCACAGGCUUCCUUUUUCUCUGUCUCCAUCCAUUGCAGAAAAACCUUUUGAGUUAAUUCAUACAGACCUAUGGGGUCUUUCUCCUGUUCGCUCUAUUUCUGGUGCUCGUUAUUUUUUACUUUUCAUUGAUGAUCAUACUCGUUUUACUUGGUUUUAUUUGCUCAAAACAAAAGAUGAAGCAUAUCCUACUUUUCUCAAGUUUCAAGCUCUCAUUGAAAAUCAAUUUAAUACCAAGAUUAAGGUUGUCCAAUCUGAUUGGGGAGGUGAGUUUCGAUCUCUCUCCAUACUGUUUUCAAAUAUGGGCAUUGUCUAUCGUUUAUCAUGUCCAUACACCUCACAACAGAAUGAGUGGGUUGAGCGAAAAAAUCACCAUGCGGUUGAAAUGGGAUUGUCCUUUCUUGCUCGCUCGGGUAUGCCCUUAUCUUAUUGGCCUUAUGCCUUUCAAACUGCCACUUACCUUAUUAAUCGUCUCUCUACCCCUGUGCUGCACCAUCAAUCCCCUUACUUCGCACUCUAUCACAAAUUCCCAGCUUAUACUCAUCUUAAGGUCUUUGUUCCUCUUGUUUUCCAUAUUUACGCCCUUAUAAUACCCAUAAACUCCAAUACAGGUCACUGGAGUGUGCUUUUCUUGGUUGCAGUUCACACCACAAAGGUUAUCUAUGUCUUGACAUUCAUUCUAGCAGGGUGUAUAUUUCUCGCCAUGUGAUUUUUAAUGAAGAUUCUUUUACAUUCAAGAAUUUGAAAUCUUCUCUCUCUUAGUCUAUUUCUUCUUCCUCUUCUUUAUUAGUUCCUCUGUUCAUUUCCUUGCCUCCCCUCUCCCCAUAUCCUCCUAUUUCUCCAUCUAUAUCUCAUUCUUUUCUCUCUUCUUCUUCUACCUCUAGUACUUGUUCCCCUCUCGUUGCUCCUACCUCUCUUCCUCCCUCUUCACACUUUGUGUCCCAUCUAUUCCACCUCCUUCUCCACCUUCUUCGAGUGUGGACCUGCUUGUACCUUGUGUGAAUACAAAUUUACUUACUUUUUCUCGCACUCACAAUAUUCAUCCUAUGGUGACCAGAUCUAAGGGUUUGUAUCUAUAAACCUAAGUUGCUAUUGAGUGUCUCCAUAGGUUCUCUCACUAAGCCUACUUCCUUUCUUCAAGCUAUUAAAGAUCCUUCAUGGAAGCAAGCCAUGGAAUUGGAGUUUGCUGCCCUUCAACACAACAAGACCUGGCAUCUAGUUCAUUCACCUUCCUCAGGCAAAGUAAUUGGUUGUAAAUGGGUCUAUAAGAUAAAGCUUUAGCCUGAUGGCUAAUUGAGAGAUACAAGGCCCGCUUAGUAGCUUAGGGUUAUCAUCAAACUGAAGGUAUUGACUACUUCGAAACAUUCAGCCUGGUUGUCAAGCCUUCUACUACCGUAUUGUGCUCAGUCUUACUUUUUCCCAGAAUUGGUGUAUUAGACAGCUGGAUGUUCAUAAUGCCUUCUUACAUGGUGACUUAGCUGAAGACGUUUUCAUGGAACAACCACCUGGAUUUGUUGAUCCUCUCUAUCCUACUCAUGUCUGCAAGUUGGAUAAGUCUCUCUACGGUCUUAAUAGUCACCUCGGGCUUGGUAUACUAAGCUGAGUACUUCUCUACUACACUUGGGAUUUGUUACUUCUAAGAAUGACUCUUCCUUAUUUAUUUGUCAUUCGUCUCAUGGGUUACUUCUUGUUCUUGUCUAUGUGGAUGAUAUAAUCGUCACUGGGAGCCACUCUCCUCAAGUUACUCACCUUAUCCAAUAGUUGCAUCAUCAGUUUUCUUUAAAGGAUCUUGGUCAUUUACACUAUUUUCUGGGCUUGGAGGUUCAUCACACCCCUACUGGUAUUCACCUCAGCCAAGCAAAGUAUAUCACUGAUCUCCUUACCCGGGCGGCUAUGUUGGAUGCCAAGCCAUGUCCCACUCCUAUGUCCUCCAACACAUAUCUUUCUCUUCAUGAUGGAGUGGCUCUUGAAAAUGGUUCAGAUUAUUGAAGUUUUGUUGGUGCCCUUUAGUAUUGUACCAUGACACGCCCAGAUAUAGCUUUUGCAGUAAAUAAAGUGUGUCAAUUCAUGCACCAUCCCUCUGAUGUUCACUGGCAGGCUAUAAAACGUAUUCUCCAGUACUUAAAGGGCACAUCUCAUUUUGGUCUCUUCCUACAGCCUUCCUAUGACUUCAACAUCACUUGCUAUACAGAUGCCGACUGGGCUUCCUGCCUUGAUGACAAGUGUAGCACCAGUGGCUACUGCCUCUUUCUUGCCUCUAAUCUGGUUUCUUGGUCAUCUUCCAAACAAAAAGUGGUCUCCCGCUCCAGCGCCAAAUCAGAGUACCGAGGGGUAGCAAAUGGGGCUGCUGAAAUUGCUUGGACUGAAUCUCUUCUUUGUGAACUUUCCACCCACUCGACCUCCCCUCAUUGUCUGUGACAAUAUCAGUGCCACAUACUUAGCUGUCAAUCCUAUUUUGCAUGCCCGCACCAAAACAUGUGGAAAUCGACUAUCACUUUGUCUCGGAACGUGUUCUUCAACGCUCUCUCUCUCUCCAGUUUACACCUUCGGAUGAUCAACUUGCUGAUUGCAUGACCAAGCCUCUCUCCACCCAACGUUUCAUCACUCUACGCUCCAAGCUCACUGUUCUCACUAGACCAAUGAGCUUGAGGGGGGAUGUUAAGCCUAAAGAUGUAAUUAGUUAGGAUAUUCUUUUCCCUCUAGUCUUGUAGCUCCACGUGUACAGUUGGUUAGGACCUCAUUGUAUAUAAUGCCUGCCCUGUUAUUGUAGAAGACAACAGAGAUAAAUAAUAUUAACAUUUUUCCUCUCAUCUCUCUCUCUGUUUCCCUCUGUUUUCAUCUCCUCUCUCAUCUGAACCAAAUGAUCCAUGUUAACCUUGGCUUGGUUUGAUUUGGCUCUAUCUUAGAGAGCUCAAGGAUCACGUCAACUCUGGUUUCUACUAUUCAGGUCCAUUCCCAUAUGAACUGGUUCAAAUUUGAGAAAAUGGUAACAGACCUUUAGUGAUGUUGGUUUGGAGCCAGUUGCCAAACCCGCCCUGAGCUUUACCACUAAUGUCAAGGGAGAAAGCCUUUUGAACAAAAACAAUAGCUUCAAGAGACUGAAUCGUGGAUGAAAUCUGAUCCACAUUUCUUCUCAUUUUGGAAACAAAUGAGAACUUAACUAAGAAGAUUCUACGGCCUCAUAGUGCUUUUCCUGAUCUAAGGUUGGUUCGUUUCCCAAAUUGUGAGAUGCACGGGCCAGACUUCAGAACUCUCACGCUCAGGAGUGUAUCCACGUGGUGGACAUAAGAUGGUGGCUUAAGAUCUGGUGUCGGUGGCUUUACUUUACUAGGAGAGUAGUGUGUCUUCAUCUCAUUCACUGCCGGAGGGUGGCGUAAGCAGUGACGCUAAGGUGGGGCAUAGUCAAUAUCAUUUGCAUUUGACCAUUAUAGUUUUCUCCCGGCUUGAAAGUAACCUUAUCGUGAUAAAGGAUUACUAGCACUAGUUCAGAUGACAGUCAUGUUAAAUUCGGACCAUGUUUGUGUCACAUUAUCAGCAACCAUGUGUUUAUGGUUCAUGCUUUCUGCAACUGAAAUUGAAAUUGAUAUAUAACCAGGUGAACUUCAAUCUAAAUUCUGGAAGUACUCAUGUGAGCGAUGGUGCCCAUCUGCAGAGUCCAUCAAUUGAAAAAUGGAGUGAGUGUAUCUAUAAGAGGGAAGGCUUGGCAAAUGUCCAGUUUUCUGGGAAUUCAACAAGGAUCUAAAAUAGAUUGUUUUCUUUGCUGAUUUCAAUGGUUGAAAUUUGAGAAGAUUGUGUCCCACAUAACACAACUAUUACUGGUCCUUCUGUUGCAAUUUAUCCUCUAAGGCUCUAGCAUGUCUUCCAAUUCCCACUUCCCUGUUACUCCAGGAAAGCUAUUUCUGUCAUUGUGAAGAAGAAAAGAGAAUGUAGAUAUCGAUGCUUUUAAGUGACUGGAGCAUUCAUAUCAGGUGGUCUGCAGCCAUAUAUGCCACUUUGUGAAGAUUGGAACAGUCAAUCACUAGGCUAUAUAUUAGUGUGGCCCAGCCACUUUAAUCAAGGACAAUUCUUCAUACUUAAAAGUCAAAUUCUGCCUUUAGUCUCAUUAUAAAUUGCUGUUUAAAUAUUAAGCAAACAUUUGUUUAAUGCGAUUAAGACAGUACUAACUCAAUACUUGUUCUAUUUUUGGAUGGAAAUGCUUGAUGGUUUCAUCAUUGGAUGGGAUAAAGGUGCAUUCAUGAUUAUGAAUACUUGUAGUUAUAUUUUCAUUCUCUUUUUUCUCAAUGAGACUUGUUGGCACAAUUUUUCUGUUCAGAAACCUACCUCUCCAUGGAAAAUAAGUUGUGAUUGAUAGUACUGGAUAUAUUCAAGAAAGCUAAAUAUAGAUAGCACAAAAUAUUAUCGACAUAAAUAGCAUUAACAGCGUACGUAUGUCUCAGUGCUCAUCAGCCAUAAGCAUGGGGCAAACACUUACGAUGAGCAACUUACGUCAAAAUUCCAGAAUAGGACAUAGAAGUGACAGAUCUAUAUAUAUAGAACACUGCAUAAGAGUCACAAGAAAGGAAAUUACGGGUGCAUAGCAGCUCUUAUUUCACAUACUACUCAUACUGAUCAAAGUCACUCAGUUGGGAUGGGUGGGAGUAGGAGGUUUGUGGGGUGGCUUGUGCGGAGGAGUUGGCAGCUUCUUUCCAGGACCUGGUGGCUUCUCUCCCUUAGGUGGUUUGCCAACUGGGGUUGGUGGCUUGUAUGAGUCUUCAGCAUUCUCUGCAGGAGGGUGACCAGGGUUGUGACCAUAAUGUGGUGGCUUCUCUCCCUUAGGUGGUUUGCCAACUGGGGUUGGUGGCUUGUGUUCUGGGAGUGGCUUCUCCCCCUUGGGAGGUUUUUCCAAUGGGGUUGGUUUGUGUUCAGGAGGUGGCUUCUCCACUGGAGGCUUGUGUUCAGGAGGUGGCUUCUCCACCGGAGGCUUGUGUUCAGGAGGUGGCUUCUCCACCGGAGGCUUAUGCUCUGGUGGUGGCUUCUCCACCGGAGGCUUAUGCUCUGGUGGUGGCUUCUCGAAUGGGGGAUGCUUAGGGUAAUCAGCAAGUGAGGGGGCGGUGAGAACCACCAGGCCAAGCAAGACCACUAGCAAGUAUGUAGGAGACAUCUUUGGGUUUAGACUCAGAUGGUGCAAAACUAGGAGAAUUGUCUUUUAUAGCGGAUCGCACCCAAUAAUGAAAUGACACGUGUCUUUAUGACCCAUGUGUAAUGGGGUCGAUUUGGGUCCUACAGUGUUGAAAACUUCGACAUCCACUUUUGGCCUUUUGCUUUCUCUACAGCCGCCUUGCUUUUUCCCUCUUUCCUUUUGUUUUCCUCCUGCCCCAUUCUAUCAACUAAACACAAUUAUGUAGUUGUUUAAUUCUUAAAUGAGAUAUUAUCCGUCAAUCGUAUCAUAUUUUAUCAACAGAGAACGGAGUGCAAUGUGGCAAUCCAAAGAAAGAAGAUCCAUAAUGCAGCUGUAAUUUUAUCGUUUACUUUUAUCUCUUGGACCACUGCAUUUUUGUUAAGAGGUGCAAUAAUACACGUCUUUAUCUGCCAUUCAAUGUUUACAGUAAAGAGAGGGCACAAAACUCUUCACUGCUCUGCAUGUGUCCCAAAAAUGCAAUUGGACAAAUUAUGAUUUGCAUGCUAAAAAGAGGCAAAUGAGGUUAAUUCGCACCAUAAUUAUUUUGUUUUCUGGACCCCGGGGCCCUUUGGUUGGUUUGGGGGUCAGAAAAUGAACAUCAUAGGGGGUUUUUCCCUUAUGUGCAUUUGUAUCUGAUGGCUUUAACUCGCCUUGUUACUACAAAGAAAUUGUCACAUAUAGGAACUUAUUCCAGGCUGAGUAUCUCCGCAUAGACCCUAUAAAAGAAGACAAGUCAUAAUGAACAUCUAACCUUUGUUCAAUUUGAUUCAAUGCCCCAUUGUGUCCACCUCACAAAUCUGAAUUAUUAUAUCCAUUGAAUACAUAAAUUAAUGAAGAAAAUAUGAAACCCAAGAUACAUCUCUGCACAACCUCAACCCUGGUUGCUAUGUUUCCCUUCUAUUCACAUGAGGAUAUUGAUUACGGAAUAGGGAAACCUAGCAAGGGUUUACUCGGCUCUGGUUUGAUGCUAAUUGCCAAACUUGCAACAAGCCCUGAGUUUGAAGCUCACAGAAGAUGUUAUACAGGCAGGGAAAAACCUUCAGAGUUCGCUGCCAAAGAUAAUUAUUAAGGAGAUAUCACCAAGAGAAUUCCAAGGAGUCUGAAUCAAAGACAAAUUGGUCGUUCGUGGAGGUUCUUACUUUCUUUUGGGUAUAACUCACUGAGGGCACUGUCUUUUUUAUUUUCAUUUCACAUUUAGAGUUCUGUUCUGGAAACAUAUAAAAGGAGCAUCAGUUUGUUCUUGGGUAACCCAUAGUCGUGAGUGGGUCCAUUUGCAUGCUACUUAGUUGAAAAGUUGGACCAUUUGCUCCGACGCCUACCUCCUGGAUUCCAUGCUCGGAUAAAACAAGAAUAAAAAAAUAUUUAUAAUUUACAAAUGGGGGAAAGAAAAAAAUGUCAACAACAAACUAGGAAAAAAGAGUAGUAAAAUUCAUGUCACAUGCUAGUGAGAGAAGGGGUUGUUACACUCACUCGAAGUUCUUUUCAAAAUAUCGCAUGGUAUUUUAUUUUAUGUGUGAGCGCAGUUGUGAAUGGAACGUGCAAAAGUCCAAAUUGGUGACCUUUAAUAAAUAUUUAAAACAAAAAACGAAAAAAAGGAGGGAAAAGGGAUCAGAAAAGAUAAAACAAUGUGUACAAAAGCUCAAUUAGUUUGCAAAUUACUGUUUGGAUUUUGAUAGUAUUUUAUUUGAUGUAAAAGAGAAUUUAAGAUAUUUCCGAAACAAAAGCAUUAGUUUGCUCCAUGUCAAUUUCGGCAUUUCUCAUAUGUUUCACACAUACACAGAAGAGCAUCGUUUUUUAAAGCAUGCAUUUAUGUUGGAUUAAUUUGGAUUUUGUGGGAACUGGGGCAAGGAUCACAUGGAAGAGAGGUUGACUUUUUUCAGUACUUCAAUGGUUGAGACAGGUGAAGGCCUGAUUGAUACUGAAGCCUGAAAUUGCGACUCCGUCAUUUGUCAAAACAUAUGACAGCUUCCAUGCUCUCGUUUGGUUGCAUUGUUCUGUGGUCAUGCAUACAUGCCACUUAGUGAUCAGUCUGUAACUGUCAAUCAUUGGGCUUUGACUGAACAACAUCAGCCAUGUAUAAAUACUUGCAAAUCAAACGGUCUUCUUCCUCCCAUAAGGAAUUUCGGUUUAAUUAUGAAGCAUGCAUUUGGCUGACCAUCAUAAACCACUUCUUUAAAUUGAUGAAUGAUAGUUUUUCAUUCAUUCUUUCAUUCGUUCAUAUACAGAGUAUAUAUAGAGGGUAAUCAUCAUUCUAAGAAUGGGAAAGAAUGAUACAAGGAAAUAAUGAUAUAAAGAAAUAACAACUAAUAUUCUAAUAUCUCAACUUUCCUAAUAUCUAAACAUUCCUAAUAUCUCAACACUAAAUGAUAUAAAGAAAGAAUGAUAUAAGGAAAGCAUUCCUAAUAUCUCAACACUCCUCCUCAAGUUGGUGCAUAGAUGUCAAACAUGUCCAACUUGUCUAAAAAUUUUGAGAACAGUUGACUUGAGACAUCUUUGGUGAGGAUAUCGGUCAAUUGAUCUUCUGAUCGAAUCUUAGGCAAUUCCACAAUCUUAUCAUCCAACUUUUCCUUAAUGAAAAAUCUAUCCAUCUCGACAUGCUUUGUACGAUCAUGUUGUACUAGAUUAUGAGCAAUGUCACAUGCUGCUUUAUUGUCACAAAACAAUCGGAUUGGUUGCCUAGAUAGGUAACCUAAAUCCUAUAAGAGGAGUCUUAGCCAUAAUGCCUCACAAAGUCCUAAAGUCAUACCUCUAAAUUCCGCUUCUGCACUUGAACGAGCGACGACAUUUUGCUUCUUACUUUUCCAUGUCACAAGAUUACCACCUACAAAGGUAAAGUAACCAGAUGUAGAUCGCCUAUCAUCCACUGCACCGACCCAAACAGCAUUAUACUUCUAUACUCUGAUGAUCAACAUUUUUAGCGAACAAAAUUCCCUUCCUAGGAGCAUUCUUCAAAUACCUCAAAAUACGCAUGACUACAUUCAUAUGUUGCUCUCCAGGAUUAUGCAUGUAUUGACUCACUACACUCAAUGUAUAAGCAAGAUCUAGUCUUGUAUGAGCUAAGUACAUUAAUCUCCCCACAAGUCUCUGGUAUCUUCCCUUAUCGAUUGAUACUUGAUUAGGCUCAACACACAAUUUCAGACCUUCUUCUAUUGGUGUAUUAAUAGGUUGACAUCCCGACAUUCCAGUUUCCUGUAGAAGAUCUAAGGCAUACUUUCUUUGAGACAGAAAAAUUCCUUCACUUGAUCGAGAAACUUCAAUCCCAAGAAAGUAUUUCAGACGACCAAGAUCUUUCAUUUCAAAUUCUCUAGAUAGAUACUUUUGCAAAGCUUUUCUUUCUUCAGGAUCAUUUCCUGUAACUACAUGUCAUCCACAUAUAUCAUAAGUGUCGUAAUCUUACCAUGUUGCUUUUUCAAGAACAAAGUGUGAUUUGAAUUACUUUGAUGAUAGCCAAAAGCUCUCAUUGAUUUUGUGAACCUUCCAAACCAUGCUCUCGGGGAUUGCUUCAACCCAUACAAUGACUUCUUCAAUUCGCACACCUUCUGACAUUGCUUUUCUGACACCAUGCAUCCUGGUGGAAGAUCCAUAUAUACUUCUUCAGAUAAAUCGCCAUGCAGAAAGACAUUUUUUACAUCGAACUAUUGUAAUGGCCAAUCUAGGUUUGCAGCUAAAGACAAUAAUACUCGAACUGUGUUGAUCUUAGCUACAGGUGCAAAUGUCUCUGUGUAGUCAAUUCCAUAAGUUUGAAUGUACCCACUAGUCUUGCUUUAAAUCGUUCAAUACUACCAUCUGCCUUGUACUUCACAGUAUAGAUCCAACGACACCCAACUAGCUUCUUUCCUGGUGGACAUUCUACGAGUUCCCAUGUUUCAUUUUUCUGCAAUGAUUUCAUCUCUUCAUUCAUGGUUGCUUUCCACUUUGGAUCAGCUAAAGCUUCCUGCACACUAUUAGGAAUAGCUACAGUAGAUAAUUGAUUUACAAAUGACUUAUUUGAUUCAGACAAACCAUGGUGUGGACCCGCAUUUUUCACGUGCGCCUCUACUCGAUCGGCGAGACUCGCUUUCUAUUUGUGAAAAAUUAAUUUUAGAAAAGUUGGAGUCGCCACCUAUUUUAUUUUUAUUUUGAAGGGAAAAUAAAACAAGAAAGAAAAACCCUAAAAAGUGACUCCAUAGUUUUGGAAAAAGCAUGUCUUUGGGAAACCUGAGUCUAGGUCCGGGGAUCAUGUUACUUAUUGGGAAGGUACCUCUAGGAGGUAGCACCCCUCUAAGCCUUAUGAAGGUCUCUACUAACUAAAUUAAGGGAAGUGUGGCAAUAAAUCGAUUGAUCAUAGAUACCUAAGUAGACUAGGUGAUUUUAAAGUGUGGCAUGUCAAACACAAUCAAAUUGCAAUAAAGGAGAGUUAGGGCGCGUACCUGAACCGCUUCUCAAGCGCUAUCAUAAAACAUCAAUGGUUAAUUUAAAUAAUAUAUCAUCCAGCAUGUAUUUUAUUAGAAAUAAUCAAACAAUGAAACAUGUAUAUCAGAACACUCAAGCAUUAUUAGACAUAAGCAUUAUUUCACUAUUCACAGAAUUCAGAAAGUAGGUGAUAGAGGACAUACCUGGAUAGCAUAGAUAAUUUGUAAUGUGCUUCCUCAAGUUGUAAGGGGUUAGAUAACAAAUAAUAAAAUAUAGAAAUCCUAGCAUGCUCGUUAUCUAAUUAGCAUAGCAAAAGUGAUCACAGUAUACAGAAUCAUCAAUUAUCACAUACAUCUUGUAUAUAAUUCCUAAAAAAAAUAGAUAGACAUGAUUUCAACAAGUGUCAAAUGUGGCAACAAAAAUAAAUUUUGAAAAGAUUUUCUUAUGUAGGGGUUUCACCAAUUCCCCAAAUUAAUAUACACGAAUUUAGCUUAGAAUUAUCCCAUUUAUUUGGGACUACAAGCUUUGAUUCGUGUUUUUGUUCAAAACCAAAAAUUUUUGUUGAAAAUCAAGAAGGAUGCGAACCGAACAAGAUAUGGUUGCAUAUUAUUUUUAAAUAAAUAAAUAAAUAAAUAAAGGAGAUUUUGAUCCUGAGGACUUUAAUGAGUUUUUUUUUUUAAAAUAGAUUUUUAAAAUGAUUUUUUUGAGAAAAGUAUUUUAUUUUAAAAUAAAAGGGAUUAAUUUGGGAAAAAAAUAAAAUAUAAGAAAUAAAAUACCAAACAAAACAAAAAUGAAACCUCAAAGUAAAAUUUUUUUAGUAAUUAACAAAAAUGAUAAUGGUGAUGGUAGAGGGCAAUCUUCAUGAUUUUCCAAUGGCCUCAGAAAGAAAAUCAAAUUAAAUGAAGGAUCACUAACAGGCAAGACAUUCUAAAUUAGACAAACUAACAAAGUAUCAAUUCAUGAACUAACCGCUAGGAUUUUGAAAGCAUAUAAGCUAAGAUAAGGGUGAUCAGGAACUAAUAUUAAUGAUUUUGAAAUAAAAACUAAAAAAAAGGAUCAAUUCGGGUAAGGAACUAAAAUUAUAAAAGUACCUAAACUAAUUAUGACGAGUUUGACUAAAUUAAACUAAAAACAUGAACUUUCAAACAUAGAAUUAAUUUUACUAAUGAACCAAAGCAAACUAAAAAUAUGUACUUUCAAGCAUAGAAUUAAUUUUAUUGAUGAACUAAACUAUAACAAAUAUCUAAACUAAAUAUAAUGAAUCAAAUUAAAUUAAAGCAACUUAAAAACGCAAACUUUCAAACAUAGAAUCAAUUUUAUCAAUGAAUUAAAACUAUAAAUGUAUUUGAACUAAAUAGAUGAAUCAAACUAAAUCAGAGCAAAAUUAAAAAAAAAAAAGAACUUUCUAACAUGAAAUCAAUUUUAUCAACAAAUAAAUGAAUGAAUAACAAGUAAUUAAAAGAAUAGCUACUACAUGAAUAACUGAAUGAAUAAAAUUCAAAUGUUUUCAAUCUGAAGCAAUCAAUCAAAAUUAAAUAGGGAUCAAAUCAAAAUAAUCGAAAUCGGAAAAACAAUAUGCAAUCUUUCUAAAGGUUUAACCAGACAAUUGAAUUAAAAUUAUGAAUAGAAUAAAUUAAUAAACCAAAUCGAAACCUAAAUUGUACCUAAAAAGAUUAAUUAAUUAAACUAAGAAAUCAAAAUCAAUAACAAAACUAAACUAAGGAGUAAAUUAAGACAAGACUAAUUAAAUUAAACUCACAAACACGUUUUAACUAUCAUAUGGAUUAAAACAAAAUUAGCAUGGACUUAUGAAUUACGAACAAAAAUAAUCAAAACUAUUUUAAAAAACUCACCUCUAUUAUAAGAAAAAAUCUGCCUUUGAUGCGUUGAGGUGGCUCCCCUCUCUGUGUGGAUCUCUCUGCUCCCCAGAAAAAAAAUGUCUCUUCCUCCGUUCUCUUUUGUUUCAGCAAAAUAAUAUAUCCCCUGCUGUGGAUCUCUCUACUCCCAGAAAAUAAUAUAUUCUCUCCGUGUCCUAAAGUGGACCUAGGGUGCCUAAGUGGACCUAGGGUGCCUAAAUGGGCCUAGGGUGCCUAAAUGGGCCAAGUGUAUCUAAAUAGGCUUAGGGUGCCUAAGUGGGCCUAAGUCUAAGUGAGCCUAAGUCUAAAUCAAGACUACCAAGGAUCAUAAUAAGGGGUUAGGCAAUCCCUUAACCAAAGUCUCCAAGGUGGCUAAAAAAAAGUAAGUAGUAUGAGUAGCUAUGGGUCACCAAGGAACUACUGUGGAGCAUUGAAAACGAAUUUAAAGACAUGUGCCAAAGGGACAAAAUUGAGGGUCUACAGAUGGUUAGACACAUAGUUGCUCAUGGGAUAUUUGACUUUGGUAAACAAUUCAGAUUCAUAUGUGGGUUUAGGAAUACCUUUAUUAUGACGGUGUGGUAAUCGUUUCAUGAAUGGAUCAGGUUGCAAAUUAAGAACACCCUCAGCAAACAACGAUUGGUUUGGUAUUUCAGUGAAGACAUCUUCGAACCCAAAUUGUUGACCACUCAUAUCCAACUCACCCGCUUCCUGGUUCACUAGUUCAGAUUGUCCAAAUUCAUCAUUCUCAUAGAUAUGAUAAUCAUAAUCGAGAGUCUGAAUUUCCUUAUGGUACUCCCCCUGAAGUUCAGACUUAGAUGAAAAAUACAUCGAAUAUUCAUGAAACAGCNNNNNNNNNNNNNNNNNNNNNNNNNNNNNNNNNNNNNNNNNNNNNNNNNNNNNNNNNNNNNNNNNNNNNNNNNNNNNNNNNNNNNNNNNNNNNNNNNNNNNNNNNNNNNNNNNNNNNNNNNNNNNNNNNNNNNNNNNNNNNNNNNNNNNNNNNNNNNNNNNNNNNNNNNNNNNNNNNNNNNNNNNNNNNNNNNNNNNNNNNNNNNNNNNNNNNNNNNNNNNNNNNNNNNNNNNNNNNNNNNNNNNNNNNNNNNNNNNNNNNNNNNNNNNNNNNNNNNNNNNNNNNNNNNNNNNNNNNNNNNNNNNNNNNNNNNNNNNNNNNNNNNNNNNNNNNNNNNNNNNNNNNNNNNNNNNNNNNNNNNNNNNNNNNNNNNNNNNNNNNNNNNNNNNNNNNNNNNNNNNNNNNNNNNNNNNNNNNNNNNNNNNNNNNNNNNNNNNNNNNNNNNNNNNNNNNNNNNNNNNNNNNNNNNNNNNNNNNNNNNNNNNNNNNNNNNNNNNNNNNNNNNNNNNNNNNNNNNNNNNNNNNNNNNNNNNNNNNNNNNNNNNNNNNNNNNNNNNNNNNNNNNNNNNNNNNNNNNNNNNNNNNNNNNNNNNNNNNNNNNNNNNNNNNNNNNNNNNNNNNNNNNNNNNNNNNNNNNNNNNNNNNNNNNNNNNNNNNNNNNNNNNNNNNNNNNNNNNNNNNNNNNNNNNNNNNNNNNNNNNNNNNNNNNNNNNNNNNNNNNNNNNNNNNNNNNNNNNNNNNNNNNNNNNNNNNNNNNNNNNNNNNNNNNNNNNNNNNNNNNNNNNNNNNNNNNNNNNNNNNNNNNNNNNNNNNNNNNNNNNNNNNNNNNNNNNNNNNNNNNNNNNNNNNNNNNNNNNNNNNNNNNNNNNNNNNNNNNNNNNNNNNNNNNNNNNNNNNNNNNNNNNNNNNNNNNNNNNNNNNNNNNNNNNNNNNNNNNNNNNNNNNNNNNNNNNNNNNNNNNNNNNNNNNNNNNNNNNNNNNNNNNNNNNNNNNNNNNNNNNNNNNNNNNNNNNNNNNNNNNNNNNNNNNNNNNNNNNNNNNNNNNNNNNNNNNNNNNNNNNNNNNNNNNNNNNNNNNNNNNNNNNNNNNNNNNNNNNNNNNNNNNNNNNNNNNNNNNNNNNNNNNNNNNNNNNNNNNNNNNNNNNNNNNNNNNNNNNNNNNNNNNNNNNNNNNNNNNNNNNNNNNNNNNNNNNNNNNNNNNNNNNNNNNNNNNNNNNNNNNNNNNNNNNNNNNNNNNNNNNNNNNNNNNNNNNNNNNNNNNNNNNNNNNNNNNNNNNNNNNNNNNNNNNNNNNNNNNNNNNNNNNNNNNNNNNNNNNNNNNNNNNNNNNNNNNNNNNNNNNNNNNNNNNNNNNNNNNNNNNNNNNNNNNNNNNNNNNNNNNNNNNNNNNNNNNNNNNNNNNNNNNNNNNNNNNNNNNNNNNNNNNNNNNNNNNNNNNNNNNNNNNNNNNNNNNNNNNNNNNNNNNNNNNNNNNNNNNNNNNNNNNNNNNNNNNNNNNNNNNNNNNNNNNNNNNNNNNAACCAAAGGAAGCAUGUUCCAGACGUCGAUGCCACAACCAAAUUUCAGACUUUUUCUUCUCCUCCUUAGAUCCAUCUGCCAUCAAGGCUUGUUGCAACUUAUUUGAAUCCUUUGAUUGCAAGUCCAAGUAUAGAGUUUCCCCCGCUUAAUACGACAACCAAUCGUCUGUCUUGUUUGAAUGUCCUUAAUCACACAAAAUUCAGGCCAAAAAAUGACAAUACAAGAUAAGGCUGCAGUGAUUUGAGAAACUAACAAAAGAUUGUAAUCUAAAGAUGGAACAACUAAAACAGAAUCCAAAUUCAAAGUAUCAGUAAGAGUUAAGGAUCCUUCCCCAAUGACUGGGGUUGUGUUACCAUUGGCUGUGGAAACAAUUUUUUGUGAGGAAGGUCUAAGGGGUGAAACCUGUCUAGAAUCAAAAGUCAUAUGAUCUGUAGCACCAGAAUCAAUUAUCCAUGCACUAUUAAUAACAGGUGUAAAAGUAUUUAAAAACUUACCACAAUGAUCUGUAGCGGCUACUAAUGCAGAGACUUUCUCAACAACAUUAGUCUUUGUUUUUAUUUCGGUAACAGUUGCAAUCAAGGUUUUCUUGGAAUUCUUCUUCCGUUGAUCACGAUUAUUAUCAUUAAUAACAAAGUGUUGAUAGCCUAAACAUGAUCUAAAGGUCCAUGGUGCAAACCCUCGGUUCCUCAUUGUUUUCCUGGUCAUACCAAGAGUUGUUGCUUUGAAAUUGUGGGAUAUCCAGACUGGUGGGAUCAGUUUUAUUGCAGUGAGUGCAUUUGAAUGUUGACUUAUCAAUAUUAGGGCUUGUCUUCGGAUGGUUGAUUGCUGUUGGACUACCAUAGCGACAAAAUAUCCAGGAUUUCAAUUCCAGGGCUCUGAUACCAUCUUCAAAUUGAUGAAUGAUAGUUUUUCAUUCAUUCUUUCAUGUACAGAGUAUAUAUAGAGGGUAAUCACCAUUCUAAGAAUGGGAAAGAAUGAUACGAGGAAAUAAUGAUAUAAGGAAAUAAUAACUAAUAUCCUAAUAUCUCAACUUUCCUAAUAUCUCAAUAUUCCUAAUAUCUCAACUUUCCUAAUAUCUAAACAUUCAUAAUAUCUCAACACUAAAUGAUACAAGGAAAGAAUGAUAUAAGGAAAACAUUCCUAAUAUCUCAACACCACUUCAUGAUAUAUAUAGUUUCUUACCCUUAAUCAAUGGUUUCUAAGUGAAUUUAUAUAGAAAGAAAUCCAAACUGUAGACAGCAGUAUUGGUAACACUCAAUAUUCUGUAUAUAAUAGAAUAAAUAGCGUCACAGUGAUCGUCGCCUACAAGCAAGGUACAAAUACCACAAAGAGUGACCCACAUAGACAUUCCCCAACAAGAUGUAGUAGUGACUGACACAUAGCCACAAUUAACACGUAGAAAAGGAUAAGACCGGUGCACAGUAGCUCUUAUUUUACAUACUACUUAUGCCAACCAAAGUCACUCAGUUGGGAUGGGAGGGAGAUGGAGGUUUGUGCGGUGGCUUGUGGGGCGGAGUUGAUGGCUUCUUUCCAGGAGCUUCUGGCUUUUUCAUCGGAGCUGAAGGAGGCUCAAUCUUAUGAGGCGGCUUGUACGAGUCUUCUUUGCUCUCGAAAGGAGGGUGGCCAGGGUUGUGACCAUAAUGUGGUGGUUUCUCUCCCUUGGGAGGUUUACCAAUUGGGGUUGGUGGCUUGUGUUCUGGGAGUGGUUUCUCUCCCUUGGGAGGUUUAGUGGGUGACUUGUGUUCUGGAGGUGGCUUCUCCACCGAAGGCUUGUGCUCCGGUGGUGGCUUUUUGGUUGGAGGGGGCUUGGGGUAAUCAGCAAGAGAUGGGGUGGUGAGAACCACCAGUCCAAGGAACAACACUAGCAAGUAUGUGGGAGACAUUUUUGAGUUUGGGCUGAUCAGAUGAUGCAAAACUAAAGCAUUACGUGACCUUUUAUAGCAAGUAGCUCCCAAUACCUACUUGACACGUGUUACUGUGACCCAUAAAUAUUAUGGGGUCUAUUUGUGCCCUACCGGGUUGAAAACUUGGACAAUUGGGCAAGGACCCGCCUGACUAUGGAGGACUACUGAGGUGUGAUCACAGCUUUAGGAUUUUUCUUCCUCUGCAGCCGUCUUGCCGUUGGCAUGAUUUUCUUAAUCUCAAAUAAAGGCAUAGUUAUAGAGUUGUUUAAUCUCUAAAUGGGAUUUUAUAUAUCUUCAGAUAGCCAUUAAUACAUUUGAUGAAGAAAGAAAGACAAGUGCAUACAACAUGUAUACGACUAGCUUUCAUGGAGUUCAUUUAUGAUCAGUUUUCCUGUACAUGUAAACCAAGAUCAUAUAUGUUUUUGUUCCACAACAAUUUUGGAAUCUUGUUUAUCCGUUUUUAUCAUUAUAAUGUCACAUAGGCUGCCAACUUGGGCGCUAAAUUAAAGAUCCAGUUGGGCAAGUUCGUUUCAGAAUUUCAAUGGUGGAUUCAGGAAUUGUUUUAUAAGAUAUGCAAAAUAGUAGAGGGAUGAAUAGUGUUUCAUUAAGAAAAGAGCCCUGUAAAAAUAUUGUUUAAAGGUGCCAUAGAAACUAUAAUCAAUAAAUAACUUUUUUUCCCCAUGGGUGGUGUUUCUUGUGGGGAUCAGUGACUGGUUUGAGUCAACGCCGUGUCUCUUUAGUCCAGAAAUCAACUAUUUUAUGCAUUGAAUACAUCAACAAAGAAAAUAUGAAAGCCAAAUGACACCUCCCCCGCAAAAACUAAACCCUGGUUGCUAACUUUCUAUGUUUCAGUUCCAUUCACACAAGAAUAUUAGUUCAAGUUUGAGAAAAAUGGCGACUUACCUAGUGAUAACUCGGUCUUGGUUUGCGAUUUGACUUUAACGUCAUGGGUUGAAGCCUCCUACAAUCAUCGUGUAUGCUAGUUCAAAGCUCGUGGAAGAAGUUAUACAGGGAGGGAGAAACCUCCACAGCAAGCUCCAAAAGAGAAUUAUCACAUUGAAAGCUCCAGUUGAACACUGGGUGAAAGCCAUAACAAGAUUGGUUUUCUAUCGCUCUUUUAAGUAAUGGAAGAUUAUUAUCUCUGCUUGUCACUACAACCGUGCAUGCUGCUAGAUCUUUCUAGACACUUCAAACAGUGAAACCAAGUAUGAUUCUUUUUCUCUUGAGUGGGUCCACUUGCAUGCCAAUGAACGAGUUGAAAAGUUGGACAAUUGGCCACAGCGCGCACUUACCUUCUGGAACCGAAGGUCAGUGAAGUGGGGUUCCUUUUGGCCCCUUGUGUUUCUGUUCCAACCUACUCCAGGAACCGAAGUUCAGUGAAGUGGGGCUACUUUUGGCCUCUUGUGUUUCUGUUCCAACCAAACAAAAAUGGGAGGGAAAAAUAGCAUUAUGCUUGUGCUAAAGAUCAACGCAUGAUAGCUGAAUAAGGGAGAAAAAGGCAUUGCUAUCUCAAUUUCAUAAACUUGAUAAGUAGUGACAUUAAUAGUCUUCCUCAUAGAUGGAUACAUGGUUUUAUUUUAUUUAUUUAUUUUUAUUUUUUUGUUUUAUGUCAAUGCUAAUGAAUGAAGUGCAUUAGCUUGUUUUGUGACUAGAACUACAAAUGUCCAAAUUGGAGCUUCUCCAAUAUAUUUCUCAGUGAGUUAUUGAUUAGAACUCUUGGAUUGAGUUCCAAGAUUUGAAUCAGACCCCUCUAGCAGCUUCAGGGGUACGUAGCAACCUAUAGCAUAUUAAUGAAGACUUAGGAUUUAGACUUAGGAAUACAAAUUAAUAUGUACCUCAUGCUCUGACUAGCUUCCCUGCGUAUGCACAAAAUGGAGAUGACUCCCAAAAAAAUAGCAGAAUCGCCUUAGUAUGUUUUUGUGGUUAAGAUGAUUCUCCACUUUAUAUAUCCACAUUGGUUCAUUAUGCAAAUUAAUCAACUAAGCUAUUUUUAUUUUUUCUUAAAUGUGAAAUAGGAGCUCCAAAUUAACCUAACCAUUGGCCUGAUUGAAUUGAUUUCACUUGCAUAAUGUUAUAGUAGAAGUCCGUAAUUUGAAUUUUAUUUUUGCAAAAGGUAACGUAAAUGAAGCAUUGUAAUUAAAUUUAUUUGUAAUUACAAACUAAUUUUAUUUUAUUAAGAAUUAAUUUAAUUACUCAUUUAAAAUAAAAAUCAGUUAUACUUUUACCAAGAUGAUAAUAUUCAUAUUUUUCUAGUUAACAUAUAUAAAAUAGUACACUUUUUCAUAUAAAAAAAUAAUUUAUGAUUUAUUAUAAUGUUACUAUUCACAUUUUACUAAAUUGAUGGUACAUGAUAGUGAGAGAAGGGGGUGUCACACUCAGCUAAAGUUCUUUUCAAAAUAUUGCAUGGUGUUUAAUUUUAUGUGUCGGCGCGCGUGUGAAUGGAACCUGCAAAAGUCCAAAUUGGCGUUUCUCCAUUUUCCACAUAGGAUGGUGACGUUAAUAGACAAAGAUACAAUAUCUGUAGACAUUGCUUAAAAAUCGAUGUGAAGUAUUAGAAAUUACAGGGCACUGUACUGGGGGAGCGGCUGCCCCGCCAAAGGAGGAAGAAUGUAGCAAUUUCUUCUGUUAGCCAGGCCUUAGGAUUUAUGCAUGGGAUGCCUAAUAACAAACAGAGAAAAUAUACUUUUGGGGAAGGUAUCCAACAACAGACACCAUCAUUCAGAUGGUGGGAAGGUAUCCAACAGAUGCCAUCAUUCAGAUGGUAACAUAUAUAUACAUUUAUUAGUGAGUUUUUUUAAUACCUAUAAAAAAAAAUAUACACUUUGAUAUUGUGGCUGAAUCCAUUACAUACUCAACUAACCUUGCUCAUUAGGGAUUUGACUUAACAAGGGCAACGUUGCAGUACAAGCUCAAAACUUUAUGCAGGUGACAUUACAUUUGGUAAAGAAGAGGAAAAUAACGAAAGCCAUCCAUAAAAGCAAAAUUCCACAUGGGAUGAAAUUCACAAGCUUCAUUUACGAUAGAGUCGCAUCCAGGCAAUUAAUUCCACAUUAGACCGCCUGUUGACAUGUGUACCAAUCUUUUUUCAAAAAAUAUUUAUAAAUAAUUGAUACUCACAAAAAUAAUUUAAUAUUUAUAAAGGAUAAAAAAAUAUUUUCAAAUCUAUAACAAUUUAUAAAAUAUUAAUAAAAAAUUAUCUCUUAAACUUAGUAUAGUUUUAUCAGAUUAAACUUUUAUUUUGAACAAAUAAUUUUAAUCUAAGUUUUAAAUUCUAAAAUUAUUUCCUUAAAAUAAAAUUUUAAAAUUCAACACUUCAAUUGAAAUUGUCUUUUUAAAAAAUAUCUUCUUAUUUUAAUCCUUAUAAACUAUAGUUGAUUGAAAAUACUAUUGAAGUUCUCUCUUAAAAAAAAGUCUUAUUUUAAUCUUCAUAAAUUGCCCUUGAUUUGAAAAUAAAUUUUCAGUUAUCAUAUUUUAAAUAAUAUCUAUAUUUAAAAUACUCUAUUUAAAAAAAAAUGAACUAAUUUUAAUUAUAUUAUAUUUUAUUUUUUUAUAUAUUUUUAAUGAUAAACCAAACAUAGAAAAUCAUUUUUCUAAAUAUUUUAAAAUUUCUAAGCAACCAAACAUAAUCUUCAAAAUAAAAGGAAAAUAAGGAGGGACAUUUGAGAAAUGGCGAUUAAAAAAAAGUGUACAAAAGCUCAAUUAAUUUUCUUCUAGUCUUUUAUAUAAAAAAGUAAAGGAAUUGAAAAGUAUUGAUAUGUAAAUUAAUAUUUGGAUUUUAAUAGUAUUUUAUUUGUCUUUCUCUAUCUCAUGUAAAAGAGAAUUUAAGAUAUUUCCUAAAGCAAAGCAUUAGUUAUCUGCAAUCAGUGGUGAUCAUGCCCCAUGUCAAUUUCGGACCCAUAUCUUAAAACUGUAUAAUUUGCAUUCAAACAUUACUGAUUUCUCAGAUGUUUCAUACUCCACAGAAGAGCAUUGUUUGUGAAAGCAUGCAUUUAUGUUGGAUUUUGGAUGAUGUGGGAACUGGGGCAAGGAUCAUAUGGAAGAGUGGUCGAUUUUGUUCUGUACUUUAACAUUUGAAAUAGGAGAAGCUCGGGCAUUUGUGGGGCUUAAUUGAUUUUGAAGCCUGAAAUUGCGUUUCUGUCAUUUUGUAAAAAAUAUGGCAGAUUCCAUGCUCUCAUAUGUUUGGUCUGUGGCCAUGUAUAGAUGCCCCUUAGUGACCAGUUUGUAACUGUCAAUCAUAGUGUUUUGACUCUGGCUCAACAACAUCAGCCAUUGACGGAUUUUCAUACUUGCAAAUCAAAUAGUCUUCUUCCUCCCUUAGGAAUUUCGGUUUAAAUGUUAUUAAGCAUACAUUUGGCUGACAAUUAUUAACCACUUCAUGAUAUGGUUUCUUACCCUUAAUCAAUGGUUUCUAAGUGAAUAUAUGCAGAAGGAAAUCUGAACUGUAGACAGCAGUAUUGAUAACUCUCAAUAUUCUUUAUAUAAGAGAAUAAACAACGUCAUAGUGAUCGUCGCCUACAAGAAAGGUACAUUUCCCAACAAGAUGUAGUUGUGACUGGUACAUGGACGCAAUUAACUCGUACAAAAGAAUAAGACCAGUGCACGGCAGCUCUUAUUUUACAUGCUAAUUAUGCUAACCAAAGUCACUCAGUUGGGAUGGGAGGGAGAUGGAGGUUUGUGCGGUGGCUUGUGGGGCGGAGUUGGUGGCUUCUUUUCAGGAGCUUGUGGCUUUUUCGGAGCUGAAGGAGGCUCAAUCUUAUGAGGCGGCUUGUACGAGUCUUCUUUACUCUCGACAGGAGGGUGGCCAGGGUUGUGACCAUAAUGUGGUGGCUUCUCUCCCUUAGGUGGCUUGCCAACUGGGGUUGGUGGCUUGUGUUCAGGAAGUGGUUUCUCUCCCUUGGGAGGUUUACCAAUUGGGGUUGGUGGCUUGUGUUCUGGGAGUGGUUUCUCUCCCUUGGGAGGUUUAGUGGGUGACUUGUGUUCUGGAGGUGGCUUCUCCACCGGAGGCUUGUGCUCCGGUGGUGGCUUCUCCACCGGAGGCUUGUGCUCCGGUGGUGGCUUCUUGAUUGGAGGGGGCUUGGGGUAAUCAGCAAGAGAUGGGAUGGUGAGAACCACCACUCCAAGGAACAACACUAGCAAGUAUGUGGGAGACAUUUCUGAGUUUGAGCUGAUCAGAUGAUGCAAAACUAGAAGAAUUACGGGACCUUUUAUAGCAAGUAUCUCCCAAUACCCACAUGACACGUGUUACUAUGACCAUAAAUAUUAUAGGGUCCAUUUGUGCCCUACCGGGUUGAAAACUUGGACGCUUGGCCGAGGACACACCUGACUAUGGAGGACUAUUGACGUGUGAUCACAGCUUUUGGAUUUUUCUUCCUGUGCAGCUGUCUAGCGGUUGGCAUUAUUUUCUUAAUCUUAAAUAAAGGCAUAGUUAUAGAGUUGUUUAAUCUCUAAAUGGGAUUUUAUAUAUCUUCAGAUAGCCAUUAAUAUAUUUGAUGAAGAAAGACAAGUGCAUACAACAUGUAUACGGCUUGCUUCAAUCGAGUACAUUUAUGAUCAGUUUUCCUGUGCAAGUAAACCAGUUUUUUGUUCCACAACUAUUUUGGAAUCUUGUUUAUCAGUUUCUAUCAUUAUAAUGUCACAUAGGCUGCAAACUUGGGCACCCAAAGAUCUAGGUGGGCAAAUUUGUUUCAGACUUUCAAUGGUGGAUUCAGUAAUUGUUAAAAGGUGUUUCUUCAUUAAGGAAAGAGUCCGGUAAAAAUAUUGUUAAAAGGUGUCAUAGAAACUAUAAUAAAUAAAUAACUUCUUUUCCCCAUGGGUGGUGUUUCUUCUGGGGAUCAGUGACUGGUUAGGGUCACCCAAAAUGAGUCCAGAUUAAAAUUGGUUCGAGUCAAAGCAGUCUCUUUUGUCCAGAAAUCAACUAUUUUGCGCAUUGAAUGAAUCGAUAAAGAAAAAAUGAAAGCCAAAUCACACCUCCCCUGCAAAACCUAAACCCCGGUUGCUAACUUUCUAUGUUUCAGUCCUAUUCAUAUAGGAAUAUUGGUUCAAGUUUGAGAAAAAUGGCAACUUACCUAGGGUUUACUUGGUUUUGGUUUGCGACUAUUUACGCAACCAACCAUGAGUUUGACUUUAACGUCAUGGGUUGAAGCCUCCUACAAUCAUGUAUGAUAGUUCAAAGCUCGUGGAAGAAAUUAUACAGGAAGGAAGAAACCUCCAAAGCUAGCUCCAAAAGAGAAUUAUCACAUCGAUAGCUCCAGAGAUUCCCAAGGGAACUGAAUCAAAGACAAGUUCCUCACUUUUUCUUCUUUUGAGGCCAAAUAUGAACCAAGGAUCACACGACCUCAUUCAACUUCAUAAGUUUGAUUUCAUGCAGUUGAACACUGGGUGAAGGCCAUGACAAGAAUUGAUUAAAAAAUUCUACCACUCUUUUAAGUAAUGGAAGAUUAUUAUCUCUGAUUGGCACCACAACAGCACAUGCUGCUAGAUCUUUCUAGACACUCCAUGCAAUGAAAGCACAAUGGAUCUUGUAAUGAUAGAAACUAAGCCAUGCUACAGUACUAGAUGAGGGGGUAAAACUAGUAGACAUCUUUCUAGACACUCCAUGCAAUGAAAGCACAAUGGAUCUUGUAAUGAUAGAAACUAAGCCAUGCUACAGUACUAGAUGAGGUGGUAAAACUAGUAGACAUGGCUGGCAGUUGAUUACUACUCAAAAAGUACUCUUUUAUAGCUUGAAACUAACUGUUUUAAACACUUUUGAGUAGUAGUUAAUACCUUUUAACUUAAUUGGCACAUUAAGGAACCUAGCAAGGGUUACUAAUCAACAUUUGGCAAGUUUUGAUGUUUUUGGUAGCUAUUUGAUCAUUGAAACAAGCCAAGAAUGAGGGGGAAUUUUGUGAAGUCCAUGGCAAUGCAAGUUAAAGCUCAAAUACAUGAAGAAUCCAAGCUUUGGAGCACUUCAUAGCCCUUUGCCAAGCCAAUCAAAGAUGCAAGGAAGAAAACCAAAGGAAGAAAUCCAACAAUCAGCAUUUUGGCAUGGCUAUGUGAAAUUUCGCACACCAUGCGAAACCACAAGAGGCAGCCAAAGAAUUUCGCAUGGUAUGCGAAAUCUUCUUGUGCACUGACUCUGUUAGAUUUUUAUCUUCAGAUAUUUUGUGUAAUUUCCUAGUUUCUCCUUGUAACCAACUUAGAUAUUUUCUUUUAUAUCUUUUUUUAUAUUUUUUAGGUAACAUCAUAUAUAAGAGGAGAGACAUAAGGAGGAUAUGGAUGUUUUUCAUAGAACACUUGUAAAUUUUUGGUAGUAAGAAAUAUACAAAGCUUUUUGCUCUGCCUUACCUUCUCAAGGGAUGAGUGGCUAGGUUUUCUUGGAGUGAGGGAAGCUAGGUGAAGGACCUGAAUGCAAAGGUGGGAGUUUUCCUUACUUUAAAUGAAAGUAGUUGUUAAACAUUAAUGGUUUUUAUUUUAAGGUUUAGCUUUAAAUCCCUGAAAAACACCUUGAAUGGCCAAUACUUGGUAAGCUUUUUAGAUUCUAUGGAUGCUUAUUGCUAGAUCCAUGGAUGUCUAUUAGUUAUCAUUUACGAGCCAUUGGAAGGUGAUUCAAGGUGAGGGUCUUUAGUGUUUGAAGCCAUUAAUGGGAAGCAAUUACCAUUUUUUCAUGAAUCCUUUGGAUCAAAUCUUAAUUGCUAAAUAUAAAACCGGUUUCGAGAGAUAACCACCAUCCUUUAUGUUAUUAUCCCCAACGCGAGGAGAAGAUCCGAAAUCUUCCUUUUUAUCUAAGGAACCCGAUCCUAGUGACCUAAAGCUCCAAGAUACCUUUUCUUUGUAGUUAACUUCAUUUAUUGUUUUUGCUUAACUUAAAAUCAAUCUUUGCAACCACAAUUCCAUUUUCUUUAAAAGCUAAUUUUUAUAAGGAAAAACACCAUUUUAUUUCCUUCACUAAGUCAACUGUACGAUGAAAACCCAUCCCUGUGGACGAUCCUAGAGCCACUAUACUAUGUUAGCUAUGCUACCCUAGUGUGAGGUGAUUUAGGUUUUAUAAAUUUUUUUGAUAACACCCAUCUGAGCCAGAAUCAAAUGGCACGACUGAACCAGGGACGAAUCAAAUGACGCCGCUACCAAGGAUGGUGCCAAAGUACAUUGACAUGACUUUUGGUGAACACUUGUGAUCUUCACCACAAGUUUGGUGAUUUUUCUUUUACUAAUUUUUUUUAUUUUAGCUUAUCUUUUAUUUAGUUUUUAGUUAACCUUAAAUUUUUCCUAGAAUUGUAUUUCUUUUGUUUUCUUUGUUUUUGUUUCAGUGAUCUUUAGUUGUGCAUGCCCUAUUGGAUAAGAGAUAUUGAGGGAAUACUUGUGAAGAUUGAAACUCCUCGAGAAACUGAGUUAGAAGUGUGCUUGAACAUCAUGGAUGUUCCACCUGAAGACCAGAAUAGCCAACAUGGUUAAGAGGAUAAUUUCAACACAUACCGAUCCAUGAGGAACCGCAUACAUCCACCUUGUAUGAGUGCACCGUCAGGCAUAAUGCCUCCCACUGAGCAGCUAGUAAUCUGACCUCACAUUGUGCCACUCCUACCUACUUUCCAUGGGAUGGAGAGUGAGAAUCCCUACUCGCAUAUUAAGGAAUUCGAGGAGGUUUGUAAUACAUUCCAAGAAGGAGGAGCUUCAAUUGACUUGAUGAGGCUCAAGCUAUUUCCUUUCACUUUGAAGGAUAAGGCCAAGAUUUGGCUUAAUUCUUUAAGGCCAAGAAGUAUCCAAACUUGGAUUGAUUUGUAAGCCGAGUUUCUUAAGAAGUUCUUCCCUACCCAUAGGACCAAUGGUUUGAAAAGGCAAAAUUUGAACUUCUCAGUUAAAGAGAAUGAGAAAUUCUAUGAGUGUUGGGAGAGCUACAUGGAAGCUAUUAACGUUUGUCCUCACCAUGGCUUUGACACAUGGCUCUUAGUGAGCUAUUUUUACAAUGGUAUGUCUUCUUCAAUGAAGCAACUCCUAGAAACUAUGUGUGGAGGAGACUUCAUGAGUAAGAAUCCGGAGGAAGCCAUGGACUUUUUGAGUUAUGUGGCUGAAGUUUCAAGAGGAUGGGAUGAACCAAAUGCUAGAGAGGUGGGAAGAAUGAAGUCUCAACCUAAUGCUAAGGGUGAGAUGUAUGUUUUGAAUGAAGACAUUGACAUGAAAGCAAAGGUUGCAGCUAUGGCAAGGAGAUUGGAAGAGCUAGAAAUGAAGAACAUACAAAAAGUGCAAGCCAUUUCUGAGACAUCAAUGAAAGCUAUGCCUUGUUCCAUUUGUCAAUCUUAUAAGCACCUAGUGGAGGAGUGUCCUACAAUUCCAGCAGUGAGAGAGAUGUUUGGUGAUCAAGCAAAUGUUAUUGAUCAAUUCAAGCCUAAUAACAAUGCUUCAUAUGGCAACACCUACAAUUCAAAUUGGAGGAACCAUUCAAAUUUCUCUUGGAAACGAAAGCCACCUCAAUACACACAACCUACUCAAGCACCUUAGCAAUCCUCGAAUCUUGAACAAGCUAUUGUGAACCUUAGCAAGGUUGUGGGAGACUUUGUGGGAGAUCAGAAGUCCAUCAAUGCUCAACUGAAUCGGAGAAUUGACAGUGUGGAGAGUACAUUGAACAAAAGGAUGGAUGAGAUGUAAAAUGAUCUGUCUCAAAAGAUAGACAAUGUCCAAUACGUAAUCUCAAGGCUUACCAACCUCAACACAGUGUAAGAGAAAGGAAAGUUUCCUUCUCAACCUCAUCAAAAUCCUAAGGGUAUCCAUGAAGUAGAGGCUCAAGAGGGAGAAUCUUCAAAGGUGAGGGAAGUCAAAGUAGUUAUCACCUUGAAGAGUGGUAAAGAGGUUGAUCAACCCACAUCCAAGCCAAAGCAUAAUGAAGAGAGUGUAGCAGAAAAAGAAAAGAGAGGAAAAUAAAGGAAUUAGAAUAGAGAAAAAUACAAAGAAAGAUGACCAUGAGUCUAGUGUGGAUGAAGAGCCCGAGAGGAUGGUGAUCAAGGAAGAUAUGAUGAAGAAACACAUGCCUCCACCUUUCCCCUAAGCUUUGCAUGACAAAAAAAGAACCAAUAAUACAUCAGAAAAUUUUGAAGUAUUGAGGCAAGUGAAGGUCAAUAUCCCUUUGCUAGACAUGAUCAAACAAGUGUCGACAUAUGAAAAAUUCUUGAAGGACUUGUGCACUGUAAAGAGAGGGUUGAAUGUGAACAAGAAAGCUUUAUUGACCGAGCAAGUGAGUUCCAUCAUACAGUGCAAGUCCUAGUGAAGUACAAAGAUCCGGGUUGCCGUACCAUCUCAGUGAGUAUUGGAAGGACUUGUGUGGAGAAAGCUUUGUUGGACUUGGGAGCAAGUGUGAAUUUGCUAUCCUACUCUGUCUAUAAGCAGUUGGGAUUUGGAGAGUUGAAGCCAAUAUCCAUCACUCUAUCUCUAGCGGAUAGAUCAAUGAAGAUUCCAAGAGGGAUGAUCGAAGAUGUCCUGGUUCAAGUUAACAAAUUCUACUAUCCAGUAGAUUUUGUUGUUCUUGAUAUGGAUCCGGUUGUCAAAUGAACUAAUUAUGUUCCUAUCAUACUUGGAAGACCCUUCCUAGCUACAUCAAAUGCAAUCAUCAAUUGUAGGAAUGGAGUCAUGCAACUCACAUUUGUCAACAUGACAUUAGAGCUCAACAUCUUCCAUUUGUACAAGAAGCAUAUCCAUCAGGAGGAAAAAGAAGGUCUAGAGGAAGUGUGAAUGAUUGACACUUUAGUGGAAGAGCAUUGUGAUCGAGAAUGCAAAAAGAUUUAGUUGAGAAUUUUGGGGAUCUUGAUGAAAGGUUACUUGAACCCUCAGAUUUGCUUGCUACCCUACUCCAUUGGAAGAGAAGAGAAGAAAUUCUACCCUUAUUCAAUGAGGAGGAGACGCAAAGAGCUGCAAAGGAGAAACCCCCAAAACUUAUUCUUAAGCCACUACCCACAGAGUUGAAGUAUGUAUACUUGGAAGAAGACAAGAAGUGCCCUAUUGUUAUAUCUUCAACUCUUACCAUUCAUCAGGAGGAUUGUCUACUUGAAGUCCUUAGAAGAUGUAAGAAGACAAUAAGGUGGCUAAUUUCUUAUUUGAAAGGGAUCAGCCCUUUAGUCUGCACCCAUCAUAUUUACAUGGAGGAUGAAGCUAAGCUAAUUCAUCAACCUCAGAGAAGGUUGAACCCUCACAUGCAAGAGGUGGUUCGAGCUGAAGUUCUGAAGCUACUUCAGACCAGUAUUAUUUACCCCAUAUCAAAUAGCCCAUGGGUGAGUCCUACUCAAGUUGCGCCAAAGAAGUCUGGGAUCAUGGUGGUGCAAAAUGAUAAGGGAGAAGAUGUCUCUACACGCCUCACUACAGGUUGGAGGGUGUGUAUCAAUUACAGGAGGUUGAAUGCAGUGAUAAGAAAGGACCAUUUCUCAUUGCCCUUUAUUGAUCAGGUGCUUGAGAGGGUCUCUGGGCUUUUUUUUUUAUUGUUUCUUGGAUGGCUACUCCGGGUACUUUCAGAUAGAAAUUGAUGUUGAAAACCAAGAUAAGACCAUUUUCACAUGCCCAUUUGGAACCUAUGCAUAAAGGAGAAUGCCUUUCGGCUUAUGCAAUGCACCCGCAACUUUCCAAAGAUGCAUGUUAAGCAUUUUCAGUGAUAUGGUGGAGCGUAUUAUGGAAGUCUUUAUGGAUGAUAUCACCAUUUAUGGAAGUGCAUUUGAUGAAUGCUUGGUCAACUUAGAAGCUGUUCUGAACCGAUACAUUGAGAAAGACUUAGUGCUUAACUGGGAGAAGUGCCAUUUCAUGGUACACCAAGGGAUUGUCCUUGGGCACAUUAUCUCCAAGCAAGGCAUUGAAGUUGACAAAGCAAAGGUUGAACUCAUUGUUAAGUUGCCAUCCUCAACAAAUGUCAAAGGAGUAAGGCAAUUCUUUGGCCAUGUCGGGUUCUAUAGGAGGUUUAUCAAGGAUUUCUCUAAGCUUGCAAGGCCUCUUUGUGAAAUAUUGGUGAAUGAUGUUAAAUUCAUAUGGGAUGAUGGAUUUGAAAGGAGUUUUGAAGAAUUGAAGCUAUUUUUGACAACCGUACCAAUAGUGAGGGCUCCCAACUGGCAACUGCCCUUUGAAGUAAUGUGUGAUGUCAAUGAUUUUGCUAUAGGAUUUUUUCUUGGGCAAAGAGAAAAUGGAAAACCUUAUGUGAUCUACUAUGCGAGGAAGGCAUUGAAUGAGGCACAAAGAAACUACACAACCACCGAGAAAGAAUUGUUAGCUGUAGUUUUUGCCUUGGAUAAGUUUCGCGCUUACUUGGUGGGGUCCUUCAUCAUGGUUUUUACUGAUCACUUUGCUUUGAAGUAUCUGUUGACUAAGCAAGAUGCUAAAGCAAGGCUGAUUAGAUGGAUUCUCUUACUUCAAGAGUUCAAUCUCCAUAUCAAAGAUAAGAAAGGAGUGGAGAAUGUGGUAGCAGACCACAUUUCAAGGCUAGCUAUCGCACAUAAUUCCCAUGCUUUGCCCAUUAAUGACGAUUUUCUAGAGGGGUCUCUCAUGUUGGUGGAAGUUGUCCCUUGGUACGCUCACAUUGCUAACUACCUGGUCACGGGAAAAGUUCCAAGUGAGUGGAAAGCACAAGAUAAGAAGCACUUCUUUGCAAAAAUUCAUGCCUACUAUUGGGAAGAGCCAUUUCUAUUCAAGUAUUGUAUGGAUCAGAUAAUAAGGAAGUGCGUUCCUGAAGAAGAGCAACAGGGGAUCCUUAGUCAUUACCAUGAAAAUGCAUGUGGAGGCCACUUUGCUUAUCAAAAGACAGCCAUGAGGGUGUUGCAAUCGGGUUUCUGUUGGCCAUCACUUUUCAAAGAUGCCCACACCAUGUGCAAGAGUUGUGAUCGAUGCCAGAGGCUUGGGAAGUUGACACGCAGGAACAUGAUGCCUUUGAACCCCACUUUAAUAGUUGAUAUUUUUUAUGUUUGGGGCACUAACUUCAUGGGACCUUUCCCUAUGUCUUUUGGCUACUCUUACAUCUUGGUAGGAGUAGAUUAUGUUUCUAAGUGGGUUGAGGCAGUCCCAUGCAAACACAAUGACCAUAGAGUGGUUCUCAAGUUUCUUAAAGAGAAUAUCUUCUCAAGAUUUGGGGUGCCCAAAGCCAUAAUUAGUGAUGGGGGUACUCAUUUUUGCAACAAGCCUUUUGAAACUCUCCUAGCCAAGUAUGGGGUGAAGCAUAAGGUAGCUACACCUUACCACCCUCAAACUCAUGGACAAGUUGAGUUAGCAAACAGGGAGAUUAAAAACAUAUUGAUGAAGGUGGUGAACACAAACAGAAAAGAUUGGUCAGUCAAGCUUCUUAAUUCACUAUGGGCAUAUAGAACAACUUACAAGACCAUUCUCGGGAUGUCUCCUUAUCGCCUAGUUUAUGGCAAAGCAUGCCAUCUCCCUGUGGAAUUGGAAUACAAAGCUUGGUGGGCAAUCAAGAAGCUCAACAUGGAUUUGAGCAGAGCUGGGUUGAAGAGGUUCUUAGACCUUAAUGAGAUGGAGAAAUUGAGAAAUGAUGCCUACAUCAAUUCAAAAAUUGCAAAAGAAAAAUUGAAGAGGUGGCAUGAUCAGUUGAUUUCCCGCAAGGAUUUUCAAAAUGGACAAAGAGUCUUACUUUAUGACUCUAAACUCCACAUCUUUCCGGGCAAGCUGAAAUCAAGGUGGAUAGGUCAUUUUACCAUUCACCAAGUGCAUUCAAAUGGAGUAGUGGAACUACUCAACUCCAACAAUAUCGAGAACUUCAAAGUGAAUGGCCACCGUCUCAAGCCCUUUGUGGAGUCUUUUUCUCACAACAAGGAGAAAUUCAUCCUCCUUGAUCCACAUCAAGCUUAACAAGACCAAUUUUCUUGAUGGACUUAGUCUUUCUAAAGACUAUCGAGUCCAUAACUUUUUGUUUUAUUUUUUAUUUGAGAUUUUUUCGGUAUUGUUACUUGUUUUGUUUUUUAUUUUUCGUUUUAAUUUUAUUUGGUUUGAUUUAACUUAGGUUUUUGAUGAUCAAUUACAGGGGGGAUUUCAAAUAGAGGAAAAACCAAGAUAAUUCGCACACCCUACGAAAAUUUCGCAAGGCAUGCGAAAUUUAUGGCUUAUUUUGCAUGGGGUGAAAAUUUUCGUACAUCUUACGAACCAAUUUCGAACACUUUGCGAAAAUAAACCAACCCUGCGAAAUCAUUUCGAUUACUCUACGAAAUUUUCGUAGAGCAUGCGAAAAAUUUAGCACACCAAACACCAUUUCGCAUACUAUGCAAAAACCUAAGGGGUCUGCGAAACCAUUUCGCACCUCCAAAUCCAUUUCGCACAUUGUGCGAAAACCAAGAGGCGCUGUGCGAAAAUGAAAAGUCGCCCUGUCAUCCCUUUUUAAACCCCUCGAGCCCUAAAAUCUCCAUUUCGCAAGCACCCCUGUCCUUGCGAAUCCCUCAUUUUCCUCUACUACCUUGCAACCUCGUCCCUUUCCAUUUGAUAUUGUGCCCCGCGCACAUCUCAUUUCAGAGACUCGCACUCCGCGCCCCCUCAAAGCAUGGACUCGAGACCCACCUUCCAUUUCCGACGUGGCACGGACCCAAGGAGCCCUUUCUGCCCCUUCACUAAGACACACACCAAGGCAGAAAGCCUCCUUUGCUCAAGUGCCUAGUGAUUCUCCAUCUUAGGCCUCAGAGGCCUCGGAGGCCCCGUGGAUUCCACCUUCCGAGGGUAGAGCAGCCAUUGGUCCUUCCUCUUCUACUCCUUAGCGUAGAUACGAGACGAGGAGACCACCUACUACACAAGGGGCGACUACUUCGAGCCUUGAGAAUUCAGUACGAUGCCUUCCUGCCAAGAGGGUCAAGACUUCAGGUCCAAGUGAGUCAUCCAGAGCUUCAUAGCCUAAGCCUCCUGUAGAUUCCAAGGUUCCUACUGACAUAUCACCGGAGUCUAUUAUCAGAAGCCCGAUGCUCAUAGCACCGCCCAUUGAGGGCAACUCAGAUUAUAGAGCGAGAUCUUUCCACUUGGAGCUAUAUUUUGAUCAGGAGGCCAUACGACAGCAGCCUGAGCUCCGAGACUCUUAUGGCUUACUGCAGAGGUACCAUCUUGAGGAACUUAUGACUCCUCGUGAGUUUUUUUAUCCCAGAGUAGCACUAAACUUUUACCAGUCCAUGACUACUCGUGGCGUCCCGAGUCCUACCACGAUUCACUUCACCAUUGAUAGACGUCAUGGUAUCCUCAAGGCCAGACAUAUUACAGAGGCUCUACAAAUUCCUUUCGAGCUAGAGGAUCCAUCUGUUUUUCGCUAAUGGUCCCCAGUAUCUCAGAGGGACAUGGUCCGUAUUUUAUCUAGGGGAACAUCUACAGAUUCGAUCUUUCUACGGAAGGAGCUUCGACCUGGGAUGCUCCUCUUAGAUGUGGUGCUAUGCUCCAACCUCUUUCCCUUACAACAUUCGGUACAUAGGUGAUGAGCUAUUUUGGACGCUUUAUUCCGUAUAUCAGAGGGCUUCUACUUUGGCCCGCACCACUUGAUCAUGGUCUCCCUCAUCCACUUUGAGGAGAAGGUUCAUAGGAAGAAGCUUCAGAGGGUGGACACCAUUCCAUUACUAUUCCUGAGGUUACUUUGCCAGGUCUUGGAGUACAUGGGCUUUCCUACUGAGCCUCGGCUCGAGCUUUGCCGCCUUUGUCGAGAGUGAUCCACUCUCGACAAAUGGAAUUAGUUGGCGGGCUAUUCUGCACCUCCAGGAGCCCCUCCCAUGGUAGCACCUCCAAUGUCCCCACAGGCAAAGUAGGGCGAGCUCCCGGCAAAGACUGUACCACCAAUGCCCACACUUGAGGCUAUUUCUGCUGCUCUGCCUAUGACUCCUACUGUUCCACCAGUUGGUCCUUUUACAUCCGAGCCUUCCAUCACCAUCUCGGCUUCGGAGUUUCGCGCCCUUGUGCAUACCUUUCAGACACUCACCACCACACAUACUCCUCUCUUCUAGCAAAUGGUUGAGAUGUGUGCCCAUCAGGACCGGAAGACUACUAUACUCUGCCAAAUUCAGCAGCACCUAAGACUUUUGCCUCAACCUCAACCUAACCAUCCCAUAUCAUCAGAGCCUCUAGCUCCAACUGAGGAUACUAUUCCACCUGAGAACACUACCACAGUAGAGGUCCGGUUUCCACCACCUUAAGAGGCCACCACAGCUACAUCAGAGGAUGUGUCAUCUCCACUUGAGGCUCCCACUACUUGAUCAUAGGACAUAUCUUUAUCUUAUUGUAUUUACAUAUUAUAUUACUAGAGAUUUGUCCUUGUUUUGAUACUUUAUAUUCUGGGAUUGGAUGUAUUGCCUGAUGAUAUCUCAAUUGUACUUUCUCAUAUUAAUAUAUAGACAUCAAUUUUUUUUAGUAUACUUAGCAUUUUUCUAUUUCCUCUACUCAUUACUCUUUUGUUUUUUUUUACUCAUGUGGUUUCUCUUAUACAACUCAGACUCCAUUUCACUCAGGAGGUACCACUUCCUCCCUUUAUUUUCAAUUGCUCUUGAAAUAUUGAGUGCAAUGUUGAUCUUGGUUGGGGGGAGAGUUGAGGAAGGAAGUUUUGUUAAUAAUGCUAGGUUAAUUUGUUAAUUUAGUUACUUUCUGCUUAAUUUUAAAAGUUUUCACUCUACUUUCCAUGGUUAUUAAGGAAAAAUUCUCAAAAUGAAAUGGGAGAAAUCGAAUUCUUGCAUUUUUACUUGAAUCUUAGAAUUUGUAUCAUGCUUAUUAAAGUUGAUGAAUUAUUGAAACUCCUAUUGAAUUCAACCUUAUUUUUUCCACUUUAAUCUUACCACACACGGUGCACAUUAGGUUCCAGUUAUAAGAUAAAAAACUAUCUCACCCCCUAAACUUAGAAAAAUUUACACUUGGUACCUUUGACAUCGUUUUAAUAGUGUUGGGACACCUUAUAAAAGGCCAAUGAGCCUUUAAAAAAAAAAAAAAAAAAAAAAAGAGAAAGAACAAAGUAUUGCACUUGCCUUGAAACCUGAGCAAGAUCCGAGGGGUAUACAGUGAAAGUCUUUAAAACCUGGUGCCCUAAGCCUUGAUUGGUUGGGAGUCACCGACCUCAAUGCUCGUUAUAAGGGUGAAUAGGUGGAGUUUAACAUAUUGUAGGUGCUUGGGUAUUGAAUUUCAAUCUCAAAAGUCCGGGAAAAAAUCUAAGGAGUUAGUGGUCAAAAGAUCCUUAAAGCUUGAUGCCCUAAACCUUGAUUGGUUGAGAGUCAUUGAUGGAUCCCCGCUACAUGGACAUUUUAGAAAACAAUACCUUUAGCAUUGCACGCCUACAAUGAAAAAAAAAUGUGAAAUAAAAGAGGUGCGUUCUUAGCCUAUUGGAGGUUGGUCAGUUUGCUAAAGUUUGAGAAAUCUAGGUUGGGGGGAGAGAAUAGUCCGACAUACUAUAAUAAAAAACUAAUAACCUUAACACUUAGAUUUUUGUGGAAGAGUAAGGAUUGGACCUUUAGGGGUGGAAAUUCUUUUGAUGCUUAAAUUUGCAUAAUGCCUACUCUUUAUAAAUUAUGAUUAGGCAAGAGAUUUGAUGACUCUUGUUCAAAGUUGGGUUUUUCCUCUUUGAUGUUCCAUGAGAGAGUAUAAUCCUCAUCAUGCCACUUGAAAUCUUUUUGGAGUGAUUAACAUGAUUUUGUAAAUUAUUUUACUGUCUAUUUUUCUUUAUCUCUCUUUUAUUGCUAAUGGACUAGCAAUAUGUCAGUUGGGGGGAGUGAUUACUACUCAAAAAGUACUCUUUUAUAGCUUGAAACUAACUGUUUUAAACACUUUUGAGUAGGUGUUAAUACAUUUUAACUCAAUUGGCACAUUAAGGAACCUAACAAGGGUUACUAAUAAGUUUUUGGCAAGUUUUGGUGUUUUUGGUAGCUAUUUGAUCAUUGAAACAAGCCAAGAAUGAGGGAGAAUUUUGUGAAGUCCAUAGCAAUGCAAGUUAAAGCUCAAAUACAUGAAGAAUCCAAGCUUUGAAGCACUUCAUAGCCCUUUGCGAAGCCAAUCAGAGAUGCAAGGAAGAAAACCAGAGGAAAAAAUCCAACAACCAGCAUUUUCGCAUGGCUGUGCGAAAUUUUGCACACCAUGCGAAACCACAAGAAGUAGCCAAAGAAUUUUGCACACCAUGCGAAAUUUCGCAUGGUAUACGAAAUCUUCCUAUGCACCAACUCCGUUAUAUUUUUAUCUUCAGAUAUUUUGUGUAAUUUCCUAGUUUCUCCUUGUAACCAACCUAGAUAUUUUCUUUUAUAUCUUUUUUUUAUAUUUUUUAGGUAACAUCAUAUAUAGGGGGAGAGACAUAAGGAGGAUAUGGAUGUUUUUCAUAAAACACUUUUAAUUUUCUGGUAGUAAGAAAUAUACAAAGUUUUUUGCUCUGCCUUACCUUCUCAUUUUGUUUUCACCUAUCUUUCUAGCCAAACAACCUCUGAGAAUGAUUUCUCAGGGGAUGAGUAGUUAGGUUUUACGUUUCUUGGAGUGAGAGAAGCUAGGUGAAAGACCCAAAUGCUAAGGUGGGAGUUGUCCUUGCUUUAAAUGAAAGUAGUUGUUAAAUAUUAAUGGUUUUUAUUUUAAGGUUUAGCUUUAAAUCCCUUAAAAACACCUUGAAUGGCCAAUACUUGGUAAGCUUUUCGGAUUCUAUGGAUGCUUAUUGCUAGAUCCAUGGAUGUCAUUAGUUAUCAUUUAUGAGCCAUUGGAAGGUGGUUCAAGAUGAGAGUCUUUAGUGUUUGAAGCCAUUAAUGGGAAACAAUUACCAUUUUUUCAUGAAUCCUUUGGAUAAAAUCUUAAUUGCUAAAUAUAAAACUGGUUCGGGAGAUAACCAUCCUUUAUGUUAUUAUGCCCAAUGCAAGGAGAAGAUUUCGAAUCUUCUCAUUUGUCUAAGGAACCCGAUCCUAGUGACCUAAAGCUCCUAGAGACCUUUUCUUUGUAGUUAACUUCAUUUAUUGUUUUUGCUUAACUUAAAAUCAAUCUUUGCAACCACAAUUCCAUUUUCUUUAAAAGCUAAUUUUUAUAAGGAAAAGCACCAUUUUAUUUCCUUCACUAAGUCAACUGUAUGAUGAAAACCCAUCCCUGUGGACGAUCUUAGAGCCACUAUACUAUGUUAUCUAUGCUAUCCUAGUGUGAGGUGAUUUAGGUUUUAUAAAUUUUGUUGAUAACACCCGUCUGAGCCAGAAUCAAAUGGAACCACUGAACCAGGGACAAAUCAACAGCCUAUAUGGGAGGGACACAAGUUUAAUUGAUUUGCAUUUCAGCGUUAUAGAUAAGUAUGUUUUGGAAGAUUUGUUCUGGAAAUACUGCACCAAGUACGAUUCUUUUUCUCUUGAGUGAGUCCAUUUGCAUGCCAAUUAACGAGUUGAAAAGUAGGAGCACCUACCUCGUGCUCAUGGAACCGAAUGUCAGUGAAGUGGGGCUCCUUUUAGCCUCUUGUGUUUCUGUUCCAACCAAGGCGGCGUAGGGAAAAACAACAAUAUGUCUGUGCUAAAUAUCAACGCAUGAUAGAUGUUUUUUUUUUUUUUUUUGGUAUGUCAAGGCUAACGAAUGAAAUGCAUUAGCUUGUUUUGUGACUAUAACUGCAAAUGUCCAAAUUGGAGUAUCUCCAUUUCUCACUUCGGAUGGUUAACUUUAUAAACAAGAUAUAGGAAACAUGUGAACAUCUUGAGGAACAAUUCAAAUUAUUCAUUAGAAGUCCUGGGUUAAGUUCCAAGAUUUAAAUCAGACCCUUCUAGCAGCUUCAAGGGUACUUAGCAACCUAUAACAUAUUAAUGAAGAUUUAGGAUUUAGACUCCGGAAUACAAAUAAAUAUGUAUCUCAUGCUUUGACUAGCUUCCCUACAUAUGCAUAAAAUGGAGAUGACCCAAAAAAAAUAGCAGAAUCUAGCUUCCCUACAUAUGCACAAAAUGGAGAUGACCCAAAAAAUAGCAUAAUCGCCUUAGUUUCUGUGGUUAAGGUGAUUCUCCGCUUAAUAUCCACAUUGACUCAUUAUGCAAAAUCAACUGAGCUAAUUUUAUUUAUUUAUUUAAUGUCAAAUAGGAACUCCUAAUUAACUGAUUACUGUCGAAAAGUGCUAUUUUGUAGACCUAAUUAUAAGGGUUUUAAGCACCUUUGAGUAGUAAUCAUAUUCAUUUAACCUAAUUAAUUCAUUAAGCUCCUUAGUAAUUAGUUCUAACCAUUUUUAGUGGCAAGUUUACAUGUUUUUCAUCAGCUUAUGAACCAAUUCAAGCAUGCCAAUUGAUGGAGGAGCUACUUGGGCGAGUUAAGCAAGGAUUUUGGACGUUUACAGGCUUGAAUUUCAAGUGGAAACACGAGCACAAGCAAUGGGAACACCAUUUCGCAAGGGGAGGCAAUUCACCUUGCCAAAUGACCAAUUUCGCAAGGGGAUUUUCCUCAUGGUGCAAAAUUUGGUCAUUUCGCACCAUGAAGAAACCACCUUGCAAAAUUUCGCAAGGUGGAUUUAGGCACCUUGCGAAAUGCCAAAUUUCACAAGGUGGCUUUUCACCUUGCGAAAUUUGGACCUUUCAUCUUCCCCCCUUGCGAAAUGCCUUUGAAAUCCCCUGUUUUGAGACGCUGUUGAUGAUAUUCCACUGCCGGUUCUCCAAGAUAUUUUGCUUGACUUUUAGCUUUAUAAAUACCUAUUUUACCCUUGUAAUCAACCAAUGAAAAGGUUGCUUUUGUAAUAGCUCUUGUAAUUUAGCUUUUUAUUGUCUUUAAAUAGAGGUGAAGAGCCUCAGACACGAUCAUCUUGUAACCUGUAACUUUAUAAGUUAUAAGAGCACUUUUGUUCAUACGCUUCUUUUCUCUUUUCUUUCUCAUUUUCUUAGUAGCCAAACAUCCUUGGAGGAUGAAAUCCCCAAGGAUGAGAGGCUAAAACCUUUUAGUUUCUUGAAGUAAUGGAUGCCAUGUGAAGCUCCCGUGUCAGGAUGGAGAUUUCCAAGCCAUAAAUGUAAGUAGCUGAGCGUCAUAAAUGUUUUCAUUCAAAGUAAAGCUUUUAAUCCCUCUGACUUGCUUUGAAUGGCCAAUACUUGAUAACCUUUUGGUCUCAAUGGAUUCUUAUUGUUAGAUCCACUGACGUUCAUUAGUUAUCUCCUACGAGCCAUUGUAUUGCAAGUCGAGGAGAUGACCUAUACCAAUAAAAGAGCAUUUAUGAGGUUCAACUACCCUUUUUGUAAGUUUUCAAGGACUAAAACUCAGUUGUUAAACUCAUACCGGUUCGAGAAGUAAGCAUCACCUUAGUUGCUUCCCCAACUCGAGGUGAAAAGUCCCAAAAUCUCCAUUUUUACACAGUGAGUUAAGCAUGGCUAUCCAAAGCUUUAAGAAACUUCUUUUUCCAUCUUUUAACCUAUUUUCAUGUUAGUUUAGUUUACAACACCUUCAUCUUUUUAUGUUUUCAUCUUAACCUAAUUUUUAUUAAGAAAAGUUCACUCCAUCCUCCGAACUUCACCAGUUAAAGUAAAAACCCUUCCCAGUGUUCGAUCCUAGAGCCACUAUGCUAUAGUAGCUUUGCUACUUUAGUGUAAGGACCUUAGGUAUAAAUUUUGUUGAUACCCUUACAUGCCAAGCUACCAAGAGUCGGGUUAUCAUUAACCUAACCAUUGGCCUGUGUAAAUUGAUUUCACAUGCACAAUGUUGUAGUAGAAGUCCAUAUUUUGAAUUUUAUUUUUGUAAAGGUAAGGAAAAUGAAGCAUUGUGUAAUUAUAAAAAUAACUUCAUUGGAAUUCACAAGGUUCACCCAAAAUGGAGCUACAUCUGUAUUCUAUCCUACAGUAGACUAUAUAGAUUGUACAAUAGUAAAUUGCAAAUACAAUUAAUAAGUCUUGUGCUUCCUUACUAAUAAUCCUUUGACAUGAACAUUGCAGCACUAAGGUCCUCUUGGGAAGACACCUUGCACCCAUGAGAGCACUAAGAGGAAGCAAGGCAGAGUCAUGGGUGCAAUGUCAUGACUUGUUGUUGCACCAAGAGAGGCUUGGUGAUGCCAUGGUGUUGCAGUAGCAAGAAUGUUGCCUUGGCAGGGACACGAUCUAGGGAUAGAUGCCAAGAAAGGCUUAGCACUCACAUGAGUUGCACAAAGAUGAAUGUAAUAGAGCAUCAGAGAGACGUCUUGGCAAGUAAAUGAAUGGAUCCAAGAGACAACAACAUGAGGAGUUUCAAAUGGAUAAGGAAUGACUCAAAGACAUUUGAAAGCUACAAGUUGGAUUCUAAUUACGAUUGCAAUUUGAGUUUGAGUAGGAGUUUAGAUUUUGAUUGUAAUUGUAGUAUGAGUUGGACUAGGAUUGCUUAUCCUUAGUCAAUAUAGGAGCGGUUCGUGUCACCCUAUGAAAAGAGUUUGAGUAGGGACUAGGAUUGCUUACUCCUAGUCAAAUAUGGAGUAGGUGGUGCCACACCUAUAAAAAAAAGGGACAACAUGAGAGAGAGAGAGAGAGAGAAAGAGAGAGUGAAUUCACUAAAGAUAUUGUGGGAGUUUUGCUUUGUUACGUCUUGUAUUAUUACUUAGAAUAGGAAUAAAAUACAAGUUGGGGCUAGAGCCCCAUAAUUAAUCUCGUGUGCCUUUGUGGUUAUUCUUUAUUUGUCAUCUCGUGUGGAUUGGAUUAGGUUGACUUAGAGGGCUUCUAAGCACCACCUUUGUGGGUUAUUAUUUAUUUUCCAUCUCUUGUGGAUUAGAUUAGGUUGACUUAGAGGGCUUCUGAGCACCACCUUUGUGGGUUAUUAUUUAUUUUCCAUCUAUUGUGGAUUAGAUUAGGUUGACUUAGAGGGCUUUUAAGCACCACAUUUGUGGGUUAUUCUUUAUUUUCCAUAUCGUGUGGGUUGGAUUAGGUUGACAAGGAGAAAAAUUAUGUGGGAAAUUUGUGUUGGGACACUUACCAUAACCAAGUAAAAUCUACCAAGUCCUUUGUAAUAUCUUCAACAAAUAUUUUAGACUAGUUCUUUCAGUUAGUGUAAAGGAGGAAGAAGUGGUAUUGAUUCUAGAAAUAGGGUGUGUGUAUUUGAACUACAAUCCUUAUGAUCCUUAGGUCUCUAAACCUUCGUGAUGGGCUCCCUGACAUUUCAUAGGUUGUGCUACACAUGCGUUUGAAAUUUAGAGUGCGUUUGACAGUGAUUCCGGGAAGUGUUUUUGGCCUUUCUUACACUUGAAAAUUUUUAUUUUUCAAGUAUUAGAAAUGCUACAAACACUUUUGAAAAUUACUGUCAAACACACUCUUAGGAGCGCACAUAUAUAGUAGAAAACUAGAAAUUGUGGUUUUUUUAGGAUUUACUGUAAUGUCAUUAGGAGGGUAGUAAGUUGAAAUUGAGUAUGAACAAAUAUUUCUUUCUUUGGGAUGUUCUUCUAGUAGGUGCUGAUGAAACUGUUCUUUCUACUGCCAAUGUCACAUAUCAGCCAGAAAUUGAAAAUUUCAGUCAAGGUGUCCUCUGUUUUAGUGGUGAGGAAAGCUAGAAAUUUUAAGGUGAAGUUUUGUUAAAAACCUUAAGUAGCUGGGAUAUCAGGCCUGUUUUGCUUGAAAAAAAAAGUUGCAAGAUAACUCAUAUGCCAAACAGGUUCUGAUAUUGUGAAUCUAUCGGCAGACAUCAGUAAUCUCAUCUUCUGAGAUGGAUGUUGGGGGUGCAUGUGGUGGUGGAGGGGCAAGGUUUCAUUUGGUUUAUUUUGUUGAUGGAUAUUGUCUAGCCACCUGCGCCAAGUUUGAGGGGUGGUGGGUUGUGAUGACCCUACAAUUACUAUUAAUUUCUUCAUCUUUUACCGAUUAAAGUGUCCGAACAGUCGAAGUUACCCUUAUGCAUGUCAACUUGAUCACUUACCUCUUCAAUGGAGUUUAUGCUGGUUCAUUUAGGAACUGAUUUUUAUUGUUAUGUAUUAUAUGCUGAUGUUUAGGUCUCUCCAUCAUCACUAUAUACAAAAAUUCUAGGUUGAUACUAUAGGUUGAGAUUUAUUUUUUAAAUAAAAAAUAAUAAAAAUAAAAAUUAUGGUGAUGUUUAGUUGUUUUAUGGAAAAUUUUAACAAGUAAAAGUUAUUUUUGGGCAAGUUUUCAAACAAAAAGAAAAGUAAAAGUUGUUUUGACAAAAACAUAUAGAAAAAAAAAUCAUAGAAAAUAAAUAAUUUCCCCAUAUUCUAACUUUUUUGAAUUUUUCUCAAUGGGCAAAGGAAUAUCAAAUCAAGUUUGAGUAGGAUUUCUUAAUUUUUAAAAUAACUUACAAUUAAAAAAUUUUGGUGUUUUCAUUUUUGGACAAUUUUUUAUUAAGCAAAUGGACUCUGAGUCAUGCAAGAGAUAUGGUUCAUUAACCGGUCGAACAAUUUUUUUAAAUUAAUUUAAAAGUCAAAUACAUAAUCAAUUUCACAAAAUUUAUAAACAAAAAUAGGUUUAGAGAAGAUCUACACAUAAUUUUACUUUUCUAAUUUUAUUUUAUUUUAUUUUUUGUUGGAAAAUAGUCUUCAAAUCAUGUAAGAUUUAAUAGGUUAAAUUUGUUAACAAUAAAUUUUAAAUUAUAAAAUAUAAUCUGGAACUCAAAAAUCAAUUCAAGUAAUGCUAAAAAAAAAUCAAAUUUGGUAUAGAAUGACUUUGUAAAUUUUUUUACAAAACAAAUGAAUUUUAAAUCAAGUGAGAUUUAAUGCAUUAGAUUUUUAUCAAAUAUAGUAAUUUUAAAAAUAAAUUUGGAACUCAACAAUAGACACAAUAAAUACCAAAAAAUAAUGAACCAAAAUUGGUUUGGAAUAACUCCACAACCUUUUUUUUUUUUUUUUGGUGCACACGAAUUUUCUUACUAGGUAUAUUGCUUUCAAAUUGAGAAAGAUUUACCAUUUAGAUUUUUUUUUAAUGAGUUUAAUGGUAUUUUAAAAUAAUUCAAAAUUUAAAAAAUUGACUAAUUAAUAUUAUAAAUUGAUAAACCAAGACUAUUUCAAAAUGCAUUGGGGGCUAAGGGGGUUGAAAAUAGGGACAAUGGGAUGGGUUUGGGACAUGACACUCAUAUCUCAUUUCCAUUCCAAUUACACAGUUAUCUCCCAUCCUUAUCCCAAACUUGUGUUGGAGCAAGUUGAUUUGUUCCCAUCUUUGUUGACGAAAUGACUAAUAACCUCAUCCCCUCCUUAUCUUAGAUGUACAUUUUGUCAAAUUUGAUCAGGUAUGAUUGAUCCAAGCCCUAACCCUAAUUGGUAAUGAGUGAAUACUACACCUAAUUGCAUUCUUCUUUCAUUGCAAAAUAAUGAGAUUAUAAUAAUCUAGCAAAUAAGAAAAAAUAGUAUGGAAGUUCAAAUUAACACCAUAACUAUCAAUAAUUUUAAGCUUAUAGAUGACUUAAAUGAUUAAAAACUAAUGCAAAAUCCUAAAAAAAAUAAAAAUCAUAUAAAGAAUUCACAAGAGAACAGAAUGAACAAAAACCAAAUAUGAACAUGGGUCAACAUUAGUUAUGGAUUUGGAUUCCUUUCAAGGCCAAUCUUUGAACCAAGACUUCAUCAAAUCAACUACUUCAAAGGCUUUUGUGUUCUUCUUGGGUUGUGCUCUCAAACAAAGACUUCGAGGUGAUGUUCUAGAUGAUUGAAUUACACAUAUUUAGGGUGGAGAGAUUGGAGAAGCUUGAAGAUGCCAACGAUGGGUACAAUUGAGUGGUCAAUAAGAACAAUGUAGCCUAUGACUAGUUUGAUGUCAUGGUACAAGAGUUUUAGGCAUUGAGGUUAAAGCAAGAGCAACAUGGAAUUGAUUUCGGAGUCUUUCAGUUAGUGUAAAGGAGGAAGAAGUGGUGUUGAUUCUAGAAAUAGGGUUUUAAGUGGUGCGUGAUUACUACUCAAAAAGUGCUAUUUGAUAGCCUUUAAUUAAUCCUUUUUAACACUUUUGAGUAGUAGUUUAGGCCUUUUAACUCAAUUGGCAUGUUAAGGAUCCUUUAAAGCAAUUUUGAUCACUUUGUGCAAGUUUUGGUGUUUUUGUUAGUAUUUUGAUCACCAAAGCAAGUCAAGAAUGAGGAGAACUAUGAGGAAUCAUGGGCAAAGCUUAGAAUUCAAUUGCCAAGAGUGAAUCCGGAUUGCAAGGAGAAAAAGCAAAGAGAAUCUGUCAUGAAGCCUAUUCUUGAUGACAGUCGUAGCAGCCACUUUUGGAGCACUUUCUGAAGUCCAAAUGAUGCAAGCUAUAUACCAUUUCAAAGAUCAGGAAGUCAACAAUCCAAUGCUUCAAACGGUGCGCGAUUCGGAGUUGAAACGAAGAAGUUGCAGCCAUUACAAGCCAGUCACUCUAAAGUGUUGCGGAAUCAGCCUUUUGUUGCGAGAAUUUCGCAGCACUUUUGUACAGUAAGGUGUUUCUCCUUCUGACGAUGCACGAACCAUGCCGCGAGAGGGAAGCUAGGAACUUCAAGAUGGAAGCCAACUUUGCAGCCUGGUGAAGAUAGCUUGGUCUUGCGAAAUAAUUUCGCAGCCCUCUUGGGUGUCUGCGAAAUUUCGCAGGCACCACUUUUUUCCUGCGAAAUGGCUCCGGAAGCCUCCCGAAGCUUGCUACCGACAUUGGGAGAUAUUUUCCAUUAGAUUUUUGUUGUCUAAAUUCCAAAAUACUCCUUGUAAACCACCAAUUACAUGAUUCCUUAGUUUUUAAGUUAGUAAAAAGACCAAAUAUCUAUGUAAUAAUUAGUUUUAUAUUAGUUUGCUAUAAAUACCUCUCGGGAGCAUGUUCUCAGAGAGGAGUUCCUUCUGUAACCAUUUUGGUAAGCAAGUAAAGUCUUUUCUUUCUACUGCCUUACCUUCUCACUUUGUAUUUUCAUUUUAUUUCUAAGUUAUGAAUUCUCUGAGGAGCUUUCCCCAGAGAAUGAGUAACUAAACCUCCAAUUCCUUGGAGCUAAGGUUGCCGGGGAAGGUUCCAAGUGCAAGAAUGCAAAGCUCUGUGGUUUUAGCUAGUAAUGAAGAGGAAGUGAAAUCCUUUAGUGAUUUCAAUGUUUUUAGUUAACUUAAAACACCUUGGAGUCACCUGGGCCAACACUUGGUAAGGCAAGUGAUUUCCAACCGUGGAAAUGCACUAGUUUACCCCUUGCGAGCCUCUGGUAGGUGACUUCAAGGUAGGAUUUUCUGGAAUUACCAACACUUGGUAAGCUUUUGGACUCCUAGGAGACAUCCAUUAGUUAUCUCUUGCGAGUUUGUGAAGGGGAAUCCAAGGUUAAAGAUCACCUUGAAUGGUAAGUGCUCGUGAGAGGCAUGAACCAUUGCAAGUUGUAUCAGUGAGAGAAUUAAAGUGAAAUCUAAUUGAAGGAGUCUCUGUACAUCACCGGUUAGAGAAUUGACUAUAAGUUGAAUCUCUAAUGCGAGGAAAUGAACCAUCUGACCGGAGCUAUGUCUUUUGCAUGAGGAACCACCCCAGUGAACCUAAAUCUCCAAGGAAUGCUUUUCUUCCUAAAUUAUUCCAAACUUCUGUUAAGUUAGUUAGUUUAAGUCUAAACCUUUACCAAUCAAACUUUGUGUUUUAUUUCUUAAGCUAACCGUGAAAUGAAACAAAACCAAUUCACUUGGAAUUGGUAUCCUUGAUUGCUUGCAAAUCAUUCCCAGUGAACGAUCCUUAGAGCCACUAUACUAUAGUAGCUUUGUAUUUGCUACCCUAGUGUAUGGUGUUAUAGGUAUAAAUUUUGUUGAUCACUUCCUCAAUCAAGGAACACCAGCUGAACACAAAUCAGCUGAGACACCAAUUGGGCAUGAGUCAAAUGGCGCCGUUGCCGGGGAAUGAGUGUCAAGAUCAUUGUGAUACCAUUUUUGAGCACUUGUGAUUUUCAUCACAAGUUGGUAAAGUUUCUUUCACUUUACUAAUUUUCAUUCUCUCUUUGUUUAUUUACAAUCUAAGUUUAUCUUUUUAAAAUUUAGUCUAGUUUAAUUUUGCUAUUGUAGCCUUGUUUCUCUUGUUGUCCUCUGUUCUUGUUGUCCUCUGUUUUCAUUUUAGUUGCAGCUGAAUACUAGUUGUGUAUGCCAAAGUGGAUACGAGACAUUGGAGGUAGGCUUAUUAAGUGUGAUACACCUCAGAGAGGAGAAUUGGAAGUAAUCUUGAAUAUCAUGGAGGCUGCACCUGAAGAUCAGCAUAGUCACCAAGGUCGUCAAGACAAUCUCAAUGAAUUCAGAUCAAUGAGGGACCGUAUGCAUCCACCUCGUAUGAGUGCACCAUCAUGUAUAGUGCCCCCUACAGAGCAACUAGUGAUCAGACCAUAUCUUGUUCCACUUCUACCAACUUUCCAUGGGAUGGAAAGUGAGAAUCCGUAUGCACACAUCAAGGAAUUUGAAGAUGUUUGUAAUACAUUCCAAGAGGGAGGAGCUUCAAUUGAUUUGAUGAGGCUUAAGUUAUUUCCUUUUAAUUUAAAGGAUAAGGCCAAAAUUUGGCUUAAUUCUUUAAGGCCAAGGAGUAUCCGCUCUUGGACUGAUUUACAAGCUGAAUUCCUCAAGAAAUUUUUUCCUACUCAUAGAACAAAUGGCUUGAAAAGGCAAAUUUCAAACUUCUCAGCUAAAGAGAAUGAGAAAUUCUAUGAGUGUUGGGAAAGAUACAUGGAAGCUAUAAAUGCUUGUCCUCACCAUGGCUUUGAUACUUGGCUACUGGUGAGUUAUUUUUAUGAUGGUAUGUCCUCCUCAAUGAAGCAACUCCUCGAGAAAAUGUGUGGAGAAGAUUUCAUGAGCAAAAAUCCAGAGGAAGCUAUGGAUUUCUUGAGCUAUGUAGCUGAUGUUUCAAGGGGAUGGGAUGAACCAACUAAAGGAGAAGUGGGAAAGAUGAAGUCUCAGUUGAAUGCUUACAAUGCAAAGGCUGGGAUGUAUACUUUAAAAGAGGAUGAUGACAUGAAAGCAAAGUUGGCAGCUAUGACAAGAAGAUUGGAGGAGCUGGAGCUGAAAAGAAUGCAUGAAGUGCAAGCUGUUGCUGAAGCACCAGUGCAAGUGAAGUUGUGUCCCAAUUGUCAAUCGUUUGAACAUUUGGUAGAGGAAUGCCCUGCAAUUUCAGCUGAAAGGGAAAUGUAUAGAGAUCAAGCAAAUGUUGUUGGACAAUUCAGGCCCAAUAACAAUGCUCCUUAUGGAAAUACCUACAAUUCAAGUUGGAGGAAUCAUCCAAAUUUUUCAUGGAAGGCCAGAGCAACUCAAUACCAACAGCCGGAUCCACCAUCUCAACAAUCUUCAAGUAUUGAACAAAUAAUAGCUAAUCUCAGCAAGGUAGUGGGAGAUUUUGUGGGAAAGCAAGAAGCCACCAAUGCUCGAGUGGAUCAAAGAAUGGACAGAGUGGAUCAAAGAAUGGACAGAAUGGAGAGUAUGUUGAACAAAAGAAUGGAUGGAAUGCAAAAUGAUAUGAAUCAAAAAUUUGAUAACAUCCAAUAUUCAAUUUCAAGGCUUACAAAUUUGAAUACACUGCAAGAAAAGGGAAGAUUUCCUUCUCAACCUAACCAAAAUCCCAAAGGUGUCCAUGAAGUGGAAAGCCAUGAGGGAGAAUCAUCACAGGUGAAAGAUGUGAAAGCUUUGAUCACUCUAAGGAGUGGUAAGAAAAUUGAGCAGCCAACACCCAAGCCACAUGUUGAGAAAGAAGAAGAGAUGAAGAAAGGGAAGGAAAUGGAAGAUAAAGGCAGUGAGAUCAGUGAAGAAAAGAAGGACUCUGAUGCAACAAUGAAAGUAAUUCCAGAGAAGGAGCUUCUGAAGGAAGAAAUGCUGAAGAAAUCAACUUUUCCACCUUUUCCUCAAGCAUUACAGGGGAAAAAGGGGGUUAGAAAUGCAGCUGAAAUCCUAGAAGUAUUGAGGCAAGUGAAAGUUAAUAUUCCACUGCUGGAUAUGAUCAAACAAGUUCCAACGUAUGCAAAAUUCCUAAAGGACUUGUGUACUAUCAAAAGAGGGUUGACUGUAAACAAGAAAGCCUUCUUGACUGAGCAAGUAAGUGCAAUCUUACAGUGUAAGUCUCCUUUGAAGUACAAAGACCCUGGAAGUCCUACCAUUUCAGUCAUGAUUGGAGGAAAGGUAGUGGAGAAAGCCUUGCUAGACUUGGGAGCAAGUGUGAAUUUGCUUCCAUAUUCUGUCUACAAGCAACUGGGACUUGGAGAGUUGAAGCCAACAGCAAUCACUUUGUCUCUGGCAGAUAGAUCAGUGAAAAUUCCAAGAGGGGUAAUUGAGGAUGUAUUGGUUCAAGUAGAUAAUUUCUACUAUCCUGUAGAUUUUGUUGUUCUUGAUACAGAUCCUACUGUAAAGGAAGCUAAUUUAGUUCCUAUCAUCCUUGGAAGGCCAUUUCUUGCAACUUCAAAUGCAAUCAUCAACUGUAGAAAUGGGCUUAUGCAACUCACUUUUGGUAACAUGACACUGGAUCUAAAUAUUUUCUAUAUGUCUAAAAAGCAAAUCACUCCAGAAGAAGAAGAGGGUCCAGAAGAGCUAUGUAUUAUUGAUACUUUGGUGGAGGAGCACUGCAAUCAACAUAUGCAAGAUAAGUUGAAUGAAAGUUUUGUGGAUAUUGAGGAAGGUUUUUCUGAAUCUCCUAAUGGGCUUGCUACUCUACAAAGUUGGAGAAAGAUAGAAGGAAUUCUACCUUUGUUCAAUGAAGAAGAGGAGGCAGCUGUUGAAAAAGAAAUUCCAAAACUCAAUCUGAAGCCUUUACCUAUGGAGCUGAAAUAUACAUAUCUUGAAGAAAAUAAUCAAUGUCCUGUCGUAAUAUCUUCAUCUCAAACCAAGUCUCAAGUGAAGGAUGCAAGCUUCAAAUGGGAUCCGGGCAAACUGAAUCAGGAAGGGCAAAAAGUUUUGAUGUAUGACACAAGACUCCAUAUCUUUCCUGGGAAGCUCAAGUCAAGGUGGAUUGGUCCAUUUGUUAUUCACCGAGUAUAUUCCAAUGGAGUGGUGGACUUAUUGAAUUCCAAUGGCAAGGACAGCUUUAGAGUCAAUGGAUAUCGUCUUAAGCCGUUCAUGGAGUCAUUCAAAUCAGAAAAGGAGGCAAUCAACCUCCUUGAACCUCAAAAAGCCUAAGUGAAAUGGGUUUGCUGGACGUGGUUUUACCACAGUCCAAAAAUUUUUGUAAAUUUUGUAAAUUUUCAAGUUGUUUCCAUGCUUUUAAUCUUAGUUUUUGAUUUUAAAUCAUGUUUUUAGGUGUGUUUUAAUCGUUUUAUAUGAUCCCAGGCGGAAGAAAUUUCAAGGGGAUUGAAAAGAAAAAAAUCGGGUCGAAAUUGGAGCCGAAACAGAGCAAAAACAGGGGAAAAACAGAGCUCUGCGAAAUUUCGCAGGGUGAAGGAAACUUCUGCGAAAUUGGCAUUUUGCUGCCAAACCAUUCCGCAGCACUGUAGAAGCCUCUGCGAGUGUAUUUCGCAAUUGCGAAAGUGGAUUUGGCACACGAGUGCCACUUCGCAGCACAGUGACAUCAAUUUCGCAGCUGCGAAACUCACUGCGAAGUUGCUGCGAAAAUGGCAAGUUGCUGCGAAAUUGGCGUUUUGUUGCGAAACGUAAUCUGACCCCUGGGCUUCCGUUUUUCCUAUUUAUACCUGUCAAAAGUGCUGCGAAAAAGGUUUCAAAAAUUAGAGCACCAUUCUCGCAGCCCUUUCAUCUUCUUCGCCAAGCCACGCCGUCCGUUUCUCCGGUCGUCUUCUCCGUUUAGCAGCGCCGGCCAAAGAUCGAUAGCCCAAAAAUGGCACGAACGCGAGGGGCAAAGUCUUCAUCCCCUUCGAACCGCAAAAGGAGUCUGCGAAAGGAGCCAAGUUCAGGCUCUGUUCCAGAACCUGCUCCAAAGCCUUCGCCGUCGAGACCACAACCUUCUCCAGUGAAGCCGGCGCCACCAAAGCCGCCGGCAAGGCGAUAUUUAACCAGGUCAGGUGGUCAGCCAUUGAAGAAGAAAGCCAGAGUUGAGAGCUCUGAACCAAUCGAUUUGACUGAGCAAUCCCCUGAGAAAUCACCAAAUCCUUCACCGGUACAAAUUCCAGUGCCAUCACCGGUUCCCUCGCCAAUUCCCUCACCAGAAGCAACUCCAAUUCCAUCGCCGGUACCAUCUCCGGCACCCCAAGAAAAAGCUCAGGAGCCUCAAGCGCCAAUUCCAGAGCCCCAAAUUGCAGCUGAAGCACCUCUGGAAGAAGUGAUCCGAAGGCCAAUGCUGCCUCAGCCCCCAAUCGAAGGAAACCUGGAUUGCCGAACUCGGGCAUUCCAUUCUGAGCUUUGCUUCGAUUUAACAGCAUUCAGAGUGAGGCCAGAGCUUGCCCAAUCCUUCCAACUGCUGAGGAGAUAUCAUAUGGAGCAUCUGCUAGCUCCAAGGGAUUUUUUCUAUCCCCGGGUAGUCACGGAUUUCUACCAAACCAUGACAACCAAAGAAGUAAGAAAUCCAACUCUGAUUCAUUUCAUAAUUGAUGGAAGGCAUGGUAUUUUGGGAGCAAGACAUAUUGCUGAAGCCCUGCAAAUUCCUUUUGAGCCAACUCAAUUCGACAAUUUUAAAGCUUGGACAAAUCCUACUGAGUUAGAGAUGGUUAGCACACUAACCAGAGGAGCUGCAAAUCGAUCGCAUUUGUUGAGGGGGGAGCUACCUCCAGUUAUGUUUUUGAUUGAUGCCUUUUUGAGGCAUAAUAUCUAUCCCCUGCAGCAUUGGACCCAAAGAAGGGGAAUUCUCCUAGAAGCCUUGUACAAAAUGUCUGAAGGAUUCUUCUUUGGGCCUCAUCAUCUGAUCAUGGCAGCCCUUCUAUACUUUGAGGAGAAGGUUCACAAGAAGAAGCUUCAAAGAGCAGAUUGCAUUCCACUCCUCUUCCCAAGGCUGCUAUGCCAAGUUUUGGAGCAUCUCGGAUACCCCUCUGAGCCUCAGCAGGAAAGAAAGAGAAUAUGCCGUGAGCCUUUUACCCUUGAUAAAUGGAAUAAUAUGACGGCCUACAAAAUUGAUCAGCCUGGGCAGCCUCAGCCAGCAGCAAGGAGAGUCUCCCCAAGACAUAUACCUGAAGGUAUAACACUUGCUACUCCUGCCAUCCCUCGAGCUCCACCAGCUGCACCUGCUCCAUCACAGCCAUCCACAUCAGCUGAGCCGAGGAUGGCCAUCCCUAUAUCCGAAUAUCGAGAGCUGUGCCGUGCAUUGGAGACUCUUACAGCUUCUCAGAGCAAUCUUGCUCAGGAGUUGGCAGCCAUUAAAGCAUGCCAGGAGCAGAUGUUAGCCUCUCAGACUCAACAAGCUGCCAUCCUAAGGCAGCUUCAAGUCCAUUUCGAUCUGCCACAAGCUGUAGAGCCCUCUAUUCCUACUCCACCAGAGCCACACUCUCAGCCUUCAGAGUCUCAUCCUCCAGAACCCGAAGCACCAGCUGAUCCACCUACUGAGGAGGCAGAUCCUUCUGCCUAGCACCAUCACCCCCCUCAUCAGACAUUAUAUAUAUAUUUGCUGUUUAUGUUUUUAUGCAUGUUUGUUUUGUUUUAGUUGAAAAGAAAUCCCAGUAUUUUGGUACUAUAUAUGGGAUUCCUUGUGUUACUUGUCUUUAGUAUUGUAAUCACAUGAACUCAAAGUAAUACAAGUUGACUAUUUCUUGUUAAAAGUUAGCAUUAAAGUUUCCUUAUUUCCUUUUCUCACAUAUUCUAUUCUUUUUGAAACAUGUGGUUUUCCCCAAUCAAUAUUCGAAUUUGAUAUCAGCAUGGAGGUACCACUUCCUCCCUUUUAUUACAGUCACUCAAAUCACAUUGAGGACAAUGCUCAGUUCGGUUGGGGGGUAUGAGGAAGGAAGUAUUCUAAACCUUUUUGGUAUUGCAAUUAUAUUGGUUAAUUAGUUGUAGAUUUUACUUUUUACUAGUGUUACUCUAUUCUCCAUGAAUUUUGAGGAAAAAUUUUCAAAUUAAACCAAGAGAAAUUGAACUGUUGUUUUUCACUUGACUUAGAGUAUGGAUUAUGCUUACUAAAGUGGUUCAAUUGUUGAAACUUCUACUGAAAUUGAAUUGAGUUCUUCCACUUUAAGCUAUCCACACACUGUGCACAUUAGUUUCCGAUUAUAAGAUGAAAAGCUAUUUCCCUCUUGACUUAGUAUAUUUUUGGGACUUGGUAUAUUUGACCUCAUUUGAUAAAAAUUGAAACACCCUGCAAAAGGCCAAUGAGCCUUUGAAAUAAAGAAAGUUGUUUGCUUGCCUUGAAACCCGAGCAAGGUCUGAGGGGUAUAUGGUGAAAAUCUUUAAAGCCUGGUGCCCUAAGCCUUAAUUGGUUGGGAGUCACCGACCUCAAUGCUCGUUACAAGGGUGAAUAGGUAGAGUUAGCAUAUGGUAGAUGCUUGGGUAUUAGAAAUUCAUUCUUAAAAGUCCGGGGAAAAAUCCGAGGAGUUAGUGGUUGAAAGAUCCUUAAAACUUGGUGCCCUAAACCUUAAUUGGUUGGGAGUCAUCGAUGGACCCCCAUUACAUGGACAAGUCAGAAAGAGUACCCCAUAAAGCUACCUUAAAAAAAAAAAAAAAAAAAAAAAAAAAAAAAAAGAUGAAAGUGUGUUCUUUUCUUAUUGAUUUUGGUCAGUUUGCUAAAGUGUUGAAAAGAGAUAGGUUGGGGGGUGAGAUUAGUAGCAUAUUAUUCUCGGAACCUAAGGAACCAAUACACAUAGAUUUUUGUGGAAGAUUGAAGUUUAGUUCUUAGAAAAUGAAAUGAUUUUAAAACUUCAGUUUGCAUAAUGCACUCCCUUGAUUGACAGUGUUUAGCAUAGGUGUUAUGACUCUUGUUGAGAUUUGGGUUUGUAUUUCUUUAAUGAUUCAUGUGAGAAAUAGAUCAUCAUGCCACUUGAGAAUUAUUUUCCUUUUAGCAUGAUGUUGUAAAUUUUAGAUUAGUUUGCUAUUUAUUUUUUAUUUUCUCUCCUAUAUUGCUAAGGGACUAGCAAUAUGUCGGUUGGGGGGAGUGAUUACUACUCAAAAAGUGCUAUUUGAUAGCCUUUAAUUAAUCCUUUUUAACACUUUUGAGUAGUAGUUUAGGCCUUUUAACUCAAUUGGCAUGUUAAGGAUCCUUUAAAGCAAUUUUGAUCACUUUGUGCAAGUUUUGGUGUUUUUGUUAGUAUUUUGAUCACCAAAGCAAGUCAAGAAUGAGGAGAACUAUGAGGAAUCAUGGGCAAAGCUUAGAAUUCAAUUGCCAAGAGUGAAUCCGGAUUGCAAGGAGAAAAAGCAAAGAGAAUCUGUCAUGAAGCCUAUUCUUGAUGACAGUCGUAGCAGCCACUUUUGGAGCACUUUCUGAAGUCCAAAUGAUGCAAGCUAUAUACCAUUUCAAAGCUCAGGAAGUCAACAAUCCAAUGCUUCAAACGGUGCGCGAUUCGGAGUUGAAACGAAGAAGUUGCAGCCAUUACAAGCCAGUCACUCUAAAGUGUUGCGGAAUCAGCCUUUUGUUGCGAGAAUUUCGCAGCACUUUUGUACAGUAAGGUGUUUCUCCUUCUGACGAUGCACGAACCAUGCCGCGAGAGGGAAGCUAGGAACUUCAAGAUGGAAGCCAACUUUGCAGCCUGGUGAAGAUAGCUUGGUCUUGCGAAAUAAUUUCGCAGCCCUCUUGGGUGUCUGCGAAAUUUCGCAGGCACCACUUUUUUCCUGCGAAAUGGCUCCGGAAGCCUCCCGAAGCUUGCUACCGACAUUGGGAGAUAUUUUCCAUUAGAUUUUUGUUGUCUAAAUUCCAAAAUACUCCUUGUAAACCACCAAUUACAUGAUUCCUUAGUUUUUAAGUUAGUAAAAAGACCAAAUAUCUAUGUAAUAAUUAGUUUUAUAUUAGUUUGCUAUAAAUACCUCUCGGGAGCAUGUUCUCAGAGAGGAGUUCCUUCUGUAACCAUUUUGGUAAGCAAGUAAAGUCUUUUCUUUCUACUGCCUUACCUUCUCACUUUGUAUUUUCAUUUUAUUUCUAAGUUAUGAAUUCUCUGAGGAGCUUUCCCCAGAGAAUGAGUAACUAAACCUCCAAUUCCUUGGAGCUAAGGUUGCCGGGGAAGGUUCCAAGUGCAAGAAUGCAAAGCUCUGUGGUUUUAGCUAGUAAUGAAGAGGAAGUGAAAUCCUUUAGUGAUUUCAAUGUUUUUAGUUAACUUAAAACACCUUGGAGUCACCUGGGCCAACACUUGGUAAGGCAAGUGAUUUCCAACCGUGGAAAUGCACUAGUUUACCCCUUGCGAGCCUCUGGUAGGUGACUUCAAGGUAGGAUUUUCUGGAAUUACCAACACUUGGUAAGCUUUUGGACUCCUAGGAGACAUCCAUUAGUUAUCUCUUGCGAGUUUGUGAAGGGGAAUCCAAGGUUAAAGAUCACCUUGAAUGGUAAGUGCUCGUGAGAGGCAUGAACCAUUGCAAGUUGUAUCAGUGAGAGAAUUAAAGUGAAAUCUAAUUGAAGGAGUCUCUGUACAUCACCGGUUAGAGAAUUGACUAUAAGUUGAAUCUCUAAUGCGAGGAAAUGAACCAUCUGACCGGAGCUAUGUCUUUUGCAUGAGGAACCACCCCAGUGAACCUAAAUCUCCAAGGAAUGCUUUUCUUCCUAAAUUAUUCCAAACUUCUGUUAAGUUAGUUAGUUUAAGUCUAAACCUUUACCAAUCAAACUUUGUGUUUUAUUCCUUAAGCUAACCGUGAAAUGAAACAAAACCAAUUCACUUGGAAUUGGUAUCCUUGAUUGCUUGCAAAUCAUUCCCAGUGAACGAUCCUUAGAGCCACUAUACUAUAGUAGCUUUGUAUUUGCUACCCUAGUGUAUGGUGUUAUAGGUAUAAAUUUUGUUGAUCACUUCCUCAAUCAAGGAACACCAGCUGAACACAAAUCAGCUGAGACACCAAUUGGGCAUGAGUCAGUGCGUUAGAGGAUCAAGAAGAAGAAAAAGAAGGAACUGUUGGAAUUAGUAUGAGUGUGAAGAGAAAAGUAUAUAAAUAAGGGGAAGUAAAAGCAAAGUUCAAAAAGCUAUAUUUUUUUAUUGUUGGUGUAUGGUUGCAUGAUUAUCCCUAUAAAUAAUAGGAGUUUUUUGGUAUUCUACUAGUAGUUGAAGCAUAAUUUCAUAAAUUAAUAUUUAGAGCGGGGUGGGGUGAGUUGUGACAAAAUUCAUACCCGUCCCAAACCUUGGUUCAGAUUUUUAAAAUAUUCUCAAACUUAUCAUAUACCCAACUUUUAUAUUUCAUACUUGUCCUAAUAGAGGCACGUUAGGCCGGGUUACUUGAGUAACCUACAUAAUUGUCAUCCCUAGUUGAAAUACACUUUUUGGCAGUGGCCACCAACUGAGCUAGAAGCUUGAUUGAUUGACCUACAAGAUUAGUUCUCAUCAUUUUAAAAAAAGUUCUGGCUUUGGUUGUGAGUGCAAUUGAAUCUAAACUGGCAUUUGCUUAAUGCAUCUACUUCAAUCCUAAACUUCUUACUUCUUAAGCCUCAAUUGUUGUUAGGAUUUUGGAAAACCCAUUUCCUUAAAUUGUAAAUUUAAGAUAAAAUAAAAUAAAAGUGAGACAUUUCUUGAUUGAAUAUUGUUAAAGGUCCCUUGGCAUUAAGACUUGGUUGAAGCCUUGGAAGAUUAGUGGAACUCUCAACAUGUGUUUGAAUCUUGAGGAGAGUGGAUGUAAGCCAAAAUUUUGUCAAACCAUUAUACAAAUUGAGUUUGAAUCCUCAUUUCUUGAUUUCUUAUUUAUUUGCUUUUUCUUAUUAUUACUUGAAUUGUCAUUUGCAUUCAUUAAUGUUAAAAUUGGUUAUAAUUAACCAACACUAAUUCUCUUUCCCCUUCCCUUUCUUGGGUGUAAACCUAGGUUGGAUUAACUAGAUAAAUCUAUUAAGAUGGUAAAAGAAUAAUUAUUCUUAACAUACAUAAGAUCAUCUUCAAUCAAAUGACUCAUUGGCUAAUAUGUUGAAUUUGCUUAUUACUUGCAACUCAAAAUUGUGUUCUAGUUGUGUCAAGUCCCCAGUGUAUGGACAUUAAAUUUGUAGUACGUGAUGAGUAAUUAGAUGGUCCAACUCCAAGAAAGUGAUUGAAAAGUAGUUCAAGAAAGGUGCAAAAGGGAAUUGUUUUGGUAUUUUCGUUUUUAUUCUUGAAGGUGGCAGAGCUAAAAUUUGAGAAAUCAAGCAAAACAUACUGAAAUUACAUUGAAAGAAAGAAGAUGGGAGUUAAUGUCUUGCAGUACAUGAUAAGGACUUCAUGCAUGUAGUGUGACCCAUGUCUUGGACUGAUGCCAACUCACGGUUACACUUAUACCCUUGGUUCUCUCUUUACUACCUUGGCUAACCUAGAUCAGGCUAUGAGAUAGGCUCCUCACCACACCAUUACUUGCCCAUUAAUUAGAGACAUUUUCAAGCAAUGAGGUAACAUGGUGACACCAAGAGGGUCUAUUCCUCGCCCGGAACAAGUCUAGACUUGGUCUCAAAAAAAUGGAGAAAAAUGAGGUGUCGUUAUGUAGAAAUACAACAACCAUGCCUUCCUCAUUACUUAGAUUCAGAAUGUGAAGGUGAAAUUGAGAAACAGAAACUCUUGAAACCAAAAUGAAAAUUGAUACUUUUACGAAGAAUUACAACAACAUUAGAGGAAGACUACAUUCUUCCUCUUUAUUCCUACAUUUCUACACUACUUCUACUCCACUCCAUAUUUCUACAUACAUCUUUAAUCAGUCUUCCCUCCUUUAUAUAGAGCCAUCUUCACACAAAUUUCGCAAGGUAGAAAAGAGGAAUGAAACUUGGAGCAAGGUUCGACUACUGGUUGUAGCUUGUCAAGGCUGGAAGUGAACUUUUCUUGGCUUUCUGGGCAUGGGUAGUAACUUGUGGGUUCCUGUUUGGCAUAAAAAUGGCUAGAACAUGUGGCACUAUCUUGUUGGAUGAUGUGUCAAGCAUGUGGCAGCCAUCUAGUGGCGAUUAUGUCAAUUUUGGGAUGGAGAGUUGGCAUCCAAUUGCAAAGAAAUAUGACGUCUACCAACAUGCAAUGUAAACCUAUGUAGAUCAUAUGAAGAUAGAGAGGAAAAAUAUAGAAAUGGAUAUAUACCUAGAACUAGCUUUUUAUUAAAUGAAACGGAGAGACAACAAUGAAGGAAAAUAAAAUUUUUUGGCUUAUAUCAAAGAGUUCACAUUGUGUUACCCUAGGUUUUCUUAAAACUUACUUUUAUGAUAACAAAAAAGAAAAAACCAUUAUUGUUUAAUCCUUUGUUUUAAACGCAUGUAAGGUGUAAUUAAGUUAGUUCAAUGCAUUAAUUUAAGAAACUUGACCUAUCAAAAGUACAAAAUUAGAUGAAAUCCAUUUCAAUGGUUAAAAUGAUCAAAAUCAAACUUUUUCUAAGUAUUUUUUAAAAGCAUCAAUAGUGAAAGACAAUUUUAUAUUUAGUCGGAGUUUGGACAAAACUGAAAAACACACAAAAUCCAAGCGACCAUCUCUAGCUUGGAUGGUCGCUUGAUCCCACCUAGAGAUGUGCAUGAGUAAAAGGAUUUGAAAAUGGAAAUUGACUAUGUAGUCGAUCAAUUAACUUUGCAACAUCAUAUGCAAUCCUAAUUGCUAGUCAUCUAAUCAAUUAGGUAGUCAAUCAACAGGCCAAAAAUAUGUUUAUAAUGACUAUUUUGUACAAAAACCACCUGUAUAGUUAAAUAUAAUGCAUUUCAUUUAUAAAUCUUCUAAUUCUUGAAUAACGAUCCUAUCAUCCUUUGAAAGUUUUUAUUACACUUUUUUUACUUUUGUUCUAAAACUUACACAUCACCCUUAAUUGUACCAUGAGAACCUAGCUAUUUUUUAUUUUUUUUUUUGUAAUUCAUCAAAGUUAGCUUUUGUAUUCAUUGUUGUAUUAUUUUUAGUAUAACUUAGAAAGCUAGUGUUUUCAAGUGAGUAAAAUUAACUUGUAAAUAUUGUAAAGAUUCAUCGACAUGUAUCUUAAACUAAGUGUACAAGUUAAAACAUUUGCUAGUAGAUUUUCUCAAAAUUUAGAAUAGAGCUUGAGACUAUUGAAAUAGGUGGGGUUGCACCAAACCACAUCACAUCGUUGUUUGCACCUUUUUUCACUCUCUUUUACUUAGUUGCUCUAUAUUUGUUGUCUAGUAAUAUCCUAUAGGCUUGAUGGGUUAGGGAGCAUCCCUUUGUGAAAAAAUUUUAUUCAAUCCUUAGUUGUAUCACGCAUAUAUAAAAUGCCUCAUUGUUUUAAUGGUAUUCAGUCGUGGCAUCACAGAUAUGGGCAUCUAAAUUUUAAAAGUUUGAAACUUUUAUCUAAAGAAAAUAUGGUGCUUUGCCUUUUUGUAAAGCAUGUUGAUGAAAUCCAUGAGAAUUGUGUACUUGGGAAGCAACACCGAGAUGACUUUUUUUUUUUUUUUAUAAUAUUGUUUGUCCAAAUUCCCUACAAAUUAGGCCACCAGAUGUUCAUAAUUCUCCCUUCUUGAAUUUGAAAACUCGGACAAUUGGACAAUGCGACACCUAAGUCCGGUUUCUAAAUGCUAAAGUGAAAGGGUAGGUAUGGACCAUUGAAAUGUGAUCACAACUUUUCUCUGUAGCCAUGUUGUCUCUUUUUUCUUUUGCAUGAUUUUCUUACCUUAACAGAAUCAUAGACUUGUUUAGUCUCUAAAUGGGAUUAAUUUCAUCCAGCUUUAAGCUACUAUAUUAUAUCUAGGUGGAGGACUUUUAAGAGUGCAACCGACAUAGAGCACAUGGAAGUGGGUAUAUGGGACAUGAAAUUUCUUCUUAUAAAGAUUGCAUGAUUUUUAUAUUAGAGUUGUUGAGGCGCUAUGUAUUUAGCUUGUUUUGCAGUUAAAUUAAUUGGAUAAGUAGACAUUGGCGUUUCUAAAUCUACUGUGAAGUGCUUCAUGUACGUGUGAAGUAUUAGAAAUUUCUUUCUUGGCAACUUGUUUUUCUUUGCGGUCUACUGAUAGGUUUGACUAAAAUUAUAUUCCCUGUCAUGCUAAUUAAUUUUCACGUGCAUGCUCAAAAGAAAAGUAUGACCUUAGUGCACCAAAAUCACUUUGAUUAAUUUGUGAUAGGUUUUUGUGCAUCAUGACAUUAGCCUUAUUCAUUUAGAUAAUGUUUAGUUUUUAGAAAGUAUUAAGAAAAGGAAAAUAAAUAUUAAGAAAAAUAUUCUUAUAUUUGAUUGUAUUAUGAAAAAUAUCAUAAAAAAAUCAAAUAUAAUUUAAAUUAAUUAAUAAUUUAUACAUUUUCAAAUUAUUUAAUCUUUAUAUUGAAGAUAUAAUAUAAAUGAAAUGAGUUUUAAGUAUUAUAUAAAAGUGAUUUAUUGAUCUUACAUAUAUAUAUUUCUUUUUUUUUUCCUUCUAUUUUUUCUCUUUAUUUUAUUUUCCUUAUGUUUUCCUCAACAUUUUCCGGAACCAAACAUAGCCUUAGGAAAUCCACAAUUACCUUCAACUGAGUAGAUUCUGUUGUUUUAGCAAUGUUAGGCUGCUAACUUGUGUUGGUACGAACCUAUUAAGCCUAAAGAUGUAAUUAGUUAGGAUAUUCUUUUCCCUCUAGUCUUGUAGCUCCACGUGUACAGUUGGUUAGGACCUCAUUGUAUAUAAUGCUUGCCCUGUUAUUGUAGAAGACAACAAAGAUAAAUAAUAUUAACAUUUUUCCUCUCAUCUCUCUCUGUUUCCCUCUGUUUUCAUCUCCUCUCUCAUCUUGGUAUCAGAGCCUCCAUGGCUUCUUUCAAAGAAACCUCCGAAUCACCUUCUGCUAGCAUUGUUAAUGUGCAAAACCCAUUAUCUCAAUCAAACAACCUUCCUUCACCAGUAGCCACACCCUCUUUUUCUUUCUCGUCUAUGAAUCAACCUCUCACAGUGAAGCUGGAUAAUGGGAACUACCUCAUAUGGAAGAAUUAGCUUCUAAAUGUCAUCAUUGCUAACGGACUCGAUGAUUUCAUUGACGGAUCUCGACCCUGCCCUCCUCGAUUUCUCGAUCUGCAACAACAAACCCUCAAUCCAGAGUACUCAGCUUGGCAGAGAUACAAUCGACUUCUGAUGAGUUGGCUGUACGCAUCCUUGUCCAAAGAUAUAAUGGCUCAGAUUGUUGGGUAUUCAACAGCUAUGGAGAUUUGGAAUGCCCUUAAUCAGAUUUACUCUGCCUCUUCUAUGGCGCGGUUUACUGAGCUUCGCACCAAGCUUCAAACGCUCAAGAAAGAUGGACUCUCAGUUGGUGAAUAUAUUCAAAGGCUCAAAUCCAUUUGCAAUAGUCUUGCAGCAAUAGGAGAACCAGUUUCUGAGAAAGACCAUCUUAUCUAUUUGUUCAAUGGAUUAGAUUGUGAGUAUUAUUCUUUUGUUACCUCCAUUCAAAAUCGAUCUGACCAACCAACUAUUGACAAAAUCCAUAGCCUAUUGCUUAGCUAUGACUUCCGGCUUGAACAACAAAACUCUGUUUCUCUCCAUUCUGCCCAAGUCCAUAUGGCUCAUCUGAACAAGAAACCUUAUAAAUCAACUCCUCAACCUACAUUCAAUCAUAUUCACAUUCAACCUAGAUACUCUUCUCCACCUUUUAAGCCAACCACUAGUCAAUAUCAACCCAACAUUUUGGGCAAACCACAACCACAACCAUGACAGCCUCAACCUCAAUGGAAACCACAUUUUUCAAUCUAAAAUCAAAAGCCUCAGCGCCAAAUUUGUGGUAAAUUUGGACACACUGCUCUUAUUUGCUUCCAUCACACAAAUUUGAACUAUUCACCCCAACCUUCUCCUAAAUCUUUCAAUACUGUUCUCACCACAAAUUCCCAGCUCCCUAAUCCUCCAAAAUUUUCUUACCCUACAAUGGCUCAUCCUGCUGCUACGCAUAACACGGUUCCCGAUACAAAUUGGUACAUGGACUCAGGUGCUACACAUCACUUUACUCUGGACAUCAACGUGCUUGACACUGUGACACCAUUUAGUGGUUCAGAACAGGUGACAGUUGGGAAUGGUAAGCAACUCUGUAUCUCACAUCUUGGUACUGCAAAACUACCAUCUUCGUAUUCUCCUCCUGUUCUACAUCAGGUAUAUCACACUCCAAAAAUUUCAAAUAAUCUUAUUAGUGUUAAAAAAUUGUGUUCUGAUAAUAAAGUUUUUGUUGAAUUUUAUGCCACUCAUUUUCUUGUCAAGGAUCAGGUUUCGAAGAGAGUUCUCCUUUAGGGUCAACUUGAUAAUGGCUUAUACAAAGUUCAGUCGUCAUGCUCUCCUUCUGCUGUUUCCUUUCCUCCUCAAGUUUUCAUAGCCAACAUCAAGUAUCCAAAUCUGUGGCACAAGAGACUAGGCCACCCAGCUUUAUCUGUUGUUAAUCAAAUCUUGGAUUCUUGUAACAUUGCUCGAACACAGAAAAUUUGUUUUAAUUUUUUAAAUUCUUGUCAAUUAGCAAAGAGCCACAGGCUUCCUUUUUCUCUGUCUCCAUCCAUUGCAGAAAAACCUUUUGAGUUAAUUCAUACAGACCUAUGGGGUCUUUCGCUCGUUCGCUCUAUUUCUGGUGCUCUUUAUUUUUUACUUUUCAUUGAUGAUCAUACUCGUUUUACUUGGUUUUAUUUGCUCAAAACAAAAGAUGAAGCAUAUCCUACUUUUCUCAAGUUUCAAGCUCUCAUUGAAAAUCAAUUUAAUACCAAGAUUAAGGCUGUCCAAUCUGAUUGGGGAGGUGAGUUUCGAUCUCUCUCCAUACCGUUUUCAAAUAUGGGCAUUGUCUAUUGUUUAUCGUGUCCAUACACCUCACAACAGAAUGGGCGAGUUGAGCGAAAAAAUCGCCAUGCGAUUGUCCUUUCUUGCUUGCUCUAUGCCCUUAUCUUAUUGGCCUUAUGCCUUUCAAACUGCCACUUACCUUAUUAAUCGUCUCUCUACCCCUGUGCUGCAUCAUCAAUCCUCUUACUUCGCACUCUAUCACAAACUCCCAACUUAUACUCAUCUUAAGGUCUUUGGUUCCUCUUGUUUUCCGUAUUUGCACCCUUAUAAUACCCAUAAACUCCAAUACAGGUCACUAGAGUGUGCUUUUCUUGGUUACAGUUCACACCACAAAGGUUAUCUAUGUCUUGACAUUCAUUCUAGCAGGGUGUAUAUUUCUCGCCAUGUGAUUUUUAAUGAAGAUUCUUUUCCAUUCAAGAAUUUGAAAUCUUCUCUCUCUCAGUCUAUUUCUUCUUCCUCUUCUUUAUAAGUUCCUCUGUUCAUUCUCUUGCCUCCCCUUUCCCCAUCUCCUCUUAUUUCUUCAUCUAUACCUCAUUCUUUUCCCUCUUCUUCUUCUACCUCUAGUACUUGUUCCCCUCUCGUUGCUCCUACCUCUCUUCCUUCCUCUUCACACUCUGUGUCUCCAUCUAUUCCACCUCCUUCUCCACCUUCUCCGAGUGUGGACCUGCUUGCACCUUGUGUGAAUACAAAUUUACAUACUUCUUCUCGCACUCACAAUAUUCAUCCUAUGGUGACUAGAUCUAAGGUUUGUAUCUAUAAACCUAAGUUGUUGUUGAGUGUCUCCAUAGGUUCUCUCACUAAGCCUACUUCCUUUCUUCAAGCUAUUAAAGAUCCUUCAUGGAAGCAAUCCAUGGAAUUCGAGUUUGCUACCCUUCAACACAACAAGACCUGGCAUUUGGUUCCUUCACCUUCCUCAGGCGAAGUAAUCGGUUGUAAAUGGGUCUAUAAGCUAAAGCUUCAGCCUGAUGGCUAAAUUGAGAGAUACAGCCUGCUUAGUAGCUAAGGGUAUCAUCAAAUUGAAGUAUGGACUACUUCGAAACAUUCAGCCUGAUNNNNNNNNNNNNNNNNNNNNNNNNNNNNNNNNNNNNNNNNNNNNNNNNNNNNNNNNNNNNNNNNNNNNNNNNNNNNNNNNNNNNNNNNNNNNNNNNNNNNAGCUUCAGCCUGAUGGCUAAAUUGAGAGAUACAAGGCCUGCUUAGUAGCUAAGGGUUAUCAUCAAAUUGAAGGUAUUGACUACUUCGAAACAUUCAGCCUGAUUGUCAAGCUUUCUACUAUCUGUAUUGUGCUCAGUCUUACUUUUUCCCAGAAUUGGUGUAUUAGACAGCUGGAUGUUCAUAAUGCCUUCUUACAUGGUGACUUAGCUAAAGACGUUUUCAUGGAACAACUGCCUGGAUUUGUUGAUCCUCUCUAUCCUACUCAUGUCUGCAAGUUGGAUAAGUCUCUCUACUGUCUUAAAUAGUCACCUCGGGCUUGGUAUACUAAGCUGAGUACUUCUCGCUACACUUGGGAUUUGUUACUUCUAAGAAUGACUCUUCCUUAUUUAUUUGUCAUUCGUCUCAUGGGUUACUUCUUGUUCUUGUCUAUGUGGAUGAUAUAAUCGUCAUUGGGAGCCACUCUCCUCAGGUUACUCACCUUAUCCAACAGUUGCAUCAUUAGCUUUCUUUAAAGGAUCUUGGUCCUUUACAUUAUUUUCUGGGCUUGGAGGUUCAUCACACCCCUACUGGUAUUCACCUCAGCCAAGCAAAGUAUAUCACUGAUCUCCUUACCCGGGCGGCUAUGUUGGAUGCCAAGCCAUGUCCCACUCCUAUGUCCUCCAACACAUAUCUCUCUUUUCAUGAUGGAGUGGCUCUUGAAAAUGGUUCAGAUUAUCGAAGUUUUGUUGGUGCCCUUUAGUAUUGUACCAUGACACGCCCAGAUAUAGCUUUUGCAAUAAAUAAAGUGUGUCAAUUCAUGCACCAUCCCUCUAAUGUUCACUGGCAGGCUAUAAAACGUAUUCUCCGGUACUUAAAGGGCACAUCUCAUUUUGGUCUCUUCCUACAGCCUUCCUAUGACUUCAACAUCACUUGCUAUACAAAUGCCGACUGGGCUUCCUGUCCUGAUGACAAGUGUAGCACCAGUGGCUACUGCCUCUUUCUUGCCUCUAAUCUGGUUUCUUGGUCAUCUUCCAAACAAAAAGUGGUCUCCCGCUCCAGCGCCGAAUCAGAGUACCGAGGGGUAGCAAAUGGGGCUGCUGAAAUUGCUUGGACUGAAUCUCUUCUUUGUGAACUUUCCAUUACUCCCCCUCCCCUCAUUCUCUGUGACAAUAUCAGUGCCACGUACUUAGCUGCCAAUCCUAUUUUGCAUGCCCGCACCAAACAUGUGGAAAUCGACUAUCACUUUGUCACGGAACGUGUUCUUCAAUGCUCUCUUUUUGUCCAGUUUACACCUUCUGAUGAUCAACUUGCUGAUUGCAUGACCAAGCCUCUCUCCACCCAACGUUUCAUCACUCUACGCUCCAAGCUCACUGUUCUCACUAGACCAAUGAGCUUGAGGGGGGAUGUUAAGCCUAAAGAUGUAAUUAGUUAGGAUAUUCUUUUCCCUCUAGUCUUGUAGCUCCACGUGUACAGUUGGUUAGGACCUCAUUGUAUAUAAUGCCUGCCCUGUUAUUGUAGAAGACAACAGAGAUAAAUAAUAUUAACAUUUUUCCUCUCAUCUCUCUCUCUGUUUCCCUCUGUUUUCAUCUCCUCUCUCAUCUGAACCAAAUGAUCCAUGUUAACCUUGGCUUGGUUUGAUUUGGCUCUAUCUUAGAGAGCUCAAGGAUCACGUCAACUCUGGUUUCUACUAUUCAGGUCCAUUCCCAUAUGAACUGGUUCAAAUUUGAGAAAAUGGUAACAGACCUUUAGUGAUGUUGGUUUGGAGCCAGUUGCCAAACCCGCCCUGAGCUUUACCACUAAUGUCAAGGGAGAAAGCCAUUUGAACAAAAACAAUAGCUUCAAGGGACUGAAUCGUGGAUGAAAUCUGAUCCACAUUUCUUCUCAUUUUGGAAACAAAUGAGAACUUAACUAAGAAGAUUCUACGGCCUCAUAGUGCUUUUCCUGAUCUAAGGUUGGUUCGUUUCCCAAACUGUGAGAUGCACGUGCCAGACUUCAGAACUCUCACGCUCAGGAGUGUAUCCACGUGGUGGACAUAAGAUGGUGGCUUAAGAUCUGGUGUCGGUGGCUUUACUUUACUAGGAGAGUAGUGUGUCUUCAUCUCAUUCACUGCCGGAGGGUGGCGUAAGCAGUGACGCUAAGGUGGGGCACAGUCAAUAUCAUUUGCAUUUGACCAUUAUAGUUUUCUCCCGGCUUUAAAGUAACCUUAUCGUGAUAAAGGAUUACUAGCACUAGUUCAGAUGAUAGUCAUGUUAAAUUCGGACCAUGUUUGUGUCACAUUAUCAGCAACCAUGUGUUUAUGGUUCAUGCUUUCUGCAACUAAAAUUGAUAUAUAACCAGGUGAACUUCAAUCUAAAUUCUGAAAGUACUCAUGUGAUAGAUGGUGCCCGUCUGCAGAGUCCAUCAAUUGAAAAAUGGAGUGAGUGUAUCUAUAAGAGGGAAGGCUUGGAAAAUGUUCAGUUUUCUGGGAAUUCAACAAGGAUCUAAAAUAGAUUGUUUUCUUUGCUGAUUUCAAUGGUUGAAAUUUGAGAAGAUUGUGUCCACAUAACACAACUAUUACUGGUCCUUCUGUUGCAAUUUAUCCUCUAAAGCUCUAGCAUGUCUUCCAAUUCCCACUUCCCUGUUACUCCAGGAAAGCUAUUUCUGUCAUUGUGAAGAAGAAAAGAGAAUGUACAUAUCGAUGCUUUUAAGUGACUGGAGCAUUUAUAUCAGGUGGUCUGCAGCCAUAUAUGCCACUUUGUGAAGAUUGGAACAGUCAAUCACUAGGCUAUAUAUUAGUGUGGCCCAGCCACUUUAAUCAAGGACAAGUCUUCAUACUUAAAGUCAAAUUCUGCCUUUAGUCUCAUUAUAAAUUUCUGUUUAAAUAUUAAGCAAACAUUUGUUUAAUGCGAUUAAGACAGUACUAACUCAAUACCUGUUCUAUUUUUGGAUGCAAAUGCUUGAUGGUUUCAUCAUUGGAUGGGAUAAAGGUGCAUUCAUGAUUAGGAAUACUAGUAGUUAUAUUUUAAUUCUCUUUUUUCUCAAUGAGACUUGUUGGCACAAUUUUGCUGUUGAGAAACCUACCUCUCCAUGGAAAAUAAGUUGUGAUUGAUAGUACUGGAUAUAUUCAAGAAAUCUAAAUAUAGAUAGCACAAAAUAUUAUCGACAUAAAUAGCAUUAACAGCGUACGUAUGUCUCAGUGCUCAUCAGCUAUAAGCAUGGGGCAAACACUUACUAUGAGCAACUUACGUCAAAAUUCCAGAAUAGGACAUAGAAGUGACAGAUAUAGAACAUUGCAUAUGAGUCACAAGAAAGGAAAUUACGGGUGCAUAGCAGCUCUUAUUUUACAUACUACUACUCAUACUGAUCAAAGUCACUCAGUUGGGAUGGGUGGGAGUAGGAGGUUUGUGGGGUGGCUUGUGCGGAGGAGUUGGCAGCUUCUUUCCAGGACCUGGUUGCUUCUCUGCUGGAGUUGAAGGAGGCUUAAUCUUCCGAGGUGGCUUGUAUGAGUCUUCAGCAUUCUCAGCUGGAGGGUGACCAGGGUUGUGACCAUAAUGUGGUGGCUUCUCUCCCUUAGGUGGUUUGCCAACUGGGGUUGGUGGCUUGUAUGAGUCUUCAGCAUUCUCAGCAGGAGGGUGACCAGGGUUGUGACCAUAAUGUGGUGGCUUCUCUCCCUUAGGUGGUUUGCCAACUGGGGUUGGUGGCUUGUGUUCUGGGAGUGGCUUCUCCCCCUUGGGAGGUUUUUCCAAUGGGGUUGGUUUGUGUUCAGGAGGUGGCUUCUCCACUGGAGGCUUGUGUUCAGGAGGUGGCUUCUCCACCGGAGGCUUGUGUUCAGGUGGUGGCUUCUCCACCGGAGGCUUAUGCUCUGGUGGUGGCUUCUCGAAUGGGGGAUGCUUAGGAUAAUCAGCAAGUGAGGGGGCGGUGAGAACCACCAGGCCAAGCAACACCACUAGCAAAUAUGUAGGAGACAUCUUUGGGUUUGGGCUCAGAUGGUGCAAAACUAGGAGAAUUGGCUAGCCUUUUAUAGCGGAUCGUACCCAAUAAUGAAAUGACACGUGUCAUUAUGACCCAUGUGUAAUGGGGUCGAUUUGGGUCCUACAGUGUUGAAAACUUCGACAUCCACUUUUGGCCUUUUGCUUUCUCUACAGCCGCCUUGCUUUUUCCCUCUUUCCUUUUGUUUUCCUCCUGCCCCAUUCUAUCAACUAAACACAAUUAUGUAGUUGUUUAAUUCUUAAAUGAGAUAUUAUCCGUCAAUCGUAUUAUAUUUUAUCAAGAGAGAACGGAGUGCAAUGUGGCUGUAAUUUUAUCGUUUAGUUUUAUCUCUUGGACCACUGCAUUUUUGUUAAGAGGUGCAAUAAUACACGUCUUUAUCUGCCAUUCAAUAUUUACAGUAAAGAGAGGGCACAAAACUCUUCACUUCGCACCAUAAUUAUUUUGUUUUCUGGACACCCCGGGGCCCUUUGGUUGGUUUGGGGGUCAGAAAGUGAACAUCAUAGGGGGUUUUUCCCUUAUGUGCAUUUGUAUCUGAUGGCUUUAACUCGCCUUGUUACUACAAAGAAACUGUCACAGAUAGGAACUUAUUCCAGGCUGAGUAUCUCCUCAUAGACCCUAUAAAAGAAGACAAGUCAUAAUGAACAUCUAACCUUUGUUCAAUUUGAUUCAAUGCCCCCAUUGUGUCCAUCUCACAAAUCUGAAUUAUUAUAUCCAUUGAAUACAUAAAUUAAUGAAGAAAAUAUGAAACCCAAGAUACAUCUCUGCACAACCUCAACCCUGGUUGCUAUGUUUCCCUUCUAUUCACAUGAUUUGAUGCUAAUUGCCAAACUUGCAACAAGCCCUGAGUUUGACACCUAGUAUCGAUGGGCGAAUUUAAAGUCUCCUCCAAACAUAUAUUCCACAGCUUGAAGCUCACAGAAGAUGUUACAGGCAGGGAAAAACCUUCAGAGUUCGCUACCAAAGAUAAUUAUUAAGGAGAUAUCACAAAGAGAAUUCCAAGGGGUCUGAAUCAAAGACAAAUUGGUCGUUCGUGGGGGUUCUUACUUUCUUUUGGGUAUAACUCACUGAGGGCACUGUCUUUGUUAUUUGCAUUUCACAUUUAGAGUUCUGUUCUGGAAACAUAUAAAAGGAGCAUCAUUUUGUUCUUGGGUAACCCAUAGUCGUGAGUGGGUCCAUUUGCAUGCUACUUAGUUGAAAAGUUGGACCAUUUGCUCCGACGCCUACCUCCCGGAUUCCAUGCUCGGAUAAAACAAGAAUAAAAAAAAUAUUUAUAAUUUACAAAUGGGGGAAAGAAAAAAAUGUCAACAACAAACCAGGAAAAAAGAGUAGUAAAAUUCAUGUCACAUGCUAGUGAGAGAAGGGGUUGUUACACUCACUCGAAGUUCUUUCCAAAAUAUCGCAUGGUAUUUUAUUUUAUGUGUCAGCGCAGUUGUGAAUGGAACGUGCAAAAGUCCAAAUUGGCGUUUUUCCUUUUCCCGUGUAGGAUGGCGACCUUUAAUAAAUAUUUAAAACAAAAAACGAAAAAAAGGAGGGAAAAGGGAUCAGAAAAGAUAAAACAAUGUGUACAAGAGCUCAAUUAGUUUGCAAAUUACUGUUUGGAUUUUGAUAGUAUUUUAUUUGUCCAUCUAUAUUUGAUGGAAAAGAGAAUUUAAGAUAUUUCUGAAACAAAAGCAUUAGUGUAAAACUAAAUUAAGGUAUAAUUAAGUUAGUUCAAUGCAUUAAUUUAAGAAACUUGAUCUAUCCAAAGUACAAAAUUAGAUGAAAUCCAUUUCAAUGGUUAAAAUGAUCAAAAUCAAACUUUUUCUAAGUAUUUUUUAAAAGCAUCAAUAUUAAAAGACAAUUUUAUAUUUAGUCGGAGUUUGGACAAAACCAAAAAGCACACAAAAUCCAAGCGACCAUCUCUAGCUUGGAUAGUCACUUGAUCCCACCUAGAGAUGUGCAUGAGUAAAAGGAUUUGAAAAUGGAAAUUGACUAAAUAUUUAGUUGAUCAAUUAAAUUUGCAAUGUCAUAUGCAAUCCUAAUAGCUAGUCAUCUAAUCAAUUAGGUAGUCAAUCAAGUGUUUGUAAUGACUAUUUUGUACAAAAAACCACAUGUAUAGUUAAAUAUAAUGCAUUUCAUUUAUAAAUCUUCUAAUUCUUGAAUAACGAUCCUAUCAUCCUUUGAAAAUUUUUAUUACACCUUUUUUACUUUUGUUCUAAAACUUACAUAUCACCCUUAAUUGUACCAUGAGAACCUAGCUAUUUUUUUUUUUUUUGUAAUUCAUCAAAGUUAGCUUUUGUAUUCAUUGUUGUAUUAUUUUUAGUAUAACUUAGAAAGCUAGUGUUUUCAAGUGAGUAAAAUUAACUUGUAAAUAUUGUAAAGAUUCAUUGAUAUGUAUCUUAAACUAAGUGUACAAAUUAAAACAUUUGCUAGUAGAUUUUCUCAAAAUUUAGAAUAGAGCUUGAGGCUAUUGAAAUAGGUGGGGUUACACCAAACCACAUCACAUCGUUGUUUGCACCUUUUUUCACUCUCUUUUACUUAGUUUCUCUAUAUUUGUUGUCUAGUAAUAUCCUAUAGGCUUGAUGGGUUAGGGAGCAUCCCUUUGUGAAAAAAUUUCAUUCAAUUCUUAGUUGUAUUACGCAUAUAUAAAAUGCCUCAUUGUUUUAAUGGUAUUCAGUCGUGGCAUCACAGAUAUGGGCAUCUAAAUUUUAAAAGUUUGAAACUUUUGUAAAGCAUGUUGAUAAAAUCCAUGAGAGUUGUGUACUUGGGAAGCAACAUCGAGGUGACUUUAUUUUUUUUUCCUUUUAUAAUGCCACACCUAAGUCCGGUUUCUAAAUGCUAAAGUGAAAGGGUAGGUAUGGACCAUUGAAAUGUGAUCACAACUUUUGGCCUUUUCCUUUCUCUGCAGCCAUGUUGUCUCUUUUUUCUUUUGCAUGAUUUUCUUACCAAAACAGAAUCAUAGACUUGUUUAGUCUCUAAGCUACUAUAUUAUAUCUCGGUGGACUUUUAAGAGUGCAACCGACAUAGAGCACAUGCAAGUGGGCAUAUGGGACAUGAAAUUUCUUCUUACAAAGAUUGCAUGAUUUUUAUAUUAGAGUUGUUCACGUGCAAUGUAUUUAGCUUGUUUUGCAGUUAAAUUAAUUGGAUAAGUAAACAUUGGCAUUUCUAAAUCGACUGUGAAGUGCUUCAUGUACGUGUAAAGUAUUAGAAAUUUCUUUCUUGGCAACUUGUUUUUUCCUUGCCAUCUACUGGUAGGUUUGACUAAAAUUAUAUUCCCUGUCAUGCUAAUUAAUUUUCAUGUGCAUGCUCAAAAGAAGAGUAUGACCUUAGUGCACCAAAAUCACUUUGAUUAAUUUGUGAUAGGUUUUUUUGCAUCAUUUAGAUAAUGUUUAGUUCUAAGAAAAAUUUAUAUAAAAAUGGUUUAUUUAUCUUACAUAUAUAUAUAUAUAUAUAUAUUUUUUUUUUUUUCAUUUUUUUUUCUUCUAUUUUAUUUAUUUAUUUUAUUUUCCUUAUGUUUUCCUCACAUUUUCCGGAACUAAACAUAGUCUUACGAAAUCAACAAUUGCCUUCAACUGAGUAGAUUCUGUUGUUUUAGCAAUGUUAGGCUGCUAACUUGUGGUGGUACGAACCAAAUGACCCAUGUUAAUCUUGGCUUGGUUUGAUUUGGCUCUAUCUCAGAGAGCUAAAGGAUCACGUCAACUCUGGUUUCUACUAUUCAGGUCCAUUCCCAGAUGAACUGGUUCAAAUUUGAGAAAAUGGUAACAGACCUUUAGUGAUGUUGGUUUGGAGCCAGUUGCCAAACCCGCCCUGAGCUUUACCACUAAUGUCAAGGGAGAAAGCCAUUUGAACAAAAACAAUAGCUUCAAGAGACUGAAUCGUGGAUGAAAUCUGAUCCACAUUUCUUCUCAUUUUGGGAAAAAAUGAGAACUUAACUACAAAGAUUCUACUGCCUCAUUCAUAGUGCUUUUCCUGAUCCAAGGUUGGUUCGUUUCCCAAAUUGUGAGGUGCACGUGCCACUCUCACGCUCAGGAGUGUAUCCACGUGGUGGACAUCAGAUGGUGGCUUAAUAUCUGGUGUCGGUGGCUUUACUUUACUAGGAGAGUAGUGUGUCUUCAUCUCAUUCACUGCCGGAGGGUGGCGUAAGCAGUGACGCUAAGGUGGGGCACAGUCAAUAUCAUUUGCAUUUGACCAUUAUAGUUUUCUCCCGGCUUGAAAGUAACCUUAUCGUGAUAAAGGAUUACUAGCACUAGUUCAGAUGACCGUCAUGUUAAUUCGGACCAUGUUUGUGUCACAUUAUCAGCAACCAUGUGUUUAUGGUUCAUGCUAUCUGCAACUAAACUUGAUAUAUAACCAGGUGAACUUCAAUCAAAAUUCUGGAAGUACUCUUGUGAUAGAUGGUGCCUGUCUGCAGAGUCCAUCAAUUGAAAAAUGGAGUGAGUGUAUCUAUAAGAGGGAAGGCUUGGCAAAUGUUCAGUUUUCUGGGAAUUCAACAAGGAUCUAAAAUAGAUUGUUUUCUUUGCCGACUUCAAUGGUUGAAAUUUGAGAAGAUUGUGUCCACAUAUCACAACUAUUACUGGUCCUUCUGUUGCAAUUUAUCCUGUAAGGCUCUAACAUGUCUUCCAAUUCCCACUUCCCUGUUACUCCAGGAAAGCUAUUUCUGUCAUUGUGAAGAAGAAAAGAGAAUGUACAUAUCGAUGCUUUUAAGUGACUGGAGCAUUCAUAUCAGGUGGUCUGCAGCCAUAUAUGCCACUUUGUGAAGGUUGGAACAGUCAAUCACUAGGCUAUAUAUUGGUGUGGCCCAGCCACUUCAAUCAAGGACAAGUCUUCAUACUUAAAGUCAAAUUCUGCCUUUAGUCUCAUUAUAAAUUGCUGUUUAAAUAUUAAGCAAACUUUUGUUUAAUGCGAUUAAGACAGUACUAACUCAAUACUUGUUCUAUUUUUGGAUGCAAAUGCUUGAUGGUUUCAUCAUUGGAUGGGAUAAAGGUGCAUUCAUGAUUAUGAAUACUUGUAGUUAUAUUUUCAUUCUCUUUUUUCUCAAUGAGACUUGUUGGCACAAUGUUGCUGUUCAGAAACCUACCUCUCCAUGGAAAAUAAGUUGCGAUUGAUAGUACUGGAUAUGUUCAAGAAAGCUAAAUAUAGAUAGCACAAAAUAUUAUCGAUAUAAAUAGCAUUAACAGCGUACGUAUGUCUCAAUGCUCAUCAGCUAUAAGCAUGGGACAAACACUUACUAUGAGCAACUUACGUCAAAAUUCCAGAAUAGGACAUAGAAGUGACAGAUCUAUAUAUAUAGAACACUGCAUAUGAGUCACAAGAAAGGAAAUUACGGGUGCAUAGCAGCUCUUAUUUUACAUACUACUACUCAUACUGAUCAAAGUCACUCAGUUGGGAUGGGUGGGAGUAGGAGGUUUGUGGGGUGGCUUGUGCGGAGGAGUUGGCAGCUUCUUUCCAGGACCUGGUUGCUUCUCUGCUGGAGUUGAAGGAGGCUUAAUCUUCCGAGGUGGCUUGUAUGAGUCUUCAGCAUUCUCAGCUGGAGGGUGACCAGGGUUGUGACCAUAAUGUGGUGGCUUCUCUCCCUUAGGUGGUUUGCCAACUGGGGUUGGUGGCUUGUAUGAGUCUUCAGCAUUCUCAGCAGGAGGGUGACCAGGGUUGUGACCAUAAUGUGGUGGCUUCUCUCCCUUAGGUGGUUUGCCAACUGGGGUUGGUGGCUUGUGUUCUGGGAGUGGCUUCUCCCCCUUGGGAGGUUUUUCCAAUGGGGUUGGUUUGUGUUCAGGAGGUGGCUUCUCCACUGGAGGCUUGUGUUCAGGAGGUGGCUUCUCCACCGGUGGCUUGUGUUCAGGAGGUGGCUUCUCCACCGGAGGCUUAUGCUCUGGUGGUGGCUUCUCCACCGGAGGCUUAUGCUCUGGUGGUGGCUUCUUGAAUGGGGGAUGCUGAGGGUAAUCAGCAAGUGAGGGGGCGGUGAGAACCACCAGGCCAAGCAACACCACUAGCAAAUAUGUAGGAGACAUCUUUGGGUUUGGGCUCAGAUGGUGCAAAACUAGGAGAAUUGGCUAGCCUUUUAUAGCGGAUCGUACUCAAUAAUGAAAUGACACGUGUCAUUAUGACCCAUGUGUAAUGGGGUCGAUUUGGGUCCUACAGUGUUGAAAACUUCGACAUCCAGUUUUGGCCUUUUGCUUUCUCUACAGCCGCCUUGCUUUUUCCCUCUUUCCUUUUGUUUUCCUCCUGCCCCAUUCUAUCAACUAAACACAAUUAUGUAGUUGUUUAAUUCUUAAAUGAGAUAUUAUCGGUCAAUCGUAUUAUAUUUUAUCAAGAGAGAACGGAGUGCAAUGCAGCUGUAAUUUUAUCGUUUACUUUUAUCUCUUGGACCACUGCAUUUUUGUUAAGAGGUGCAAUAAUACACGUCUUUAUCUGCCAUUCAAUGUUUACAGUAAAGAGAGGGCACAAAACUCUUCACUGCUCUGCAUGUGUCCCAAAAAUGCGAUUGGACAAAUUAUGAUUUGCAUGCUAAAAAGAGGCAAAUGAGGUUAAUUCGCACCAUAAUUAUUUGGUUUUCUGGACACCAUAAAAAGAUGUUAUACAGGCAGGGAAAAACCUUCAGAGUUAGCUACCAAAGAUAAUUAUCAAGCAGAUAUCACCAAGAGAAUUCCAUAGAGUCUGAAUCAAAGACAGAUUGCUCGCUCGUGGGGGUUCUUACUUUCUUUUGGGUAUAACUCACUGAGGUCACUGUCUUUUUUAUUUGCAUUUCACAGUUAGAGUUCUGCUCUGGAAGGUUUGUUCUGGAAACAUAUAAAAGGAGCAUCAUUUUGUUCUUGGGUAACCCAUAGUCGUGAGUGGGUCCAUUUGCAUGCUACUUAGUUGAAAAGUUGGACAAUUUGCUCCGACGCCUACCUCCUGGAUUCCAUGCUCGGUAAAACAAGAAUAAAAAAAAAUAUAUAAUUUACAAAUGGGGGAAAGAAAAAAUGUCGGAAAAAAUAGUAAAAUUCAUGUCACAUGCUAGUGAGAGAAGGGGUUGUUACACUCACUCGAAGUUCUUUUCAAAAUAUCGAAUGGUAUUUUACUUUAUGUGUCAGCGCAGUUGUGAAUGGAACGUGCAAAAGUCCAAAUUGGCGUUUUUAUUUUUCCCAUGUAGGAUGGUGACCUUUAAUAAAUAUUUAAAACAAAAGACGAAAAAAAAAAGGAGGGAAAAGGGAUCACAAAAGAUAAAAUAAUGUUUACAAAAGCUCAAUUAGUUUGCAAAUUACUGUUUGGAUUUUGAUAGUAUUUUAUUUGUCGUUCUAUAUUUGAUGUAAAAGAGAAUUUAAGAUAUUUCCGAAGCAAAAGCAUUAGUUUGCUCUGUGAUGUCCCACAUCGAAUAGGGGAGAAAGUUUCUGGCGCUAUAUAUGUAGAGGCUCCUCUUAACCAAGUAGAUGCGUUUUAAAACCAUGAGGGCCCCCUUAGGUCCAAAGCGGACAAUAUCUACAUGAUUGGGUGUAAGUCAUUACAAAUGGUAUCAGAGCCGAUCCCCGACCCCGGUGUGGGGGUUUGUUUGGCCCUGUAAGGGGUGUUUGUCUGUUUGACCCCACAAUCCCAUGGGACACAACGAGGACGUUGUGUCUGCAUGGGGGGGCGUUUGUGAUGUCCCACAUCGGAUAGGGGAGAAAGUUCCUAGUGCUAUAUAUGUAGAUGUUUCUCUUAACCAAGUAGAUGCAUUUUAAAAUUGUGAGGGCCUCUUUGGGCCCAAAGCGGACAAUAUCUACAUGGUUGAGUGUAAGUCAUUACAUGCUCCAUGUCAAUUUCAGCAUUUCUCAUAUGUUUCACACAUACACAGAAGAGCAUCGUUUUUUAAAGCAUGCAUUUAUGUUGGAUUAAUUUGGAUUUUGUGGGAACUGGGGCAAGGAUCACAUGGAAGAGAGGUUGACUUUUUUCAGUACUUCAAUGGUUGAAAUAUGUGAAGGCUUGAUUGAUACUAAAGCUUGAAAUUGCGACUCUGUCAUUUGUAAAAAAAUAUGACAGCUUCCAUGCUCUCGUUUGGUUGCAUUGUCCGGUCGAGAGGUGCAAAAAGCAUUCUCUCUCUUCUAAUAGUCUUUUCGUUUAAAUCAAGGGAUUUGCCUUCCCGGUCGAGGUCCAAUAGAGGGUAACGGUCACCUACUAAACAUUAAAUGCUCCAACAACUAGUGAACUGAUCGACCCCAGCUCGACUAGUUGAGGUUACUUUUUGGUUUUCUUGUCUCCCGAGGUUAGAAACCUAUAAAUAGAGAGCUUCACUUCAUUUAUGAGUAAGAGAACACCUAAAUUUAUUUGUUUACCUACUUGUUUUUGCCAUAAAAGCUCUCAUUUCUUUUCUUGGUGUAUUAAAUCUCCAUUUGCAUAUCCUUUAGUGCACCUUUGUGAUUCAUUCUAGCCUUGAGUUGUAUUUAAGCCUUUGUUGAGCUAGGUUGAGAGUUUCAUACUUGUUUAUUGAGUGUUAAAGCCUUCAAGUGAGUUAAAACUUGAAGAGAUUGUGUAAGAGCCCAUUGGAGUCGGAAUCCAAGUGUAAAGGUGAUUAAAAGCUUGGUUGAAGCUUCAAGUUAGUGGAACUCUCACUCGGUUAUGAGCUUGAGAAGAGUGGACAUAGACAAGGCAGUGUCGAACCACUAUAAAAUCUGAGUUUGAUUUCUCUAACCUUAUCUCUUUAUAUUUGCUUCUCUUGUGCUUAAAUUUUUUGUGUUUAAAAAGAAUUUUUAAAAACUCAAUUCACCCCCUUCUUGGGAGUUUUUCUCUUUUAAGAUCAGCUUUUAUUUUCUCAAUUGGUAUCAGAACUAUGCCUCUUGUUUAAGACUUAAUCGUCUAAGAGGAAAUGGCUAAUCCAUCAAGUUCAUCUCACAUUGAAAGUUUUGCAACCAAUAGACUUCUUUUUUUUUUUUUGCGGGAACUGAUUAUCCCUAUUGGAAAACUAAAAUGACUUGGUUUUUACAAUCAAUUGAUUUAGAUGUAUGAGAUGCCAUUGAAGAUGACCUAACUUUUCCUUCAAAACUAGUUGAUGGAGUCAUGGUUCCAAAACCUAAGCAAGAAUGGGAUGAGCGUGAUUGAAGAAAUUUUCAAUUAAAUGCUAAAGUCGUUUAUACUUUGCAAUGCUCUAUGGACAGAAAUGAAUAUAAUAGAAUAUGUCAAUGCAAAUCGGUUAAAGAAAUUUGGAGAUUGCUUGAAAUAACUCAUAAAGGAACAAAUCAAGUUAAAGAGUCAAAAAUCAAUUUACUUGUUCAUAGAUAUGAAUUGUUUUUUAUGAAAGAUAAUGAAACUAUUGUUAAGAUGAUCACUAGGUUCACCAACAUUGUUAAUGGUCUUAAAGCCUUGGGAAAGACCUACAAGGAAUCCGAAAACGUGAUGAAGAUCUUGAGGUCACUUCCAUCAAAGUGGCAUACCAAGGUCACCGCAAUUUAAGAAGCAAAAGACUUGAUCAAGCUACCUUUGGAGGAGUUCAUAGGGUCAUUGAUGACAUAUGAAAUCAAUUUGGCAAAGAAGUAACAAAAAGGUGAAGACAAAAAGAAGAAGAACAUAACUCUCAAAGCUACAACUAAGGAAGAAGAAGUUGAAGAAGAAAAACAAAUUGAAGAAGAUGAAGAUUUAGCCCUCAUCACAAGAAAGUUCAACAAAUUCAUGAGGGGUGAAAGGUUUAGAAGAAGAAGGUUCACUUCUAGAAGAGACUUUUCUAAAAAGGAAUCUUCAUCUAAUGGUGACAAAAAGAGAUGGGAAGAGAAAAGAGACUUGGUGUGUUUCAAGUGCAAGAAACCGGGACACAUUAAAUAUGAUUGUCCUCUCUACAAAAGUGAAGUCAAGAGGAAAAAGAAUAAGGCAAUGAUGGCCACUUAGAGUGAAAGUGAAGAUGAAUCAUCCGAAGAAGAAAAUGAGAAAGAAGUGGCAAACAUGUGUUUCAUGGCAAUAGAUGAACUUGAUGAGGUAAAAUCUAACCUUAGUGAUUAAGAUAUACAUGAUGCAUUUGAAGAAUUGUAUGAGGAUUUUUAAAAACUUAGUUUGAAAAAUAUUUCUCUUAAAAAGAAAGUUCAACAACUUGACAAAGAACUUAGAGAAGUAAAAGAAAAAUUUUCAAAUGUUAAAGUUUCUAAAACUCAUCUUGAAAAAGAAAAUGAGAUUCUAAGAAAGAAAAAUGAAUAGUUGAACUCCUCUCUUUCAAUCUUUUCUUCUAGACAAAAAUCUUUUGAAAUGAUUCUAACUAGCUAAAAAUGUGUUUUUGACAAACAAGGGUUAAGAUUUAAAUCUUCAAAAAAUCAAAAGUAUUUUAAAAACUAUUUUGUAAAGGAAUCCACAAGUGCAAGUCCUUCCACUACUUGCAACUUUUGUGGAAGAGAAUGGCACAUUAGUAGUACGCCCUUUAAGAAAUGGUUCUCAAAAGAAUUUAAAUGCAAAAACUAAAAAAGAUUUGGAUUGAGAAAUCCAAGGUCACUAACCCUCAAGGACCCAAAAAGAUAUAGGUACCUAAAUCAACUUGAGUUUUAUGUUGUAAGGUUCAAAGAAUGAUAAGUGGUUCUUAGAUAAUGGUUGCUCAAGACACAUGACCGGAGAUGAAUCCAAGUUUGCUUUUCUUAAAAAGAAAAAUGGAGGAUAUGUUACCUUUGGAGACAAUGCAAAAGAAAGGAUGAUUGGUCAAGGCAACAUUGGUAAUGGCACAUCCUCUCUCAUUGAAAGUGUUUUAUUAGUAGAUGGUUUCAAACAUAACCUUUUAAGCAUUAGUCAAUUUUGCGACAAAGGUUUUUAAGUGAUUUUUUAAGCAUCUCAUUGCAUCAUCAAGGAUAUUCAAAAUGAUAAAACCAUUUUCAUGGGCCAUAGAUGUGAUAAUGUUUAUGCUAUAAAUAUUUCAAAAUAUGAUGGCCAUGAUAGAUGUUUUUCAAGCAUGCAUGAUCAAAGUUGGUUGUGCCAUAGGAGAUUGAGACAUGCUAACAUAGACCUCAUUUCCCAACUCAACAAAGAUGAACUUGUUAGAGGCCUUCCCAAAAUAAUUUUUUAAAAAGAUAAAGUUUGUGAAGCUUGUCAAGUGGGAAAGUAAAUCAAAAACUCUUUUAAAAACAAAAACUUCAUUUCCACAUCUAGGCCACUUGAGUUGUUGCAUAUGGAUUUAUUUGGUCCCUCUAGGACACCAAGUCUUAGAGGAAAUUCUUAUGCAUAUGCUAUUGUGGACGACUUCUCUAGAUACACAUGAGUCUUGUUUUUUAGUCAAAAGAAUAAAGUUUUUUAUGAGUUUUCAAAGUUUUGCAAUAAGAUUCAAAAUGAAAAAGGUUUUUCAAUUACUUAUAUAAGAAGUGAUCAUGGGAGAGAAUUCGAAAAUAUUGAUUUUGAAGAGUAUUGCAAUGAGCAUGGAAUUGACCACAAUUUUUUGGCUCUUAGAACUCCUCAACAAAAUGGGGUAGUUGAAAGGAAAAAUAGAACUCUUCAAAAAAUGACAAGAACCAUACUAAAUGAAAACAACUUACCAAAAUAUUUUUAGGCCAAAACGGUUAACACUUCUUGUUAUGUUUUAAAUAGAGUAUUAUUGAGGCUCAUACUUAAGAAAACUCCCUAUGAGCUUUGGAAAAACAAAAAACCCAACAUUAGUUAUUCCAAAGUCUUUGGAUGCAAUAUUUUAUAAUAAACACCAAAGACAAUCUUGGAAAAUUUGAUGCAAAAUUGGAUGUUGGAAUUUUCCUUGGUUACUCAACUUCAAGUAAAGCUUUUCGAGUUUUAACAAAAGAACCAUGGUUGUAGAGGAGUCCAUCCAUGUUAUUUUUUAUGAAUCUCCAAGAAAGAGAGAGGAUUGAUGAUGAUUUAGGUUUGAAGACCUCUAUAGGAAGAUUGCAAAUCGAAGAUAGAAGACAACAAGAAGAAAAUGGAGAGAAUCCAAAGAAAGAAGGAUCACCAUUGGCACUACCCCCUCAUCAACAAGCGCAAGGUGAAUCAAGUCAAGAGCUUCCUAAAGAAUGGAAGUUUGUCAUCAAUCACCCACAAGAUCAAAUUAUAGGCAAUCCAUCUAGUGGGGUAAGAACUAGAUCCUCUCUUAGAAAUAUUUGCAAUAAUCUAGCUUUUAUCUCUCAAAUUGAGCCUAAAAAUAUAAAUGAUGUUUUAGAUGAUGAAAAUUGGAUAAUUGCAAUGCAAGAAGAGUUAAAUCCAUUUGAAAGAAGUGGAGUAUGGGAAUUAGUACCAAGACCUUCAAAUCAAAGUGUUAUUGGAACUAGAUGGAUCUUUAGAAAUAAAAUGGAUGAAAAUAGCAUAAUUGUUAGAAAUAAAGCAAGAUUGGUAGCCCAAGGUUUUAAUCAAGAAGAAAUGAUAGAUUAUGAAGAAACCUUUGCCCCCGUAGCUAGGUUGGAAGCCAUUAGGAUGCUACUUGCCUUUGCAUGUUUUAAAGACUUUGUUUUAUAUCAAAUGGAUGUGAAAAGUGCUUUUUUAAAUGGUUUUAUAAAUGAAGAAGUAUAUGUUGAACAACCACCCGGUUUUCAAAGUUUCAACUUUCCUAACCAUGUUUUUAAACUUAAAAAGACACUUUAUGGUUUGAAACAAGCACCUAGAUCAUGGUAUGAAAAAUUGAGUAAAUUUCUUUUGAAAAAAAUGUUUUAAAAUGGGAAAAAUUGACACAACUCUUUUUAUAAAAACCAAAGAAAAUGAUAUGCUCUUAGUUCAAAUAUAUAUUGAUGAUAUCAUUUUUGGUGCUACUAAUGUCUCUCUUUAUGAAGAAUUUUCUAAGUGCAUGCAUAGUGAGUUUGAAAUGAGCAUGAUAGGAGAACUCAACUUCUUCCUUGGACUUCAAAUCAAGCAACUAAAGGAAUGAACCUUCAUCAAUCAAGCAAAGUAUAUAAGAGAUCUUCUCAAAAGGUUCAACAUGGAAGAAGCCAAAACAAUGAAGACUCUAAUGAGCUCAUCCAUUAAGCUUGAUAAGGAUGAGAAAGGUAAAUCCAUUGACUCUAUUAUGUAUAGAGGCAUGAUAGGUUCUUUGCUCUAUUUGACCACUAGUAGACCUUACAUUAUGUAUAGUGUGUGUUUGUGUACUAGAUUUCAAUCUUGUCUUAAAAAAUCUCACUUAAGUGUCGUGAAAAGAAUCCUCAAAUAUUUGAAAGGGACAAUGGACAUAGGCUUAUGGUAUCCUAAGAGUGAUAACUUUGAAUUAAUUGGUUUUUUGGAUGCUGAUUUUGUCAGUUGUAGGGUUGAAAAAUAAAACACUAGUGGCACUUUUCAUUUCUUAAGACACUUACUUGUCUCAUGGCAUAAUAAGAAGCAAAAUUUGGUAGCUUUGUCAACAGCAGAAGCUAAAUACAUAGCAACUGGUUUAUGUUGUGCACAAAUCCUUUGGAUGAAAUAAACACUUAGUGAUUUUGAUUUAUCUUUUGAGCAUAUUCCUAUUAAAUGUGAUAAUAGUAGUGCCAUAAGUAUAUCAAAAAAUCUCGUGCAACACUCUAGGACUAAGCAUAUAGAGAUUAGACAUAAUUUUCUUAGAUAUCAUACACAAAAGGAUGAUAUAACACUUGAAUUUGUAAGCAUAAAAGACCAACUUGCCGAUAUCUUUACAAAACCUCUAAGAACAUUUUGUUGAUAUUAGAGGACAAUUAGGAGUGAUUUCUUUAUGAUCUAAUGUGAUGAAUUCUUGAUGAAUAUACUUUUUGAUUGCAUGAAUUUCAUGUCAUAUAUGCAUCAUAUAGAAAUAUACUUAGAUAAUGGUCAAAUUUCGACCAAAAAUCAAAAUUCCCAUGGCAUUAGGCAUAAAAAUUUUGGAAUUUCAACUGAAAAUGGUAGGAGGAGGAUCACAAAAUGAGAAAGUAUGCAAAAAUUGAAAAAUCAAAACGUUGACCAAGCGGUCAAUCGGACUAGACCGAUCGACUAGUUUGUCGAGAUUUAGGAUUUUUAAGAGACUCCAACGCUUCAAUUUUUGCACCGUUCUCCUCUAUUUCUUCACGGUUUCUCUGAUUUUGUCUUUUAGAGACUAAUUUGAGUGCGUUUUGGAUCAAUUGAAGCAUUUUGGAUUGGAUUUUAGGAAGAUUGAAAGUUAAGGUUUCGGAUUUGGGUCGCCUUCUCUUCCUCUCGCGUGUCACAAUCAGCUUUAGCAUUGUUCUCUUUCCAUUUUCACACACCUAGGGUUUCAGUUGUGAGCAUCUCUCUCUCUUUACCAACCACUACUCCCUUGCUUCUUCCAUAUGGCUCCUAGGCGAGAGUCCGCUACUUCUAGGGCACAAGGCAAGCACCCAACUGAGUCGUCUCAGUCAAAGGCACGUCGAAAAGUGAGAUUUGACAUUGCCUUGUUCAGUUCCAUGGAGGACUACCAACUAUACAAGCAACACUUUGCUUAGAGACGAGUAGUUCCCAAGAGAAAUAUUAAUUUUCCUCAACUUCAGCAUUUCGAAUUUAAGGGUCUAUUUACUAGGAUGGUUGGUUGUCUAUUGUCACAAUUUCGGAGCCGGUUUUCCUGACCUUAGUGCGAGUUUUUUACUCGAGGGCGACUUAUGGCAUGGGUGGCAUGAUCAUUUCUACUGUUGGAGGAGUUGAGAUCUGUCUGGACCCAGAGAGCAUCUGCCAUAUUUUCGAUAUUGCUCUGGUUGGACUCAAAGUAUACAAGUCCAAAAUGUGGCCCAUUGUGCCAGGAUUUGAGCUUAGAGAGGUCAUUCAGAGGAUUUGUGAACUUCCAGACGCCCAGGAGAUGGGCAAACCAUUGCCACACAGUUUGACGGUCAUCAACAGGGUGCUACACCAUAUAUUGUGCUCUAUCUUUCUACCACGAAGUGGACAUUGAGAUGAGGUCUCUUAUUAUGAGGCAUUCCUUAUUGACUCCAUUCUAACGGAGAGACGAAUUCAUCUACUAUGUCAUCAUUCACUAAGCCUCCUCACAGUGACAUACCACCUCAUCAGGCACCUCUUGCUCCUGACCAUGCUCCAUUGAUGGAUUUAUUUACUCAUAUUAGCUCUCUAGGCACUCGCAUGAAGGAGUUUGUUGUAGUUAGUGAUACAUGGUUCUACUCCAUAGAGGAUCGCAUGGAUCAGUAUCAGACUGGCUUCACGUCACAGUUUGAGUAUCUCCAAUAGAGGAUUGAGCAUAUUGAGGAUCACUUGAGCAUGAGAAGAUGAUGGCUUUUCUAUGCUCUGUGUUUCCACCUCCACCUCGUCAACCUUGAUUUCUUAGAGACCCAUUGUUUUCAUUUUGUAAUGUUGCCAAAAGGGGGAGAUAUUUAGGAUCUAGGACUCUAUAGGAGACUUACAUGCAUAUCAUUUUCAUAUCAUUGUUUGGAUCGUACAUAUUGGAUAGUGAUACUUUUUACUUAUAUAUGAUAUGCCUAUAUGUUUCAUGUCUUACAUUGUUUCUUAUUGCAAAUUAUCUCUAACAUGUCUUGAUUAUCUUUUUUUUAACUUCAUAAAUUUUGAUUGUUAACCCAUGAUUGGUUUGAGGGGAAGAUUCUUCUUCUCCUAGAUAACCAAGGUUUGUCAUCAUAAAAAAAUUGGAGAUUGUUAGCCCAAGGGUUCUCCUAAUCAUGUUUUGAUGAUAACAAACCAUGCUUAAGUUACUAAUUGGUUUGAAUUAUAAAGAAUUUCAAGUGUUAAUUUGAAAAUUCAUCAAAGAACCUAAUGGAUGCAAGAUCAAGAUUUUUGGAAGACCUUUAAUCAUAAGAAACAUAUGUAAGAUGAAUGCAUGGGUGCACUUAAGAUUUGCAUAUCAUUUCAUGCAUAUUUGGAAAACACGGUUUAUGCUUUAAAGUUACAUUUCCAUCAAAAUUUGAGAUCCAUCAAAUGAACCUUAGGAAAAAUGUUUUAAAAUUGGCAUAUAAUUUUACCUAAAGACCUUGCCUAAGUGUUAGAAGCAAAAGGACAAAAAAAAUAUAGGUUUUCUGGUCAAAAAUGGUGAACCAGUCAAGGCAUUGUCUAAAUCAGCUCAAUCGGCCAAGGUACCGGUCGAUCGGUUUCCCUUUCCCUGUCGAGAUCUAGUCAAGAGGUACAAAAAUCACAAUCUCUGUCUCUUUCUCUCUUUGUCUAUCUUCCAGUAGUCUUUCCUUCCCGGUCGAGGGAUUUGCCUUCCCGAUUGAGGUCCGAUUGAGAGUAAUAGUCACUUGCCAAAUAUUAAAUGCUCCAACAGUUAGUGAACUGGUCGACCCCCACCUUGCCCAGUUGAGGUUACUUUUUGGUUUUCUUGGCUCCCGAUGUUAGAAACCUAUAAAUAGAGAGUUCCACUUCAUUUAUGAGCAAGAGAACACUUGCAUUUAUUUGUUUACCUACUUGUUCUUGCCUUAAAAGCUCUCAUUUCUUUUCUUGGUGCAUUAAAUCUCCAUUUUGAUAUCCUUUAGUGCACCUUUGUGAUUCAUCUUAGCCUUGAGUUGUAUUUGAGCCCUUUUUUUAGCUAGGUUGAGAGUUUCAUACUUGUUAAUUGAGUGUUAAAGCCUUCAAGUGAGUUGAAACUUGUAGAGAUUAUGUGAGAGUCGAUUGGAGCCGAAAUCCAAGUGUAAAGGUGAUUAGAAGCUUGGUUGAAGCUUCAAGUUAGUGGAAUCCUCACUCAAUUAGGAGCUUGAGGAGAGUGGACGUAGCCAAGGAAGUGUCGAACCACUAUAAAAUUUGAGUUUGAUUUCUCUAACAUUGUCUCUUUAUAUUUGUUUAUCUUGUGCUUAAAUUUAUUGUGUUUAAAAAGAAUUUUUAAAUACCCAAUUCACCCCCCUCUUGGGUGUUUUUCUCUUUUAAAAUUAGCCUUUAUUUUCUCACAAACUAUUGUAGUAUAGUGGUUUUUAGGUGUCAUCCAUUAGGAUGAAUUGUUCUCGGUAAUUAAGGCGUGAAUGAGAGGAGAAUUAAUGAUUGUGAUUAAGUAAAAUUGAUUUGAAAAUUCAUGGUGAAAAAUCAAUUUAACAAUGGUUUCUAAUUGAGAAAAACAAUGAAAUGUGAAAUAAAAUAAAAUUAAUAGGAAAUGAAAUUCUCGAAGUUAGAAUUUUCUAAAAAACAAAUUCCAUGGUGAAUGGAUGUUGAGAUCUAAUUUUCAUCAAGUUAGAUUGAAAACCGAAAUUUUCAUAUAAACUGAUUUUUUAUUUAGUUUUAGGUCUAGAUUUAAUUUCCCUUAAAAUUAGGUUAUUUAAUCCAAGAAAUCAAUUCAAAUCAUAUAUUCAAUUCAUCUUAAAUUAUCUUCCAAUUAUUCACACAAUGCAACUAUUCAAUCUCAUCAAAUCUAGCUUUUAAGAAUUUAAUGAAUCUACCUAGUUUGCAUUGUAAUAGUCAUCCAUGACAAUUUGAAGAGAAAAAUAAUUCAAUUAAUCAAUCACUUGGAUCAAAUUACCUUUGCAAUUAAAGUUCAUUUCUCUAAUUCACCACAGAUUUUGUCUCUAGAUCCUCCUUUCUCAAAGAAAAAUGAGAUUUAGCCACACAUGAUUGGAGAUUUGGUCUCAUAAGGCAUGUUUAGCUAGUGAUAAAAUGAGAGAAAAUAAAGAAAAAUAGAGAAUUCGAUUAAGAAAGAAAAUCUAAAAAAUUCUACAAUUAGAAAUGUCCAAAAAGCUUUUUCAUGAGAAAAUCAAGUUUCUAUUUAUAGGCCAAGGUCAAGUGGACACUUGACAUCAUCUAAGAGGUCUUCCGGAAGCUUCUUCAUCAAGAAAUCUGGAGUUUAAUAAUAAAAUGGUCAUUUCACAAGAGCUCAAACAAUUUCGCAUGAUUAUGUGAAAUAAAAAAUGCAACAACAGCAAUUUACAUCUUCUUGGAGCAUUUCGCAUGACUGUGUGAAAUUUUCACAUGAUCAUGUGGAAUCGACUUGACAACUCUCAUUUAGCCUACAACAUAAUUCCACCUUUUGGUCCAUUUUUCAUAGUCAUGCGAAAUGGAAAUAUUUGAUUUUUAAGUUUUCUUUUGUCAUUUCUUUCAUUUCCUUCUCUUGAUUCCACUUCAACUACCUCCGAAUCCUGGUCCAAACCAAUUGCAUUACUUCUUUCAUUAUGCAUUUGGAUCAUCAUCAACAUUAUUUGUUCUCUUCAAUUUGAUUCAUCUCUUUUGUCACCAAUUUAUCAAAAUCAUACCUUGAAAUGACUCCAAAACUUCAUAAAACUUGUUAGUAACUCUUGCAAGGGCAACAACAUAUUAAUUAAGUGUUUUAGGCAUAGUUACUACUCAAAAGAUGCGAAACUCAUGAUAAUUAUUAUAUAAAAUAUGCUCUUUUUGAGUAGUAAUCAACUUUCUUGCAUAAGCAGACCUUUUAGGGUGGAGUACUAAAGACCAAUAUGCUUGUCCUUGUUGUAAUAAAGAAACUUGCUCUUAUUGAUUGCACCAUGGGAGAAAAUUUUGCUACAUGAGUUAUCAUCAAUUUCUUCCCACCAAUCAUAGAUUUAGACGUGACAAGAGGCCUCUUAAUGGCAAGGAGGAACUGACACUCACACUUAUACAAUUAUCGGGCAUUGAUGUGUUGCAACAAUUAGAAUAACUUACACCAAUUAUGUUGGGGAAGUCACAAAAGGCAAACAUGAAAACUAAAAGGAAAAAAGAAAAAUGUUACAUAUCACCACAACUGGAAAGAAAAAAGUAUUUACUUUCAUUUGCCAUAUUGGAAAGCACUUAUUUUACAUCAUAAUAAUUUAGACAUAAUGCAUAUUGAGAAAAAUGUGUGACAAUAUAAUUGAGACAUUGUUCAGUAUUGACGAAGAAACAAGGACAACCUAAAUAGUCAUCUCGAUUUACAAGCUCUAACUAUUAGAAAUGAGAUUCACCCAAUAGAAAGCAGGACCAAAUUUAUUUUGCUUGCAACAUGCUACUCACUCACCCCAAAUGAGAUUAAGGAAUUUUGCAAGUUUUUGAAAUCAAUAAAGGUCCCCAAUGGCUAUUCUUUCAAUAUCUCUCGUUAUGUGCAACUCAAUGAAAGGAAGAUAUAUGAGCUCAAAUUGUAUGAUUGUCAUGUCCUAAUGCAACAACUUCUCUCACUUGUAGUUCGUGGAGUUCUACAUAAGAAUGUUUGUGGAGUUAUCAUAGAAUUGCGUAAUUUUUUCAAGCAAUUGUGCUCAAAGGUGUUAGAAACAAAUCACUUACACCAACUUGAGAACAAUAUUAUUGUCAUACUAUGUAAAAUGGAGCAAAUAUUUCUUCCAUCAUUCUUUGAUAUUAUGGUGCAUUUACUUGUGCAUCUAGUAAGGCAAAGGUUGCAAGACUUGUGCAAUAUUGUUGGAUGUACCUAAUUGAACGAUAUUGUUAUAAUUUCAUAUGAAUCAUUUAAUUUUAUUUUAUAUUAUGUUCAGUUCAUUAACAUGUACAUUGGUCUACAUAUGGAUGAUGAUAGGUACCUAAGCACUUUAAAGUCAUAUGUGCGUAAUAGAACUUUUCUAGAAGGUUCUAUUGUAGAAAGGUACCUUGCAAAAGAAUGUACAACAUUUUAUUCUAGGUACUUGAAUGAUGUGGAAAUAAAGUAUAAUCACAAUGAUAGAAACUUUGUUGGUUUCAACACUAGAGGAGAUGAAAGGGGUUAUCUUUAAACAUAUUGGACAUGCAUUGGGAAAGCCCAUAUUUCAUUAACUUAGUUCAAAAGAGUGGUCACAAGCACAUUUAUAUGUGUUGACAAAUUGCGAAGAUGUCAUACCAUUCAUUGAGUAAAAAAUUUAUUUGAAUUUUAAUUAAAGCUCUAGUUUAUAUCCUUAAUCAAUGUUUUUUAAAUUCACAAGGAGCACAAGCAAACCAUCAAGGCUAGACCACAUAUACGUGUUUGAGACGUAGAUUUAAUUCAUAACAAGGAAUUUAUCAAGUGGUUUGAAAGACAUGUAAGUAUAUUCCUUAUUAUAAGGGAUUUAUUUCACAUUAUGUUUAUAUUGAAUCCAAACCUAUUAUUGAAUUGUAGGUUGAACAAUUACAUAAUGAAGGUCAUAUAUCUGAACACCUUCUCACAUUAUCAUGUGUUCCAAAUUCAUUAGUUACAUGCUUCAAAUGAUAUAUUGUCAAUGGAUUUAGAUCCCACAUUAAAGAACGUGAUAAAAAAGUUUUUAAAAAAAGACUCAGAAUAAUGGAAUUGUUGUAGUUGCAAAAACGUCAAGCUUUACAAGUGCAUGUGAUAUGAGUCCAAUUAUUAGUGAUGCUCUCUACUAUGGUGUUCUAACUAAAGUUGUUGAGUUACAUUAUCUUGGUGAAAAUAAGGUUGUUUUAUUCGAGUUUGAUUGGUGGGAUGUUACAAAUAUUGGAAAAUUGAUAAAAGAUGAUGAGUACAAUUACACAUUUGUUAACUUUGCAUGAAUUCUAACCACGAACGAACGAUUUGUACUUGCAUCUCCAGCAAAGUAAGUGUUCUAUGUGAAGAAUGCGAAUGAAUCAGAUUGGCAUACUAUCAUGGAGAUGCAACCUCAAGACCUCUAUAAGAUGAACGGGAUAGGAUCCAAUGGUGAUUUUGAACCAUUUCAACAAAGUGAACUACAUGAUCACUAAUAUAUCUCAGAUUUAGUUGAUGAAGAUAUAAUCAAGUGGAACAAAAGUGAUGUUUUAGGACUAAUCAUCCUAAAAAAUAUUGUAGUUUCUUAAAAAAAAAAUGAAAAUGAAGAAGAUAAUUGAACCUUUGUCAUACUUUAAAAAGCAACUAUGCAUUGUUCAUUUUGUAUGUUUUGGUUUUCUUCAUUUAAUUUCCUGAUUUUUGUGAUUCAAUGUCAUAUUAUUGAUCUUGAAAUAUUUUUCUAAUUUUUCAUUCUACGAUGGUUUCAACAAGGAUGACAUCAAGUCAAAAAAGGAAAUGUGGUCCCACACACAAUAUUGCAUUACAGGGAUUAAGGUCAGGGAAGAAGGUAAAAGUUGCAUUUAAUGAGUACAAUCAAUUGGUUAAACAGAAAAAUGGAAAACACUUAUCGAGCUACAUAGGGACACUUGUAUCUAACCAACACAAUGUACCUCUCCAAGCUAGUGAUUGGAAAAAUGUUCCAAAUGAUGCAAAAGAGAAAGUAUGGCCUUUGUUUUGGUAUGUUGUAUUUCUCACUAUAUGAUGUCAUUUCACUGUUAUUCUAUUUUGUGACUAACGUUUGAAUCAUAUGUAAGAAAAAUUUGAAGUAGAUAAAGACUGAAAAGAUUACAUGUUGGGUAUAGCCUCAAAUAAAUAUAGAAGCUAUAAAAAUAUGAUGAAUGCAAAAUACUAUGACCCUUGGCAUAAGGAUGCAUGAGGAGAGGUUAAUACAUAAAUCACCAUUUGUCUCUGAUGUUGAUUGGAAGUGGCUUGUCUCUGAUGCAUAAACCAAAUCCCCCACUGAAUGUUUGAUAUUUGAUAGCAGGAAAAACACACCCGCAGCUAUACACCUCCAUCAUUCAGAUAAUUAUAGUGGGGGAGAUGAUUCAUGGUUGCCCUUAUACCCUUUAUUUGCACCAUCUAUUGAGAUUCUUUAUCAUGGCCAGGUUUUACUGCAGCAAUAAGAUAUGGUGGCAACAAUUUUAUCUAUAGGUGCGGUUCCAGACCGCCUCCAUAGGUGCGGUUCCUGACUGCCUCCAUAGGUGCCUCUUCUUGUAAUGUUUGUUCUGGGAAUUACACUUGAAAGCCUUAUCGUGAUAAGGGAUUACAAACACUAGUUCAGAGGACAGCCAUGUUAAACUUCCACUAUGUUUGUGUCACAUUAUCAGCAGCCUAGUGUUUAUUGGUCAUGCUAUCUGCAACUAAUAUAACCCGGUGAACUUCAAUCUAAAUUCUGAAAGUACUCAUGUGACAGAUGGUGCCUUUCAGCAGAUAUCAUCAAUUUAAAAGUAGUGUGUGUGCCUAUAGGUGGGAAGGCCUUGGCAAAUGUUCAGUAUUCCGGUAAUUCAAGAAGGAUAUAUCUAAAAUAGAUUUUCUUCUUGCCCAUUUCAAUAGUUAAAAUUUGAGAAGAUUGUGUCCACAUCACACAAAUAUUAUUGGUCCUUCUGUUGCAAUUUACCUCUGAACAUGUCUUCCAAUUCCCACGGUCCUGUUACUCCAGGAAAACUAUUUCGGUCAUAUUGAAAAAAAAAAUAUUAAAGAAGGUACACAUGCUUUUAAGUGGACUGGGGCAUUCAUAUCAGGUGGUCUGUAUCCACAUAUGCCACUUCGUGAAAGGUGGAACAGCCUAAUCACUAGGCUAUUUAGUGUGGCCCAGCCACGUUAAUCAAGCACAAGUCUUCAUACUUAAAGUCAAAUGGUGUCUUUAGUCUCAUUACACAUCGCUAUUUGAAGAUUAACUCAUCACUAGUGUAAUGCGAUUAAGACAGUCCUAACUCAAUAUUUGUUCUAGUUUUGGAUGCAAAUGCUUGCUGGUUUCAUCAUUGGAUGGGAUAAAGGUGCAAUCAGGACUAUGAAUACGUGCAGUAAUACUUCAUUCUCUUUUUUCUCAAUGAGACUUCUUGGCACAAUUUUGCUGCUCAGCAACCUACCUUUCCAUGGAAAAUCAGUUGUGACUGAUAGUAAUGGAUAUAUUCUAGAAAGCUAAACAUAGAUAGCAUUCAAUAUUAUCGAUAUAACAUUAACAGCGUAUGUCUCAAUGCUCAUCAGCUACAAGCAAUGGACAAACACUUUGAGUAACUCACAGCAGUCAAAAUUCCUAAACAGGACAGACGUGACAGAUCUAUAUAUAGAACACUGCAUAUGAGUCACAGGAAAAGAUAAUACGGGUACAUAGAAGCUCUUAUUUUACAUAUUACUCAUACUGAUCAAAGUCGCUCAGUUGGGAUGGAUGGGAGAAGGAGGUUUGAGGGGUGGCUUGUGCGGGGAAGUUGGCAGCUUCUUUCCGGGAGCUGGUUGCUUCUUUGCUGGAGUUGAAGGAGGCUUAAUCUUCCGAGGUGGCUUGUAUGAGUCUUCAGCAUUCUCAGCAGGAGGGUGACCAGGGUUGUGACCAUAAUGUGGUGGCUUCUCUCCCUUAGGUGGUUUGCCAACUGGGGUUGGUGGCUUGUUUUCUGGGAGUGGCUUCUCUCCCUUGGGUGGUUUGCCAACUGGGGUUGGUGGCUUGUGUUCUGGGAGUGGCUUCUCCCCCUUGGGAGGUUUUUCGAAUGGGGUGGGUUUGUGUCCUGGUGGUGGCUUCUCUCCCUUGGGAGGUUUACCAAUUGGGGUCGGUGGCUUGUGUUCUGGGAGGGGCUUCUCUCCCUGGGGAGGUUUAGUGGGUGGCUUGUGUUCUGGAGGUGGCUUCUCCACCGGAGGCUUAUGCUCUGGUGGUGGCUUCUCGAAGGGGGGAUGCUCAGGGUAAUCACCAAGUGAGGGGGUGGUGAGAACCACCAUGCCAAGCAACAACACUAGCAAGUAUGUAGUAGACAUCUUUGGGUUUGGACUCAGACAGUGCAAAACUACGAGAAAUCGCUAGCCCUUUAUAGCGGCUCGGACCUAAUACUGACAUAAUAUAAAAUAAAUAUUAUAUUUUAUCAAGAGAGAACAGAGUGUAAUUUUAUCAUUAAUACCGAUCGAGGCCAAAGAAAGAAGACCCAUAAUCCAUUUCCCACAAGCAUACACAAUGCAGCUGUAAUUUUAUCAUUUACUUUUAUCCCUUGGACCACUGCAUUUUUGUUGAGAGACACAAUAACACAUUUUUAUCUGUCAUUCAACAUUUACAGUAAAGAGAGGGCACAAAACGCAAUUAGAUAAAUUAUGUUUUGCCUGCUAAAAAGAGGCAAAUAACUUUAUUUGCAACAUAAUUAUUUUGGUUUCUAGUGACCCCGGGGCCUUUCGGUUGGUUUGGGAUCGGAAAAUGAACAUCAUAGGGGGGGUUGUGCCCUUAUGGGCAUAUAUAUCUGAUAGCUUCAACUGGCCUUGUUCCUAGAAAGAAAUUGCCAAAGAUAUAAACUUAUUCCAGGCUGAAAGUAGAUGAGAGUCAUAAUGAACAUCAACCUUUGUUCAGUUUGAUUCAAUGCCCCCAUAGUGUUCAUUUCACAGAUCUGAAUGAUUAUAUCCGUUGAAUACAUAAAUUAAUGAAGACAAAUAUGAAACCCAAGAUACAUCUCUGCAUAACAACCCCAACCCUGGUUGCUAUGUUUCCCUUCUUCUAUUCACAUGAGGAUACUGGUUAUAAUUGUCAAACUUGCAACAAGCCCUUUGACACCUAACGUCAAUGGACGAAUUAAAAGUCUCCUUCAAACGUCUAUUUCACAGCAUGAAGCUUAUAAAGGAUGCUGACAACCUUCAGAGUUAGCGACAAAAGAUAAUUAUCAAGGAGAGAUAGUUCCAUGAGAAUUCCAAGGAGUCUGAAUCAAAGACAAAUUGCUCACUCAAGGGUUCUUAUUUUCUUUUAGGUACAAAUCUCUUGAGUGUUGUUAAAGAAACACGUCACUGUCAUUUUGAUUUGCAUUUAACAUUUCACUUUUGUUCUGGAAGGUUUGUUCCGGAAACAUAUCAAAUGAGCAUCAUUUUCUUCUUCGGUGACACAUGGUCGCGAGUACGUGGGUCCAUUUUCAUGCCACUUAGUUGAAAAGUUGGAAAGAAAAAACAUGCCAACAAGAAGAUAGUGAGAGAAGGGGCACUUCAAGCCUUUAACAUGAACAAACAGUAAAUAAAAGAUGUUUCUCCACUCAUAAAAGUGUGUUAGAUAGCAAUAUAACGAAUCACAUCCAAAAUCUUUACUAGGCUCAAACAUAAAGAAGACUCAUUUUUAAGAAAAGAUAAAAAUGGCAUUGUCUGAUAGUAUCCAAUACACGAGAUGGCACUUAAUUUGUACAAGAUCUGUCAAUGCUGACGCACAUUUUCUGAUUAAAAAAAAACUGAUCAGUCAAAAGCAAUGAAGAGAAGUGAUGACAAUGAAUGAUGCUUCCAAUAUUUUCACCCCUUAUAGUGUUCUUCAUGAUUCAGAUAUAUAAUUGGAAAUAGAACAACCCUAUGCCAUACAUUCGUCUAAGUAUGGUGUCUAAUUUUUUGUGUCAGCGGUUGCGAAUGGAGCGUGCAAAAGUCCAAAUUGGCGUCUCUCCAUUUCCACAUAGGAAGGUGACCUUUAUUGACAAAUACCCAAUAUUUGUAGACAUUCCUUAAAUAUCAUAACUUCUUGUUGAUUUGAAAAUCAUUUUUCAACUACCAUGUUUUAAUAAAUAUUUUUUAAAAUGUAUUUUUAUCAAAGUCCACCAUGAUGGAUAAUAUUCACCAUGCAAUAAUUAAUAAAGUACAAACUAAGCGAAAUGAAAAGCAUUUUCUUUGCUUUGAGUUGAUUUUGGUUGCAUUGAGUUGAUUUUGGUUUCAUGGUUUUUUCAACUCUUAUUUUGAUUGGAAGAUGUCAAGAAAAGAAAACAUAAAGAAAAAUUAAAAGGGAAAAAAGAAGAAAAAUAAAAAAAAAUAGAUUUAAAAGUUAAUAAAUUAUUUUUUAUAUUUAUUUUAAUUCAUUUCACUUAUUUUUCUUUUACUAUAUAAAAUUUAAAUAAUUUAAAUUUUAUAAUUAAUUUAAUUACAUUUCAUUUUCUUCUAUAUUUAAAUAUUGGAAAAAUAUUUUACUUAAUAUUUUUUUCUUUAAUUUCUUUGGCAUUUUGGGAACCAAACUUAGCCUUUAAAAUAAAAAACAAAAAAAAAAUGAAAAUAAGGAGGGAAAAGUGAGAAAAGAUAAAAACAAUAUGUAAAGGAUUUGAAAAGUAUUAGUUUGUAAUUACUAUUUGGAUUUCAAUAGUAUUUUAUUUGUCUUUCUAUAUUUCAUGUAAGAGAGAAUUUAAGAUAUUCCCCAAGGCAAAGCAUUAGUUACCUGCAAUCAGUGGUGAUAAGGCUCCAAGCCAAUUUUGGGCCCCAUAUCUUAAGACAGUACAAUUUCCAUUUCAACAUUUCUGAUUUCUCAGAUGUUUCACAUACCACAGAAGAACAUUGUUUGUGAAAAUAUGCAUUUAUGUUGGAUUUUGUAUGCUGUGGGGACUGGGGCAAGGAUCAUAUGGAAGAGUGGUUGACUUUUUCUGUACUUUAACGGUUGAAAUAGGAUAAGCACGGGCAUUUGUGAGGCUUAAUUGAUUUUGAAGCCUGAAAUUGCGUUUCUGUCAUUUUGUCAAAAAAAUGGCAGAUUCCAUACUCAUAUGUUUGGCCUGUGGCCAUGUACAGAUGCCAUUUAGUGACCAGUUUGUAACUGUCAAUCGUUGCGUUUUGACUCUGCCUCAACAACAUCUGCCAUUGACGGGUUUUCAUACUUGCAAAUCAAAUAGUCUUUCGUCCCAUCAGGAAUUUCGGUUUAAAUAUUAUUAAGCAUACGUUUGGCUGACAAUCAUUAUCCAGUUCAUGAUUUGGUUUCUUACCCUUAAUCAAUGGUUUCUAAGUGAAUAUAUGUAGAAGGAAAUCCGAAGUGUAGACAGUAGUAUCGAUAACUCUCAAUAUUCUCUAUAUAAUAGAAUAAACAGCGUCAUAGUGAUCGUCGCCUACAAGCAAGGUACAAAUACCAAAACGAGUGACUCACAUAGACAUCUCCCAACAAGAUGUAGUAGUGACUGACACAUGGACACAAUUAACUCGUAGAAAAGGAUAAGACCAUUGCACAGCAGCUCUUAUUUUACAUACUACUUAUGCUAACCAAAGUCAAUUAGUUGGGAUGGGUGGGAGAUGGAGGUUUGUGCGGUGGCUUGUGGGGCGGAGUUGAUGGCUUCUUUCCAGGAGCUUCUGGCUUUUUCAUCGGAGCUGAAGGAGGCUCAAUCUUAUGAGGCGGCUUGUAUGAGUCUUCUUUACUCUCGACAGGAGGGUGGCCAGGGUUGUGAUCAUAAUGUGGUGGCUUCUCUCCCUUAGGUGGCUUGCCAACUGGGGUUGGUGGCUUGUGUUCAGGAAGUGGUUUCUCUCCCAUGGGAGGUUUAGCAAUUGGGGUUGGUGGCUUGUGUUCUGGGAGUGGCUUCUCUCCCUUGGGAGGUUUAGUAGGUGACUUGUGUUCUGGAGGUGGCUUCUCCACCGGAGGCUUGUGCUCCGGUGGUGGCUUCUUGGUUGGAGGGGGCUUGGGGUAAUCAGCAAGAGAUGGGGUGGUGAGAACCACCAGUCCAAGGAACAACACUAGCAAGUAUGUGGGAGACAUUUUUGAGUUUGGGCUGAUCAGAUGAUGCAAAACUAAAGCAUUACGUGACCUUUUAUAGCAUGUAGCUCCCAAUACCCACUAAGUAUUGUGGGGUCCAUUUGUGCCCUACGGGGUUGAAAACUUAGACAAUUGGGCAAGGACCCACCUGACUAUGGAGGACUAGUGAGGUGUGAUCAUAGCUUUAGGAUUUUUCUUCCUCUGCAGCCGUCGUGCCGUUGGCAUGAUUUUCUUAAUCUUAAAUAAAGGCAUAGUUAUAGAGUUGUUUAAUCUCUAAAUGGGAUUUUAUAUAUAUCUUCAGAUAGCCAUUAAUAUAUUUGAUGAAGAAAGAAAGACAAGUGCAUACAACAUGUAUACGACUAGCUUUCAUGGAGUUCAUUUAUGAUCAGUUUUCCUGUACAUGUAAACCAGGAUCAUAUAUAUGUUUCUGUUCCACAACUAUUUUGGAAUCUUGUUUAUCAGUUUUUAUCAUUAUAAUGUCACAUAGGCUGCCAACUUGGGCGCUAAAAGAACCAGUUGGGCUAGUUCGUUUCAGAAUUUCAAUGUGGAUUCAGGAAUUGUUUUGUAAGAUAUGCGAAAUAGUAGAGGGAUGAAUAGUGUUUCAUUAAUAAAAGUGUCCUGUAAAUUAGAAGGUGUCAUAGAAACUAUAAUCAAUAAAUAACUUUUUUUCCCCACGGGUGGUGUUUCUUGUGGGGAUCAGUGACUGGUUUAGGUUCACCCAAAAUGAGUUCAGACUAAAAUUGGUUUGAGUCAAUGCCGUGUCUCUUUUUUCCAGAAAUCAACUAUUUUAUGCAUUGAAUAAAUCAUACAAAGAAAAUAUGAACGCCCGCAAAACCUAAACCCUGGUUGCUAACUUUCUAUGUUUCAGUUCUAUUCACGCAAGAAUAUUAGUUUAAGUUUGGGAAAAAUGGCAACUUACCUAGUGAUUACUUGGUUUUGGUUUGCGACUAUUUACGCAACCAACCAUGAGUUUGACUUUAACGUCAUGGGUUGAAGCCUCCUACAGGAAGGGAGAAAGCUCCACAGCUAGCUCCAAAAGAGAAUUAUCACAUUGAUAGCUCCAGAGAUUCCCAAGGGGACUGAAUCAAAGACAAGUUCCUCACUUUUUCUUCUUUUGAGGCCAAAUAUGAACCAAGGAUCACACAACCUCAUUCAACUUCAUAAGUUUGAUUUCAUGCAGUUGAACACUGGGUGAAGGCCAUGACAAGAAUUGAUUCAAAAAUUCUAUCACUCUUUUAAGUAAUGGAAGAUUAUUAUCUCUGAUUGGCAUCACAACAGCACAUGCUCCUAGAUCUUUCUAGACACUCCAUGCAAUGAAAGCACAAUGGAUCUUGUAACGAUAGAAACUAAGCCAUGCUACAGUACUAGAUGAUGAGGUAAAACUAGUAGACACGGGUGGCAGCCUAUAUGGGAGGGACACAAGUCUAAUUGAUUUGCAUUUCAGCAUUAUAGAUAGGUAUGUUUUGGAAGAUUUGUUCUGGAAAUACCGCACCAAGUAGGAUUCUUUUUCUCUUUAGUGGGUCCACUUGCAUGCCAAUUAACGAGUUGAAAAGUAUGAGCACCUACCUCGUGCUCGUGGAACCGAAGGUCAGUGAAGUGGGGCUCCUUUUGGCCUCGUGUAAACUUGAUUCAGAAGUGAAGUUAAUAGUCUUCCAUUCAGAUGGAUACAUGGGAAUUUUUCUCUUUUAUUUAUUUAUUUAUUUUUUUUUUGUGUGUGUAUGUCAAAGGAUAAUGAAUGAAGCGCGUUAGCUUGUUUUCUGACUGGAACCGCAGAUGUCCAAAUUGGAGUUCCUUCAUUUCUUACUUAGGAUUGUUACAUGUAUAAACAAGGUAUAAGAAAUAUGCCAACGUGUCUUGAGGAGUUAUUGAUUAGAAAUAACAAGUCACCCGACUGUAGAGUUCCAAGAUUUGAAUCUUCAGACCCUAUAGCAGCCUCUGGGGUACGUGGCAUCCUAUAGCAUAUUAAUGAAGGCUUUUUCGAUUUAGACUUCACAAUACCAAUUAAUAUGUAUGCACAAAAUGGAGAUGACCCCAAAAAAAACAGAAUCGCCAUAGUUUAUGAGGUUAAGGUGAUUCUCCACUUAAUAUCUACAUUAGCUAAUUAUGUAAAUCAAAUGAACUUCUAUUUUUCCUUUUUUUUUUUGGUUUAUGUCAAAUAGUAGCCCAUAAUUAACCCAACCAUUAGCCUGUUUGAAUUGAUUUCACAUGCACAAUGUUGUAGUAGUUCAUAUUUUGAAUUUUAUUUUUACAAAGGUAGUUAAGGAAAAUGAAGUAUAAUAAUUAUAAAAGCAGACUAUAUACACUACAAUAAUUGUUAGAAUGGUAUCUCAAAUUCUAAUUUAAAAUAUUAUUUUUUGUAAAAGAAAUAUUAUAUAGAAUAUUUCCUAAUUUUAUAAAUGAUUAUAAUUAGAUCUUUAUAAAAUAAGGAAAGUUGGUAAGAAUAUCUUUAUAAAUAUUUUAGGUCAUGAGAGAAAGAAAUGGGAUAAAAAUGUGAUGAAGAGGUGAAAUAAGAGAGUUGAUUAGGAUAUAGAUGUGAAGAAGAAAGGGAUUCAAUAUAUAUAUAUCUUUCAAUUACCACAUUAAAACCCUGUGAACCUUUUAUAUGGUUUACUUUAUUUUUAUAUUCCUCCUUUAAUAUAUUUACAUUAAUGCUUCCAUUGGCACAACAAUAACGAAUUACAAAUACAAGCAACAAGUCCCAUGUUUUAUUACCAAAAGCAGGUAAAAUCCACCUAAUAUAUUACAAUAUAUUCAUCCAAUAUUUUAGACCAAUUCUUCACCAUAAAUAUCAUAAUGUGGCUUUUGUUCUUUCUUAAAUUUAAAUUGAAUUGUCUUAUAUCAAUUUGUUUGUGAUUUUUUCAUUAACUUCACUUUCAUUUGGUUAUCUUUGGUUUUUGAAAAGUAUUAAGGAAUUAAUUAACAAAAUAAUGUUAAGAAAAAUAAUUUUCUCUCUUUUGAUUUUGAUUUUGUAGUAGAAAAAUAUAAUUAAAAUUAUUUAAAAAGUAUGUAAUUUUAAAUUAUUUAAUAUUUAGAUAAAAAAAAUAAGUCUAAUGAGUUUAAAAUAACAUAUAAAAAUAAUUUAUUUAUUUUAAAUUUAUUUUUUAUUUUCCAUUAUGUUCUCUUUCUCUUUUACUUUUUCAUAUUUUUUCUUACGAAGAAUCAAACACAACCUCAUAUUAUAUGUCAAGUGUUUGUCUAUAUUUGAGCAAUGUUAGAUACGGCCAUGGAUUCAUCAAACUAAACUGAUUUUAAUAGAUACUUCACAAAUUGAUUUAUACACUAAAUCAUUGGAUAGCAAUGAUGCAUUGGAAUUAAACGUAGGAUGAAGCUCGAAGAACACUGUUUGUGUAACAACAUAUUUAUGAAAUUAUGCAAAGGAUGAGCUUCGGGGUAGUAGUACAAGGUCAUUAAUGGAGAGCCGUGUUAAACCUUGAUUGUGAUUGGAUUCCGUUAUCAGCAACAGCAACCUUGUUUGUAACCUUGAAAGUCAUUCUGUCCACAUCGAAACUCCAAUUUGACGUUUGUAAUUACCAUUCCUGGAGUGUUCCUUGAUUGAAAUUUAAAUAAUAAUUGCGGCCCACAAGGAAUAUUUUCGAUUCUGUGGGAAUUUGACAAGGUUUGUUAGAGAAGACUGGUGACAUGUUGACUUCAAUGGUUCAAAUAGGAGACGUAUGUGGAUUUGGGGGGUUUAAUUGAAACUGAGUCCCUAUGGCUUUUUAAUAUUUGCAUUGAGCAGUCUCCAUGUGACUUCCUAAUUCCCACCAACCCUCCUGUCCAUGCUGUGAAACUAAAUUGUAAUUUAUCAGCCUUUGUCAAUGGUUUCUAAAUUAAAGAUAUAGACCAUGCAUGUACUUUAAUAAAAGCAAAUCUAAAGUGUAGAUAGCAGCAAUGGUGACACCCAAUAUUCUCCAUAAAAUAGAAUUAGAAUAAGCAGUGUUACAUUGUUCAUGAUCACCUACAAGCAUACAAGAACUUCCAUGAAUAACUCAUAGCAAUUGCCAACAGGGCGUCGUAGAGACUCAUACAUAGAACACUAUCCACCCAGAGGAAAGGACAAGACCAGUGCGCUGCAGCUCUUAUUUUUCACAUGUAUACCACCACUCGUAAUAACCAAAUUCACUCAGUUGGGAUAGGUGGGAGAUGGUGGUUUGUGGGGUGGCUUGUGGGGAGGAGUUGGAGGAGGCUUUAUUUUCUGAGGCGGCUUGUAUGAGUGUGCAGGAGGAUGCCCGGGAGUGUGACCAUAAUGUGGUGGCUUCUCUCCCGUAGGUGGUUUGCCAAAUGGGCUUGGUGGCUUCUCUCCCUUAGGAGGUUUACCAAUUGGGGUUGGUGGCUUGUGUUCUGGGAGUGGUUUCUCUCCCUUGGUAGGUUUGCCAAUUGGGGUUGGCGGCUUAUGUUCUGGGAGUGGCUUCUCUCCCUUGGGAGGUUUGCUAAUUGGGGUUGGCGGCUUAUGUUCUGGGGGCGGCUUCUCUCCCUUGGGAGGUUUGCCAAUUGGAGUUGGCGGCUUAUGUUCUGGGAGUGGCUUUUCUCCCUUGGGAGGCUUGCCAAUUGGGGUUGGCGGCUUAUGUUCUGGGGGUGGCUUCUCUCCUUUAGGAGGUUUGCCAAUUGGAGUCGGCGGCUUAUGUUCUGGAAGUGGCUUUUUUCCCUUGGGAGGUUUGCCAAUUGGGGUUGGCGGCUUAUGUUCUGGGGGUGGCUUCUCUCCCUUGGGAGGUUUGCCAAUUGGAGUCGGCGGCUUAUGUUCUGGGAGUGGCUUCUCUCCCUUGGGAGGUUUUGUUGGUGGCUUGUGUUCUGGAGAUGGCUUCUCCCCUGGAGGCUUGUGCUCCGGAGGUGGCUUCUGAAAUGGCGGGGGCUUGGGGUAAUGAGCAAGAGAUGGAGUACUGGUGAGAACCACCAUUCCAAGCAACAAUACUAGCAAGCAUGUGGGAGACAUCUUUGAGUAGUUGUAGCUAAGAUGGCGCAACACUGUAGGCAUUGGGUGGCCUUUUAUAAAGGGCUGGACCCAACAGCCAUAUGACACGUGUCAUGAUGACAAAUGAAGUUGAGGGGAUCCAGAUGGGUCCUACUGAGUCGAAAACUUGCACUAAUUGAUCUGGUGAGAUGACUAUUUCUGUCCUUUUGCCCUUCUCGGCCACCCUGUGCUGUUUUCCUUUUGCACGAUUUUCGUUGCCAAACAAGCAAAUAAUAUUUCGCCAAGAAAGAGGAGAGUGAAUGUGGAAUGCAUCAAGUCCCAUCAAGGAUGGCAGAGAAGAAAUAGAAGAUUGCCCAACUGUGAUAAACAUAGCAUACACGUAGCACCAGGAACUUCAUUUACUUCCAUCUAAUGGAACAUAACAAUCUUCUAAAGUUUUUGCAUGAUUUUGUUAUAUGUCUCUUAGCCUAAAGUUGGAAAUGCGCAACAAAUUUUGUCACUUCUCUAUUUCCCACUGAUGAUGUUAAUUAGCCUUCAUAGAUAUCAUCCUUUCUACAAAGUGCUUCAUUUGUGUGUUAUUGUAAAGUGUAAGAAAAGUAAUUGAACAUGUUCUUUUUCCUUUCAUAGAUGACUUUUGAUGUGCAUUUUAAAAGCAGCGCUGUGAGUCGGUGACCUUGAUUCACACGGAAACUAAGGCUCCUAUAGGACCCACUUUUAGCUGGUUAGGGGUGAAGAAAAUAUCAACUUUUCAGAGUGAUUUAAGUCAAGGCCAAGCCUCACUGUGUCAUUACUCGUGUGAAUUUUAUAUGCACAUACAUACAUAAAUAAAGUAUGAGACCCAAAUAACACCUUCCCUUUACAAACUUAACCCCAGCCGCUCUCUUUCAAUUCUUUUCACACAAGGGUAUUGACUCUAUAAAGGUCAAGAAAAUCAUAAUUUCCUAGGGUUUACAAGGUAAUUGGCUUAAUGCUAAUGUGAAAACAUAAAAGAUAAUAGUAUAUUGUAAGCUAACGAAUAUUCUAUAGUUAUAAUUAUUUGUGAUGUGCAUAAAUAAAUCUUCAUAUAUAUAAUGGAACAAUGAAUAAAGAACCAAUGAAAAAAUACUAUAUAUCAUUGCUUGGCAUUUAAACCGUAUAUGCUGCUCUUUCUAGCUACUCCAUCCACUGAAAGACAACAAGGUAAUCCAUGUUAUAAUGAUAGAAGAUACUGUCUCUAGGCUUUUUGUGAUGAAAAAUAUAAGAUAUGGGUAGGGUUGACCCUUGUAUGUUUGUCCUAUAAACACUUCAAAGUAACAUAUUUUUCUUCUUUAGCAACUCAUAAUGAUGGGGUUCAUUUGCAUGUCACUGAGUUGAAAAGUUGGACAAUUGCCCAUGUCGCCUUCCUCCUAGAUUCCGUAGUUCACGGGAAGGUAACUCAAGUUUGACAUAUUUUGAAUUCUUUUCACUCGGACGUCUUCAUAACCUGACAAAACAAAAAUGAAAAACAGAGGAUUGGUAUAUUAUUCAUGGUAAGCCUCAAAUUAUAGUAGUAUGAGAAAGGAGAAAAAGAUUUUGGGAACUCCAAUCUGGAUAAUUCUCGUUUCUUCUCUUGAAUAAAAAUUUCACUUACCUAACUUCGUUUGGAGAAAUGGCAUAUUUUAAUUUUGUACGUCAUUGCUAAUAAAUGGAGCAAUUUAGCAUGUUUUGUGACUGAAACUGCAAAUGUCCAAUUGGCAUUUCUUCAUUUCCCACUUAGGAUCUGAUCUUGUAGACCAUAUAACGAUAUGUAUCUGUGCAAGCAUUGAAAACUAAUGUGAACUAUGAGGAGUUACAAGCCACUGGACUGUAGAGCGAGUGCCAAGAUUUAAAUCUUCAGGCUCUAUCUGGGUAAGGGGAGGAUAGCGACCUAACCUUUUACCAAAGGCUUAGAAUUUAGACUUUUGGAAAAAAAUUUCUCAUGUUUUGGCUGGAUUUCUUGUGCUUGGCGCAAAAAGGAGAUGGCCUCAAGAAAUAGCAGACUCACUUUUGUUUUCAGCCCUUAAUAAUUCUCCACUGCUUUCCAUAACUACAUGGGUUAUACAUGCAGUCUGCUGCAAUAUUCCAGUUAUAUUUAUUAUUUCAAAGAGGGUGAAUGACUUCACAUGCAAUAUGUUGCAGUAACAACCCAAAUUUUGGCACACCAUCUUAAGAAUAGAAAAGUAUAAUAAAAGAAAUCAAUCAGAGAAUCACUUUGCAUGCAGUUCAUAGAGUUCGCCCAAAAUGGAGCCACAUGUACGGACAACCCCACAAUAGACAAUCUUCUCUAUACAGUAAUAAAAUACAGAAAUGGUUAAUGAAGCUCUGUAUUUCCUUAUCAUAUAUGACCGGUUGAAAACUCAGCAAGUCUUCCUCAAUCACAGACAGUUGGAGUUGCUUCAUCAAAAUCAUGCCUUCAUUACUGGCUUCAUUUUGGUUUCAAUGUCUGUUCUACCCUUAAAUUGGGUCUCUGCUUACUACCGGGAUAUCCUUUAGCGUCCUGCAAUUCUACUAGAUUAAAGAGAAUGACUUAAUUCUGCAUUCUGCCGUCCCUAGUCCAAGUGGUACUAGAAUUGAUGUUUCCUUUAGUGUCCUUUCUUCAUACUUUCAGGUUCUUCCCUUGUUUCAAUAAUGCUGUUUUCCUUCAUGUUUAACCUCUGUUGAACCACUUAAAACAACACAAUUUGCACACCAAUGUUUCUUUACAGAAAAGACUGUUUGCAAAAAUGCACAUGUUAUAAGGUUAAUGGAAGAAUUAAUUUGGGGAUAAGGGACUAGGAUUGGGCCAAUGAAGUUUGGUGUUAAAUUUUGAUUAUGAUUGCUUUUCAUUAUCAGGUACCUUAUAUUUGCUGAUGCUAUCUGGAACUAAAUUCAAAUCAGACAUUAUCCGAUUACUAACAGGACAUAUCAUGUCCCUCUGCAGAGUUUCUAAACUAACAUGUAUCGAAAUGUGGCCCCAAAAGGAAGGCUAGGAAGAUGGAGGAUUUUGUAGGAAUCGACCAGAAUCAGAUGGAAGAGAGAUAGUCCUGUUGACUUUAAUGGUUGUGAUAGGAACAUGCAUCAUUAUAUGAGAAGUUGCAUGAAUUUAUGUAUCCUGUUAUCGUUCCUUGACGAUUUCCCAAUGCAAUUUCACUGUCCACAAGACUAACCUCUCCAUGCAGUCAAAUGAAUUGUAAUUUCUCUAUUGGUACCAGUAGUACAUUUCAUACCAAACAUAUAGUAAAUAUAAAAUAUAAAUAGAUCAAGGAAAUCUGAAUUGUAGAUAGCACUGCAAGUAACACUCAAUAUUCUCUAUAUAUAAUAAAAUAAACAGUGUCACAAUACUCAUCACCCAGUGGCAAGGGAGAAAAACCUACAAUGAGUACUCAAAUCACCAUUCUCAAACAGAAACAUAGCAGUGACUGAUACAUAGAACCUAUAUGCUCACAGGGAAAGAAUAAGAUGACCAGUGCACAGCGGGCAGCAGCUCUUAUUUUACGUACAACUCAAAUCCCAAACUAACCAAAGUCGCUCAGUUGGGAUGGGUGGGAGAUGGUGGUUUGUGGGAUGGCUUCUGGGUAGGAGCUGGUGGCUUCUGUCCCUUUGGUGGUUUGCCUAAUGAGCUUGGUGGCUUGUGCUCCGGGAGUUGUUUCUCUCCCUCGAGUAGGUUUCGAGUCUUGUCAGAUGGCUUGUGUUCUGGUGGUGGCUUCUCUCCCUGGGGUGGUUUGCCGAAUGGGCUUGGUGGCUUGUGUUCGGGGAGUGGCUUCUCUCCCUGGAGAAGGUUACGAGUUUUGUCAUAUGGCUUUUGUUCUGGUGGUGGCUUCUCUCCCUGGGGUGGUUUGCCGAAUGGGCUUGGUGGCUUGUGUUCGGGGAGUGGCUUCUCUCCCUGGAGAAGGUUACGAGUUUUGUCAGAUGGCUUGUGUUCUGGUGGUGGCUUCUCUCCCUGGGGUGGUUUGCCGAAUGGGCUUGGUGGCUUGUGUUCGGGGAGUGGCUUCUCUCCCUGGAGAAGGUUACGAGUUUUGUCAGAUGGCUUUUGUUCUGGUGGCGGCUUCUCUCCCUGGGGUGGUUUGCCAAAUGGGCUUGGUGGCUUGUGUUCGGGAACUGGCUUCUCUCCCUUGGGAGGUUCAGUUGGUGGCUGCUGUUCCGUAGGUGGUUUCUUCACCGGCGGCUUGUGCUCCGGAAGCGGCUUCUCUACCUGGAGAAGCUUACGAGUUUUGUCCGAUGGCUUGUGUUGUGGUGGUGGCUUCUCUCCCUGGGGUGGUUUGCCAAAUGGAGUUGGUGGCUUGUGUUCGGGGAGUGGCUUCUCUCCAUUGGGAGGUUUAGUUGGUGAUUGGUGUUCCGUAGGUGGUUUCUGAAGUGGGGGAUGCUUGGGGUAGUCAGCAAGAGACGAGGUAGUGAGAACCACCAGUCCCAGCAGCAACACUAGCAAGCAUGUGGAAGACAUCUUUGAGUUCAGGCUGAGAUCUGUGCAAGGAUAACAGAAUUAG